GAACUUAAGGGCUUUUCUCGUUCCUACUACACUAGAGAGCCAUCCAUAGCACAGCCUGGAUACAACCGGAAUAACAAUCUCAAAUACAAACAAAUGCAUGAGACUAAUAAAAAAACAAUCAAAUGCCGGAACGAUACAAGAGUGAAGGGAGGAGGGAUUCUGGUCACACACACACAUAUCGGUACCCGAUAAUUAAUGACCAGCCCUAGGAGUAUCCCUUAAUUAUUUAUUUGUGUAAUACGUUGCUACGUGCAUGCAUGCAUACUUGGUACGUAGCCUAGUAUGGAAUCUGCCCGACCAUGUGCGGCGGGCUGUAGCAGCAGAUGACAAACACGCCAACGUUGCCGUCACAGGGGACAGCGCCGCAGCCUAUGGACUUCGUGUCCCUCCACACCAACUCCAGGUAUCGAUCGCACGACUCACCCGUAGGUGCCGAGCAAGUGUUGGUGGCGUGAUCGUAGUACUGCUUCCCGGACGCCCAGUAAAACACUGCGUCCACUGCAUUCCAUUCGGUCCCACCCCGAAAAAGGUUCUCUCCGUAUGGGCGGACCUCCGGAGAUGGUAUUAACUGGCAGUCGGCGCGGCGCUUCUCCGCGUACGACUGUGCAUACGCCGCCACUAUGGGGUCCCACGUCAGCGGCCCCACGCCGACGGUGGCGCGCACUUCGUUGUGGGCGAUCAGCAUGUCUUCGGGCUCAUUCUGGGCGGUGACGACCAUGGCAGACGCGAGAGCUAAGAGCAGUGUAGCAGCUAGCUUUGGUGAGUACGCCAUCGCUAAUGCUGCCUUAGGAAAUGGAGGAAAGAAGUGCGUGUGUGUAAUGAUGGAUGAGAUUUGCUGUCACCGUGAGUUGUGUAUUUAUACUAGUGCACAAGCAGCUCGAUGGGUUGCUUCUCUAAAUAGGUAAUCUUUGAGUCUCUAUGUUAUUAUACUCUUUUCAAUAGGAAAACAAGACUCUCUGUUAUUAUACUCUUUUCAAUAGGAAAACAAGAAUAUCCACUUGUACAUACUGGGCAAAUUCCAAUACAUGUGCCUGGUCGAAAAAUUCAAGCCACUUAGGAAGCCGAGACCUCAUCAGUUCGAAAAAAUAAAUAAGCGAUGAUUUCACCUGUUUGAAAAAAGUAACCAACCUAUUGUGGCACCGUGGAUUAUUAACUUCCCCGGCAGCUGAUUUGGUCUGGCGCACGGUAGGUGUGGAAGAAAGAAUAUCCACUUGCCCGAUUUAAACCUUGAAGCCAACUAGUAAACGUAGACCUGAUCACCAGUUCAUAAAAAAUAAGCCAAGACCGCACUAGGUCAUAAAAAACAAGUACAUACCCCAAUAAUUUGAAAAAAGUCACCAACAUGCUAUGUCACCGUGAACGCUGCGUUAGGCCCUGCUGUAGGAAAAGCAUUGAUCCAUGGAUGCAUAGAAAAGCAAAGCGGUGCCUAUUACACACAAUACGCCAUAGAACGACAUUUGAUUAGCUUCUCAAGAGGCAGCCUGUGUAGCAGCAAUUCGUGCCCUUUAUUUGAAUAUAUGGCUCAAAUCUGAAAUCUCAUCUAUCAAGGUGAAUUGUGAGUGGAAGACACUAGUUUAAACUAGCCAAUGAAAUAUUUCUUACAUAUGCAAUUUCCAAGGCAAUAAAUGUAGCCUCCUUCCUUUCAUUGGACUUGCAUGAUCGAUGUAGAAAACGAUGCAUGCAUAGCCACUCAUCUCCUUUCUCUAAACUCUAUGAAUUAAAUAUGACGUGAGACUCAAAGCACUUUAACUCACUUAGACUCAAAAUGAGCCUAAUAUAAUGGAAAUCUGAAAAUUUUGAGAUGAACCCUAUAAACCGGAAAGGAGGGAGUAUGUUAUAUUGUGUUUGUUCUUUUCUCGUUCCUACUACACUAGAGACCCAUCCAUAGCAAAGCCUGGAUACAACCGGAAUAACAAUCUCAAAUACAAACAAAUGCAUGAGACAAAUACAAAAACAAUCAAAGCUCGGAACGAUACAAGAGUGAAAGGAGGAGGGAUUCUGGUCACAAACACACACACACACACAAUACGCCAUAGAACGACAUUUGAUUAGCUUCUCAAGAGGCAGCCUGUGUAGCAGAAAAUCAUGCCCUCUAUUUGAAACAGUAUUACAUACGAGAUUGAAUAUACCUGUCAUGUAUGCAUCCAAUUAAAUUAAUUAACGAUUUAUCUCAAGUGCAAGAGACAUUGGAAAAAAGGGAGUCAGGGUUGCCAAACAUGAUGGGCCGGGGAGAUCCUAUUUUUAGUGAUACUAGAUGACUUGUUGCCCCAAUUGACGAAACUGACGGAGUUACUCUAGAAGAAGUGUAUGGUAAUCUAUUUUCAAGAUUAUGGCCUUCAAAAAUAACAAAGUGAGAUCAUACUAAUAUGCAUUUUAGGUGGUUAAUUAUCGAUAUAUUUAAUCUAGGUAAAAUUGAAGCCAAUCAGUAAGCGGAGACCUCACCUGUUCGUACAAAAUUACCGGAGACCUCACGGGGUCCUAAAAAACAAGUGAAGACCUCAUCGGUUUGAAAAUGCAACCAAGAUUUUGUGUCACCAUGGAUGCCACGUGAGGGCCUGCUCAGGAAAACUUCGUUUCAUGGAUGCAUAUAAUAGUAAAGAAAUGUCCACUACACACGAUACGCUAGCCACACAACGACCUUCCGAGCAUAUGUGGAUUAUCUUCUCAAGAGGCAACCUGUGUUGUUGCCGAUCAUGCCCUCUAUUUGGAGCAGCGGUACGUACUAGAAUGAAUAUAUCCAGCAUACAUGCAUCCAGGUCAAUUAAUUCACGAUUUCGAUCAAGUGGAAGCGACAUGGGGAAAUAUAGUUGGGGUCGUCAAACACGAGGGAGCGAUCCUAGCUUUAAUGAUACGUAAUGACCUGUUGCGUCAAUUGGCGCAAAUGGCAGAGUUACGUCCAGAGAUAUGAAUGUUAAUAUAUUUCCAAGAUCAUUGACUUUCAAAAUAAACAAGCGAGAUCAUCAUAGUAUACGUUUUAUAUGGUGUGUACAAAUUGAACCCAAUAAGUGAACGGACACCUCAUAAUCUUGGUUGGCAUGGUUCUGCUUUGAUUCUUUCCAGCUACCCCUCAUCAAGAUUCAACCCAACGCCUUACUAGUACCGUUGUACAUGAUAUUUGCUGUAUGUGUUAUUUACCAAAAAUAUAUUCAAUCAUACUCAAUGUAAACAUAUAAGAACACAAUCUAGGAAUAGUCAACAUUAUGUCGCUAGCCUUAUUUAUACAUGUUAUUUUUAUUUUUUAUUUUUUUUGACCGGCUACUGUAGGGAAAACCCCCCACAGCCUUUUUCCUUUAUUCCCAUAUAUGAGAGCAAUAUGUACAAGAGGAAAUUAGAAUGUACAAAGGGGAAGGGGAGCAAAGACUACAAACCUCAAGGAGGCAAAAAGGAAACCCAUUUAAGGAGAUCAUCCCUGAAACUAGCCUUAAUUCUAUGAGCUAAUAGGAAAAUGUCAUGAAUGAAGCCAGAUCUCCAUUUUCUGAACUUUGGCUGCUCCUGGUUGAAGACCUUUGCAUUUCUGAUAGUCCAGAUGUUACAACAUGUAGUGAAGACCACCUCAGCAAAGAAGGGGUUAUGGAAGUCCCUUUUAGCAGCAACAGUAGCACUCCACAUGGAUGGACCCUGCCAUGUUAUCUGCAGAUAAUUUCAGACCCUGGUACUGAAGAGACGGGUGAAGAAUAAGUGAUCCCUGUCUUCCUUGACUCGAGCGUGACAUAGAACACAUAGAUUGGAGUCGGAAACAUUGCAGUGACGCCGUUCAAGCAUGUCUUGAGUAUUAAGCCUGUCCAUGAUGAGCAUCCAGGCAAACAUCUUAAUCUUCAUGGUACAACAACUUCUCCAGAUCAAGUUGAGUAAAGGAUUUGGUGUAAUACUGCUGUGAAUGUGAGCAUAGUAACUCUUGGCUGUGUAGGCCUUAGCAUCCUUUCCCCAUACCCAUCUGUCAGAGGCCUGAUGAUCAAGAUCCAGGUCUUGAAGCAAAGAUUGGACCGAAAGCAGGUCCUGGUAAGCUUGAGCAGACAGUGGUAAGUGGAACAUGGAGAGCAUGCUGUCAUCAUAAAAGGCUGUAAAGACCUCUUGAGCUGUGCAGAAAGGAUCAGUCACAAAAUAAAACAGUCUUUGGAAUCUGGCAGCCAGUGGCAUAAUGGAGUUUCCAAUCAACCAGGAGUUAGACCAAAACAGGAAGGAGUCACCCUUGUUCGGCACAACAUAUGUAACUGAUCUGAAUUUAUCAAGCUGUUUACAGAUAUCCUUCCACCAAAAAGAACCACAAAGGGCAGUUCCCUGAGGUACUGUGUCAUGAUAGUAGGUGUUCCAAAUGAAGUGAAACCAAGGGAUAUCAACAUGAUUGACGAAUUUAUCAACAUGCUUGAGCAGGAGUGCUUCAUUCUGGACUGCUAGGUUCAUAAUACUAGCCCCCCUUUAUUUUUAGGCCUGCACACCAGAGGCCAGGCAGCAAGAGAGGGUGCAUGAUCAUUCCCAUUUCUUCUCUAUAGACAUUGCCUUUGAAUUCUCUCAAGCAGCUUCAGUAUGCCUGGUGGGAUAUCCAGACUGCAUAGAAAGUUUUGGAAAUAUGCCCUAGAGGCAAUAAUAAAAUGGUUAUUAUCUUAUUUCCUUGUUCAUGAUAAUCGUCUAUUGUUCAUGCUAUAAUUGUAUUAACAGGAAACAGUAAUACAUGUGUGAAUAAAUAGAUCACAAUGUGUCCCUAGCAAGCCUCUAGUUGGCUAGCUCGUUAGUCAAUAGAUGAUCAUGGUUUCCUGAUCAUGGGCAUUAGAUGUCAUUGAUAACGGGAUCACAUCAUUGGGAGAAUGAUGUCAUGGACAAGACCCAAUCCUAAGCCUACCACUAGAUCGUAUUGUUCGUAUGCUAAUGCUUUUCUAAUGUCAAGUAUCUUUUCCUUCGACCGUGAGAUUGUGCAACUCCCGGAUACCGUAGGAGUGCUUUGGGUGUAUCAAACAUCACAACGUAACUGGGUGACUAUAAAGGUGCACUAUGGGUACCUCCGAAAGUGUCUGUUGGGUUGGUACGAAUCCAGAUCAGGAUUUGUCACUCCGUGUGACGGAGAGGUAUCUCUAGACCCACUCGGUAGAACAUCAUCAUGAGCUCAAUAUGACUAAGGAGUUGGUCAUACGAUCACGUGCUACAGAACGAGUAAAGAGACUUACCGGUAACGAGAUUGAACAAGGUAUAGGUAUACCGACGAUCGAAUCUCGGGCAAGUUCUAUACCGACAGACAAAGGGAAUCGUAUACGGGAUUGAUUGAAUCCUUGACAUCGUGGUUCAUCCGAUGAGAUCAUCGUGGAGCAAGUGGGAGCCACCAUGGGUAUCCAGACCCCACUGAUGUUUAUUGGCCAGAGAGGUGUCUCGGUCAUGUCUGUCUGUCUUCCGAACCCGUAGGGUCUACACACUUAAGGUUCGAUGACGCUAGGGUCAUAGGGAAUUGUUAUACGAGGUUACCGAAAGUUGUUCGGAGUCCCGGAUGAGAUCCCGGACACCACGAGGAGCUCCGGAAUGGUCCGGAGGUAAAUAUUGAUAUAUAGGACGGAUGGUUUCGGAUACCGGAAGUGUUUCGGGCAUCACCGGUAACGUACCGGGACCACCGGAGGUGGCCCUGGGGGACCACCGAAGGGGGGCAACGACCCCGGGAGGUAAGGUGGGCCAAGUGGGGGUGGGAACCAGCCCCUAGGUGGGCGGGUGCGCCUCCCCACUCAGCCCAUAGCGCAAGGGAGAGAAAAGGGGGGCAAACCCUAUGCCAGGUGGGCCUAAGGCCCACCAGAUGGUGCGCCACCCCCUCCUCCCCCCUCUGGCCGCCGCACCACCCAUCUGGGAGGGCUGCCGCACCCCCUAGGGUGGGAACCCUAGGGGUGGCACCCCCUCUCCCCUCCCCCUAUAUAUAUCGGGCACUUUUGGCCAUUGAGACACACGGUUUUUCCUCUCUCUCGGCGCAGCCCCGCUCCUCUCCCUCCUCCUCUGUGCCGGUGCUUGGCGAAGCCCUGCCGGGAGACCUCAUCUCUCCAUCGACACCACGCCGUUGUGUUGCUGGAGUUCUUCCCCAACCUCUCCCUCCUCCUUGCUGGAUCAAGGUGCGGGAGACGUCACCGGGCUGCACGUGUGUUGAACGCGGAGGUGUCGUAGUUCGGCACUAGAUCGGAAUCGCCGCGAGUAUGACUCUGUUGGGGAACGUCGCAUGGGAAACAAAAAUUUUCCUACGCGCACGAAGACCUAUCAUGGUGAUGUCCAUCUACGAGAGGGGAUGAGUGAUCUACGUACCCUCGUAGACCGUACAUCAGAAGCGUUAGAGAACGCGGUUGAUGUAGUGGAACGUCCUCACGUCCCUCGAUCCGCCCCGCGAACAAUCCCGCGAUCAGUCCCACGAUCUAGUACCGAACGGACGGCACCUCCGCGUUCAGCACACGUACAACUCGACGAUGAUCUCGGCCUUCUUCAUCCAGCAAGAGAGACGGAGAGGUAGAAGAGUUCUCCGGCAGCGUGACGGCGCUCCGGAGGUUGGUGAUGACCUUGUCUCAGCAGGGCUCCGCCCGAGCUCCGCAGAAACGCGAUCUAGAGGAAAAACCGUGGAGGUAUGUGGUCGGGCUGCCGUGGAAAAAUCGUCUCAAAUCAGCCCUAAAACCUCCGUAUAUAUAGGUGGUAGGGAGGGGGCCUUGCCUUGGGGCUCAAGGAGCCCCAAGGGGGUCCGCCGAGUCCAAGGGGGAGGACUCUCCCCCCCCAAACCGAGUUGGACUAGGUUUGGUGGGAGGGAGUCCGCCUUCCUUCCCACCUCCUCCUUUUUUUUUCUUUCUCUCUUGAUUUUCUUCUCCUUGGAGCAUAGGGCACUUGUGGGCUGUCCCACCAGCCCACUAAGGGCUGGUGUGGCUCCCCCAAUGCCUAUGGGCUUCCCCGGGGUGGGUUGCCCCCCCGGUGAACUCCCGGAACCCAUUCGUCAUUCCCGGUACAAUCCCGGUAACUCCGAAAACCUUCCGGUAAUCAAAUGAGGUCAUCCUAUAUAUCAAUCUUCGUUUCCGGACCAUUCCGGAAACCCUCGUGACGUCCGUGAUCUCAUCCGGGACUCCGAACAACAUUCGGUAACCAACCAUAUAACUCAAAUACGCAUAAAACAACGUCGAACCUUAAGUGUGCAGACCCUGCGGGUUCGAGAACUAUGUAGACAUGACCCGAGAGACUCCUCGGUCAAUAUCCAAUAGCGGGACCUGGAUGCCCAUAUUGGAUCCUACAUAUUCUACGAAGAUCUUAUCGUUUGAACCUCAGUGCCAAGGAUUCGUAUAAUCCCGUAUGUCAUUCCCUUUGUCCUUCGGUAUGUUACUUGCCCGAGAUUCGAUCGUCAGUAUCCGCAUACCUAUUUCAAUCUCGUUUACCGGCAAGUCUCUUUACUCGUUCCGUAAUACAAGAUCCCGCAACUUACACUAAGUUACAUUGCUUGCAAGGCUUGUGUGUGAUGUUGUAUUACCAAGUGGGCCCCGAGAUACCUCUCCGUCACACGGAGUGACAAAUCCCAGUCUUGAUCCAUACUAACUCAACUAACACCUUCGGAGAUACCUGUAGAGCAUCUUUAUAGUCACCCAGUUACGUUGCGACGUUUGAUACACACAAAGCAUUCCUCCGGUGUCAGUGAGUUAUAUGAUCUCAUGGUCAUAGGAAUAAAUACUUGACACGCAGAAAACAGUAGCAACAAAAUGACACGAUCAACAUGCUACGUCUAUUAGUUUGGGUCUAGUCCAUCACAUGAUUCUCCUAAUGAUAUGAUCCCGUUAUCAAGUAACAACAAUUGCCUAUGGCCAGGAAACCUUGGCCAUCUUUGAUCAACGAGCUAGUCAACUAGAGGCUUACUAGGGACAGUGUUUUGUCUAUGUAUCUACACAUGCACUGUGUUUCCAAUCAAUACUUAUAGCAUGGAUAAUAAACAAUUAUCAUGAAUUAAGAAAUAUAAUAAUAACUAAUUUAUUAUUUCCUCUAGGGCAUAUUUCCAAGAGUCUCCCACUUGCACUAGAGUCAAUAAUCUAGUUCACAUGACCAUGUGAUUCCAACGAAUCCAACACCCAUAUAGUUAUGGAGUCUGAUCACGUCCUGCUCUUGAGAGAGGUUUUAGUCAACGGUUCUGAAACUUUCAGAUCCGUGUGUUCUUUACAAAUCUUUAUGUCAUCCUAUAGAUGCUGCUACUAUGUGCUAUUCGGAAAUACUCCAAAUAUCUACUCUACUAUACGAAUCCGUUUCACUACUCAUAGUUAUUCGGAUUAGUGUCAAAGCUUGCAUCGACGUAACCCUUUACGACGAACUCCUUAAGCAUCUCCAUAAUCGAGAAAAAUUCCUUAGUCCAUUAGUUACUAAGGAUAAAUUUUGACCGCUGCUAGUGAUUCAAUCAUGGAUCACUCUCUGUACCUCUUAACAUACUUUGAGUCAAGGCACACAGGUCAGGGUGCGGUACACAGCAUGGCAUACUUUAGAUUCUACGGCUAAGGCAUAGAAGACGACCUUCGUCUAUUCUCUUUAUUCUACCGGGGUCGGGUUUUGAGUCUUACUCAAAUCACACCUCACAACGCAACCAAGAACUCCUUCUUUGCUGAUCUAUUUUGAACUCCUUCAAAAACUUGUCAAGGCAUGCAUCUUGUUGAAACUUCCAUUAAGCGCUUUCGAUCUAUCUCCAUAGAUCUUUGAUGCUCAACGUUCAAGUAGCUCAAUCCAGGUAUUCCUUUGAAAACUACUUUCAAACAACCUUGUAUGUUUUACAGAAAUUCUACAUUACUUCUGAUCCACAAUAUGUCAACCACAUAUACUUAUCAGAAAUUCUACAGUGCUCCCACUCACUUCUUUGGAAAUACAAGUUUCUCAUAAACCUUGUACAAACCAAAAAUCUUUGAUCAUCUCAUCAAAGUGUAUAUUCCAACUCCGAGAUGCUUGCACCAGUCCAUUGAAGGAUCACUGGAGCUUGCAUACUUGCUAGUAUCUUUAGGAUCGACAAAACCUUCUGGUUGUAUCACAUACAAUGUUUGCUCAAGGAAACCGUCGAGAAAACAAUGUUUUGACAUCCUACGUGCAAUAUUUCAUAAAUAAUGCAUCAACAACUAACAUAAUUCUAACAGACCUUUAGCAUCGCUAGGAGUGAGAAAGUCCCAUCAUAGUCAACUGUUUGAUCUUGUCGAAAACAUCUUUGCGACAAGUCGAGCUUUUCUUAAUAGUGACUUAUCACCAUCAUCGUCUGUCUUCUUUUAAAGAUCCAUCUUUACUCAAUAGUCUUAUGACCAUCAAGUAGUUCUUUCAAAGUCUACACUUUGUUUUCAUACAUGGAUCCUCUCUCGGAUUUCAUGGCUUCCAGCCAUUUGUCGGAAUCUGGGCCCACCAUCGCUUUAUCCAUAACUCGUAGGUUCACUGUUGCUCAACAACAUGACCUCCAAGACAGGGUUACCGUACCACUCUGUAGUAGUAUGCGACCUUGUCAACCUACGAGGCUUGUAGUAACUUGAUCCGAUGCUUGAUGAUCACCAUCAUUAGCUUCCACUUCAAUUGGUGUAGGCGCCACAGGAACAACUUCCUGCGCACUGCUACACACUGGUUGAAGUGAUGGUUCAAUAACCUCAUCAAGUUCUACUACCCUCCCACUCAAUUCUUUCGAGAGAAACCUUUCCUCGAGAAAGGAUCCGUUUCUAGAAACAAACACUUUGCUUUCGGAUCUGAGAUAGGAGAUGUACCCAACUGUUUUGGAUAUCCUAUGAAGAUGCAUUUAUCCGCUUUGAGUUCGAGCUUAUCAGACUGAAACUUUUUCACAUAAGUGUCGAAGCCCCAAACUUUCAAGAAACGACAGUUUAGAUUUCUCUAAACCUCAAUCUAUACUGUGUCAUCUCAACGGAAAUACGCGGUGCCCUAUUUAAAGUGAGUGCGGUGUCUAAUGCAUAACCCAUAAACGAUAGUGGUAUUUCGAUAAGAGACAUCAUAGUAUGCACCAUACCAAAUAGUGCGUGGCUAUGACGUUCAGACACAUCAUCACACUAUGAUGUUCCAGGUGGCAUGAACUGCGAAACAAUUUCCACAUUGUCUUAACUGCGUACCAAAAUUCGUAACUCAGGUAUUCAUUUCUAUGAUCAUAUCGUAGACAGUUUAUCCUCUUGUUACGACGAACUUCACUCUGAAACGGAUUUGAACUUUUCAACAUUUCAGACUUGUGAUUCAUUAAGUAAAUACUCCUAUAUCUACUCAAAUCGUCAGUGAAGUAAGAACAUAAUGAUAUCCACUGCGUGCCUCAGUACCCAUUGGACUGCAUACAUCAAAAUGUAUCACUUCCAACAAGUUAAUAUCUUAUUUCAUCUCAAUGAAAACAAGGUCUUGCUCAUGUGGUAUGGUUUGCAUGUCACUAGUGAUUUGAAAUCAUGUGAGUACAAAGAUCCAUCAGCAUGGAGCCUCUUCAUGCAAUUUAUACUAACAUGACUCAAGCGCCAGUGCCACAAGUAAGUGGUACUAUCAUCAUUAACUCGUAUCUUUUUGGCACCAAUAUUAUGAACAUGUGUAACACUACGAUCGAGAUUCAAUAAACCAUUGAAGGUGAUUAUUCAAGAAAAUAGAGUAACCAUUAUUCUCUUUAAAUGAAUAAUCGUAUUGCAAUAAACACGAUCCAAUCAUGUUCAUGCUUAACGCAAGCACCAAAUAACAAUUAUUUAGGUUUAACACCAAUCCCGAUGGUAGAGGGAGCGUGCGACGUUUGAUCAUAUCAACCUUGGAAACACUUCCAACACGUAUCGUCACCUCGCCUUUAGCUAGUCUCCAUUUAUGCCGUAGCUUUCAUUUCGUGUUACUAAUCACUUAGCAACCGAACCGGUAUCCAAUACCCUCAUGCUACUAGGAGUACUAGUAAAGUACACAUCAACAUCAUGUAUAUCAAAUAUACUUCUUUCGACUUUUGCCAGCCUUCUUAUCUACCAAGUAUCUAGAGUUGCUCCGCCUCAGUGACUGUUCCCCUCAUUACAGAAGCACUUAGUCUCGGGUUUGGGUUUAAUCUUGGGUCUCUUCAUUAGUGCAGCAAUUGUUUUGCCGUUUCACGAAGUAUCCCUUCUAGCCCUUGCCUUUCUUGAAACUUAGUGGUUUUACAAACCAUCAACUAUUGAUGCUCCUUCUUGAUUUCUACUUUCGCAGUGUCAAACAUCGCGAAUCGCUCAAGGAUCAUUGUAUCUAUCCUUGAUAUGUUAUAGUUCAUCACGAAGCUCUCACAGCUUGGUGGCAGUGACUUUGGAGAACCAUCACUAUCUCAUCUGGAAGAUUAACUCCCACUUGAUUCAAGUGAUUGUCGUACUCAGACAAUCUGAGCACACGCUUAACGAUUGAGCUUUUCUCCUUUACUUUGUGGACAAAGAAUCUUGUCGAAGGUCUCGUACCUCUCAACAAGGGCACGAGCAUGAAAUCACAAUUUCAUCUCUUUCGAACAUCACUUAUGUUCCGUGACGUUUCAAAACGUCUUCGGUGCCUUGCUUCUAAGCCAUUAAGUAUUUUGCACUGAACUAUCGUGUAGUCAUCAGAAACGUGUAUGUCGGAUGUUCACAGCAUCCACAGACGAUGCUCGAGGUGCAGCACACCGAGUGGUGCAUUAAGGACAUAAGCCUUCUGCGCAGCAACGAGGACAAUCCUCUUCAAAGUUUGCUACUAUCAACUUUCAACUAAAUUUUCUCUAGGAACAUAUAAAAACAGUAGAGCUAUAGCGCAAGCUACAUCGUAAUUCGCAAAGACCAUUAGACUAUGUUCAUGACAAUUAGUUCAAUUAAUCAUAUUACUUAAGAACUCCCACUCAAAAAGUACAUCUCUCUAGUCAUUUGAGUGGUACAUGAUCCAAAUCCACUAUCUCAAGUCCGAUCAUCACGUGAGUCGAGAAUAGUUUUAGUGGUAAGCAUCUCUAUGCUAAUCAUAUCAACUAUACGAUUGAUGCUCGACCUUUCGGUCUCAUGUGUUCCGAGGCCAUGUCUGCACAUGCUAGGCUCGUCAAGCUUAACCCGAGUGUUCCGCGUGCGCAACUGUUUUGCACCCGUUGUAUGUGAACGUUGAGUCUAUCACACCCGAUCAUCACAUGGUGUCUCGAAACGACGAACUGUAGCAACGGUGCACAGUCGGGGAGAACACAAUUUUGUCUUCAAAUUUUAGUGAGAGAUCACCUCAUAAUGCUACCGUCGUUCUAAGCAAAAGGAUUAACAUCACAUGCAAUUCAUAAGUGACAUGAUAUGGCCAUCAUCACGUGCUUCUUGAUCUCUAGCACCAAAGCACCGGCACGAUCUUCUUGUCACCGGCAUCACACCAUGAUCUCCAUCAACAUGAUCUCCAUCAACGUGUCGCAAUCGGGGUUGUCGUGCUACUCAUGCUAUUACUACUAAAGCUACGUCCUAGCAAAAUAGUAAACGCAUCUGCAAGCACACACGUUAGUAUAAAGACAACCCUAUGGCUCCUGCCGGUUGCCGUACCAUCGACGUGCAAGUCGAUAUUUCUAUUACAACAUGAUCAUCUCAUACAUCCAAUAUAUCACAUCACAUCGUUGGCCAUAUCACAUCACAAUCAUACCCUGCAAAAACAAGUUAGACGUCCUCUAAUUUUGUUGUUGCAUGUUUUACGUGGUGACCAAGGGUAUCUAGUAGGAUCGCAUCUUACUUACGCAAACACCACAACGGAGAUAUAUGAGUUGCUAUUUAACCUUAUCCAAGGACCUCCUCGGUCAAUUCCGAUUCAACUAAAGUUGGAGAAACCGACACUUGCCAGUCAUCUUUGAGCAAAGGGGGUUACUCGUAACGAUGAAACCAGUCUCUCGUAAGCGUACGAGUAAUGUCGGUCCAAGCCGCUUCAAUCCAACAAUACCGCGGAAUCAAGAAAAGACUAAGGAGGGCAGCAAAACGCACAUCACCACCCACAAAAACUUUUGUGUUCUACUCGAGAAGACAUCUACGCAUGAACCUAGCUCUGAUACCACUUUUGGGGAACGUCGCAUGGGAAACAAAAAAUUUCCUACGCGCACGAAGACCUAUCAUGGUGAUGUCCAUCUACGAGAGGGGAUGAGUGAUCUACGUACCCUCGUAGACCGUACAGCAGAAGCGUUAGAGAAACGCGGUUGAUGUAGUGGAACAUCCUCACGUCCCUCGAUCCGCCCCACGAMAAAUCCCGCGAUCAGUCCCACGAUCUAGUACCGAAACGGACGGCACCUCCGCGUUCAGCACACGCACAGCUCGACGAUGAUCUCGGCCUUCUUGAUCCAGCAAGAGAGACGGAGAGGUAGAAGAGUUCUCCGGCAGCGUGACGGCGCUCCGGAGGUUGGUGAUGACCUUGUCUCAGCAGGGCUCCGCCCGAGCUCCGCAGAAACGCGAUCUAGAGGAAAAACCGUGGAGGUAUGUGGUCGGGCUGCCGUGGGRAAAGUCGUCUCAAAUCAGCCCUAAAACCUCCGUAUAUAUAGGUGGUAGGGAGGGGGCCUUGCCUUGGGGCUCAAGGAGCCCCAAGGGGGUCGGCCGAGUCCAAGGGGGAGGACUCUCCCCCCCCAAACCGAGUUGGACUAGGUUUGGUGGGAGGGAGUCCCCCUUCCUUCCCACCUCCUCCUUUUUUUUUCUUUCUCUCUUGAUUUUCUUCUCCUUGGAGCAUAGGGCACUUGUGGGCUGUCCCACCAGCCCACUAAGGGCUGGUGUGGCUCCCCCAAUGCCUAUGGGCUUCCCCGGGGUGGGUUGCCCCCCCGGUGAACUCCCGGAACCCAUUCGUCAUUGCCGGUACAUUCCCGGUAACUCCGAAAACCUUCCGGUAAUCAAAUGAGGUCAUCCUAUAUAUCAAUCUUCGUUUCCGGACCAUUCCGGAAACCCUCGUGACGUCCGUGAUCUCAUCCGGGACUCCGAAUAACAUUCGGUAACCAACCAUAUAACUCAAAUACGCAUAAAACAACGUCGAACCUUAAGUGUGCAGACCCUGCGGGUUCGAGAACUAUGUAGACAUGACCCGAGAGACUCCUCGGUCAAUAUCCAAUAGCGGGACCUGGAUGCCCAUAUUGGAUCCUACAUAUUCUACGAAGAUCUUAUCGUUUGAACCUCAGUGCCAAGGAUUCGUAUAAUCCCGUAUGUCAUUCCCUUUGUCCUUCGGUAUGUUACUUGCCCGAGAUUCGAUCGUCAGUAUCCGCAUACCUAUUUCAAUCUCGUUUACCGGCAAGUCUCUUUACUCGUUCCGUAAUACAAGAUCCCGCAACUUACACUAAGUUACAUUGCUUGCAAGGCUUGUGUGUGAUGUUGUAUUACCGAGCGGGCCCCGAGAUACCUCUCCGUCACACGGAGUGACAAAUCCCAGUCUUGAUCCAUACUAACUCAACUAACACCUUCGGAGAUACCUGUAGAGCAUCUUUAUAGUCACCCAGUUACGUUGCGACGUUUGAUACACACAAAGCAUUCCUCCGGUGUCAGUGAGUUAUAUGAUCUCAUGGUCAUAGGAAUAAAUACUUGACACGCAGAAAACAGUAGCAACAAAAUGACACGAUCAACAUGCUACGUCUAUUAGUUUGGGUCUAGUCCAUCACAUGAUUCUCCUAAUGAUGUGAUCCCGUUAUCAAGUAACAACAAUUGCCUAUGGCCAAGAAACCUUGGCCAUCUUUGAUCAACGAGCUAGUCAACUAGAGGAUUACUAGGGACAGUGUUUUGUCUAUGUAUCCACACAUGCACUGUGUUUCCAAUCAAUACAAUUAUAGCAUGGAUAAUAAACAAUUAUCAUGAACUAAGAAAUAUAAUAAUAACUAAUUUAUUAUUUCCUCUAGGGCAUAUUUCCAACAGUCUCCCACUUGCACUAGAGUCAAUAAUCUAGUUCACAUGACCAUGUGAUUCCAACGAAUCCAACACCCAUAUAGUUAUGGAGUCUGAUCACGUCCUGCUCUUGAGAGAGGUUUUAGUCAACGGUUCUGAAACUUUCAGAUCCGUGUGUUCUUUACAAAUCUUUAUGUCAUCUUAUAGAUGCUGCUACUAUGUGCUAUUCGGAAAUACUCCAAAUAUCUACUCUACUAUACGAAUCUGUUUCACUACUCAUAGUUAUUCGGAUUAGUGUCAAAGCUUGCAUCGACGUAACCCUUUACGACGAACUCCUUAAGCACCUCCAUAAUCGAGAAAAAUUCCUUAGUCCAUUAGUUACUAAGGAUAAAUUUUGACCGCUGCUAGUGAUUCAAUCAUGGAUCACUCUCUGUACCUCUUAACAUACUUUGAGUCAAGGCACACAGUCAGGUGCGGUACACAGCAUGGCAUACUUUAGAUUCUACGGCUAAGGCAUAGAAGAUGACCUUCGUCUAUUCUCUUUAUUCUGCCGGGGUCGGGUUUUGAGUCUUACUCAAAUUCACACCUCACAACGCAACCAAGAACUCCUUUGCUGAUCUAUUUUGAACUCCUUCAAAAACUUGUCAAGGCAUGCAUCUUGUUGAAACUUCCAUUAAGCGCUUUCGAUCUAUCUCCAUGUUUUUGUCAAGGUACAACUUGUCAAGGUACAACUCAACGUUCAAGUAGCUCAAUCCAGGUAUUCCUUUGAAAACUCCUUUCAAACAACCUUGUAUGUUUUACAGAAAUUCUACAUUACUUCUGAUCCACAAUAUGUCAACCACAUAUACUUAUCAGAAAUUCUAUAGUGCUCCCACUCACUUCUUUGGAAAUACAAGUUUCUCAUAAACCUUGUACAAACCAAAAAUCUUUGAUCAUCUCAUCAAAGUGUAUAUUCCAACUCCGAGAUGCUUGCACCAGUCCAUUGAAGGAUCACUGGAGCUUGCAUACUUGCUAGUAUCUUUAGGAUCGACAAAACCUUCUGGUUGUAUCACAUACAAUGUUUGCUCAAGGAAACCGUCGAGAAAACAAUGUUUUGACAUCCUACGUGCAAUAUUUCAUAAAUAAUGCAUCAACAACUAACAUAAUUCUAACAGACCUUUAGCAUCGCUAGGAGUGAGAAAGUCCCAUCAUAGUCAACUGUUUGAUCUUGUCGAAAACAUCUUUGCGACAAGUCGAGCUUUUCUUAAUAGUGACUUAUCACCAUCAUCGUCUGUCUUCUUUUAAAGAUCCAUCUUUACUCAAUAGUCUUAUGACCAUCAAGUAGUUCUUUCAAAGUCUACACUUUGUUUUCAUACAUGGAUCCUCUCUCGGAUUUCAUGGCUUCCAGCCAUUUGUCGGAAUCUGGGCCCACCAUUGCUUUCUCCAUAACUCGUAGGUUCACUGUUGCUCAACAACAUGACCUCCAAGACAGGGUUACCGUACCACUCUGUAGUAGUAUGCGACCUUGUCAACCUACGAGGCUUGUAGUAACUUGAUCCGAUGCUUGAUGAUCACCAUCAUCAGCUUCCACUUCAAUUGGUGUAGGCGCCACAGGAACAACUUCCUGCGCACUGCUACACACUGGUUGAAGUGAUGGUUCAAUAACCUCAUCAAGUUCUACUACCCUCCCACUCAAUUCUUUCGAGAGAAACCUUUCCUCGAGAAAGGAUCCGUUUCUAGAAACAAACACUUUGCUUUCGGAUCUGAGAUAGGAGAUGUACCCAACUGUUUUGGAUAUCCUAUGAAGAUGCAUUUAUCCGCUUUGAGUUCGAGCUUAUCAGACUGAAACUUUUUCACAUAAGUGUCGAAGCCCCAAACUUUCAAGAAACGACAGUUUAGAUUUCUCUAAACCUCAAUCUAUACUGUGUCAUCUCAACGGAAAUACGCGGUGCCCUAUUUAAAGUGAGUGCGGUGUCUAAUGCAUAACCCAUAAACGAUAGUGGUAUUUCGAUAAGAGACAUCAUAGUAUGCACCAUACCAAAUAGUGCGUGGCUAUGACGUUCAGACACAUCAUCACACUAUGAUGUUCCAGGUGGCAUGAACUGCGAAACAAUUUCCACAUUGUCUUAACUGCGUACCAAAAUUCGUAACUCAGGUAUUCAUUUCUAUGAUCAUAUCGUAGACAGUUUAUCCUCUUGUUACGACGAACUUCACUCUGAAACGGAUUUGAACUUUUCAACAUUUCAGACUUGUGAUUCAUUAAGUAAAUACUCCUAUAUCUACUCAAAUCGUCAGUGAAGUAAGAACAUAAUGAUAUCCACUGCGUGCCUCAGUACCCAUUGGACUGCAUACAUCNGCUACUCAUUUAAGUCAGAGAAUAAUGGUUGUUCUAUUUAUAUGAGUGAUAUGUUUUAUGGUCAUGCUCCGCUGGUGAAUGGUUUAUUCUUGAUGAAUCUCGAUCCUGAUGUUACACAUAUUCAUAGUGUGAGUACCAAAAGAUGCAAAGUUGAUAAUGAUAAUCCCACAUACUUGUGGCACUGCCGCCUUGGUCAUAUCGGCGUUAAGCGCAUGAAGAAGCUCCAUACUGAUGGACUAUUAGAGUCUCUUGACUUUGAAUCAUUUGACACAUGCAAACCGUGCCUCAUGGGCAAGAUGACUAAGACUCCAUUCUCAGGAAUAAUGGAGAGAGCAACCGACUUAUUGGGAAUAAUACAUACUGAUGUGUGUGGUCCAAUGAAUGUUGAAGCUCGCGGUGGUUAUCAUUAUGUUCUCACUCUCACCGAUGAUUUGAGUAGGUAUGGGUAUAUCUACUUGAUGAAGCACAAAUCUGAGACGUUUGAAAAGUUCAAGGAAUUUCAGAGUGAGGUUGAGAAUCAACGUGACAGAAAAAUUAAAUGUCUACGAUCUGAUCGUGGAGGAGAAUAUUUGAGUCACGAGUUUGGAACACACCUAAGGAAGUGUGGAAUCGUUUCACAACUGACGCCGCCUGGCACACCGCAGCGCAACGGAGUGUCUGAACGUCGUAAUCACACUUUAUUAGAUAUGGCACGAUCUAUGAUGUCUCUCACCGACUUACCGCUAUCAUUUUGGGGAUACGCAUUAGAAACUGCAACAUUCACUUUAAAUAGGGCACCGUCUAAAUCCGUUGAGACGACACCGUAUGAACUAUGGUUUGGCAAGAAACCUAAGUUGUCGUUUCUUAAAGUUUGGGGCUGCGAUGCUUAUGUGAAGAAACUUCAACCAGAAAAGCUCGAACCCAAAGCGGAGAAAUGCGUAUUCAUAGGAUACCCUAAGGAAACUAUUGGGUAUACCUUCUAUCUUAGAUCCGAAGGUAAAACCUUUGUUGCCAAGAACAGAUCCUUUCUAGAGAAAGAGUUUCUCUCGAAAGAAGUAAGUGGGAGGAAGGUAGAACUUGAUGAGGUAAUUACACCCCCUCUCGAACAGGAAAGUAGCGCAGCGCGGGAAGUUGUUCCUGUGGCGCCUACACCGACUGAAGAGGAAGUUAAUGAUGAUGAUCAUGAAGCUUCGGAUCAAGUUACUACUGAACCGCGAAGGUCCACAAGGGCACGCUCCGCACCAGAGUGGUACGGCAACCCUGUGAUGGAAAUCAUGUUGUUAGACAACGGUGAACCUUCGAACUAUGAAGAAGCAAUGGCGGGCCCGGAUUCGAACAAAUGGCUUGAGGCUAUGAAAUCCGAGAUAGGAUCCAUGUAUGAGAACAAAGUAUGGACUUUGGUGGACUUGCCCGAUGACCGGCGAGCCAUAGAAAAUAAAUGGAUCUUCAAGAAGAAGACUGAUGCAAACGGUAAUGUAACCGUUUACAAAGCUCGACUUAUCGCAAAGGGUUUUCGACAAAUUCAAGGAGUUGACUACGAAGAGACUAUCUCUCCCGUAGCGAAGCUGAAAUCAGUUCGAAUCAUGUUAGCAAUUGCCGCCUUUUAUGAUUAUGAAAUUUGGCAAAUGGACGUCAAAACAGCGUUCCUUAACGGGAACCUUAAGGAAGAGUUGUAUAUGAUGCAACCAGAAGGUUUUGUCGACCCUAAGGGUGCUAACAAAGUGUGCAAGCUCCAGCGCUCCAUCUAUGGGCUGGUGCAAGCAUCUCAGAGUUGGAACAUUCCCUUCAAUGAGGUGAUUAAAGUGUUUGGGUUCAUACAGGUUUACGGAGAAGCCUGUCUGUACAAGAAAGUGAGUGGGAGCUCUGUAGCUUUCCUCAUACUAUAUGUGGAUGACAUAUUAUUGAUGAGGAAUAAUAUAGAGAUGUUGGAGAGCAUAAAGGCCUAUUUGAACAAGAGUUUUUCAAUGAAGGACCUUGGAGAAGCUGCAUACAUAUUAGGCAUCAAGAUCUAUAGAGAUAGAUUGAGACGCCUCAUAGGUCUUUCGCAAAGUACAUACCUUGACAAGAUAUUGAAGAAGUUCAAUAUGGAAAACUCAAAGAAAGGGUUCUUGCCAGUUUUGCAAGGUAUGAGAUUGAGUAAGACUCAGUCGCCGACCACGGCAGCAGAUAGAGAGAAGAUGAGUUCUGUCCCCUAUGCUUCAGCCGUGGGCUCUCUAAUGUAUGCCAUGCUGUGUACCAGACCUGAUAUAAACCUUGCCAUAAGUUUGGUAGGGAGGUACCAAAGUGAUCCCGGUACGGAACACUGGACAGCGUCAAGAAUAUCCUUAAGUACCUGAAAAGGACUAAGGAAAUGUUUCUCGUUUAUGGAGGUGACGAAGAGCUCGUCGUAAAGGGUUACGUCGACGCUAGCUUCGACACAGAUCCGGAUGACUCUAAGUCACAGACCGGAUACGUAUAUGUGUUGAAUGGUGGGGCAGUGAGCUGGUGCAGCAACAAGCAAGAAGUCGUGGCAGCAUCUACAUGUGAAGCGGAGUACAUAGCUGCUUCAGAAGUGGCUGAUGAAGGAAUUUGGAUGAAGGAGCUCAUCACCGACCUUGGAGUGGUUCCAAGCGCGUCGAGUCCUAUGACACUCUUCUGUGAUAACACUGGAGCCAUUGCCAUAGCCAAGGAGCCCAGGUUUCACCGGAGGACGAAGCACAUCAAGCGCCGCUACAACUCCAUCCAGGACCAUGUCCAGAGUGGAGUGAUAGAUAUUUGUAAAGUACACACGGAUCUGAAUAUUGCAGACCUGUUGACUAAACCUCUUCCACGAGCAAAACAUGAUCAACACCAUAAUGCCAUCGGUGUUCGAUACAUCACAAUGUAACUAGAUUAUUGACUCUAGUGCAAGUGGGAGACUGUUGGAAAUAUGCCCUAGAGGCAAUAAUAAAAUGGUUAUUAUCAUAUUUCCUUGUUCAUGAUAAUCGUCUAUUGUUCAUGCUAUAAUUGUAUUAACAGGAAACAGUAAUGCAUGUGUGAAUAAAUAGAACACAAUGUGUCCCUAGCAAGCCUCUAGUUGGCUAGCUCGUUAGUCAAUAGAUGAUCAUGGUUUCCUGAUCAUGGGCAUUAGAUGUCAUUGAUAACGGGAUCACAUCAUUGGGAGAAUGAUGUGAUGGACAAGACCCAAUCCUAAGCCUAGCACUAGAUCGUAUUGUUCAUAUGCUAAUGCUUUUGUAAUGUCGAGUAUCUUUUCCUUCGACCGUGAGAUUGUGCAACUCCCGGAUACCAUAGGAGUGCUUUGGGUGUAUCAAACAUCACAACGUAACUGGGUGACUAUAAAGGUGCACUACGGGUACCUCCGAAAGUGUCUGUUGGGUUUGUACGAAUCGAGAUCGGGAUUUGUCACUCCGUGUGACGGAGAGGUAUCUCUGGACCCACUCGGUAGAACAUCAUCAUGAGCUCAAUGUGACUAAGGAGUUGGUCACACGAUGACGUGCUAUGGAACGAGUAAAGAGACUUACCGGUAACGAGAUUGAACAAGGUAUAGGUAUACCGACGAUCGAAUCUCGGGCAAGUUCUAUACCGACAGACAAAGGGAAUCGUAUACGGGAUUGAUUGAAUCCUUGACAUCGUGGUUCAUCUGAUGAGAUCAUCGUGGAGCAAGUGGGAGCCACCAUGGCUAUCCAGACCCCGCUGAUAGUUAUUGGCCAGAGAGGUGUCUCGGUCAUGUCUGCCUGUCUUCCGAACCCGUAGGGUCUACACACUUAAGGUUCGAUGACGCUAGGGUCAUAGGGAAUUGUUAUACGAGGUUAUCGAAAGUUGUUCGGAGUCCCGUAUGAGAUCCCGGACAUCACGAGGAGCUCCGGAAUGGUCCGGAGGUAAAGAUUGAUAUAUAGGAAGGAUGGUUUCGGAUACCGGAAGUGUUUCGGGCAUCACCGGUAACGUACCGGGACCACCGGAGGUGGCCCCGGGGGACCACCGAAGGGGGGCAACGACCCCGGGAGGUAAGGUGGGCCAAGUGGGGGUGGGAACCAGCCCCUAGGUGGGUUGGUGCGCCUCCUCACUAAGCCCAUAGCGCAAGGGAUAGAAAAGGGGGGGGGGCAAACCCUAGGCCAGGUGGGCCUAAGGCCCACCAGAUGGUGCGCCACCCCCUCCUCCCCCCUCUGGCCGCCGCACCACCCAUCUGGGAGGGCUGCCGCACCCCCUAGGGUGGGAACCCUAGGGGUGGCACCCCCUCUCGCCUCCCCCUAUAUAUAUCGGGCACUUUUGGCCAUUGAGACACACGGUUUUUCCUCUCUCUCGGCGCAGCCCCGCUCCUCUCCCUCCUCCUCUGUGCCGGUGCUUGGUGAAGCCCUGCCAGGAGACCUCGUCUCUCCAUCGACACCACGCCGUCGUGUUGCUGGAGUUCUUCCCCAACCUCUCCCUCCUCCUUGCUGGAUCAAGGUGCGGGAGACGUCACCGGGCUGCACGUGUGUUGAACGCGGAGGUGCCGUAGUUCAGCACUAGAUCGGAAUCACCGCGACUACGACUCCAUCAACCGCGUUCUAGCAACGCUUCCGCUUAGCGAUCUUCAAAGGUAUGAAGAUGCUCUUACCCCUCUGUCGUUGCUGGUCUCUCCAUAGGAAGAUCUGAAUAUGGGUAGGAAAAUUUUGAAUUUAUGCUACGUUACCCAACAGUGGCAUCCGAGCCAGGUUUUCUAUGCGUAGAUUCUAUGCACGAGUAGAACACAAAAGUUGUGGGCGAUGGUUUGUCAAUUUGCUUGCCGCUACUAGUCUUAUUCUUUUCCGGCGGUAUUGUGGGAUGAAGCGGCCCGGACCGACUUUACACGUACACUUACGUGAGACUGGUUCCACCGACAGACAUGCACAUCGUGCAUAAAGGUGGCUAGCGGGUGUCUGUCUCUCCUACUCCAGUCGGAUUGGAUUUGAUGAAAAGGGUCCUUAUGAAGGGUAAAUAGCUUUGCAAUAUCAUCGUUGUGGCUGUCACGUAGGUAAGAAAGCGUUCUUGCUAGAAACCCAAAUCAGCCACGUAAAACAUGCAACAACAAUUAGAGGACGUCUAACUUGUUUUUGCAGGGUUUGACAUGUGAUGUGAUAUGGCCAAAGUUGUGAUGUUGCAUGUAUGAUGUAUGAGAGGAUCAUGUUAUUGUAAUAGGUUUCACGACUUGCAUGUCGAUGAGUAUGACAACCGGCAGGAGCCAUAGGAGUUGUCUUAAUUUAUUGUAUGAGAUGCAACGCCAUGUGCUUACUACUUUUACUUCAUUGCUAACGGUUAGCUAUAGUAGUAGUGAUAGUAGUAGUUGGCGUGACGACUUCACGGAGACACGAUGAUGGAGAUCAUGAUGAUGGAGAUCAUGGUGUCACGCCGGUGACGAUGAUGAUCAUGCGAUGCCUGAAGAUGGAGAUCGAAAGAGCAAAGAUGAUAAUGGCCAUAUCAUGUCACUAUAUGAUUGCAUUGUGAUGUUUAUCAUGUUUUUACAUCUUAUUGCUUAAAACGACGGUAGCAUAAUAAGAUGAUCCCUCUUAAAAUUUCGAGAACGUAUUCCCCUAAGUGUGCACCGUUGCGAAGGUUCGUUGUCUCGAAGCACCACGUGAUGAUCGGGUGUGAUAGAUUCUAACGGUCGCACACAACGGGUGUAAGCCAGAUUUACACACGCAAAACACCUAGGUUGACUCGACGAGCUUAGCAUGUACAGACAUGACCUCGAAUACAAGAGACUGAAAGUUCGAACAUGAGUCGUAUGGUUGAAUACGAUCAGCAUGAAGUUGCUCACCAUGGUGACUAGUCUGUCUCACGUGAUGAUCGAACACGGGUUAGUCAACAUGGAUCAUGUAUCACUUAGAUGACUAGAGGGAUGUCAAUUUAAGUGGGAGUUCAUACUUAAUUUGAUUAAAUGAACUUAAUUGUCAUGAACUUAGUCUAAAAGUUGUCUUUAUAAAUAUUGUAGAUGUCCAACGUCAACCUCAAUUUCAACGCAUUCCUAGAGAAAAACAAGCUGAAAGAUGAUGGUAGCAACUAUGCGGACUGGGUUCGCAACUUGAAGCUCAUCCUUGAAGCAGCUAAAAAGGCAUAUGUCCUUAAUGCGCCGCUAGGUGACCCUCCCGCUCCCGCAGCAGCCCAGGACAUUCUGAACGUCUGGCAAACGCGGAGUGAUGACUACUCUCUGGUCAGGUGUGGCAUGUUAGACAGUUUAGAAACGGGGCUCCAAAGGCGUUUUGAGCAACACGGGGCAUAUGAGAUGUUCCAGGAGCUGAAGCUAGUUUUUCAAGCUCAUGCCCGUGUCGAGAGAUAUGAAGUCUCCGACGAGUUCUUUAGCUGUAAGGAUAUCCAGACUGCAUAGAAAGAAGAUAGGCACAGAAGACAGUGCUGAGUUUAAAUACUGUAACCUUCCCCCCUGAGCAAGAAAGGAUGAACUAGCACCGAGUCUUCUUUCCAUGUUAUCAACCAGUGUCAUGAGAUCAAUGAUUCUUGGUUUAGUUGUCCCAACUGGAAGGCCAAGGUAUGUGAAGGGCAAAGAUCCCACUUUGCAACCAAUGGAGUCUGCCAGAUCCUGUAGAUGCUGAGGAGGAGUGUUAACAGGUAAAAGGGCAGAUUUGUCAUAGUUCACGUGUAAUCCACUGGACUGGGAGAAAAGUAAGAGCAUUUUCUUGAACUGCAACAACUGAGGUUUAUCAGCAGGUAGGAUGAUAAGGGUAUCAUCAGCAUAUUGCACUAUGGAGAAAUCCUUAUCAUGACAAGGUAUGGGCAGCUGAAUCAGACCCUCCACUAGAAGUUGAUUAAUCAGAGUGUGUAAAAAGUCAGCAUCAAUAGCAAAAAGAAGUGGAGACAUGGGAUCUCCUGCCCCCCCCUGACACCUUUCUUGCACAUUAAACUUCUUUCCAGGCACACCAUUGAUGAGGACUGAAGAUGAGCCAGAAGUUAGGAGUUGCUUGACCCAAAGUAUCCAUCUUUCAUUGAAGCCUUUGUGCUUGAGAAUCUGGAAAAUGAACUCAUGUUCCACAGAAUCAAAUGCCUUUUCAAAAUCCAACUUGAGAAUGACUAUAGGUUUCUUGGAUUGAUGGCAUUGGUGCAGGUACUCCAGAGUCCAUCCAACACAAUCUUGAAUGGUCCUUGACUUGAUAAAACCAUACUGAUUCUUGUGAAGACACUUCACAAUGUGCAACUGUAGCCCGUUAGCAAUCAUUUUGGACAGAAAUUUGAGACCCAUCCCAGUAAGUGAUAUUGGUCUGUAAUCUCCCACAUGUUCAGGUGAUCUCUUAUUUGGAAUCAGAGUAAUAUAAGAUGAGUUCAUGUUCUGAAGUUGAGCCUGACCAGCAUGGAAAGCAGGAGCAAGUUGAUAAAACUCGGGGGAGAUAAUGGGCCAGCAUUUCUUGAAGAAAAGACCAUUGAACCCAUCAGGACCUGGAGCUUUGUCAAUGGGCAUAUCCUGAACAGUCUUGUCCAUUUCAGACUUAGAAAAAGGUUCUGUGAGAAUAUCUAGACCCUCCACCUUAUGUAGCAUGUAUUGUAAAUCAAAUGCCAUGUUAAUGCCAAGAGAAGUUCCCAUUCUAUCCUUAAAAGAUGCCCAAAAGCAUGCAUCUAUUUGAUCAUGAUCAGAAAUGAUAGAACCAUCAUUUAACUUGAGAGAUGCAAUGGAAUUCCUCCUAUAUCUCAGUAGCCAUAGCAUGAAAGAAUUUAGUUUUUUUUCCUCACCAACCUUAACAAAUCUGAUAGUGGCUCUCUUUUUCCAGUAUAAGCACUGGAGAUCCAAAUGUAAUUUGACAAUUUUCCUGAAAUUAGCUUCAGGUCUGAAAAGUGACCUCAACUCCUCAAGCUCAUCCAAACACAACACAACUUGAUUAUAUCUGGAAAUAAAAGUUUUUAACUGUGAUAGAUUUGUCUGCCAUUUUUUCAGAGCCUGCCUAAGAUGCUUCACUUAUCCAUAAUGACAGCAGUAAUGUGGGUUUUUCUUGAAGGAAUGAGCCAGGAUUGCUGAACACAUUCCAUGAAGCCCUCCAUUUCAAGCCAGUAGUUUUCAAAGCAAAAUAGGUUGCAUUUAGGGAUGGAAGUGUUGACAGUGACCACACAAGGAACAUGAUCAGAAGCAGUCUUUGCAAGGGGUAGCACUUGUGUAAGAGGAUAUGAGGAGAUCCAGUUGGCUGAUGUGAAAAACCAGUCAAGCUGCUCCAAAAGAGGGGAAUCUUGCAUAUUGGACCAAGUGAAAGAUCUGCCUUUAAUGGGUAGUUCCAGCAAUCCCAGAUGCCCAAUAAUUUCAUUCAAGAUGAACAUGUCAUUUCCAUCAGCCCAGGAAGGUUUCUGUUGUCAGGGGAUCUAAUGAAAUUAAAAUCUCCAAGAAGCAACCAAUUAGCCCCAGUGGGUAUAUGAAGAUUAUAUAGCCAGCUAACAAAAAGAUCUCUGGCUUCACCUUGACAAGGACCAUAGACAUUCACUAAAGUCCAUGAUUCACCAGUGUGAUUUGAGGUAAAAGAGAUGAUCAAGCCAUAGGAUGUGCAUUCCACUAAUUGACUAGUAAGAAUGGAAGAGUUCCAAAGGGUGAUAAGCCCCACUGAUGCACCCCUCGAGGGAGAGUAGGCAAACUGAUCAAAGCGUUUGGGACAGAAACAUUUUACUGUACGAAACUCGAUUGACUGCAUUUUGGUUUCCUGCAAGCACACCACAGCAGCUAGGCCCUCAUCAAUCUUGUUACGGACCGCACGUUGCCUAUGGUCUGAAUUUAGGCCACGCACAUUCCAACACAGCACACACCAACUUCUCAUAGAACGACUAUCCAUUGCACAAUAUAUAUGUAGCAAAAGCAGGGCUAUGUAAUAGCCAGUGCCACCAAGGUUCAGAUAACAAAAAUACAGAGCAAGCAGAAGUUUCACAGUACAUGGAGCCAGUAUAGUAACAAAUUAACAUAGGUGGAUUAAACAUCAGCAGACGAUGGCGCGGAAUCAGCAGGACCUUCCAUAAGUCGAUCCACCGUUAGCUUCUCAGGGGCAAUGCCUAAUGACUGCCCAACCUCCUGAAUCGCUAGAAUAGGAGUGGCAGGAGGUACUUGCACAUCCUCACUCUCCUGCGAUGUAGAGGGCAUUGGCUUGGCCUUGGGCUUCCUCUUCUUGGGGACGUGCGCAGGCAGCUCCUGCAGGAUUGGUUUGAAGCCAUCGCGCUUGAUGGAGCCGCGAGUACAACGACGGACAGAGGAGUCAACGACAGGAGUGGCCUUCUUGCGGGUCCGCUUCUUCGAUGGAGCAGGAGAAUGAAAAGAUAAGUCCUCUGCAGAUGAAGAAGGACUGAGAGGGAUUACCUCCUGCAUUGAGAGAGAGCUACUAGCAGGCUCUGAUUGUGGUGGUUCUGGAGCAUCAGGGUCGAAAGCUGCCACCCAGGAUCGCUUGGGGAUCAUAAUGGGCUCUAGAAUUGGCACCUGCAGUUGGCGAGGCACGUGCAUAGAAGUAGCAGCUCCCAUGAGAGCAUCGAAAGUGUGUGCCCAGGAAAGAACUGGCGGCAGAGGAGGACCGUACACAACCCUUGCAGCCCCAACAAAGAUGUUGUCAGUCUGAAUGUGAGGGGGUUUGUAGAGGACAAUUGCCAGAGGAUUGUCAUCAUGCGCCUCCUCCAUCACAGGCACAUCUUCCUCCGGCUCAGCAUCAUGGCCCUGGGCAGCCGGUGUCAUGUCAGCAUCAGGGGCAAAAGGGUUAGCCACUAUCCCCUCCAGGUCAGGGGCCGGGGGUGCUUGAUCAGCAGGUUCCGCCUCCAUUUCACCCUGCGACUGAGCGUCGAGGUCCACAAGCUCAUGAACUGAGUCCGAAGAAGAAGGACUCGGUUGAUCAAUCACCAUAGACUCUUGAUCCUGAACAGGAUCAGCAGCAGGUGCUUCCGGGGCCGCUUCAGGUCCCCAUCCUCCUCCAUCAGCGGCUGGAGGCGGCUGUCUCCAACCUCUGGCAUCAGCAGCAGGAACCACUGGAUCUUCAGGCACCAGCGCCACCGCAUUCCAACCCAACGCAGGAUACGGGGGCAGAGCAAAUUGCAGAUUGUCAUGGACGAGGUGUCCAGGGAGCGGAUGAGGGUUGCCAUUGAGGGGCAUGGGAUCCUCAUCAUUAGGCAGAAUCUCGGCAGCCGCCGCUCCCAGGAUGUAUACCGGCGCAGACCAGGAGACCUUGGCACCCCCAAGCAGCAUAUAUAGAAAAGUUGAUACUGCGAGGGACCAGUCGGUCAUCUGGGAACAAAGCAAACACGAUGGAGCGAACCAAAUAAGGAUCAUCACAGACCCAAUGGAGGAACUCUCCGAAGGUGUUGACAGCAGCCCGGAGAUCUUCAGUGUUGCGGAAGUCGCGGGGGACACUGUUGGAAUUAUGCCCUAGAGGCAGUAAUAAACAUAGUUAUAUUAUAAUUCCUGUAUCAAGAUAAUCGUUUAUUAUCCAUGCUAUGAUUGUAUUGAAUAAGACUUAUAUACAUGUGUGGAUACAUAGACAAAUACUGUCCUAGCAAGCCUCUAGUUGCUAGCCAGUUGAUCAAAGAUAGUCAGUGUCUUCUGUAUAUGAAGAAAGUGUGUUGCUUGAUAACUGGAUCAUGUCAUUANNNNNNNNNNNNNNNNNNNNNNNNNNNNNNNNNNNNNNNNNNNNNNNNNNNNNNNNNNNNNNNNNNNNNNNNNNNNNNNNNNNNNNNNNNNNNNNNNNNNUAUUAAAAACCACAUCAUUUCAGGUAAGCCAUAGUGCCCAGCAUCAGGCAGCGCCCACAGAAUANGUGCAUCAAAUGUUGAUCAYCCCAAAAACAAUUGUCAAACAUGUUACAUACUCAACGUGGGCGUAUAGAUUUGAAACUACUUUCUAUGGCUAGACUGCACAAGAGAAUUUAUACUGAAAAGUAAGUGUUUAAUCGAUGCAUCACGCAAAAGACACAUGUCUUGCCACCUUGCCCAUUACAUCAUGCCAGAUUAUCUCUAUUCAAGAUGACCCGUAUGUGAAAACAUGCAUGUAAAAUCUUCAAUCGUAGAGGAAUUUUGAGCUUUCACAAUUUCUUGUUGUUGAACGAAACAUCACAAUGAACCAUAUUCUAUUUUAUAUACCUUCUUCAAUUUUACUAGUGCUUUCAUCCCUAGAGAAACUUACAGUAUGCUUCCUUUUCAGCUCUAUUCUGCUCGCAACAUGAUUCAUUCUUACUUCAUUUUUCUUAUCCUAAGAAGAAGAAUAAAUUUGGGAAACUUUAUUUGGAGUCAUCUGGUUUAUCUCUUUUGCUUCUCUCUUUCCAUGCUUUUUUCAUAUUGUACAAUUGCUAUAGUUGAACACAUAAAUAUUUAUUUAGUAAAUAACAUGUAUAAAUAAGGCUAGCGACAUAACGUUGAUGAUUCCUAGAUUGUCUUCUUAUAUGUUUACAUUGAGUAUGUUUGAAUAUAUUUUUUGUAAAUAACCCAUAUAGCAAAUAUCAUGUACAACGGUACUAGUAAGGCGUUGGGUUGAAUCUUGAUGAGGGGUAGCUGGAAAGAAUCAAAGCAGAACCAUGCCAACCAAGAUUAUGAGGUGUCCGUUCACUUAUUGGGUUCAAUUUGUACACACCAUAUAAAACGUAUACUAUGAUGAUCUCGCUUGUUUAUUUUGAAAGUCAAUGAUCUUGGAAAUAUAUUAACAUUCAUAUCUCUGGACGUAACUCUGCCAUUUGCGCCAAUUGACGCAACAGGUCAUUACGUAUCACUAAAGCUAGGAUCGCUCCCUCGUGUUUGACGACCCCAACUAUAUUUCCCCAUGUCGCUUCCACUUGAUCGAAAUCGUGAAUUAAUUGACCUGGAUGCAUGUAUGCUGGGUAUAUUCAUUGUAGUACAUACUGCUGCUUCAAAUAAAGGGUAUGAUCAGGAGGACACGGGUUGCCUCUUGAGAAGAUAAUCCACAUCUGCUCGGAAGGUCGUUGUGUGGCUAGCGUAUCGUGUGUAGUGGACAUUUCUUUACUAUUAUAUGCAUCCAUGAAACGAAGUUUUUCCUGAGCAGGCCCUCACGUGGCAUCCAUGGUGACACAAAAUCUUGGUUGCAUUUUCAAACCGAUGAGGUCUUCACUUGUUUUUUAGGACCCGGUGAGGUCUCCGGUAAUUUUGUACGAACAGGUGAGGUCUCCGCUUACUGAUUGGCUUCAAUUUUACCUAGAUUAAAUAUGUCGAUAAUUAACCACCUGAAAUGCAUAUUAGUAUGAUCUCACUUUGUUAUUUUUGAAGGCCAUAAUCUUGAAAAUAGAUUACCAUACACUUCUUCUAGAGUAACUCCGUCAGUUUCGUCAAUUGGCGCAACAAGUCAUCUAGUAUCACUAAAAAUAGGAUCUCCCCGGCCCAUCAUGUUUGGCAACCCUGACUCCCUUUUUUCCAAUGUCUCUUGCACUUGAGAUAAAUCGUUAAUUAAUUUAAUUGGAUGCAUACAUGACAGGUAUAUUCAAUCUCGUAUGUAAUACUGUUUCAAAUAGAGGGCAUGAUUUUCUGCUACACAGGCUGCCUCUUGAGAAGCUAAUCAAAUGUCGUUCUAUGGCGUAUUGUGUGUGUGUGUGUUUGUGACCAGAAUCCCUCCUCCUUUCACUCUUGUAUCGUUCCGAGCUUUGAUUGUUUUUGUAUUUGUCUCAUGCAUUUGUUUGUAUUUGAGAUUGUUAUUCCGGUUGUAUCCAGGCUUUGCUAUGGAUGGGUCUCUAGUGUAGUAGGAACGAGAAAAGAACAAACACAAUAUAACAUACUCCCUCCUUUCCGGUUUAUAGGGUCAUCUCUAAAUUUUCAGAUUUCCAUUAUAUUAGGCUCAUUUUGAGUCUAAGUGAGUUAAAGUGCUUUGAGUCUCACGUCAUAUUUAAUUCAUAGAGUUUAGAGAAAGGAGAUGAGUGGCUAUGCAUGCAUCGUUUUCUAUAUCGAUCAUGCAAGUCCAAUGAAAGGAAGGAGGCUACAUUUAUUGCCUUGGAAAUUGCAUAUGUAAGAAAUAUUUCAUUGGCUAGUUUAAACUAGUGUCUUCCACUCACAAUUCACCUUGAUAGAUGAGAUUUCAGAUUUGAGCCAUAUANNNNNNNNNNNNNNNNNNNNNNNNNNNNNNNNNNNNNNNNNNNNNNNNNNNNNNNNNNNNNNNNNNNNNNNNNNNNNNNNNNNNNNNNNNNNNNNNNNNNUGUUUGUGUUGCUAGAGAACAAAAUUUACAUUUUACUUAUACUUUAAAUAAUCUUAUUUCUGCAAUUUAUUUUAAAAAUAAAAUAAGAAACUGUUUCAAGGAAACUAAGAAUAGUUUUUAGUGGCGUUGUCGUGAUGCUUAUUGAAGGUUGUGUAGCAACGAUACCUAAAUUUUUUCACAUGACAUGCGCUGAUUUAUCGCAUUAAUUUGGAUAACAUAACAAAUAAUAAUACACUACUUUGUUAAUACAGCAAGCUCUUAUGAAAAGUUCUAGUUAAUCAGAAUGUAAGUUAAAGACCGAGUAUUUCAAAAAGAGACGGUUACACUAUUAUAAGUUCUGCUUGGGAGAAGAUAAUAAUUCUGACCCUGAAUAGUCCAAAACCUCAAAUACCAAAAUUACCACAGCCACACGAGUUGUCCUAGUCGUCCUCAACGCCGACCCAUAUCAUCUUCUCCUCCCCUCACAAGAAUUACCAGAACCUGCAGAUUUCGGAGGAAUAUAUUUUAGUUUCAACAUAACAAAUCACAAACCAGAUACAUUAUAUCUGCAUUCUUGCCAAUAAUGGACAUGUAUUCUACCAUGAAAUAGUAAUGCAUCAAAAUUAUCUACCGACAACAUAUUGGAAGCUAGCAAACCGAAACAUUUGAUUAUGUGCAUGUUAGCAACUGUGAAUACACAAAUGAUAGCAAAUGGACUGAUAAGCCAAAUCAUCCCUACGAUAGGAUACCCGGCCAGGCAUGAGGUAACCAUACCAUAUAUUCCAAAAGAAAACGAGAAACUGGUAUUGCCUUACCAUGCCCUUCAAAUGUCAGGAUACAAAGUAAAAAAAAAGUGCAACGCCAAGGCUGGCAAGUAGGACAUUAAAACAAUUUAAUAUGAAUACAUUUAAUAUCAUAAGCUGAUUAGCAAUGGACUCUCAAGAAGUAUAUAUGAAUUUAUGCAUUGAAUCUCCAUGUCUACCAAUGAUUUGAAUAUUAGAAUCAGUUUCAUCGAACUACAUAGAAAUUCAAGCUGAUUAGAUAAUAUAAUGUGCAAUUUGAACAAUUAAAAUUGGCAUCCUCGGUAAAUUAAAUAUCUAGAUGGAUCUCAAGGGAGAGAUAUCCAUGCUACGAUUGACAACUAGAACUUCAUGGCUAAAAGAUGUUUGGUCCAUUUUCAGUUUAUACAAUUAGCAAAGAGGUACUCGCAAGCAGUGCUCCUAUUAGCACCUAAAAAGUAAAGUAAAAACAAUUAAUAAGAAGGUAAUCUUACCAAGCCUCAUGAGUUCACAUGGAUCUCCAAAGAGUGACCCUUCUAUUGAUAGGUUCCACAUGCCCUCAAAAUGACUGCCAAGAACCAUUUUCAUAUGCAAUGCCUCAUCCCGUGAAACCUCCGGCAUACAACAAGACUCAUCGAUAUAAUAACACAUAGAAUCGUGUUGCAUAAAUAAACAACUAAAGCAUACUGCUAGGUCUCGGCUGGCCAAGAACUCAUUUCAUUUUGGAUAGACUGAUGUCACCAACAUGUGUGUGUGUGUGUGUGUGUGUGCGCGCGUGCGUGCGCGUAUGUGUAUGUGUGUGUGAGAGAGUGAGAGAGAGUGUGUGUGUGUGUGUGUGUGUGAAAUCCCUCCUUAAUUUCAUUUUUCUAUCGUUCCUAGCUUUGAUUGGUUUUCUACAUGUGUUGUAAUUUCUGAUGACACAACACUUGUAUUGGAUCCAUCUAUUGUCAUCAUUUCUUGGCUUCAUUGUGGAUCGGUUUAUUGAUUAGUUGGUAGACCAAUGUAGUAGUUGAAAGAUUCGGAAAGUCCUAUUGGAGCCCUAGCAUACUCGAGCUCUUUGCUUAAAAAAUCAAAAAGUAAUGUUUUGAAAUUUCAAAACAACUACUUUUGGAAUGCCUUGAUGGAUGGAUCCUCAUAGAACAAACCUUGUGUCGUCACCACCAUAUUCUUCACACGUACCUCCGAUUGUAUGAUACACGUAUCAAAAUUAAUAUCCAUGCCAUGUUGCUUCCAGAAUAACUUCAUCCUCAUGGUUCCAUUUUCUUGAUAAAGGACAUUUCAUUCAAUUGAUAUAUCGAAGUGAUACAACCGCGUCGAAAGAAUGACCGGCCUCGACACAGCAAGUUGCACACAUCCAACAAGUCCAACAAACAUAGCAAUAAGCAUCGAUUUAUGGAAAAGAUAAAUAAAUCCAACCUAUGGUGCGGCAAUUCCUAUCCGGAUAUUACACCGCCAUUCAUGGAAAGAGAAAACAUUCCUAGCUGUAUAUUCCAGGCAUGCCGACGCCAUCAUAAAAAGGUCUUUGUCCUAUGGACUUUGAAAGAUAGGCCAAGUACGGAGCAAUCACGUAUAUGCAUGAAUAACCUGCACAUGAGAUGAAAAAUAUUUAUUGUUAAAAACAACAUCAUUUCAGGUAAGCCACAGUGCCCAGCAUAAGGCAGCCGCCCCACAAGAAUAUGUGCAUGAAAUUGUUGAUCAAUACCCCAAAAACAAUUGUCAAACAUGUUACAUACUCAACGUGGGCGUAUAGAUUUGAAACUACUUUCUAUGGCUAGACUGCACAAGCGAAUUUAUACUGGAAAGUAAGUGUUUAAUCGAUGCAUCACGCAAAAGACACAUGUCUUGCCAUCUUGCCCAUUACAUCAUGCCAGAUUAUCUCUAUUCAAGAUGACCCCUAUGUGAAAACAUGCAUGGAAAAUCUUCAAUCUUAGAGGAAUUUUGAGCUUUCACAAUUUCUUGUUGUCGAACGAAACAUCACAAUGAACCAUAUUCUAUUUUAUAUACCUUCUUCAAUUUUCCUAGUGCUUUCAUCCCUAGAGAAACUUACAGUAUGCUUCCUUUUCAGCUCUAUUCUGCUCGCAACAUGAUUUAUUCUUACUUCAUUUUUCUUAUCCUAAGAAGAAGAAUAAAUUCGGGAAACUUUAUUUGGAGUCACCUGGUUUAUCUCUUUUGCUUCUCUCUUUCCAUGCUUUUUUCAUAUUUUACAAUUGCUAUAGUUGAACACAUAAAUAUUUAUUUAGUAAAUAACAUGUAUAAUAAAUGCCUUAAAAAACCACAAUGGAGAUGUGCGACUCCCACCUCCCACCUCCCACCGCGGCGACCCAAUGGCGAUCUGGCACUCUAGCCGGCGUAUCCUCCCUCCUCGCCGCUCCUCUUCUCACGUGAACCCUCCCGACCCUCCAGUAGUGGGGACGGGGCCUUUAGCCCCGGCCCGUAAGGGGCUUUAGUCCCGGUUCACCAACCGGGACUAAAGGGGCGGGACUAAAGGCCUAACCUUUUCGUCCCGGCCCUGUUACAAGCCGGGACUAAAUGUGCUCCACGUGGGCGUCUCGUAGCACCCCAGGGGCAGGCCCUUUAGUCCCGGUUCGUUACAAGGACCGCGACUAAAGAUUUCAGAUUUUGCCUAUUUUUGGUUUUUUUUGAAUGAAAUUAUUUUAGGGUUUUAGGGUUUUAGGGUUUAGGUGUUCGGGAGAUUAACGUGAUGCCUCGUUUGGUGUUCGGGAAUUAGUUUUUAUAUAAUUUAAAUAGAAAUAAUUAUGCAUAUAUAUAAGAUUAACUUAUCUUACAAGUGAGCAUAUAUAUACAAUUAUAUGGAGAUCUGAAUUAUCGGGACUAGAGCCCAUCUAUUCGUUUACAUGGACGAACAUCAGUAAUGGCCCCUAGCUACACUAAAUCGUCCUUUGUCAUCUAUAGCUUCCGUCCUCAGAAAGGUUGCAAGCUCCUCUGCAACAGCAAUCGCGCAUUGCUCUGGUAGGACCUUCGUCGUCAUGGCCGUGUGCUAUAUAAGAAGAGGAGAUGAAUAUGAAUAUCAAUCAUGAUAACAAAGAAUGACGGGUAAAAAUAGAGGUGUGAAUGUUCAUUGCUUACGUCGAAUCUGUGAUCCUUGUGCUCAGAGGUAAACGUGCGAAUGAUCUGGCAAACAUAGUAUCCGCAUAGAUGCGUUUCCCGUGGCUGCUGGUCGCACUUUACGAGAAUAGAAUAUAUAUAAUCAAAAUAAUAAUCUAGCAUCAUAAAUGUAUUGAAAAUUAAUAGAAGUAUAUCAUACUACUACUUACCUGAGCCGCUCUGAAGGUCAGCUUCUCAUGAAAGUUACCGGGAGUCACGCACUUGAACCGCUUCCAAACCCUGCCCGACAAGGAUAAUGAUUUGCUAAGUUUUUUAUUAAUUGAUAUAUCAGAAAAUCAUCGAAAGAGACCGAUAGAGCGCAAGAAUGAUUAAAAUUACCCUUGGAGCAUGUCCUGCAGACUUUGGAACUGUUUCAAGGGUCUCGAUAAUGGGUCGAAGGCAUCAACUCUUCCCUUAUCAAUUUGAAUGUCCAACAGAAUCCAAUGGAAGCUGCACAUGUAUAUAUAKAKAUGWNNNNNNNNNNNNNNNNNNNNNNNNNNNNNNNNNNNNNNNNNNNNNNNNNNNNNNNNNNNNNNNNNNNNNNNNNNNNNNNNNNNNNNNNNNNNNNNNNNNNAUAAAUAAAUCCAACCUAUGGUGCGGCAAUUCCUAUCCAGAUAUUACACCGCCAUUCAUGGAAAGAGAAAACAUUCCUAGCUGUAUAUUCCAGGCAUGCCGACGCCAGCAUAAAAAGGUCUUUGUCCUAUGGACUGUCCAAGAUAGACCAAGUACGGAACAAUCGCGUAUAUGCAUGAAUAACCUGCACAGGAGAUGAAACAUAUUUAUUAUUAAAAACCACAUCAUUUCAGGUAAGCCAUAGUGCCCAGCAUCAGGCAGCCGCCCCACAAGAAUAUGUGCAUCAAAUUGUUGAUCAAUACCCCAAAAACAAUUGUCAAACAUGUUACAUACUCAACGUGGGCGUAUAGAUUUGAAACUACUUUCUAUGGCUAGACUGCACAAGAGAAUUUAUACUGAAAAGUAAGUGUUUAAUCGAUGCAUCACGCAAAAGACACAUGUCUUGCCACCUUGCCCAUUACAUCAUGCCAGAUUAUCUCUAUUCAAGAUGACCCGUAUGUGAAAACAUGCAUGUAAAAUCUUCAAUCGUAGAGGAAUUUUGAGCUUUCACAAUUUCUUGUUGUUGAACGAAACAUCACAAUGAACCAUAUUCUAUUUUAUAUACCUUCUUCAAUUUUACUAGUGCUUUCAUCCCUAGAGAAACUUACAGUAUGCUUCCUUUUCAGCUCUAUUCUGCUCGCAACAUGAUUCAUUCUUACUUCAUUUUUCUUAUCCUAAGAAGAAGAAUAAAUUUGGGAAACUUUAUUUGGAGUCAUCUGGUUUAUCUCUUUUGCUUCUCUCUUUCCAUGCUUUUUUCAUAUUGUACAAUUGCUAUAGUUGAACACAUAAAUAUUUAUUUAGUAAAUAACAUGUAUAAUAAGGCUAGCGACAUAACGUUGAUGANNNNNNNNNNNNNNNNNNNNNNNNNNNNNNNNNNNNNNNNNNNNNNNNNNNNNNNNNNNNNNNNNNNNNNNNNNNNNNNNNNNNNNNNNNNNNNNNNNNNUUGAAAAGCACUACAAAUGAACUCUGAAAAUGUUGAAAGUUGGCAUGCUACUUCACCUUCAGUUUCACCCUACGACUAGCACUAGGUGUUAAAACGUCGAGAGGGCUACGACAAAAACUGGAUGCACUUCGUGUACAAAACGGACAAUCUCUCUCGAAGUAUGAGGGUUUCGAACGAGAACUCAUCUCUUACAUGGAUACUAUGAAAAUGAGAAGUGUUUGAAAUUUAGUACAUUCCAUACAUGCAUUACAUAAAAGGUUUAAUACAUUAUUACAUUAUUGCACCAAUAUUGCUAUCUAUUAUUUCUGUUUUCUUCUGGGUCGUAGCCAUGGAGAAUCUUCAUCAUUCAGUAGGAUGCUUGGGUCAGUUUUCACUUUCAAGGGCGGAAUUUCAUGAAACUUAUUAUAAUCUUCUGACAUGUCUGUCUUGUCAUCUACUCCCACGAUGUUAUUUCCCUKKAAAGAACUAUGUAGCGUUUUUGGCUUCAUCGGACGAUUAUCUUUCYUUUUGUUGAUUUCUUUUUGUCGUUAAUGUAGACAUGUCCUUCACAUAGAAAACCUGACCGACAUCAUUGGCUAGGACAAAUGGUUCGUCCAUGUACGCAAGAUUGUUGAGAUCCACAGUUGUCAUGCCGUACUUUUGGUCUACAACUACCCCGCCUCCUGUCAGCUUCAUCCAUUUGCACCGAAAUAAAGGAAUCUUAAAAGUAGGUCCAUAGUCAAGUUCCCAUAUCUCCUCUAUGUACCCGUAAUAUGUUUCCAAACAGUGCCCAUUCUCGUCUGUUGCAUCAAAGCGGACACCACUAUUUUGGUUGGUGCUCUUUUUAUCUUGGGCAACCAUGUAAAAUGUAUUCCCAUUUAUCUCAUACCCUUGGAAAGUACAUAUAGUCGAAGAUGGUAGCCUGGCCAAACAGUACAGCUCAUCUUCAAUGGUGUCGUCAUUCAUGAGAUGUGUCUGCAACUAACUGCCGAAAGUCUUCUCGUGUUCCCCUUUAAUCCAAGAGUCAGCCUUCCCCGGGUUUUCGGAGCGUAGAAUAUUCUUGUGUCUCACGAUAUACGGAGCCACCACGGUGGAAUUGUGUAGAACUGUGUAGUGUGGUUGAGAGAAAGAAUGCCCGUCCAUACAUACUUUUGCUUUCCUUCCUAGUGUGCCUUUUCCUGUCAGCCUACCCUCAUACCGAGAUUCAGGAACACCAAUCGGCUUAAGGUCAGGAAGAAAGUCCAUACAAAACUCAAUGACCUCCUCUGUUCCAUAGCCCUUGGAGAUGCUUCCUUCUGGCCUAGCACGGUUACGAGCAUAUUUCUUUAAUACUCCCAUGAACAUCUCGAAGGGGAACAUAUUGCGUAGAAACACAGGACCGAGAAUUCUAAUCUCUUCGACUAGGUGAACUAGGAGGUGUGUCAUUAUAUUGAAGAAGGAUGGCGGGAACAACAACUCAAAGCUGACCAGACAUUGGACCACAUCAAUCUGUAACCCUGAUAGACUUUCUCGAUCGAUUACCUUCUGAGAAAUUGCAUUGAGGAAUGCACAUACCUUCCCAAUUGCUAGGCGAACAUUUUGCGGUAGAAUUCCCCUCAAUGCAACCGGAAGCAAUUGCGUCAUAAGCACGUGGCAGUCAUGAGACUUUAGGUUUUGGAAUUUUUUGUCUUCAUAUUUACGAUUCCCUUUAUAUUCGACAAGAAGCCAGUCAGGACCUUGAUACUGAACAGGACUUCAAAGAAGAUUUCCUUCUCUUCCUUAGUAAGAGCGUAGCUGGCACGCCCUUGAAACUGCCCUGGAUGCAUGCCAUCUCUUCCUUUAUGACGUUCCUGGUCCUCCCGUGCUUCCGGUGUAUCUUUUGACUUCCCAUACAAACCCAGGAAGCCUAGAAUAUUCACGCAGAGAUUCUUCGUCAGGUGCAUCACGUCGAUUGCCGAGCGGACCUCAAGGACUUCCCAGUAGGGUAGCUCCCAAAAUAUAGAUUUCUUCUUCCGCAUGGGUACGCGCUUAUCAUGGCCGUUAGGAACAGGUUGGCUGCCAGGACCCUUUCCAAAGAUUACUUUUAAAUCUUUGACCAUAUCAAAUACUUCAGCACCAGUACGGAUGGCAGGCUUCCCCCGGGGUUCUGCCUUGCCAUUGAAAUGCUUGCCUUUUUUCUUUAAGGGAUGCUUGGGCGGAAGAAAACGACGAUUGUAUGGAUACACAUUCUUCCUACAGUUGUCGAGAUAUAUACUUUCUGUCUGAUCCAAACAGUGCGUGCAUGCAUUGUAUCCCUUGUUUGACUGUCCUGAAAUGUUACUAAGAGCAGGCCAAUCAUUGAUGGUUACCAAAAGCAACGCUCGAAGGUCAAAUUCCUCUUGUUUGUUCUCGUCCCACACACGUACACCUGGUUCGGCCCACAGCUUUAAAAGUUCAUCAACUAAUGGCCUUAGGUACACAUCAAUAUUGUUGCCGGGUUGCUUUGGACCUUGUAUAAGCACUGGCAUCAUAAUGAACUUCCGCUUCGUGCACAACCAAGGAGGAAGGUUGUAGAUACAUAGAGUAACGGGCCAGGUGCUGUGACUGUAACUCUGCUCCCCAAAAGGAUUCAUGCCAUCUGUACUCAGACCUAACCAUAAGUUCCUUGCGUCAGCUGCAAAUCUCGGGAACUCUCUCUCGAUUUUUCUCCACUGCCGACCAUCAGUGGUGUGCCUCAACUUAUCGUCUUUCAUACGAUCUUCCAUGUGCCAUCGCAACAACUUUGCAUGAUCUUUAUUUCUGAACAUACGUUUCAACCAUGGUAUUAUAGGAGCAUACCACAUCACCUUGGCAGGAACCCUCUUCCUGGGUGGCUCGCCCUCAAUAGCACCAGGGUCAUCUUUUCUGAUCUUAUACCGCAAUGUAGUGCAUACCGGGCAUUUAUCCAUAUUCUCGUACUUCUCACCGCGGUAGAGGAUGUAGUCAUUAGGGCAUGCAUGUAUCUUCUGCACGUCUAAUCCUAGAGAGCAGACAAGCUUUUUUGCUUCAUACGUGCUGGCGGGCAAUUCGUUCUUUCUUGGAAGCAUCUUCUUCAUCAGUACCAGCAACUUUUCGAAUGACGAGUCAGUCACACCGGUCUCUGCCUUCCACUUCAGCAAUUCCAGUGUGCUACCCACCUUCUUCUAGCCAUCUUCACAAAUUGGGUACAACAAUUUGUUGUGGUCCUGUAACAUCUGCUCGAACUGCAACCUCUCCUUUUCUCUUUUCUGUGUCGCAACCUCGCCGUGCAUCAGAAAUGACCCGGCCAAGAUCAUCAGCGGGCUCAUCUGGUUCCCGUUCUUCAUCCUGAUCUUCUUCUUCAUUGUCUUCCAUUGCGGUAUCAGCAUACUCAGGGAACAUAGAUCGGUAGUUGUCAUCAUCGUUCUCUUCUUCUGCAUCGUCGUCUUCCAUCAUAACCCCUCUUUCUCCGUGCUUGGUCCAAACAUUAUAGCCCGACAUAAAACCGGACCGAAACAGGUGGCUCUGAAUGACUCUUGAGGAAGUGUAAUCCUUCUCAUUCCGACAUUCAACACAUGGACAAAACAUAUAGCCACCACCAUGCUUGUUCGCAUCGGCUGCAUCUCGAAAAGAAUCCACGCCUUCUCUGUAAGCGGCUGUGCGUCGAUCACCGUACAUCCAUGGAUGGCUCAUAUGCGUUAUACGACAGUAUAUCAAAUACAAUCACGAUCCUAAAAAUUAGUAUCGCACGGUCUAAACGAGGAAAUAUAGUUGCUAACCUUUUAGAAUAAGUAGAAAUAAAGAGGAAGAGGUUUAAGCGUGGCUCGGGCAUCUCAUAUCGUAGUUGUGUUCGGUGAACUGAAGCGGCAUCGCUGUAACACACAUUUCAACAAACACCUCUAGGGCAUCAAAAAAAGUGGAGAGCAAGCACCCACCCACAAUCCUCCAUCCAAGAAAAUGCAACGAAGAGGGGAGAGGGGGGCUGUGCUAUAUAUAGGCAGAGGACUUUAGUCCCGGUUUGAGACACAAACCGGGACUAAAGGUGGCGCACAUGCGGGCUGCCCACCGCAUAGACCUUUAGUCCCGGUUUGGGACACGAACCGGGACUAAAGGCUCCUUACGGGCCGAGACUAAAGCCUCGAGGGAGGAUAUGAGAAUUGGGGCGACGUGGCCGGGCCUUUAGUCCCGGCCCAGAGGCAGGCCGGGACUAAAGGGUCCUGGCCAAAGGCCCGUUUUCUACUAGUGCUCCUCACGUGGUCGUGCAUGGCUUGCAUGGGUGGUUCUACGUUGGAUCUGGAUUUUUCGCAUGGUUUGGCUUUCUCUGACGAGGUUUAUCGUCACUCUGGUGUUACGGUGCACCCUAUGAAGCACCACCGCUCUUUCAUCAUGGUGGUUUCUUUUGGUCAUCAUGUGUUCCGUCUCUCGAUGGACACAGCCGCGCAACUCUGGAAUCUGUGAUCGGGGGAUCGACUAUUGAGUACCGUGUCUCUCAAGUGACAGACUCGGUUUUCUCCUUCAAAGUGUCUUGCAUGCAAGUCGGUUUUCAUAUUCUGGAUUUACGCUCAUUCAAGUGCUCAAGUUUUAAGUGCUUUUCCAUCUAUGGGGACAUGGUGGUCCUAAUUGGCGUCGGGAAUUUCCUCUGUGGAAGAAGCAAUGUGAUGCUGAAUGGAUUAUUGUGAGUCCUUCCAAGAGGAGAGCCUCAUUAGGUCUGAUGGCGAUGCAUUCCAGACCCCUAAAAUCCUCUCUUAAAUCUGGAUCAUCUGUUCGUAAGAAGCUCACAUUCGCAUCCCUCCAGCAAUAUGAAGUUUGCAAGGGUUACAGAUGUCCUGUUUCCCACGACGAGCUACUCACGCUUGAACAGGUUGGUUAUUCGGUGCCUUCUCCUGAACGUGUCAUCAUCUCGGCGCCACCGCCGGUAGAACUCCGGUGGACGAUUGCCACACCGCAUAUUACGUUUGGCAUAGUUUCUCGCCAAGAUUCAUCCCCCGGAUCUCCAGGCGAUGAGUUUCAAAUUGCCAAAUUAAACGGAACUUCUCCCGUGCAACAAGGUGCUGCAGCUGAUUCCGCCGAGAUUCAUGGUAUUUUGAAUUAUGAGAAUCACUUUUCGGUGGGAAGUUUGGAUUCUGGGCCGAUUUCCACGCUCAUUAAUGAGCCUGCUGAGGUUACCUCCUUCUCUCGGCCCGACCCUAAUCCUAGGAUGGAUAUUCCCUCCUCACAGGAAGCCCAUCUGGCCUUUGAUGAACUCAUUAAUGGCAUGGUCGAGGAUAUAUUUUCUUUCUCAAUUUGCAACGCUCAGGGCCAUCUAGCUGCCAACUGCACGGCUUCGCCUGGAUUCGCUGACAGCACUGUGGGCCACGCACGAUCUAGAGGAGCCUCUUUUAUGCGUAAUAAUUGUCUUACUUGGAACUGUAAGAGACCCGCCACCUCCCGUGUCGCUGAUAUCUCGGGAACUGCUGAUACUCUUGGUGAAGCCGCAACGCCUGCAACACGGUUCCAUCCUGUCUCGUCGCCUUCACAUCCUCGAACUCCCUUCGAGACGCCGCCUGCCACUCCGCCACCGCCUCCCGCAAUGGCGAACUUCGAGCUUGAUCCUGAGUUCUUCCUCCCGCCUGGCCACAACAUCACCGACGGAGGUCUGGACCGGCUGCCUCGGACCUACACCACGCCUGCGGUCCCCAUCACCAGACGUCAUGAGCGUUUCGUCAUCGCUGACGUGCACCCAGCACCUCCGGCUGACAACGUGGUCCAGGUACGGCAAGAAGUUGCUGCUCUUCUUCUUCACCGAGGGUUACAUGUUCGGUCUGCCCAACCAUGGAUUGAGGGCGUUGGACUGUUUGAACUCCGAGAUGCGACGGAAAGCUAUGCUGCGGUCCACAUGGUUCCGCAGGAAGUUGCUCAUAACUCUGUUGUGCGCUUCCUGCGACAUGAUCAGGGUUUUGGUUUCCGUGGACAAGAGGGUUUUCGUCAUGGCUGCCUCAUGAUUCUAGGGGUCUGUUGGGGAACGUCGCAUGGGAAACAAAAAAUUUCCUACGCGCACGAAGACCUAUCAUGGUGAUGUCCAUCUACGAGAGGGGAUGUGUGAUCUAUGUACCCUUGUAGACCGUACAUCAGAAGCGUUAGUGAACGCGGUUGAUGUAGUGGAACGUCCUCACUUCCCUCAAUCCGCCUCGCGAACUAUCCCGCGAUCAGUCCCACGAUCUAGUGCCGAACGGACGGCACCUCCGCGUUCAGCACAGGUACAGCUCGACGUUGAUCUCGGCCUUCUUGAUCCAGCAAGAGAGAUGGAGAGGUAGAAGAGUUCUCCGGCAGCGUGACGGCGCUCCGGAGGUUGGUGAUGAUCUUGUCUCAGCAGGGCUCCGCCCGAGCUCCGCACAAAUGCGAUCUAGAGGUAAAACCGUGGAGAUAUGUGGUCGGGCUGCCGUGGCAAAGUUGUGUCAAAUCAGCCCUAAAACCUCCGUAUAUAUAGGGGGAAGAGGGGAGCCUUGCCUCGGGGUCCAAGGACCCCUAAGGGCUUCGGCCGAUCCAAGGGGGGGAGAUCUCCCCUUCCAAACCGAGUCCAACUAGGUUUGGAAGGAGGAGUCCUUCCCCCUUUUCCCACCUCCUCUUUUUUUUCUUUCCUCUUUGAUUUUUCUUCCUAUGGCGCAUAGGGCUCUUUUGGGCUGUCCCACCAGCCCACUAAGGUCUGGUGCGCCACCCCCAAUGCCUAUGGGCUUCCCCGGGGUGGGUUGGCCCCCCGGUGAACUCCCGGAACCCAUUCGUCAUUCCAGGUACAUUCCCGGUAACUCCGAAAACCUUCCGGUAAUCAAAUGAGGUCAUCCUAUAUAUCAAUCUUCGUUUCCGGACCAUUCCGGAAACCCUCGUGACGUCCGUGAUCUCAUCCGGGACUCCGAACAACAUUGGGUAACCAACCAUAUAACUCAAAUACGCAUAAAACAACGUCGAACCUUAAGUGUGCAGACCCUGCGGGUUCGAGAACUAUGUAGACAUGACCCGAGAGACUCCUCGGUGAAUAUCCAAUAGCGGGACCUGGAUGCCCAUAUUGGAUCCUACAUAUUCUACGAAGACCUUAUCGUUUGAACCUCAGUGCCAAGGAUUCAUAUAAUCCCGUAUAUCAUUCCCUUUGUCCUUCGGUAUGUUACUUGCCCGAGAUUCGAUCGUCAGUAUCCGCAUACCUAUUUCAAUCUCGUUUACCGGCAAGUCUCUUUACUCGUUCCGUAAUACAAGAUCGCGCAACUUACACUAAGUCACAUUGCUUGCAAGGCUUGUGUGUGAUGUUGUAUUACCGAGUGGGCCCCGAGAUACCUCUCCGUCACAGGGAGUGACAAAUCCCAGUCUCGAUCCAUACUAACUCAACGAACACCUUCGGAGAUACCUGUAGAGCAUCUUUAUAGUCACCCAGUUACGUUGCGACGUUUGAUACACACAAAGUAUUCCUCCGGUGUUAGUGAGUUAUAUGAUCUCAUGGUCAUAGGAACAAAUACUUGACACGCAGAAAACAGUAGCAAUAAAAUGACACGAUCAACAUGCUACGUCUAUUAGUUUGGGUCUAGUCCAUCACGUGAUUCUCCUAAUGACGUGAUCCAGUUAUCAAGCAACAACACCUUCUUCAUAAUCAGAAGACACUGACUAUCUUUGAUCAACUCGCUAGCCAACUAGAGGCUUGCUAGGGACAGUAUUUUGUCUAUGUAUCCACACAUGUAUAUAAGUCUUUAUUCAAUACAAUCAUAGCAUGGAUAAUAAACGAUUAUCUUGAUACAUGAAUUAUAAUAAUAACUAUAUUUAUUACUGCCUCUAGGGCAUAAUUCCAACAGUGUCCCUCGCGACUUCCGCAACACUGAAGAUCUCCGGGCUGCUGUCAACACCUUCGGAGAGUUCCUCCAUUGGGUCUGUGAUGAUCCUUAUUUGGUUCGCUCCAUCGUGUUUGCUUUGUUCCCAGAUGACCGACUGGUCCCUCGCAGUAUCAACUUUUCUAUAUAUGCUUCUUGGGGGUGCCAAGGUCUCCUGGUCUGCGCCGGUAUACAUCCUGGGAGCGGCGGCUGCCGAGAUUCUGCCUAAUGAUGAGGAUCCCAUGCCCCUCAAUGGCAACCCUCAUCCGCUCCCUGGACACCUCGUCCAUGACAAUCUGCAAUUUGCUCUGCCCCCGUAUCCUGCGUUGGGUUGGAAUGCGGUGGCGCUGGUGCCUGAAGAUCCAGUGGUUCCUGCUGCUGAUGCCGGAGGUUGGAGACAGCCGCCUCCAGCCGCUGAUGGAGGAGGAUGGGGGACCUGAAGCGGCGGCCCCCGGAAGCACCUGCUGCCGAUCCUGUUCAGGAUCAAGAGUCUAUGGUGAUUGAUCAACCGAGUCCUUCUUCUUCGGAGUCAGUUCAUGAGCUUGUGGACCUCGACACUCAGUCGCAGGGUGAAAUGGAGGCGGAACCUGCUGAUCAAGCACCCCCGGCCCCUGACCUGGAGGGGAUAGUGGCUAACCCUUUUGCCCCUGAUGCUGACAUGACACCGGCUGCCCAGGGCCAUGAUGCUGAGCCGGAGGAAGAUGUGCCUGUGAUGGAGGAGGCGCAUGAUGACAAUCCUCUGGCAAUUGUCCUCUACAAACCCCCUCACAUUCAGACUGACAACAUCUUUGUUGGGGCUGCAAGGGUUGUGUACGGUCCUCCUCUGCCGCCAGUUCUUUCCUGGGCACGAACUUUCGAUGCUCUCAUGGGAGCUGCUACUUCUAUGCACGUGCCUCGCCAACUGCAGGUGCCAAUUCUGGAGCCCAUUAUGAUCCCCAAGCGAUCCUGGGUGGCGGCUUUCGACCCUGAUGCUCCAGAACCACCACAAUCAGAGCCUGCUAGUAGCUCUCUCUCAAUGCAGGAGGUAAUCCCUCUCAGUCCUUCUUCAUCUGCAGAGGACCUAUCUUUUCAUUCUCCUGCUCCAUCGAGAAGGGCCCGCAAGAGGCCACUCCUGUCGUUGACUCCUCUGUCCGUCGUUGUACUCGCGGCUCCANNNNNNNNNNNNNNNNNNNNNNNNNNNNNNNNNNNNNNNNNNNNNNNNNNNNNNNNNNNNNNNNNNNNNNNNNNNNNNNNNNNNNNNNNNNNNNNNNNNNACAAAGGGAAUGACAUACGGGAUUAUACGAAUCCUUGGCACUGAGGUUCAAACGAUAAGAUCUUCGUAGAAUAUGUAGGAUCCAAUAUGGGCAUCCAGGUCCCGCUAUUGGAUAUUGACCGAGGAGUCUCUCGGGUCAUGUCUACAUAGUUCUCGAACCCGCAGGGUCUGCACACUUAAGGUUCGACGUUGUUUUAUGCGUAUUUGAGUUAUAUGGUUGGUUACCGAAUGUUAUUCGGAGUCCCGGAUGAGAUCACGGACGUCACGAGGGUUUCCGGAAUGGUCCGGAAACGAAGAUUGAUAUAUAGGAUGACCUCAUUUGAUUACCGGAAGGUUUUCGGAGUUACCGGGAAUGUACCGGCAAUGACGAAUGGGUUCCGGGAGUUCACCGGGGGGGCAACCCACCCCGGGGAAGCCCAUAGGCAUUGGGGGAGCCACACCAGCCCUUAGUGGGCUGGUGGGACAGCCCACAAGUGCCCUAUGCUCCAAGGAGAAGAAAAUCAAGAGAGAAAGAAAAAAAAAGGAGGAGGUGGGAAGGAAGGGGGACUCCCUCCCACCAAACCUAGUCCAACUCGGUUUGGGGGGGGAGAGUCCUCCCCCUUGGACUCGGCCGACCCCCUUGGGGCUCCUUGAGCCCCAAGGCAAGGCCCCCUCCCUACCACCUAUAUAUACGGAGGUUUUAGGGCUGAUUUGAGACGACUUUUCCACGGCAGCCCGACCACAUACCUCCACGGUUUUUCCUCUAGAUCGCGUUUCUGCGGAGCUCGGGCGGAGCCCUGCUGAGACAAGGUCAUCACCAACCUCCGGAGCGCCGUCACGCUGCCGGAGAACUCUUCUACCUCUCCGUCUCUCUUGCUGGAUGAAGAAGGCCGAGAUCAUCGUCGAGUUGUACGUGUGCUGAACGCGGAGGUGCCGUCCGUUCGGUACUAGAUCGUGGGACUGAUCGCGGGAUUGUUCGCGGGGCGGAUCGAGGGACGUGAGGACGUUCCACUACAUCAACCGCGUUCUCUAACGCUUCUGAUGUACGGUCUACGAGGGUACGUAGAUCACUCAUCCCCUCUCGUAGAUGGACAUCACCAUGAUAGGUCUUCGUGCGCGUAGGAAAUUUUUUGUUUCCCAUGCGACGUUCCCCAACAGAGUCAUACUCGUGGCGAUUCCGAUCUAGUGCCGAACUACGACACCUCCGCGUUCAACACACGUGCAGCCCGGUGACGUCUCCCGCACCUUGAUCCAGCAAGGAGGAGGGAGAGGUUGGGGAAGAACUCCAGCAACACAACGGCGUGGUGUCGAUGGAGAGAUGAGGUCUCCCGGCAGGGCUUCGCCAAGCACCGGCAGAGAGGAGGAGGGAGAGGAGCGGGGCUGCGCCGAGAGAGAGGAAAAACCGUGUGUCUCAAUGGCCAAAAGUGCCCGAUAUGUAUAGGGGGAGGGGAGAGGGGGUGCCACCCCUAGGGUUCCCACCCUAGGGGGUGCGGCAGCCCUCCCAGAUGGGUGGUGCGGCGUCCAGAGGGGGGAGGAGGGGGUGGCGCACCAUCUGGUGGGCCUUAGGCCCACCUGGCAUAGGGUUUGCCCCCCCUUUUCUCUCCCUUGCGCUAUGGGCUGAGUGGGGAGGCGCACCAGCCCACCUAGGGGCUGGUUCCCACCCCCACUUGGCCCACCUUACCUCCCGGGGUCGUUGCCCCCCUUCGGUGGUCCCCCAGGGCCACCUCCGGUGGUCCCGGUGGUCCCGGUACGUUACCGGUGAUGCCUGAAACACUUCCGGUAUCCGAAACCAUCCGUCCUAUAUAUCAAUCUUUACCUCCGGACCAUUCCGGAGCUCCUCGUGGUGUCCGCGAUCUCAUCCGGGACUCCGAACAACUUUCGGUAACCUCGUAUAAUAAUUCCCUAUGACCCUAGCGUCAUCGAACCUUAAGUGUGUAGACCCUACGGGUUCGAAAGACAGGCAGACAUGACCGAGACACCUCUCUGGCCAAUAACCAUCAGCGGGGUCUGGAUACCGAUGGUGGCUCCCACUUGCUCCACGAUGAUCUCAUCGGAUGAACCACGAUGUCAAGGAUUCAAUCAAUCCCGUAUACGAUUCCCUUUGUCUGUCGAUAUAGAACUUGCCCGAGAUUCGAUCGUCGGUAUACCUAUACCUUGUUCAAUCUCGUUACCGGUAAGUCUCUUUACUCGUUCUGUAGCACGUGAUCGUAUGACCAACUCCUUAGUCAUAAAGAGCUCAUGAUGAUGUUCUACCGAGUGGGUCCAGAGAUACCUCUCCGUCACACGGAGUGACAAAUCCUGAUCUGGAUUCGUACCAACUCAACAGACACUUUCGGAGGUACCCAUAGUGCACCUUUAUAGUCACCCAGUUACGUUGUGACGUUUGAUACACCCAAAGCACUCCUACGGUAUCCGGGAGUUGCACAAUCUCACGGUCGAAGGAAAAGAUACUUGACAUUAGAAAAGCAUUAGCAUACGAACAAUACGAUCUAGUGCUAGGCUUAGGAUUGGGUCUUGUCCAUCACAUCAUUCUCCCAAUGAUGUGAUCCCGUUAUCAAUGACAUCUAAUGCCCAUGAUCAGGAAACCAUGAUCAUCUAUUGACUAACGAGCUAGCCAACUAGAGGCUUGCUAGGGACACAUUGUGAUCUAUUUAUUCACACAUGUAUUACUGUUUCCUGUUAAUACAAUUAUAGCAUGAACAAUAGACGAUUAUCAUGAACAAGGAAAUAAGAUAAUAACCAUUUUAUUAUUGCCUCUAGGGCAUAUUUCCAAAACUUUCUAUGCAGUCUGGAUAUCCCACCAGGCAUACUGAAGCUGCUUGAGAGAAUUCAAAGGCAAUGUCUAUAGAGAAGAAAUGGGAAUGAUCAUGCACCCUCUCUUGCUGCCUGGCCUCUGGUGUGCAGGCCUAAAAAUAAAGGGGGGCUAGGAUUAUGAACCUAGCAGUCCAGAAUGAAGCACUCCUGCUCAAGCAUGUUGAUAAAUUCGUCAAUCAUGUUGAUAUCCCUUGGUUUCACUUCAUUUGGAACACCUACCAUCAUGACACAGUACCUCAGGGAACUGCCCUUUGUGGUUCUUUUUGGUGGAAGGAUAUCUGUAAACAGCUUGAUAAAUUCAGAUCAGUUACAUAUGUUCUGCCGAACAAGGGUGACUCCUUCCUGUUUUGGUCUAACUCCUGGUUGAUUGGAAACUCCAUUAUGCCACUGGCUGCCAGAUUCCCAAGACUGUUUUAUUUUGUGACUGAUCCUUUCUGCAUAGCUCAAGAGGUCUUUACAGCCUUUUAUGAUGACAGCAUGCUCUCCAUGUUCCACUUACCACUGUCUGCUCAAGCUUACCAGGACCUGCUUUCGGUCCAAUCUUUGCUUCAAGACCUGGAUCUUGAUCAUCAGGCCUCUGACAGAUGGGUAUGGGGAAAGGAUGCUAAGGCCUACACAGCCAAGAGUUACUAUGCUCACAUUCACAGCAGUAUUACACCAAAUCCUUUACUCAACUUGAUCUGGAGAAGUUGUUGUACCAUGAAGAUUAAGAUGUUUGCCUGGAUGCUCAUCAUGGACAGGCUUAAUACUCAAGACAUGCUUGAACGGCGUCACUGCAAUGUUUCCGACUCCAAUCUAUGUGUUCUAUGUCACGCUCGAGUCAAGGAAGACAGGGAUCACUUAUUCUUCACCCGUCUCUUCAGUACCAGGGUCUGAAAUUAUCUGCAGAUAACAUGGCAGGGUCCAUCCAUGUGGAGUGCUACUGUUGCUGCUAAAAGGGACUUCCAUAACCCCUUCUUUGCUGAGGUGGUCUUCACUACAUGUUGUAACAUCUGGACUAUCAGAAAUGCAAAGGUCUUCAACCAGGAGCAGCCAAAGUUCAGAAAAUGGAGAUCUGGCUUCAUUCAUGACAUUUUCCUGUUAGCUCAUAGAAUUAAGGCUAGUUUCAGGGAUGAUCUCCUUAAAUGGGUUUCCUUUUUGCCUCCUUGAGGUUUGUAGUCUUUGCUCCCCUUCCCCUUUGUACAUUCUAAUUUCCUCUUGUACAUAUUGCUCUCAUAUAUGGGAAUAAAGGAAAAAGGCUGUGGGGGUUUUUCCCUACAGUAGCCGGUCAAAAAAAAUAAAAAAUAAAAAUAACAUGUAUAAAUAAGGCUAGCGACAUAAUGUUGACUAUUCCUAGAUUAUGUUCUUAUAUGUUUACAUUGAGUAUGAUUGAAUAUAUUUUUGGUAAAUAACACAUACAGCAAAUAUCAUGUACAACGGUACUAGUAAGGCGUUGGGUUGAAUCUUGAUGAGGGGUAGCUGGAAAGAAUCAAAGCAGAACCAUGCCAACCAAGAUUAUGAGGUGUCCGUUCACUUAUUGGGUUCAAUUUGUACACACCAUAUAAAACGUAUACUAUGAUGAUCUCGCUUGUUUAUUUUGAAAGUCAAUGAUCUUGGAAAUAUAUUAACAUUCAUAUCUCUGGACGUAACUCUGCCAUUUGCGCCAAUUGACGCAACAGGUCAUUACGUAUCAUUAAAGCUAGGAUCGCUCCCUCGUGUUUGACAACCCCAACUAUAUUUCCCCAUGUCGCUUCCACUUGAUCGAAAUCGUGAAUUAAUUGACCUGGAUGCAUGUAUGCUGGAUAUAUUCAUUCUAGUACGUACCGCUGCUCCAAAUAGAGGGCAUGAUCUGCAACAACACAGGUUGCCUCUUGAGAAGAUAAUCCACAUAUGCUCGGAAGGUCGUUGUGUGGCUAGCGUAUCGUGUGUAGUGGACAUUUCUUUACUAUUAUAUGCAUCCAUGAAACGAAGUUUUUCCUGAGCAGGCCCUCACGUGGCAUCCAUGGUGACACAAAAUCUUGGUUGCAUUUUCAAACCGAUGAGGUCUUCACUUGUUUUUUAGGACCCCGUGAGGUCUCCGGUAAUUUUGUACGAACAGGUGAGGUCUCCGCUUACUGAUUGGCUUCAAUUUUACCUAGAUUAAAUAUGUCGAUAAUUAACCACCUAAAAUGCAUAUUAGUAUGAUCUCACUUUGUUAUUUUUGAAGGCCAUAAUCUUGAAAAUAGAUUACCAUACACUUCUUCUAGAGUAACUCCGUCAGUUUCGUCAAUUGGCGCAACAAGUCAUCUAGUAUCACUAAAAAUAGGAUCUCCCCGGCCCAUCAUGUUUGGCAACCCUGACUCCCUUUUUUCCAAUGUCUCUUGCACUUGAGAUAAAUCGUUAAUUAAUUUAAUUGGAUGCAUACAUGACAGGUAUAUUCAAUAUCGUAUGUAAUACUGUUUCAAAUAGAGGGCAUGAUUUUCUGCUACACAGGCUGCCUCUUGAGAAGCUAAUCAAAUGUCGUUCUAUGGCGUAUUGUGUGUGUGUGUGUGUUUGUGACCAGAAUCCCUCCUCCUUUCACUCUUGUAUCGUUCCGAGCUUUGAUUGUUUUUGUAUUUGUCUCAUGCAUUUGUUUGUAUUUGAGAUUGUUAUUCCGGUUGUAUCCAGGCUUUGCUAUGGAUGGGUCUCUAGUGUAGUAGGAACGAGAAAAGAACAAACACAAUAUAACAUACUCCCUCCUUUCCGGUUUAUAGGGUCAUCUCUAAAUUUUCAGAUUUCCAUUAUAUUAGGCUCAUUUUGAGUCUAAGUGAGUUAAAGUGCUUUGAGUCUCACGUCAUUUAAUUCAUAGAGUUUAGAGAAAGGAGAUGAGUGGCUAUGCAUGCAUCGUUUUCUAUAUCGAUCAUGCAAGUCCAAUGAAAGGAAGGAGGCUACAUUUAUUGCCUUGGAAAUUGCAUAUGUAAGAAAUAUUUCAUUGGCUAGUUUAAACUAGUGUCUUCCACUCACAAUUCACNNNNNNNNNNNNNNNNNNNNNNNNNNNNNNNNNNNNNNNNNNNNNNNNNNNNNNNNNNNNNNNNNNNNNNNNNNNNNNNNNNNNNNNNNNNNNNNNNNNNNNNNNNNNNNNNNNNNNNNNNNNNNNNNNNNNNNNNNNNNNNNNNNNNNNNNNNNNNNNNNNNNNNNNNNNNNNNNNNNNNNNNNNNNNNNNNNNNNNNNNNNNNNNNNNNNNNNNNNNNNNNNNNNNNNNNNNNNNNNNNNNNNNNNNNNNNNNNNNNNNNNNNNNNNNNNNNNNNNNNNNNNNNNNNNNNNNNNNNNNNNNNNNNNNNNNNNNNNNNNNNNNNNNNNNNNNNNNNNNNNNNNNNNNNNNNNNNNNNNNNNNNNNNNNNNNNNNNNNNNNNNNNNNNNNNNNNNNNNNNNNNNNNNNNNNNNNNNNNNNNNNNNNNNNNNNNNNNNNNNNNNNNNNNNNNNNNNNNNNNNNNNNNNNNNNNNNNNNNNNNNNNNNNNNNNNNNNNNNNNNNNNNNNNNNNNNNNNNNNNNNNNNNNNNNNNNNNNNNNNNNNNNNNNNNNNNNNNNNNNNNNNNNNNNNNNNNNNNNNNNNNNNNNNNNNNNNNNNNNNNNNNNNNNNNNNNNNNNNNNNNNNNNNNNNNNNNNNNNNNNNNNNNNNNNNNNNNNNNNNNNNNNNNNNNNNNNNNNNNNNNNNNNNNNNNNNNNNNNNNNNNNNNNNNNNNNNNNNNNNNNNNNNNNNNNNNNNNNNNNNNNNNNNNNNNNNNNNNNNNNNNNNNNNNNNNNNNNNNNNNNNNNNNNNNNNNNNNNNNNNNNNNNNNNNNNNGUUUUUAGUGGCGUUGUCGUGAUGCUUAUUGAAGGUUGUGUAGCAACGAUACCUAAAUUUUUUCACAUGACAUGCGCUGAUUUAUCGCAUUAAUUUGGAUAACAUAACAAAUAAUAAUACACUACUUUGUUAAUACAGCAAGCUCUUAUGAAAAGUUCUAGUUAAUCAGAAUGUAAGUUAAAGACCGAGUAUUUCAAAAAGAGACGGUUACACUAUUAUAAGUUCUGCUUGGGAGAAGAUAAUAAUUCUGACCCUGAAUAGUCCAAAACCUCAAAUACCAAAAUUACCACAGCCACACGAGUUGUCCUAGUCGUCCUCAACGCCGACCCAUAUCAUCUUCUCCUCCCCUCACAAGAAUUACCAGAACCUGCAGAUUUCGGAGGAAUAUAUUUUAGUUUCAACAUAACAAAUCACAAACCAGAUACAUUAUAUCUGCAUUCUUGCCAAUAAUGGACAUGUAUUCUACCAUGAAAUAGUAAUGCAUCAAAAUUAUCUACCGACAACAUAUUGGAAGCUAGCAAACCGAAACAUUUGAUUAUGUGCAUGUUAGCAACUGUGAAUACACAAAUGAUAGCAAAUGGACUGAUAAGCCAAAUCAUCCCUACGAUAGGAUACCCGGCCAGGCAUGAGGUAACCAUACCAUAUAUUCCAAAAGAAAACGAGAAGCUGGUAUUGCCUUACCAUGCCCUUCAAAUGUCAGGAUACAAAGUAAAAAAAAAGUGAACGCCAAGGCUGGCAAGUAGGACAUUAAACAAUUUAAUAUGAAUACAUUUAAUAUCAUAAGCUGAUUAGCAAUGGACUCUCAAGAAGUAUAUAUGAAUUUAUGCAUUGAAUCUCCAUGUCUACCAAUGAUUUGAAUAUUAGAAUCAGUUUCAUCAAACUACAUAGAAAUUCGAGCUGAUUAGAUAAUAUAAUGUUCAAUUUGAACAAUUAAAAUUGGCAUCCUCGGUAAAUUAAAUAUCUAGAUGGAUCUCAAGGGAGAGAUAUCCAUGCUACGAUUGACAACUAGAACUUCAUGGCUAAAAGAUGUUUGGUCCAUUUUCAGUUUAUACAAUUAGCAAAGAGGUACUCGCAAGUAGUGCUCCUGUUAGCACCUAAAAAGUAGAGUAAAAACAAUUAAUAAGAAGGUAAUCUUACCAAGCCUCAUGAGUUCACAUGGAUCUCCAAAGAGUGACCCUUCUAUUGAUAGGUUCCACAUGCCCUCAAAAUGACUGCCAAGAACCAUUUUCAUAUGCAAUGCCUCAUCCCUUGCCUCAUCCCGUGAAACCUCCGGCAUACAACAAGACUCAUCGAUAUAAUAACACAUAGAAUCGUGUUGCAUAAAUAAACAACUAAAGCAUACUGCUAGGUCUCGGCUGGCGAAGAACUCAUUUCAUUCUGGGUAGAGUGAUGUCACCAACAUGUGUGUGUGUGUGUGUGUGUGUGUUUGUGUGUGCGCGCGUGCGUGCGCGUAUGUGUAUGUGCGUGUGAGAGAGUGAGAGAGAGGGAGAGAGAGUGUGUGUGUGUGAAAUCCCUCCUUAAUUUCAUUUUUCUAUUGUUCCUAGCUUUGAUUGGUUUUCUAUAUGUGUUGUAAUUUCUGAUGACACAACACUUGUAUUGGAUCCAUCUAUUGUCAUCAUUUCUUGGCUUCGUUGUGGAUCGGUUUAUUGAUUAGUUGGUAGACCAAUAUAGUAGUUGAAAGAUUCGGAAAGUCCUAUUGGAGCCCUAGCAUACUCCAGCUCUUUGCUUAAAAAAUCAAAAAGUAAUGUUUUGAAAUUUCAAAACAACUACUUUUGGAAUGCCUUGAUGGAUGGAUGCUCAUAGAACAAACCUUGUGUCCUCACCACCAUAUUCUUCACACGUACCUCCCAUUGUAUGAUACACGUAUCAAAAUUAAUAUCCAUGCCAUGUUGCUUCUAGAAUAACUUCAUCCUCAUGGUUCCAUUUUCUUGAUAAAGGACAUUUCAUUCAAUUGAUAUAUCAAAGUGAUACAACCGCGUCGAAAGAAUGACCGGCCUCGACACAGCAAGUUGCACACAUCCAACAAGUCCAACAAACAUAGAAAUAAGAAUCGAUUUACGGAAAAGAUAAAUAAAUCCAACCUAUGGUGCGGCAAUUCCUAUCCGGAUAUUACACCGCCAUUCAUGGAAAGAGAAAACAUUCCUAGCUGUAUAUUCCAGGCAUGCCGACGCCAUCAUAAAAAGGUCUUUGUCCUAUGGACUCUGCAAGAUAGGCCAAGUACGGAGCAAUCACGUAUAUGCAUGAAUAACCUGCACAGGAGAUGAAACAUAUUUAUUGUUAAAAACCACAUCAUUUCAGGUAAGCCACAGUGCCCAGCAUAAGGCAGCCGCCCCACAAGAAUAUGUGCAUCAAAUUGUUGAUCAAUACCCGAAAAACAAUUGCCAAACAUGUUACAUACUCAAUGUGGGCGUAUAGAUUUGAAACUACUUUCUAUGGCUAGACUGCACAAGAGAAUUUAUACUGAAAAGUAAGUGUUUAAUCGAUGCAUCACGCAAAAGACACAUGUCUUGCCACCUUGCCCAUUACAUCAUGCCAGAUUAUCUCUAUUCAAGAUGACCCCUAUGUGAAAACAUGCAUGGAAAAUCUUCAAUCUUAUAGGAAUUUUGAGCUUUCACAAUUUCUUGUUGUCGAACGAAACAUCACAAUGAACCAUAUUCUAUUUUAUAUACCUUCUUCAAUUUUACUAGUGCUUUCAUCCCUAGAGAAACUUACCGUAUGCUUCCUUUUCAGCUCUAUUCUGCUCGCAACAUGAUUUAUUCUUACUUCAUUUUUCUUAUCCUAAGAAGAAGAAUAAUUUCGGGAAACUUUAUUUGGAGUCAUCUGGUUUAUCUCUUUUCCUUCUCUCUUUCCAUGUUUUUUUCAUAUUUUACAAUUGCUAUAGUUGAACACAUAAAUAUUUAUUUAGUAAAUAACAUGUAUAAUAAAUGCCUUAAAAAAACCACAAUGGAGAUGUGCGACUCCCACCUCCCACCUCCCACCGCGGCGACCCAAUGGCGAUCUGGCACUCUAGCCGGCGUAUCCUCCCUCCUCGCCGCUCCUCUUCUCACGUGAACCCUCCCGACCCUCCUCACGUGGUCGCGCAUGGCUUGCAUGGGUGGUUCUACGUUGGAUCUGGAUUUUUCGCAUGGUUUGGCUUUCUCUGACGAGGUUUAUCGUCAUUCUGGUGUUACGGUGCACCCUAUGAAGCACCACCGCUCUUUCAUCAUGGUGGUUUCUUUUGGUCAUCAUGUGUUCCGUCUCUCGACGGACACAGCCGCUGUAACUCUAGAAUCUGUGAUUGGGGGAUCGGCUAUUGAGUUUCGUGUCUCUCAAGUGACAGACUCGGUUUUCAUAUUCUGGAUUUACGCUCGUUCAAGUGCUCAAGUUUUAAGUGCUUUUUCCAUCUAUGGGGACAUGGUGGUCCUAAUUGGCGUUGGGAAUUUGCUCUGUGGAAGAAGCAAUGUGAUGCUUAAUGGAUUAUUGUGAGUCCUUCCAAGAGGAGAGUAUCAUUAGGUCUGAUGGCGAUGCAUUCCAGACCCCUAAAAUCCACUCUUAAAUCUGGAUCAUCUGUUCGUAAGAAGCUCACAUUCGCAUCCAUCGAGCAAUAUGAAGUUUGCAAGGGUUACAGAUGUCCUGUUUCCCACGACGAGCUACUCACGCUUGAACAGGCUGGUUAUUCGGUGCCUUCUCUUGAACGUGUCAUCAUCUCAGCGCCACCGCCGGCAGAACUCCGGUUGACGACAGCCACACCGCAUAUUACGUUUGGCACAGUUUCUCGCCAAGUUUCAAAUUGCCAAAUUAAACGGAACUUCUCCCGUGUAACAAGGUGUUGCAGCUGAUUCCGCCGAGAUUCAUGGUAUUUUGAAUUAUGAGAAUCACUUUUCGGUGGGAAGUUUGGAUUCUGGGCCGAUUUCCACGCUCAUUAAUGAGCCUGCUGAGGUUACCUCCUUCUCUCGGGCCGACCCUAAUCCUAGGAUGGAUAUUCCCUCCUCACAGGAAGCCCAUCUGGCCUUUGAUGAACUCAUUAUUGGCAUGGUCGAGGAUAUCUUUUCUUGCUCAAUUUGCAACGCUCGGGGCCAUCUAGCUGCCAACUGCACGGCUUCGCCUGGAUUCGCUGACAGCACUGUGGGCCACGCACGAUCUAGAGGAGCCUCUUUUAUGCGUAAUAAUUGUCUUACUUGGAACUGUAAGAGACCCACCACCUCCCCUGUCGCUGAUAUCUCGGGAACUGCUGAUACUCUUGGUGAAACCGCAAUGCCUGCAGCACAGUUCCGUCCUGUCUCGUCAUCGUCGCAUCCUCGAACUCCCUUCGAGACGCCGCCUGCCACUACGCCACCGCCUCCCGCAAUGGCGAACUUCGAGCUUGAUCCAGAGUUCUUCCUCCCGCCUGGCCACAACAUCAUCGACGGAGGUCCGGACCGGCUGCCUCGGCCCUACACAACGCCUGCGGUCCCCAUCACCAGACGUCAUGAGCGUUUCGUCAUCGCUGACGUGCACCCAGCACCUCCGGCUGACAACGUGGUCCAGGUACGACAAGAAGUUGCUGCUCUUCUUCUUCACCGAGGGUUACAUGUUCGGUCUGCCUAGCCAUGGAUUAAGGGCGUUGGACUGUUUGAACUCCGAGAUGCGGCGAAAAGCUAUGCUGCGGUCCACAUGGUGCCACAGGAAGUUGCUCAUAACUCUGUUGUGCGCUUCCUGCGACAUGAUCAGGGUGUUGGUUUCCGUGGACAAGACGGUUUUCGUCAUGGCUGCCUCAUGAUUCUGGGGGUCCCCCUCGACUUCUGCAACACUGAAAAUCUCCGGGCUGCUGUCAACACCUUCGGAGAGUUCCACCAUUGGGUCUGUGAUGAUCCUUAUUUGGUUCGCUCGAUCGUGUUUACUUCGUUCCCAGAUGACCGAAUGGUCCCUCGCAGUAUCAACUUUUCUGAAUAUGCUGCUUGGGGGGGUGCCAAGGUCUCCUCGUCUACGCCGGUAUACAUCCUGGGAGCGGCGGCUGCCGAGAUUCUGCCUAAUGAUGAGGAUCCCAUGCCCCUCAAUGGCAACCCUCAUCCGCUCCCUGGACACCUCGUCCAUGACAAUCUGCAAUUUGUUCUGCCCCCGUAUCCUGCGUUGGGUUGGAAUGCGGUGCCGCUGGUGCGUGAAGAUCCAGUGGUUCCUGUUGCUGAUGCCGGAGGUUGGAGACAGCCGCCUGCAGCCGCUGAUGGAGGAGAAUGGGGAUCUGAAGCGGCCCCGGAAGCACCUGCUGCUGAUCCUGUUCAGGAUCAAGAGUCUAUGGUGAUUGAUCAACCGAGUCCUUCUUCUUCGGACUCGGUUCAUGAGCUUGUGGACCUCGACCCUCAGCCGCAGGGUGACAUGGAGGCGGAACUUGCUGAUCAAGCACCCCCGGCCCCUGACCUGGAGGGGAUAGUGGCUAACCCUUUUUCCCCUGAUGCUGACAUGCCACCGGCUGCCCAGGGCCAUGAUGCUGAGCCGGAGGAAGAUGUGCCUGUGAUGGAGGAGGCGCAUGAUGACAAUCCUCUGGCAAUUGUCCUCUACAAACCCCCUCACAUUCAGACUGACAACAUCUUUGUUUGGGCUGCAAGGGUUGUGUACGGUCCUCCUCUGCCGCCAGUUCUUUCCUGGGCACGCCCUUUCGAUGCUCUCAUGGGAGCUGCUGCUUCUAUGCACGUGCCUCGCCAACUGCAGAUGCCAAUUCUGGAGCCCAUUAUGAUCCUCUCCCNNNNNNNNNNNNNNNNNNNNNNNNNNNNNNNNNNNNNNNNNNNNNNNNNNNNNNNNNNNNNNNNNNNNNNNNNNNNNNNNNNNNNNNNNNNNNNNNNNNNGGUCUCUUCAUUAGUGCAGCAAUUGUUUGCCGUUUCACGAAGUAUCCCUUCUAGCCCUUGCCUUUCUUGAAACUUAGUGGUUUUACAAACCAUCAACUAUUGAUGCUCCUUCUUGAUUUCUACUUUCGCAGUGUCAAACAUCGCGAAUCGCUCAAGGAUCAUUGUAUCUAUCCUUGAUAUGUUAUAGUUCAUCACGAAGCUCUCACAGCUUGGUGGCAGUGACUUUGGAGAACCAUCACUAUCUCAUCUGGAAGAUUAACUCCCACUUGAUUCAAGUGAUUGUCGUACUCAGACAAUCUGAGCACACGCUUAACGAUUGAGCUUUUCUCCUUUACUUUGUGGACAAAGAAUCUUGUCGAAGGUCUCGUACCUCUCAACAAGGGCACGAGCAUGAAAUCACAAUUUCAUCUCUUUCGAACAUCACUUAUGUUCCGUGACGUUUCAAAACGUCUUCGGUGCCUUGCUUCUAAGCCAUUAAGUAUUUUGCACUGAACUAUCGUGUAGUCAUCAGAAACGUGUAUGUCGGAUGUUCACAGCAUCCACAGACGAUGCUCGAGGUGCAGCACACCAAGUGGUGCAUUAAGGACAUAAGCCUUCUGCGCAGCAACGAGGACAAUCCUCUUCAAAGUUUGCUACUAUCAACUUUCAACUAAAUUUUCUCUAGGAACAUAUAAAAACAGUAGAGCUAUAGCGCAAGCUACAUCGUAAUUCGCAAAGACCAUUAGACUAUGUUCAUGACAAUUAGUUCAAUUAAUCAUAUUACUUAAGAACUCCCACUCAAAAAGUACAUCUCUCUAGUCAUUUGAGUGGUACAUGAUCCAAAUCCACUAUCUCAAGUCCGAUCAUCACGUGAGUCGAGAAUAGUUUUAGUGGUAAGCAUCUCUAUGCUAAUCAUAUCAACUAUACGAUUGAUGCUCGACCUUUCGGUCUCAUGUGUUCCGAGGCCAUGUCUGCACAUGCUAGGCUCGUCAAGCUUAACCCGAGUGUUCCGCGUGCGCAACUGUUUUGCACCCGUUGUAUGUGAACGUUGAGUCUAUCACACCCGAUCAUCACAUGGUGUCUCGAAACGACGAACUGUAGCAACGGUGCACAGUCGGGGAGAACACAAUUUUGUCUUGAAAUUUUAGUGAGAGAUCACCUCAUAAUGCUACCGUCGUUCUAAGCAAAAUAAAGCGCAUAAAAGGAUUAACAUCACAUGCAAUUCAUAAGUGACAUGAUAUGGCCAUCAUCACGUGCUUCUUGAUCUCCAGCACCAAAGCACCGGCACGAUCUUCUUGUCACCGGCAUCACACCAUGAUCUCCAUCAACAUGAUCUCCAUCAACGUGUCGCCAUCGGGGUUGUCGUGCUACUCAUGCUAUUACUACUAAAGCUACGUCCUAGCAAAAUAGUAAACGCAUCUGCAAGCACACACGUUAGUAUAAAGACAACCCUAUGGCUCCUGCCGGUUGCCGUACCAUCGACGUGCAAGUCGAUAUUUCUAUUAAAACAUGAUCAUCUCAUACAUCCAAUAUAUCACAUCACAUCGUUGGCCAUAUCACAUCACAAUCAUACCCUGCAAAAACAAGUUAGACGUCCUCUAAUUUUGUUGUUGCAUGUUUUACGUGGUGACCAAGGGUAUCUAGUAGGAUCGCAUCUUACUUACGCAAACACCACAACGGAGAUAUAUGAGUUGCUAUUUAACCUUAUCCAAGGACCUCCUCGGUCAAUUCCGAUUCAACUAAAGUUGGAGAAACUGACACUUGCCAGUCAUCUUUGAGCAAAGGGGGUUACUCGUAACGAUGAAACCAGUCUCUCGUAAGCGUACGAGUAAUGUCGGUCCAAGCCGCUUCAAUCCAACAAUACCGCGGAAUCAAGAAAAGACUAAGGAGGGCAGCAAAACGCACAUCACCACCCACAAAAACUUUUGUGUUCUACUCGAGAAGACAUCUACGCAUGACCCUAGCUCUGAUACCACUUUUGGGGAACGUCGCAUGGGAAACAAAAAACUUCCUACGCGCACGAAGACCUAUCAUGGUGAUGUCCAUCUACGAGAGGGGAUGAGUGAUCUACGUACCCUCGUAGACCGUACAGCAGAAGCGUUAGAGAACGCGGUUGAUGUAGUGGAACAUCCUCACGUCCCUCGAUCCGCCCCGCGAACAAUCCCGCGAUCAGUCCCACGAUCUAGUACCGAACGGACGGCACCUCCGCGUUCAGCACACGUACAGCUCGACGAUGAUCUCGGCCUUCUUGAUCCAGCAAGAGAGACGGAGAGGUAGAAGAGUUCUCCGGCAGCGUGACGGCGCUCCGGAGGUUGGUGAUGACCUUGUCUCAGCAGGGCUCCGCGCGAGCUCCGCAGAAACGCGAUCUAGAGGAAAAACCGUGGAGGUAUGUGGUCGGGCUGCCGUGGGAAAGUCAUCUCAAAUCAGCCCUAAAACCUCCGUAUAUAUAGGUGGUAGGGAGGGGGCCUUGCCUUGGGGCUCAAGGAGCCCCAAGGGGGUCGGCCGAGUCCAAGGGGGAGGACUCUUCCCCCCCCCCAAACCGAGUUGGACUAGGUUUGGUGGGAGGGAGUCCCCCUUCCUUCCCACCUCCUCCUUUUUUUUCUCUCUUGAUUUUCUUCUCCUUGGCGCAUAGGGCACUUUGGGCUGUCCCACCAGCCCACUAAGGGCUGGUGUGGCUCCCCCAAUGCCUAUGGGCUUCCCCGGGGUGGGUUGCCCCCCCGGUGAACUCCCGGAACCCAUUCGUCAUUCCCGGUACAUUCCCGGUAACUCCGAAAACCUUCCGGUAAUCAAAUGAGGUCAUCCUAUAUAUCAAUCUUCGUUUCCGGACCAUUCCGGAAACCCUCGUGACGUCUGUGAUCUCAUCCGGGACUCCGAACAACAUUCGGUAACCAACCAUAUAACUCAAAUACGCAUAAAACAACGUCGAACCUUAAGUGUGCAGACCCUGCGGGUUCGAGAACUAUGUAGACAUGACCCGAGAGACUCCUCGGUCAAUAUCCAAUAGCGGGACCUGGAUGCCCAUAUUGGAUCCUACAUAUUCUACGAAGAUCUUAUCGUUUGAACCUCAGUGCCAAGGAUUCGUAUAAUCCCGUAUGUCAUUCCCUUUGUCCUUCGGUAUGUUACUUUCCCGAGAUUCGAUCGUCAGUAUCCGCAUACCUAUUUCAAUCUCGUUUACCGGCAAGUCUCUUUACUCGUUCCGUAAUACAAGAUCCCGCAACUUACACUAAGUUACAUUGCUUGCAAGGCUUGUGUGUGAUGUUGUAUUACCGAGUGGGCCCCGAGAUACCUCUCCGUCACACGGAGUGACAAAUCCCAGUCUUGAUCCAUACUAACUCAACUAACACCUUCGGAGAUACCUGUAGAGCAUCUUUAUAGUCACCCAGUUACGUUGCGACGUUUGAUACACACAAAGCAUUCCUCCGAUGUCAGUGAGUUAUAUGAUCUCAUGGUCAUAGGAAUAAAUACUUGACACGCAGAAAACAGUAGCAACAAAAUGACACGAUCAACAUGCUACAUCUAUUAGUUUAGGUCUAGUCCAUCACAUGAUUCUCCUAAUGAUGUGAUCCCGUUAUCAAGUAACAACAAUUGCCUAUGGCCAGGAAACCUUGGCCAUCUUUGAUCAACGAGCUAGUCAACUAGAGGCUUACUAGGGACAGUGUUUUGUGUAUGUAUCCACACAUGCACUGUGUUUCCAAUCAAUACAAUUAUAGCAUGAAUAAUAAACAAUUAUCAUGAACUAAGAAAUAUAAUAAUAACUAAUUUAUUAUUGCCUCUAGGGCAUAUUUCCAACAGACUCCAUCAACCGCGUUCGAGCAACGCUUCCGCUUAGCGAUCUUCAAAGGUAGGAAGAUGCUCUUACCCCUCUCUCGUUUCUGGUCUCUUCAUAGGAAGAUCUGAAUAUGCGUAGGAAAAUUUUGAAUUUAUGCUACGUUACCCAACAGUCGCAUCCGAGCCAGGUUUUCUAUGCGUAGAUCCUAUGCACGAGUAGAACACAAAAGUUGUGGGCGAUGGUUUGUCAAUUUGCUUGCCGCUACUAGUCUUAUUAUUUUCCGGCGGUAUUGUGGGAUGAAGCGGCCCGGACCGACUUUACACGUACACUUACGUGAGACUGGUUCCACCGACAGACAUGCACAUCGUGCAUAAAGGUGGCUAGCGGGUGUCUGUCUCUCCUACUCUAGUCGGAUUGGAUUUGAUGAAAAGGGUCCUUAUGAAGGGUAAAUAGCUUUGGCAUAUCAUCGUUGUGGCUGUCACGUAGGUAAGAAGGCGUUCUUGCUAGAAACCCAAAUCAGCCACGUAAAACUUGCAACAACAAUUAGAGGACGUCUAACUUGUUUUUGCAGGGUUUGACAUGUGAUGUGAUAUGGCCAAAGUUGUUAUAUUGCAUGUAUGAUGUAUGAGAUGAUCAUGUUAUUGUAAUAGGUUUCACGACUUGCAUGUCGAUGAGUAUGAGAACCGGCAGGAGCCAUAGGAGUUGUCUUAAUUUAUUGUAUGAGAUGCAACACCAUAUGCUUACUACUUUUACUUCAUUGCUAACGAUUAGCUAUAGUAGUAGUGAUAGUAGUAGUUGGCGUGACGACUUCACGGAGACACGAUGAUGGAGAUCAUGAUGAUGGAGAUCUUGGUGUCACGCCGGUGACGAUGAUGAUCAUGCGAUUCCUGAAGAUGGAGAUCGAAAGAGCAAAGAUGAUAAUGGCCAUAUCAUCUCACUAUAUGAUUGCAUUGUGAUGUUUAUCAUGUUUUACAUCUUAUUGCUUAAAACGACGGUAGCAUAAUAAGAUGAUCCCUCUUAAAAUUUCGAGAACGUAUUCCCCUAAGUGUGCACCGUUGCGAAGGUUCGUUGUCUCGAAGCACCACGUGAUGAUCGGGUGUGAUAGAUUCUAACGUUCGCAUACAACGGGUGUAAGCCAGAUUUACACACGCGAAACACCUAGGUUGACUCGACGAGCUUAGCAUGUACAGACAUGACCUUGAAUACAAGAGACCGAAAGGUCGAACAUGAGUCCUAUGGUUGAAUACGAUCAGCAUGAAGUUGCUCACCAUGGUGACUAGUCCGUCUCACGUGAUGAUCGGACACGGGUUAGUCAACAUGGAUCAUGUAUCACUUAGAUGACUAGAGGGAUGUCGAUUUAAGUGGGAGUUCAUACUUAAUUUGAUUAAAUGAACUUAAUUGUCAUGAACUUAGUCUAAAAGUUGUCUUUAUAAAUAUUGUAGAUGUCCAACGUCAACCUCAAUUUCAACGCAUUCCUAGAGAAAAACAAGGUGAAAGAUGAUGGUAGCAACUAUGCGGACUGGGUUCGCAACUUGAAGCUCAUCCUUGAAGCAGCUAAAAAGGCUUAUGUCCUUAAUGCGCCGCUAGGUGACCCUCCCGCUCCCGCAGCAGCCCAGGACAUUCUGAACGUCUGGCAAACGCGGAGUGAUGACUACUCUCUGGUCAGGUGUGGCAUGUUAUACAGUUUAGAAACGGGGCUCCAAAGGCGUUUAGAGCAACACGGGGCAUAUGAGAUGUUCCAGGAGCUGAAGCUAGGUUUCAAGCUCAUGCCCGUGUCGACAGAUAUGAAGUCUCCGACAAGUUCUUAGCAGUAGAUGGAGGAGACAGUUCUGUCAGUGAGCGACAUACUCAAAAUGUACUGGGUUACACGGUCGUCUGACUUCACGUUGGAGUCGAACUUCCGGAUGAUGCUANNNNNNNNNNNNNNNNNNNNNNNNNNNNNNNNNNNNNNNNNNNNNNNNNNNNNNNNNNNNNNNNNNNNNNNNNNNNNNNNNNNNNNNNNNNNNNNNNNNNUAUCCGGAGCGGGCGGCGGUAGAGACGGACGACCCAAGUCCGGCGGCGGUGAUCGAGAUGGACUCGUGUUGUGCUGGCCGACGUCUAUGUGGAGGGCUUGCACGUGAUCUGCUCUUUUUCACUUCCUUCUGCAAUGUGCGUGUAUAGUCAUCAGGCUUAUGGUGUAAGUCAUACUGUGAUGGAAGGGGGUACGAUCAUAAGGUCCGAUAGGAAGAUUAGCAUGACGUACCUUUGGGAGGGGCGACCGUUUGCGCUUUGGGGUGCUCUGUGGCUUAGGAAUCGUCGGCGGAGCGUUCUUGGUGGCACGCUCCCGCUUUGUAUCCGUGACAGGCUCAGGCUUUGUAUCAGGAGCGGGCGGCGGCAGAGCGUUCUUGGUGGCACGCUCCCGCUUUGUAUCCAUGGCAGGCUCAGGCUUUGUAUCCGGAGCGGGCGGCGGCGGAGCGUUCUUGGUGGCACGCUCCCGCUUUGUAUCCGUGGCAGGCUCAGGCUUUGUAUCCGGAGCGGGCGGCGGCGGAGCGUUCUUGGUGGCACACUCUCGCUUUGUAUCCGUGGCAGGCUCAGGCUUUGUAUCCGGAGCGGGCGAUGGCGGAGCGUUUUGGUGGCAUGCUCCCGCUUUGUAUCCGUGGCAGGCUCAGGCUUUGUAUCCGGAGCGGGCGGCGGCGGUGAUCGAGAUGGACUCGUGUUGUGCUGGCCGACGUCAUGUGGAGGGCUUGGAGGUAAUGGAGGUGUAGGUGACCUGCGACGACUCGGAGGCGGUGUUGUCCUUGGGGCCGAGCCUGGAAGCUUGAUGUAGUUCUUGUCCCAUAGGAUGACUCCACCCAGUACUUCUCCGANNNNNNNNNNNNNNNNNNNNNNNNNNNNNNNNNNNNNNNNNNNNNNNNNNNNNNNNNNNNNNNNNNNNNNNNNNNNNNNNNNNNNNNNNNNNNNNNNNNNUAGUGCGAUGGUUUUGGUAUCCGCCUCCGUCGGCCCUCGUCCUGUCUAUGAUUCGGAUGUGGUAUAUAUUAUCUUUUAUAACUAUUUGUUUUAUUUAGUGUUUAUGACAAGUAUGACGACCAAUGUGACAUAUAUUUUUUUAAUCUAGGAGGUAUGUGAACCGGAAAUUCCAACCCACAUAAAAAUUCUUGUCGAGAAGUUAAAUUUGGUUGAAAAAGAAAACAAAUACUUGAAGAAAAAAUUGAAAAUAAUUGAGGAUAAGAAUAUGGAACUAGAGUUGCAUGUCGCCGAUGUCAUCGAUGAUCGCAAGAUGAAGAUCGAUGCGAUGCGGUUGAAGAUGGAUGCAAUACGCUUGAAGAUGGAUGAAAUGCGCUAGAAGAUUAGGAAUAUUAGAAAAUAUGCCAUUGAUAAAGAGACUUGGUAUCAUUAUGCUGUUGGGUCAAUUGUUACCUUAGUUGCGAUUUAGAUCGUGUUUGUUGUUGCAUUUAAAUGUUUUACAUAGUUGUAUGUUGUUUUAUGAGAGAACUUUAUGUAUUUAUUUUUUGCAAUAAUAAUAUUUGAUCACUAUUGUUCUUUGGCUUUAAUGUGAUGAUGAACUUGUAUUAAUUUGGUCAUAUGUUCUGCAAUGGUUUUUUGAACUUAUUUGAACUCCAUACUUUUUGUGUGUUCAAAAUGCACCAUUCAAAGGCACAUCACAAAAUUUCAACAAUUUUUGACUUCAUUUGGUAUAUUUCGUGCAUUUACUUUUUUUUUUGAGCUAGUUGACACUGAAAUUGAAAAGCACUACAAAUGAACUCUGAAAAUGUUGAAAGUAGGCAUGCUAUCAUCAUUUCACCCACAUAGCAUGUGUUAAAAAGUUGAGAGGGCUAUGACACAAAACUGGACGCACUUCGUGUACAAAACGGACAAUCUCUCUCGAAGUAUCAGGGUUUCGAACGAGAACUCAUCUCUUACAAAGGGAUUUCAUUUUUUUUGAACUUAUUUGAACUCCAUACUUUUUGUGUGUUCAAAAUGCACCAUUCAAAAGCACAUCACAAAAUUUCACCAAUAUCUGACUUCAUUUGGUAUAUUUCGUGCAUUUACUUAUUUUUUUUGAGCUAGUUGACCCUGAAAUUGAAAAAGCACUACAAAAUGAACUCUGAAAAAUGUUGAAAAGUUGNNNNNNNNNNNNNNNNNNNNNNNNNNNNNNNNNNNNNNNNNNNNNNNNNNNNNNNNNNNNNNNNNNNNNNNNNNNNNNNNNNNNNNNNNNNNNNNNNNNNGACAUGCUGAUCGCCCACAACGAAGUGCGCGCCACCGUCGGCGUGGGGCCGCUGACGUGGGACCCCAUAGUGGCGGCGUAUGCACAGUCGUACGCGGAGAAGCGCCGCGCCGACUGCCAGUUAAUACCAUCUCCGGAGGUCCGCCCAUACGGAGAGAACCUUUUUCGGGGUGGGACCGAAUGGAAUGCAGUGGACGCAGUGUUUUACUGGGCGUCCGGGAAGCAGUACUACGACCACGCCACCAACACUUGCUCGGCACCUACGGGUGAGUCGUGCGAUCGAUACCUGGAGUUGGUGUGGAGGGACACGAAGGCCAUAGGCUGUGGCGCUGUCCCCUGUGACGGCAACGUUGGCGUGUUUGUCAUCUGCUGCUACAGCCCGCCGCACAUGGUCGGGCAGAUUCCAUACUAGGCUACGUACCAAGUAUGCAUGCAUGCACGUAGCAACGUAUUACACAAAUAAAUAAUUAAGGGAUACUCCUAGGGCUGGUCAUUAAUUAUCGGGUACCGAUAUGUGUGUGUGUGACCAGAAUCCCUCCUCCCUUCACUCUUGUAUCGUUCCGGGCUUUGAUUGUUUUUGUAUUAGUCUCAUGCAUUCGUUUGUAUUUGAGAUUGUUAUUCCGGUUGUAUCCAGGCUGUGCUAUGGAUGGGUCUCUAGUGUAGUAGGAACGCGAAAAACCCUUAAGUUCGAUCAUCANNNNNNNNNNNNNNNNNNNNNNNNNNNNNNNNNNNNNNNNNNNNNNNNNNNNNNNNNNNNNNNNNNNNNNNNNNNNNNNNNNNNNNNNNNNNNNNNNNNNUAUAUAUAUAUAUAUAUAUAUAUAUAUAUAUAUAUAUAUAUAUGUGUGUGUGUGUGUUAGUAACUUAUCAAUUACACUUAUAAGUGAAUGGACACAACAGAGUAAAGACCCUCACCUGAAGUUGUAUGGAAACAUUACGUGGUCAGAGAAAUUUUGAUCUAUUAGAAACCUUAGAAGGUUUUCCUCCAUCUCCUUGGGAUAAUUAGUUAGCGUCGCUAUAUGUAUUUUAUCUGGGUCAAUAAACCCAAUAUUUAGGAUGCUCUUACUUUUAAAAUACAGAAUCUUCAUUCUGCAUAAUAGAGUACAAGUUAUAUAUAGACAAUGAAUUGAAAUAACUAAACAAGUUAUAUGUAGACAACGAAUUGAAAAACUUACAGACAAUAGCAACUCAUAAGCGAUUUGUCGAGGGCGUCGCCAUUGUACAUCUGGAAGAGUUCAUCAAAAUCGAUAUGGAUUUGUUCAGGGCGGCCGUAGUACUCCUGUGGGACACUCAGCACGAUCGUCGUUCUCCCAUUCUUUGAUUCACUUAAGUACCAUUGAUGCAAGUAACACAUAUUUGUUGGGAGAUCAUCUGUGCUGACCAAAGGCUCACCCAUGACAAACUAUGGCUUAGGGGCUACCACAGCCUUGGGUAUCUUGUCGUCUUGGGAAGACAGCAAUUCUUCAACCGAGACACCACAUGCAGCCGCCAACUCCUUUGCACUUUCUAAAGCUAGCCCCUGCACCGAAAGGGGAACAUUCUCGGUUAACACCUUGAGGGGUGGGAUCGCCUGUUUGGCCUGUUGUCCAAGCCGAGGAACGUCUGAUUUUUUCUUGCUUGUAGUUGAACUUGAUUUGCUCCCACUUGCACUUGCACGUGAUAUGCUCUUUUUCACUUCCUUCUGUAAUGUGCGUGUAUAGUCAUCAGGCUUAUGGUGUAAGUCAUAAGGUCUGAUAGGAAGAUUAGCAUGACGUACCUUUGGGAGGGGCGAUAGUUUGCGCUUUGGGGUGCUCUGUGGCUUAGGAAUCGUCGGCGGAGCGUUCUUGGUGGCACGCUCCCGCUUAGUAUGCGGAGCGGGCGGCGGUAGAGUACGGACGACCCAAGUCCGGCGGCGGUGAUCGAGAUGGACUCGUGUUGUGCUGGCCGACGUCAUGUGGAGGGCUUGCACGUGAUCUGCUCUUUUUCACUUCCUUCUGCAAUGUGCGUGUAUAGUCAUCAGGCUUAUGGUGUAAGUCAUACUGUGAUNNNNNNNNNNNNNNNNNNNNNNNNNNNNNNNNNNNNNNNNNNNNNNNNNNNNNNNNNNNNNNNNNNNNNNNNNNNNNNNNNNNNNNNNNNNNNNNNNNNNGGUCUGCUUUGAUUCUUUCCAGCUACCCCUCAUCAAGAUUCAACCCAACGCCUUACUAGUACCGUUGUACAUGAUAUUUGCUGUAUGUGUAUUUACCAAAAAUAUAUUCAAUCAUACUCAAUGUAAACAUAUAAGAACAUAAUCUAGGAAUAGUCAACAUUAUGUCGCUAGCCUUAUUUAUACAUGUAUUUUAUUUUAUUUUUUUUGACCGGCUACUGUAGGGAAAAACCCCCACAGCCUUUUCCUUUAUUCCCAUAUAUGAGAGCAAUAUGUACAAGAGGAAAUUAGAAUGUACAAAGGGGAAGGGGAGCAAAGACUACAAACCUCAAGGAGGCAAAAAGGAAACCCAUUUAAGGAGAUCAUCCCUGAAACUAGCCUUAAUUCUAUGAGCUAACAGGAAAAUGUCAUGAAUGAAGCCAGAUCUCCAUUUUCUGAACUUUGGCUGCUCCUGGUUGAAGACCUUUGCAUUUCUGAUAGUCCAGAUGUUACAACAUGUAGUGAAGACCACCUCAGCAAAGAAGGGGUUAUGGAAGUCCCUUUUAGCAGCAACAGUAGCACUCCACAUGGAUGGACCCUGCCAUGUUAUCUGCAGAUAAUUUCAGACCCUGGUACUGAAGAGACGGGUGAAGAAUAAGUGAUCCCUGUCUUCCUUGACUCGAGCGUGACAUAGAACACAUAGAUUGGAGUCGGAAACAUUGCAGUGACGCCGUUCAAGCAUGUCUUGAGUAUUAAGCCUGUCCAUGAUGAGCAUCCAGGCAAACAUCUUAAUCUUCAUGGUACAACAACUUCUCCAGAUCAAGUUGAGUAAAGGAUUUGGUGUAAUACUGCUGUGAAUGUGAGCAUAGUAACUCUUGGCUGUGUAGGCCUUAGCAUCCUUUCCCCAUACCCAUCUGUCAGAGGCCUGAUGAUCAAGAUCCAGGUCUUGAAGCAAAGAUUGGACCGAAAGCAGGUCCUGGUAAGCUUGAGCAGACAGUGGUAAGUGGAACAUGGAGAGCAUGCUGUCAUCAUAAAAGGCUGUAAAGACCUCUUGAGCUGUGCAGAAAGGAUCAGUCACAAAUAAAACAGUCUUUGGAAUCUGGCAGCCAGUGGCAUAAUGGAGUUUCCAAUCAACCAGGAGUUAGACCAAAACAGGAAGGAGUCACCCUUGUUCGGCACAACAUAUGUAACUGAUCUGAAUUUAUCAAGCUGUUUACAGAUAUCCUUCCACCAAAAAGAACCACAAAGGGCAGUUCCCUGAGGUACUGUGUCAUGAUAGUAGGUGUUCCAAAUGAAGUGAAACCAAGGGAUAUCAACAUGAUUGACGAAUUUAUCAACAUGCUUGAGCAGGAGUGCUUCAUUCUGGACUGCUAGGUUCAUAAUACUAGCCCCCCUUUAUUUUUAGGCCUGCACACCAGAGGCCAGGCAGCAAGAGAGGGUGCAUGAUCAUUCCCAUUUCUUCUCUAUAGACAUUGCCUUUGAAUUCUCUCAAGCAGCUUCAGUAUGCCUGGUGGGAUAUCCAGACUGCANNNNNNNNNNNNNNNNNNNNNNNNNNNNNNNNNNNNNNNNNNNNNNNNNNNNNNNNNNNNNNNNNNNNNNNNNNNNNNNNNNNNNNNNNNNNNNNNNNNNGAGUUUUAUCAACUUGCUCCUGCUUUCCAUGCUGGUCAGGCUCAACUUCAGAACAUGAACUCAUCUUAUAUUACUCUGAUUCCAAAUAAGAGAUCACCUGAACAUGUGGGAGAUUACAGACCAAUAUCACUUACUGGGAUGGGUCUCAAAUUUCUGUCCAAAAUGAUUGCUAACGGGCUACAGUUGCACAUUGUGAAGUGUCUUCACAAGAAUCAGUAUGGUUUUAUCAAGUCAAGGACCAUUCAAGAUUGUGUUGGAUGGACUCUGGAGUACCUGCACCAAUGCCAUCAAUCCAAGAAACCUAUAGUCAUUCUCAAGUUGGAUUUUGAAAAGGCAUUUGAUUCUGUGGAACAUGAGUUCAUUUUCCAGAUUCUCAAGCACAAAGGCUUCAAUGAAAGAUGGAUACUUUGGGUCAAGCAACUCCUAACUUCUGGCUCAUCUUCAGUCCUCAUCAAUGGUGUGCCUGGAAAGAAGUUUAUGUGCAAGAAAGGUGUCAGGCAGGGAGAUCCCAUGUCUCCACUUCUUUUUGCUAUUGAUGCUGACUUUUUACACACUCUGAUUAAUCAACUUCUAGUGGAGGGUCUGAUUCAGCUGCCCAUACCUUGUCAUGAUAAGGAUUUCUCCAUAGUGCAAUAUGCUGAUGAUACCCUUAUCAUCCUACCUGCUGAUAAACCUCAGUUGUUGCAGUUCAAGAAAAUGCUCUUACUUUUCUCCCAGUCCAGUGGAUUACACGUGAACUAUGACAAAUCUGCCCUUUUACCUGUUAACACUCCUCCUCAGCAUCUACAGGAUCUGGCAGACUCCAUUGGUUGCAAAGUGGGAUCUUUGCCCUUCACAUACCUUGGCCUUCCAGUUGGGACAACUAAACCAAGAAUCAUUGAUCUCAUGACACUGGUUGAUAACAUGGAAAGAAGACUCGGUGCUAGUUCAUCCUUUCUUGCUCAGGGGGGAAGGUUACAGUAUUUAAACUCAGCACUGUCUUCUGUGCCUAUCUUCUUUCUAUGCAGUCUGGAUAUCCUUACAGGCAUACUGAAGGUGCUUGAGAGAAUUCAAAGGCAAUGUCUAUGGAGAAGAAAUGAGAAUGAUCAUGCCCCCUCUCUUGCUGCUUGGCCUCUGGUGUGCAGGCCUAAAAAUAGAGGGGGCUAGGAUUAUGAACCUAGCAGUCCAGAAUGAAGCAUUCCUGCUCAAGCAUGUUGAUAAAUUCGUCAAUCAUGCUGAUAUCCCUUGGGUUCACUUGAUUUGAACACCUACUAUCAUGACAUAGUACCUCAGGGAACUGCCCUUUGUGGUUCUUUUUGGUGGAAGGAUAUCUUUAAACAGCUUGAUAAAUUCAGAUCAGUUACAUAUGUUCUGCCGAACAAGGGUGACUCCUUCCUGUUUUGGUCUAACUCCUGGUUGAUUGGAAACUUCAUUAUGCCACUGGCUGCCAGAUCCUGUAGAUGCUGAGGAGGNNNNNNNNNNNNNNNNNNNNNNNNNNNNNNNNNNNNNNNNNNNNNNNNNNNNNNNNNNNNNNNNNNNNNNNNNNNNNNNNNNNNNNNNNNNNNNNNNNNNGUUCGAAACCCUCAUACUUCGAGAGAGAUUGUCCGUUUUAGUACACGUAGUGCAUCAGUUUUUGUCGUAGCCCUCUCAACUUUUUUAACACAUGCUAUGCGGGUGAAAUGAUGAUAGCAUGCCAACUUUCAACAUUUUCAGAGUUCAUUUGUAGUGCUUUUCAAUUUCAGGGUCAACUAGCUCAAAAAAAAGAGUAAAUGCACGAAAUAUACCAAAUGACGUCAGAAAUUGUUGAAAUUUUGUGAUGUGCCUUUGAAUGGUGCAUUUUUAACACACAGAAAGUAUGGAGUUCAAAUAAGUUCAAAAAGAAUGAAAUCCCUUUGUAAGAGAUGAGUUCUCGUUCGAAACCCUCAUACUUCGAGAGAGAUUGUCCGUUUUGUACACGAAGUGCAUCCAGUUUUUGUCGUAGCCCUCUCAACUUUUUAACACAUGCUAUGUGGGUGAAAUGAUGAUAGCAUGCCAACUUUCAACAUUUUCAGAGUUCAUUUGUAGUGCUUUUUCAAUUUCAGGGUCAACUAGCUCAAAAAAAAUAAGUAAAUGCACGAAAUAUACCAAAUGAUGUCAGAAAUUGUUGAAAUUUUGUGAUGUGCCUUUGAAUGGUUCAUUUUGAACAUACAAAAAGUAUGGAGUUCAAAUAAGUUCAAAAAAAGAAAAUGCCUUUGCAAGAGAUGAGUUCUCAUUCGAAACCCUCAUACUUCGAGAGAGAUUGUCCGUUUAGUACACGUAGUGCAUUCAGUUUUUGUCGUAGCCCUCUCAACUUUUUAACACAUGCUAUGCGGGUGAAAUGAUGAUAGCAUGCCAACUUUCAACAUUUUCAGAGUUCAUUUGUAGUGCUUUUCAAUUUCAGGGUCACUAGCUCAAAAAAAGAAGUAAAUGCACGAAAUAUACCAAAUGAAGUCAANNNNNNNNNNNNNNNNNNNNNNNNNNNNNNNNNNNNNNNNNNNNNNNNNNNNNNNNNNNNNNNNNNNNNNNNNNNNNNNNNNNNNNNNNNNNNNNNNNNNGACCAUAUCAAAUACUUCAGCACCAGUACGGAUGACAGGCUUCCCCCGGGGUUCUGCCUUGCCAUUGAAAUGCUUGCCUUUUUUUCUUUAAGGGAUGCUUGGGCGGAAGAAAACGACGAUUGUAUGGAUAAACAUUCUUCCUACAGUUGUCGAGAUAUAUACUUUCUGUCUGAUCCAAACAGUGCGUGCAUGCAUUGUAUCCCUUGUUUGACUGUCCUGAAAUGUUACUAAGAGCAGGCCAAUCAUUGAUGGUUACCAAAAGCAACGCUCGAAGGUCAAAUUCCUCUUGUUUGUUCUCGUCCCACACACGUACACCUGGUUCGGCCCAGAGCUGUAAAAGUUCAUCAACUAAUGGCCUUAGGUACACAUCAAUAUUGUUGCCGGGUUGCUUUGGACCUUGUAUAAGCACUGGCAUCAUAAUGAACUUCCGCUUCGUGCACAACCAAGGAGGAAGGUUGUAGAUACAUAGAGUAACGGGCCAGGUGCUGUGACUGUAACUCUGCUCCCCAAAAGGAUUCAUGCCAUCUGUACUCAGACCUAACCAUAAGUUCCUUGCGUCAGCUGCAAAUCUCGGGAACUCUCUCUCGAUUUUUCUCCACUGCCGACCAUCAGUGGUGUGCCUCAACUUAUUGUCUUUCAUACGAUCUUCCAUGUGCCAUCGCAACAACUUUGCAUGAUCUUUAUUUCUGAACAUACGUUUCAACCGUGGUAUUAUAGGAGCAUACCACAUCACCUUGGCAGGAACCCUCUUCCUGGGUGGCUCGCCCUCAAUAGCACCAGGGUCAUCUUUUCUGAUCUUAUACCGCAAUGUAGUGCAUACCGGGCAUUUAUCCAUAUUCUCGUACUUCUCACCGCGGUAGAGGAUGUAGUCAUUAGGGCAUGCAUGUAUCUUCUGCACGUCUAAUCCUAGAGAGCAGACAAGCUUUUUUGCUUCAUACGUGCUGGCGGGCAAUUCGUUCUUUCUUGGAAGCAUCUUCUUCAUCAGUACCAGCAACUUUUCGAAUGACGAGUCAGUCACACCGGUCUCUGCCUUCCACUUCAGCAAUUCCAGUGUGCUACCCACCUUCUUCUGGCCAUCUUCACAAAUUGGGUACAACAAUUUGUUGUGGUCCUGUAACAUCUGCUCGAACUGCAACCUCUCCUUUUCUCUUUUCUGUGUCGCAACCUCGCCGUGCAUCAGAAAUGACCCGGCCAAGAUCAUCAGCGGGCUCAUCUGGUUCCCGUUCUUCAUCCUGAUCUUCUUCUUCAUUGUCUUCCAUUGCGGUAUCAGCAUACUCAGGGAACAUAGAUCGGUAGUUGUCAUCAUCGUUAUCUUCUUCUUCAUCGUCGUCUUCCAUCAUAACCCCUCUUUCUCCGUGCUUGGUCCAAACAUUAUAGCCCGACAUAAAACUGGACCGAAGCAGGUUGCUCUGAAUGACUCUUGAGGAAGUGUAAUCCUUCUCAUUCCAACAUUCAACACAUGGACAAAACAUAUAGCCACCAUCAUGCUUGUUCGCAUCGGCUGCAUCUCGAAAAGAAUGCACGCCUUCUGUGUAAGCGGUUGUGCGUCGAUCACCGUACAUCCAUGGAUGGCUCAUCUGCGUUAUACGACAGUAUAUCAAAUACAAUCACGAUCCUAAAAAUUAGUACUCCACGGUCUAAACGAGGAAAUAUAGUUGCUAACCUUUUAGAAUANNNNNNNNNNNNNNNNNNNNNNNNNNNNNNNNNNNNNNNNNNNNNNNNNNNNNNNNNNNNNNNNNNNNNNNNNNNNNNNNNNNNNNNNNNNNNNNNNNNNNUGAUUAGUAACACGAAAUGUAAGCUACGGCAUAAACGGAGACUAGCUAAAGGCGAGGUGACGAUACGUGUUGGAAGUGUUUCCAAAGGUUGAUAUGAUCAAACGUCACACGCUCCCUCUACCAUCGGGAUUGGUGUUAAACCUAAAUAAUCGUUAUUUGGUGCUUGCGUUAAGCAUGAACAUGAUUGGAUCGUGUUUAUUGCAAUACGAUUAUUCAUUCAAAGAGAAUAAUGCUUACUCUAUUUGCUUGAAUAAUCACCUUCAAUGGUUUAUUGAAUCUCGAUCAUAGUGUUACACAUGUUCAUGAUAUUGGUGCCAAAAGAUACGAGUUAAUGAUGAUAGUACCACUUACUUGUGGCACUGCCGCUUGAGUCAUGAUAGUAUAAACUGCAUGAAGAGGCUCCAUGCUGAUGGAUCUUUGUACUCACCUGAUUUCGAAUCACUAGUGACAUGCAAAUCAUACCACAUGAGCAAGGCCUUGUUUUCAUUGAGAUGAAAUAAGAAAGUAACUUGUUGGAAGUGAUACAUUUUGAUGUAUGCAGUCCAAUGGGUGCUGAGGCACGCAGUGGAUAUCAUUAUGUUCUUACUUCACUAACGAUUUGAGUAGAUACUGGAGUAUUUACUUAAUGAAUCACAAGUCUGAAAUGUUGAAAAGUUCAAUUCUGUUUCAGAGUGAAGUUCGUCGUAACAAGAGGAUAAACUGUCUACGAUAUGAUCAUGGAAAUGAAUAUCUGAGUUACGAGUUUUGGUACGCAGUUAAGACAAUGUGGAAAUUGUUUCGCAGUUCAUGCCACCUGGAACAUCAUAGUGUGAUGAUGUGUCUGAACGUCAUAGCCACGCACUAUUUGGUAUGGUGCAUACUAUGAUGUCUCUUAUCGAAAUACCACUAUCGUUUAUGGGUUAUGCAUUAGACACCGCACUCACUUUAAAUAGGGCACCGCGUAUUUCCGUUGAGAUGACACAGUAUAGAUUGAGGUUUAGAGAAAUCUAAACUGUCGUUUCUUGAAAGUUUGGGGCUUCGACACUUAUGUGAAAAAGUUUCAGUCUGAUAAGCUCGAACUCAAAGCGGAUAAAUGCAUCUUCAUAGGAUAUCCAAAACAGUUGGGUACAUCUCCUAUCUCAGAUCCGAAAGCAAAGUGUUUGUUUCUAGAAACGGAUCCUUUCUCGAGGAAAGGUUUCUCUCGAAAGAAUUGAGUGGGAGGGUAGUAGAACUUGAUGAGGUUAUUGAACCAUCACUUCAACCAGUGUGUAGCAGUGCGCAGGAAGUUGUUCCUGUGGCGCCUACACCAAUUGAAGUGGAAGCUAAUGAUGGUGAUCAUCAAGCAUCGGAUCAAGUUACUACAAGCCUCGUAGGUUGACAAGGUCGCAUACUACUACAGAGUGGUACGGUAACCCUGUCUUGGAGGUCAUGUUGUUGAGCAACAGUGAACCUACGAGUUAUGGAUAAAGCGAUGGUGGGCCCAGAUUCCGACAAAUGGCUGGAAGCCAUGAAAUCCGAGAGAGGAUCCAUGUAUGAAAACAAAGUGUAGACUUUGAAAGAACUACUUGAUGGUCAUAAGACUAUUGAGUAAAGAUGGAUCUUUAAAAGAAGACAGACGAUGAUGGUGAUAAGUCACUAUUAAGAAAAGCUCGACUUGUCGCAAAGAUGUUUUCGACAAGAUCAAACAGUUGACUAUGAUGGGACUUUCUCACUCCUAGCGAUGCUAAAGGUCUGUUAGAAUUAUGUUAGUUGUUGAUGCAUUAUUUAUGAAAUAUUGCACGUAGGAUGUCAAAACAUUGUUUUCUCGACGGUUUCCUUGAGCAAACAUUGUAUGUGAUACAACCAGAAGGUUUUGUCGAUCCUAAAGAUACUAGCAAGUAUGCAAGCUCCAGUGAUCCUUCAAUGGACUGGUGCAAGCAUCUCGGAGUUGGAAUAUACACUUUGAUGAGAUGAUCAAAGAUUUUUGGUUUGUACAAGGUUUAUGAGAAACUUGUAUUUCCAAAGAAGUGAGUGGGAGCACUGUAGAAUUUCUGAUAAGUAUAUGUGGUUGACAUAUUGUGGAUCAGAAGUAAUGUAGAAUUUCUGUAAAACAUACAAGGUUGUUUGAAAGUAGUUUUCAAAGGAAUACCUGGAUUGAGCUACUUGAACGUUGAGCAUCAAAGAUCUAUGGAGAUAGAUCGAAAGCGCUUAAUGGAAGUUUCAACAAGAUGCAUGCCUUGACAAGUUUUUGAAGGAGUUCAAAAUAGAUCAGCAAAGAAGGAGUUCUUGGUUGCGUUGUGAGGUGUGAUUUGAGUAAGACUCAAAACCCGACCCCGGUAGAAUAAAGAGAAUAGACGAAGGUCGUCUUCUAUGCCUUAGCCGUAGAAUCUAAAGUAUGCCAUGCUGUGUACCGCACCUGAUGUGUGCCUUGACUCAAAGUAUGUUAAGAGGUACAGAGAGUGAUCCAUGAUUGAAUCACUAGCAGCGGUCAAAAUUUAUCCUUAGUAACUAAUGGACUAAGGAAUUUUUCUCGAUUAUGGAGAUGCUUAAGGAGUUCGUCGUAAAGGGUUACGUCGAUGCAAGCUUUGACACUAAUCCGAAUAACUAUGAGUAGUGAAACGGAUUCGUAUAGUAGAGUAGAUAUUUGGAGUAUUUCCGAAUAGCACAUAGUAGCAGCAUCUAUAGGAUGACAUAAAGAUUUGUAAAGAACACACGGAUCUGAAAGUUUCAGAACCGUUGACUAAAACCUCUCUCAAGAGCAGGACGUGAUCAGACUCCAUAACUAUAUGGGUGUUGGAUUCGUUGGAAUCACAUGGUCAUGUGAACUAGAUUAUUGACUCUAGUGCAAGUGGGAGACUCUUGGAAAUAUGCCCUAGAGGAAAUAAUAAAUUAGUUAUUAUUAUAUUUCUUAAUUCAUGAUAAUUGUUUAUUAUCCAUGCUAUAAGUAUUGAUUGGAAACACAGUGCAUGUGUAGAUACAUAGACAAAACACUGUCCCUAGUAAGCCUCUAGUUGACUAGCUCGUUGAUCAAAGAUGGCCAAGGUUUCCUGGCCAUAGGCAAUUGUUGUUACUUGAUAACGGGAUCAUAUCAUUAGGAGAAUCAUGUGAUGGACUAGACCCAAACUAAUAGANNNNNNNNNNNNNNNNNNNNNNNNNNNNNNNNNNNNNNNNNNNNNNNNNNNNNNNNNNNNNNNNNNNNNNNNNNNNNNNNNNNNNNNNNNNNNNNNNNNNGCAGCAUUGCAUUAUGUUGGUGUCUAGCCUAACUACAGGAGCACGCGAUCACCAAAGACAACAAAGAAACGAAAGAGGGGCAACACACGUGGUUUCCAGGUGCAUGAACACCUUACCGCACGAACGGCUCCUUCGUAUUUCCGGCGAGCUCGAACUUCAUCUGCAUCUGUUACAACGACCAACACAUGGGUUUUAUAUCGAGGCACACGCUGGACACGAUCCUUAUGCCAGUUGACUAAACUGACGGAGUUAUUCUAGAAGAAGUGUAUAGUAAUCUAUUUCCAAGAUUAUUGCCUUCAGAAAUAACAAAGUGAGAUCAUACAAAUAUGCAUUUUAGGUGGUUAAUUAUCGACAUAUUUAAUCUAGGUAAAAUUGAAGCCAAUCAGUAAGCGGAGACCUCACCUGUUCGUACAAAAUUACCGGAGACCUCACGGGGUCCUAAAAAACAAGUGAAGACCUCAUCGGUUUGAAAAUGCAACCAAGAUUUUGUGUCACCAUGGAUGCCACGUGAGGGCCUGCUCAGGAAAAACUUCGUUUCAUGGAUGCAUAUAAUAGUAAAGAAAUGUCCACUACACACGAUACGCUAGCCACACAACGACCUUCCGAGCANNNNNNNNNNNNNNNNNNNNNNNNNNNNNNNNNNNNNNNNNNNNNNNNNNNNNNNNNNNNNNNNNNNNNNNNNNNNNNNNNNNNNNNNNNNNNNNNNNNNGGAAGGGGAGCAAAGACUACAAACCUCAAGGAGGCAAAAAGGAAACCCAUUUAAGGAGAUCAUCCCUGAAACUAGCCUUAAUUCUAUGAGCUAACAGGAAAAUGUCAUGAAUGAAGCCAGAUCUCCAUUUUCUGAACUUUGGCUGCUCCUGGUUGAAGACCUUUGCAUUUCUGAUAGUCCAGAUGUUACAACAUGUAGUGAAGACCACCUCAGCAAAGAAGGGGUUAUGGAAGUCCCUUUUAGCAGCAACAGUAGCACUCCACAUGGAUGGACCCUGCCAUGUUAUCUGCAGAUAAUUUCAGACCCUGGUACUGAAGAGACGGGUGAAGAAUAAGUGAUCCCUGUCUUCCUUGACUCGAGCGUGACAUAGAACACAUAGAUUGGAGUCGGAAACAUUGCAGUGACGCCGUUCAAGCAUGUCUUGAGUAUUAAGCCUGUCCAUGAUGAGCAUCCAGGCAAACAUCUUAAUCUUCAUGGUACAACAACUUCUCCAGAUCAAGUUGAGUAAAGGAUUUGGUGUAAUACUGCUGUGAAUGUGAGCAUAGUAACUCUUGGCUGUGUAGGCCUUAGCAUCCUUUCCCCAUACCCAUCUGUCAGAGGCCUGAUGAUCAAGAUCCAGGUCUUGAAGCAAAGAUUGGACCGAAAGCAGGUCCUGGUAAGCUUGAGCAGACAGUGGUAAGUGGAACAUGGAGAGCAUGCUGUCAUCAUAAAAGGCUGUAAAGACCUCUUGAGCUGUGCAGAAAGGAUCAGUCACAAAAUAAAACAGUCUUUGGAAUCUGGCAGCCAGUGGCAUAAUGGAGUUUCCAAUCAACCAGGAGUUAGACCAAAACAGGAAGGAGUCACCCUUGUUCGGCAGAACAUAUGUAACUGAUCUGAAUUUAUCAAGCUGUUUAAAGAUAUCGUUCCACCGAAAAGAACCACAAAGGGCAGUUCCCUGAGGUACUAUGUCAUGAUAGUAGGUGUUCAAAUCAAGUGAACCCAAGGGAUAUCAGCAUGAUUGACGAAUUUAUCAACAUGCUUGAGCAGGAAUGCUUCAUUCUGGACUGCUAGGUUCAUAAUCCUAGCCCCCUCUAUUUUUAGGCCUGCACACCAGAGGCCAAGCAGCAAGAGAGGGGGCAUGAUCAUUCUCAUUUCUUCUCCAUAGACAUUGCCUUUGAAUUCUCUCAAGUAGCUUCAGUAUGCCUGGUGGGAUAUCCAGACUGCAUAGNNNNNNNNNNNNNNNNNNNNNNNNNNNNNNNNNNNNNNNNNNNNNNNNNNNNNNNNNNNNNNNNNNNNNNNNNNNNNNNNNNNNNNNNNNNNNNNNNNNNNNNNNNNNNNNNNNNNNNNNNNNNNNNNNNNNNNNNNNNNNNNNNNNNNNNNNNNNNNNNNNNNNNNNNNNNNNNNNNNNNNNNNNNNNNNNNNNNNNNNNNNNNNNNNNNNNNNNNNNNNNNNNNNNNNNNNNNNNNNNNNNNNNNNNNNNNNNNNNNNNNNNNNNNNNNNNNNNNNNNNNNNNNNNNNNNNNNNNNNNNNNNNNNNNNNNNNNNNNNNNNNNNNNNNNNNNNNNNNNNNNNNNNNNNNNNNNNNNNNNNNNNNNNNNNNNNNNNNNNNNNNNNNNNNNNNNNNNNNNNNNNNNNNNNNNNNNNNNNNNNNNNNNNNNNNNNNNNNNNNNNNNNNNNNNNNNNNNNNNNNNNNNNNNNNNNNNNNNNNNNNNNNNNNNNNNNNNNNNNNNNNNNNNNNNNNNNNNNNNNNNNNNNNNNNNNNNNNNNNNNNNNNNNNNNNNNNNNNNNNNNNNNNNNNNNNNNNNNNNNNNNNNNNNNNNNNNNNNNNNNNNNNNNNNNNNNNNNNNNNNNNNNNNNNNNNNNNNNNNNNNNNNNNNNNNNNNNNNNNNNNNNNNNNNNNNNNNNNNNNNNNNNNNNNNNNNNNNNNNNNNNNNNNNNNNNNNNNNNNNNNNNNNNNNNNNNNNNNNNNNNNNNNNNNNNNNNNNNNNNNNNNNNNNNNNNNNNNNNNNNNNNNNNNNNNNNNNNNNNNNNNNNNNNNNNNNNNNNNNNNNNNNNNNNNNNNNNNNNNNNNNNNNNNNNNNNNNNNNNNNNNNNNNNNNNNNNNNNNNNNNNNNNNNNNNNNNNNNNNNNNNNNNNNNNNNNNNNNNNNNNNNNNNNNNNNNNNNNNNNNNNNNNNNNNNNNNNNNNNNNNNNNNNNNNNNNNNNNNNNNNNNNNNNNNNNNNNNNNNNNNNNNNNNNNNNNNNNNNNNNNNNNNNNNNNNNNNNNNNNNNNNNNNNNNNNNNNNNNNNNNNNNNNNNNNNNNNNNNNNNNNNNNNNNNNNNNNNNNNNNNNNNNNNNNNNNNNNNNNNNNNNNNNNNNNNNNNNNNNNNNNNNNNNNNNNNNNNNNNNNNNNNNNNNNNNNNNNNNNNNNNNNNNNNNNNNNNNNNNNNNNNNNNNNNNNNNNNNNNNNNNNNNNNNNNNNNNNNNNNNNNNNNNNNNNNNNNNNNNNNNNNNNNNNNNNNNNNNNNNNNNNNNNNNNNNNNNNNNNNNNNUGACACGAUCAACAUGCUAUGUCUAUUAGUUUGGGUCUAGUCCAUCACAUGAUUCUCCUAAUGAUGUGAUCCCGUUAUCAAGUGACAACACUUGCCUAUGGCCAGGAAACCUUGACCAUCUUUGAUCAACGAGCUAGUCAACUAGAGGCUUACUAGGGACAGUGUUUUGUCUAUGUAUCCACACAAGUAUUGUGUUUCCAAUCAAUACAAUUAUAGCAUGGAUAAUAANNNNNNNNNNNNNNNNNNNNNNNNNNNNNNNNNNNNNNNNNNNNNNNNNNNNNNNNNNNNNNNNNNNNNNNNNNNNNNNNNNNNNNNNNNNNNNNNNNNNNNNNNNNNNNNNNNNNNNNNNNNNNNNNNNNNNNNNNNNNNNNNACGUUUGAUACACACAAAGCAUUCCUCCGGUGUCCGUGAGUUAUAUGAUCUCAUGGUCAUAGGAACAAAUACUUGACACGCAGAAAACAGUAGCAACAAAAUGACACGAUCAACAUGCUANNNNNNNNNNNNNNNNNNNNNNNNNNNNNNNNNNNNNNNNNNNNNNNNNNNNNNNNNNNNNNNNNNNNNNNNNNNNNNNNNNNNNNNNNNNNNNNNNNNNGGUGUGAUAGAUUCUAACGGUCGCACACAACGGGUGUAAGCCAGAUUUACACACGCAAAACACCUAGGUUGACUCGACGAGCUUAGCAUGUACAGACAUGACCUCGAAUACAAGAGACUGAAAGUUCGAACAUGAGUCGUAUGGUUGAAUACGAUCAGCAUGAAGUUGCUCACCAUGGUGACUAGUCUGUCUCACGUGAUGAUCGAACACGGGUUAGUCAACAUGGAUCAUGUAUCACUUAGAUGACUAGAGGGAUGUCAAUUUAAGUGGGAGUUCAUANNNNNNNNNNNNNNNNNNNNNNNNNNNNNNNNNNNNNNNNNNNNNNNNNNNNNNNNNNNNNNNNNNNNNNNNNNUUUUACAUCUUAUUGCUUAAAACGACGGUAGCAUAAUAAGAUGAUCCCUCUUAAAAUUUCGAGAACGUAUUCCCCUAAGUGUGCACCGUUGCGAAGGUUCGUUGUCUCGAAGCACCACGUGAUGAUCGGGUGUGAUAGAUUCUAACGNNNNNNNNNNNNNNNNNNNNNNNNNNNNNNNNNNNNNNNNNNNNNNNNNNNNNNNNNNNNNNNNNNNNNNNNNNNNNNNNNNNNNNNNNNNNNNNNNNNNNNNNNNNNNNNNNNNNNNNNNNNNNNNNNNNNNNNNNNNNNNNNNNNNNNNNNNNNNNNNNNNNNNNNNNNNNNNNNNNNNNNNNNNNNNNNNNNNNNNNNNNNNNNNNNNNNNNNNNNNNNNNNNNNNNNNNNNNNNNNNNNNNNNNNNNNNNNNNNNNNNNNNNNNNNNNNNNNNNNNNNNNNNNNNNNNNNNNNNNNNNNNNNNNNNNNNNNNNNNNNNNNNNNNNNNNNNNNNNNNNNNNNNNNNNNNNNNNNNNNNNNNNNNNNNNNNNNNNNNNNNNNNNNNNNNNNNNNNNNNNNNNNNNNNNNNNNNNNNNNNNNNNNNNNNNNNNNNNNNNNNNNNNNNNNNNNNNNNNNNNNNNNNNNAUUUAAGUGGGAGUUCAUACUUAAUUUGAUUAAAUGAACUUAAUUGUCAUGAACUUAGUCUAAAAGUUGUCUUUAUAAAUAUUGUAGAUGUCCAACGUCAACCUCAAUUUCAACGCAUUCCUAGAGAAAAACAANNNNNNNNNNNNNNNNNNNNNNNNNNNNNNNNNNNNNNNNNNNNNNNNNNNNNNNNNNNNNNNNNNNNNNNNNNNNNNNNNNNNNNNNNNNNNNNNNNNNUAUAAUAACAAAAAAUAAUUAAAGUGAGUAAUUUAUACAAGUAUGCAUCUAAAUCAUACAAGUAAGAUUUUUUGAUUUUAAAAAGAAGAUGAGAACAAGAGGCUCACCACGGUGGUGCUCGCAGUUGGUGCACGGCCAAACCUAGACAAAUAUUAAGGAAAAUGGAGCUUGGAGGUCGAGUUUGGAGAGGAGAAAGCUUAAGUAGAGUGGCUCGGGCAUUUCAUCGAACACGUCAUGUGCAUGAACUAGAGUGGCAGGAGCAUGGCAUGGUCACACUUCAACAACCAAAAAACAGGGGAUAUGGCGGGCAGGGGCGAGGGUUUAUAUAGGCAACACUUUAGUCCCGGUUCUUGCCACGCCCCGGGACUAAAGGCCCCUGCUUCCCGCCUUCUGGUCUGCCGAAAAAGGGCCUUUAGUCCUGGGGCGUGGCUCCACUCGGGACUAAAGGAUGCCUUUAGUCCCGGUUCGAGCCACGUCCCGGGACUAAAGGCCCCUGCUUCCCGCCUUUUGGCCUGCCCGAAAAAGGGCCUUUAGUCCUGGGUCGUGUCUCCACCCGGGACUAAAGGGGUCUUUAGUCCCGGAUCAAGCCCCGAACCGGGACUAAAGAUCCACCUGUAUAAGCGGGAGUUAGAAAAUUUCGAACCCAAAUCGUCCAUUUCUCUUCUUCUUCCUCUCGUUCUCCUGCCCGGCGCGGCAAGCGACGAAUUCGACGACGCCGUCAGGCUGCCCGCCGUCCUGCUCGCCGCCGCCUGCAGUCCUCCUCGCCGUCGCCGUCGUCCUGCUCGCCGCCGCCGUCCUCCUCGCCGCGCGCCGCCCUCCUAGCCGCGCGGCGCCCUCCUCGCCGUGCGCCGUCGACACCUCCGGUCGAUAAGCCCCACGCCCCCUCCUCCCCAACACUCCGGCCAGCACAAGCAAAGAAGAAAAAGGAGAAGCUUAAGUGUUAAUAGUUUUUCUUAGAUUAUUGCUUAAUUUUGCUAUUGUAUAUGCUUAAGUGUUAAUAGUUUAAUUUUUCUAUUGUAUAUGCUUAAGUGUUAAUAGUUUAUUUUUAGCAAGAAAAUUAAUAGAACUAGUUUAAUUUUGCUAUUGUAUAUGCUUAAGUGUCCGGGACUGGGCUCUGCCCGGCUGGUAUUUUAGAGUUUAGGUUCUAGCUAAGACCCGGGACUAAAGGUCCUCCUAUAUAAAACGAGCCUUCGAAGUGUCCAACCCCACUUAUAUAGUUUGUUAGUUUAUUAGUUAAUCAAAUGUCCGUUUUUUGCAGAACUAUGGAUCCACAUAUCAGGAACCUCGAAGAGGAAGAACUUCUCGAAGAUAUAAUCAAAGACGGCCCCGACGUUGAACCAGCAGAAUCUCCGACGUCAUAUCUAAACGACUCCGGAUAUGGAAUGGAGGUCGAGCGACACGAAGAUGAAGCCGAUGGGGCAGGAGAUAGGUCCAAUGACGGAGAAGGUGAUAGCUCCACUGAUGGAGAAUCCGGUGGAGAAGCCGGUGAAGAAAUAAUAAAGUCCGGCGAGGUAUACAUAAGAAGUUCGACAAUUACUUGUAAUAUGUGAAAAAUAUUGGAGAUAGCUCUAUAUUGUAUACAUAUACAUUCAUUUGACGAAUGUUUCUCCCUCUUAGGCCUCCACAUCGAGCAAAUCUACGAAACGAGGCCCGACUAGAAAGUUGGAUGCACGGACGCAUUACACCUUUGAGGUGAUAAUGCCUACGGGCGAACCCAAGCUUCCUAAGAAUGCUGCUAACACAUUCAAGAAGCAAUGCGGAGUUCUCGUUAGGGAUCACGUCCCGAUCAGCGUUCGGGAGUGGAACAAGCGCAAAGGGGCAGCCGAUAGUGACUAUGUCGCCGAAAGGUACAAAGAUAAUCUUUGGAAUGAUCUCAUGUCACAUUUCAACCUGCCAGAAUGUGAGAAUGAAGACGCCGCAGACAAACUGAGGGCCAAAGUCAAGCAGUGGACUCUAAAGAAGAUGGCCGAACUGUUCCGUAGCUGGAAGAAGAAGCUAUGGAAAGCCUAUCUGGAGACAAAGAAAGUGCCAGUAUUCGAGGGGUAUCUAGCCAAGCAGGAGAAUCACUGGAAGGAAUUUCAAGAGUACAAGGAGUCAGAAGAUGCCCAUGCAUUAUCAGAAAAGAACAAGAUAAAUGCCGACAAGAAGAAAUAUCACCACAAGCUGGGGCCAGGGGGCUAUGAGACUGCCAUCCCAAAGUGGGAAAAUAAAGAGCAAGAUCUGAUAGAUAAAGGCAUCGUACCUAAACCACUCCGUGAUGAGUGGGAAUUGAGAGCAAGAAAUUGGUUCCUUGCGCAUGGUGGGUCGUACGACGAAACAACAGGGGACCUCAUCUGCAAUGACAAUCUUAGGAUACCCAGGGAGAAUUGGAAAAGGAUAGUGAAAGAAAUUAAGGAGGGACAAAGAAAGUUCACUACAGAUAGAGAUAAAGAUUUGCUCACACUGGUCCUCGGCAAUGACGAACAUGGAGGACAAACGGGAGGCUUCGGUCCAUCUUACCCGUGCUGGCUUGGGUUUGCCAGAGACCAAGACACUUAUAGAAGCCGAGAGAGAGCAAAGAAGCGGCAGCAGGAUGAGGAGAAUGACAAGUUCAACCAGUUGCUUGCCAGGAUUAACGAGCAACAGAAGCAGAUUGAUGAGCUUAGAGGAGUACCGCGCCAGGAAGAUCCUGCACUUGAUAUUACCGGCGCCCCAUCUAAGCGGAAAAGCAGCAUGGCUGAAUCUGAGGCCCCGCCCGACGAUGCAUGAAGAAUGAUAGAGGGCGGUCCCGGCUACCCCGUGGAUGGAAUCAAGGAGUCAACAUCAUGUGAACUCCAUCAGAAAUUCAAGAACAUAUCCAUGAAGGUGGCCGUCGGACAAGCUUUACCUUCUGGCCCUGAUGCACGCUGGCAUGGCCGUGAUAUUCCAUCUGGCUUUGCUAAAGUCGGGGUGGAUGAAAUCAUGAUGGGGUUUAAUGAUAUGGAGCUCGACAUAGCUGGACCCGAAGAUGAGAGGACACGACAACACCGCCUCCGAGUCAUUGCAGGUCACCUACACCUCCAUUACCUCCAAACCCUCCACAUGACGUCGGCCAGCACAACACGAGUCCAUCUCGAUCACCGCCGCCGGACUUGGGUCGUCCGUCUCCGCCGCAUUUUCAAUUUCAAACACUUUUCAUUUUCAUAGUUUUGUCAAAUUCUCAAAUAUGCAAAAAGAAUUUUAGUAAACAUAGUUUUUAAUUGAAAAUAACAAAAUGGUUAAUAGUUUGGAUAGUCAAAAUAAUUAAUUUGAAAAUAGAAAAUAGUUUUGAAUUAUUUAUUCAAUUUCAAACACUUUUCAUUUUCAUAGUUUUGUCAAAUUCUCAAAUAUGCAAAAAGAAUUUUUAAUAAACAUAGUUUUUAAUUGAAAAUAACAAAAUAGUCACUGGUAGAAAAAGAGGCUUCCGUCCAGCCCCAUAAGUCGCGAAACUGUAGGAACCGCGACUAAUGAUUUCUUUAGUCGCGGUUCGGCAGACGAACCGCGACCAAAGGCCUGGGCCAGGGCGCUCGGUGGCCAGCUGGUGCACGUGAGGGGCUUCAGUCGCGGUUGGCCGGGCCAACCGCGACUAAAGGUGCCCAAAGGCCUUUAGUCGCGGUUGGCCAUGCCAACCGCGACUAAAUCUCCUCCCCUAUAUAUACCAGUUCAGCACACUCACUUAGCCAUUUGGUGCCACUUCUCUUCACAAGCUUCACAAGGGGGUGUAGGUUUGCUUUUGGUUCCUCUUAUGCACACAAGGUGUUUGAUGAAAUGCCCCAAGAGCGUGAAACAAACAUGAUAUGAAGUGUUGGAGCCACACUUGAGGUUCCUCAUUUAUUUUUUCCUCCUCGAUCGCGGUUAGCAACUUGAACCUUUCAUGCAUGUGUGUCAUUGAUAAAAUAUGCAUGUGUGUUGUUCAUUGUUUAAUUUCUAUUGUUUAUAGCUAGUUAGUUUAACAAAUGCAUGAUGGUUAAUUAUAUAUUUUAUAUUUUAAUAAUGCAGAUGAAUCGGCAAUGGAUGUACGGUAACCGACUCUCCCGCGAGUUCACUACGGGUUUGAAAGAUUUCCUCGUAGUGGCUAAUGCGAACAAGCAGAAGGGUUUUGUUAUCUGUCCAUGUGUUGACUGUAAGAAUCAGAAGGGUUACUCUUCCUCAAGAGAAGUUCACCUGCACCUGCUUCGGCACGGUUUCAUGCCAAGCUAUAAUUGUUGGACCAAGCAUGGAGAAAGAGGGGUUAUAAUGGAAGAAGAUGAAGAAGGGGAUGAUUUCAUCGAUGAAAGCUAUCUUGCUCAUUUCGGUGAUACUUUCAUGGAGGAUGCUGAAGGUGAAGGGGAAGGUGAAGGUGAAGAAGAGGCACGUGAUGAGACCGUUGAUGAUCUUGGUCGGACCAUUGCUGAUGCACGGAGACGCUGCGAAACUGAAAAGGAGAGGGAGAAUUUGGAUCGCAUGUUAAAGGAUCACAGAAAGUCGUUGUACCCCGGAUGCGAUGAUGGUCUGAAAAAGCUGGGCUGCACACUGGAUUUGCUGAAAUGGAAGGCACAGGCAGGUGUAGCUGACUCGGCAUUUGAAAACUUGCUGAAAAUGUUGAAGAAUAUGUUUCCAAAGAAUAACGAGUUGCCCGCCAGUACGUACGAAGCAAAGAAGGUUGUCUGCCCUCUAGGUUUAGAGGUUCUGAAGAUACAUGCAUGCAUCAACGACUGCAUCCUCUACCGCGGUGAAUACGAGAAUUUGAAUGAAUGCCCGGUAUGCACUGCAUUGCGUUAUAAGAUCAGAGGCGAUGACCCUGGUGACGAUGUUGAGGGCGAGAAACCCAGGAAGAGGGUUCCCGCCAAGGUGAUGUGGUAUGCUCCUAUAAUACCACGGUUGAAACGUCUGUUCAGGAACAAAGAGCAUGCCAAGUUGUUGCGAUGGCACAAAGAGGACCGUAAGUCGGACGGGGAGUUGAGACACACCGCAGAUGGAACGCAAUGGAGAAAGAUCAACAGAGAGUUCAAAGAUUUUGCAGCUGACGCAAGGAACAUAAGAUUUGGUCUAAGUACAGAUGGCAUGAAUCCUUUUGGCGAGCAGAGCUCCAGCCAUAGCACCUGGCCCGUGACUCUAUGCAUCUACAACCUUCCUCCUUGGUUGUGCAUGAAGGGAAGUUCAUUAUGAUGCCAGUGCUCAUCCAAGGUCCGAAGCAACCCGGCAACGACAUCGAUGUGUACCUAAGGCCAUUAGUUGAUGAACUUUUACAGCUGUGGGGCAGACCUGGUGUCCGUGUGUGGGAUGAGCACAAAGAAGAGGAAUUUGACCUACGAGCGUUGCUUUUCGUAACCAUCAACGAUUGGCCUGCUCUUAGUAACCUUUCGGGACUGUCAAAUAAGGGAUACAAUGCAUGCACGCACUGCUUACAUGAGACUGAAAGUGUACAUUUGCCAAAUUGUAAGAAGAACGUGUACCUUGGGCAUCGUCGAUUUCUUCCGAAAAUUCAUCCAAUAAGAAAGAAAGGCAAGCAUUACAACGGCAAGGCAGAUCACCGGCCGAAGCCUGCGGAAUGCACUGGUGCUGAGGUAUUUGAUAUGGUCAAGGAUUUGAAAGUCAUCUUUGGAAAGGGUCCUGGCGGACAAUCAGUUCCGAAGGGAGCUGACGGGCACGCAGCCAUGUGGAAGAAGAAAUCUAUAUUCUGGGAGCUAGAAUAUUGGAAAGUCCUAGAAGUCCGCUCUGCAAUCGACGUGAUGCACGUUACGAAGAAUAUUUACGUGAACCUCCUAAGCUUCUUGGGCGUGUAUGGGAAGACAAAUGAUACAAAGGAAGCACGGCAGGACCAGCAACGUUUGAAAGACCCUGAUGACCGGCAUCCGGAAUGGUUUCAAGGUCGUGCCAGCUACGCUGUGACCAAAGAAGAGAAGGUCAUCUUUUUUGAAUGCCUGAGCAGUAUGAAGGUCCCGUCUGGAUUCUUGUCCAAUAUAAAGGGAAUAAUAAACAUGGCGGAGAAAAAGUUCCAAAACCUAAAGUCUCACGACUGCCACGUGAUUAUGACGCAAUUGCUUCCGAUUGCUUUGAGGGGGCUCCUGCCGGAAAAUGUUCGAGUAGCCAUUGUGAAGCUAUGUGCAUUCCUCAAUGCAAUCUCUCAGAAGGUAAUCAAUCCAGAAGUUCUACCACAGUUACAGAACGAUGUGAUCCAAUGUCUUGUCAGUUUCGAGUUGGUGUUCCCGCCAUCCUUCUUCAAUAUUAUGACGCACCUCUUGGUUCACCUAGUCGAAGAGAUUUUCAUUCUCGGUCCUAUAUUUCUACACAAUAUGUUCCCCUUCGAGAGGUUCAUGGGAGUAUUAAAGAAAUAUGUUCGUAACCGUGCUAGGCCAGAAGGAAGCAUCGCCAAGGGCUAUGGAAAUGAGGAGGUAAUUGAGUUUUGUGUUGACUUUGUUCCUGACCUUAAGCCGAUUGGUCUUCCUCGAUCGCGGCACGAGGGGAGACUAAGUGGAAAAGGCACGAUCGGAAGGAAAUCAUCGAUAUGUAUGGACGGCCAUUCUCUGACUGAAGCACACCACAAUGUACUGACCAAUUCCAGCUUGGUGGCUCCGUACUUUGAGAAACACAAGAAUGUUUUACGCUCGGACAACCCGGGGAAGCCUGAAUCCUGGAUUAGGAAGGCCCACAUGGAGACUUUCGGCAGUUGGUUGAGAAAACAUUUAAUGAAUGACAAUGAUGUUGUAGAUCAGCUGUACAUGUUGGCCAAGACACCAUCUUCGACUAUAACGACUUUCCAAGGGUACGAGAUAAAUGGGAAUACAUUUUACACGAUCGCCCAAGAUAAAAAGAGCACCAACCAAAACAGUGGUGUCCGCUUUGAUGCAGCAACCGAGAAUGGGCAAAAGGUCACAUAUUAUGGUUACAUAGAGGAGAUAUGGGAACUUGACUAUGGACCCUCCUUUAAGGUCCCUUUGUUCCGGUGCAAAUGGUUCAAGCUAACAGGAGGUGGGGUAAAGGUGGACCAGCAAUACGGAAUGACAAUGGUGGAUUUCAACAAUCUUGGUUACCUUGACGAACCAUUCGUCCUAGCGAAAGAUGUCGCUCAGGUUUUCUAUGUGAAGGACAUGAGUAGCAAACCGAGGAAACGGAAAGAUAAGAAAACGAUCAGUACAUCAUGCGAUGAUCCAAAGCGCCACAUUGUUCUUUCAGGGAAAAGAAACAUCGUGGGAGUGGAGGACAAGACAGACAUGUCAGAAGAUUAUAAUAUGUUUGCUGAAAUUCCGCCCUUCAAAGUGAACACCGACCCAAGCAUUAAGUUAAAUGAUGAGGAUGCUCCAUGGAUACGGCACAAUCGUAAGCAAGCAGGGACACAAGGGAAGAAAUGAUGUGUAAUAAUUUAUUGUACCAAACUUUGUUGAAUGGAUCAUGUGAAUUAUAUUACCCGUGAUGUGUUUGGUGUCCAUUUUCGAAUGAUUCGAGAUACCACUGAAGAUACAUGAAAUUUGGAGUGAUUUAGUCAUACUCCUGCCUAGGCGUAUAAUAUGCAUACUCGUAGUCUUCAUAGCCGCCGUCGUCGUUGUACUGGUAGUCGUCGCCUUCUAAGUUGCCGCCGUCGUCGUCGCUGCUGUCGUCGCUGUCGUCGGGCGGCGCUCGUGGCUCGAACUGAGGGUAGCGCAGGCGGGGGAUAUCGCCGGCCGUGAUGUAGUCCAUGACGCUCUGCAGAGUCCGGCCGUACCAACAUAGCCGACGGCCGGCCUCGUGGAAGUUCCCAGGAGGCAGACCGUCCUCCUCAUACCUGGCGAGCGCCCUCUCACGCCGAUUGAUGAAGAAGGCGUCCCAAGUAUGCUGGUUAUCGGGAUGCCAGCGGGGAUUCAUCCGCUGCUCCGGCGUGAGGUCGAGGUAGUAGUGGUUCGUGAUGGCCGCCCGGCGCGCAGUACCCUGAGGGACGGGAGGGACCGGCACGCCGCCGGCGCUUAGGCUCCAGCCGGUGGGGACGCGGUAGCCCGGUGGACAAGGGUAGUUCGAGGCGCAAAGCUCCUCCACCUGCUGGUAGGUUAGAGUGGGUGCGGUGGAAGCCAUGAGAGAGUGAUGAGAGAUUGUAGAGAUGUGAUAAUGCUGGCCAAGCCGGGCUACAUAUAUGUAGUGAGAAAUGGCGGGAAAAAUGGGAGCGGGAAGACAGGAGGCGGGAAGAAAGUGGCGGGAAGAAAGAGGCGGGAAGACAGGGAAGAAAUGGCGGGAAGAAGAGGAAUCCAGAGCUGGUCAUCUAACCUUUAGUCCCGGCUGGUUGGUGCAACCGGGACUAAAUGUGGUUUUUUGAUAUAUUAUUUGUAUUUUUAAGAUUUUGAAAAAGAAAAGUAUUUUGAAAAAUACCUUUAGUCGCGGUUGGCCUGGCCAACCGCGACUAAAGUUUACCCUUUAGUCGCGGGUCGCCUCCCCAACCGCGACUAAAGGUCGUUGGGCGCGGGAACGAAAAACCCGCCAAAAAACCCUUUAGUCGCGGUUGGUCUGGCCAACCGCGACUAAAGGUUACCCUUUAGUCGCGGGUCGCCUCCCCAACCGCGACUAAAGGGGGGGGGACUAUAAAUACAAGCCCGAACCGUCGCCUCUUCUCGUCUUCUCCGAUCUCUGCCGCGCCGAAGGCCUGCCGCCAUCGCCCUCGCCCUCGACGCCGCCCGCCGUCGCCCUCGCCCUCGACGCCGCCCGCCGUCGCCCGCCGUCGCCCUCGCCCUCGACGCCGCCCCCUCUCGCCCACGUACGGCGCCGCCGGCCGCUAUCACCGGCCUCCCUCGCCCACCGCGCGCGCGCCGCCUCGCCCGCCCGCCCUCAACGCCGCCGGUGCUGCCCGCUCUGCUACUGCUAACUAGAGCGCCGACGAGCCACCGCCCACCCUCACCGGAGUAAAAAUCCUCAUCGGAGGGGUCGCCGCCAUAGCUCCCCUGCACGACCUUGAAAAAAGUUUUUCGGACAUUUUCAAAGAUAUUUUAUACAAUGUAAAAAAUAUUUUUUGCGUAAUAUAAGAAAUGUUUUGAAACAUUAAAAAGAUGUAUGUGACAUUUGAGAAAAACAAAUCCAACAAUUCAAAAAAGAUUCAUGACAUUUUUAAAUUUGUUUAUACAAUGUUCAAAUGUUGUUCCAUAGGUUAGAAAAUGUUGUUCCAUAGGUUAGAAAUUUUUCCUUUCUUGAAAUUCCUCUAUAAGCGUAGGGAAUUUGGAAAAUAAAACCUUCAACGUAUGAAAUGAGCUGAUUUGCAGGAACUAUCCAACUCUAUCUCAUUUGCCUCAUACGGAAAAACGGUUUAGAAAUAGGAUCGAAAAUACGAUUCUUGUUUUUUUGUAUCAACAAAAAUGGUUUUCAAAACUAUAUUUAAACUAUGAACAUUUUGACAAAAAAUUAAACUAGGCACACGGAGAACUUGAUAAUUAACAACAAAAAAAGUAUACGGAGAGGGGGCGGCGAGGGGGGCGGCGAUGCGCGCGGCCAGCAGCGGAGAAGCAGCGUGGCUUCCACGGAGGCCCCACCAGCUGGUGCAGAUGCACCGACGAUCGAAAUUACUGCACCGGAGCCUCUGGUGGUCGAAAUUACUGCACCGGAGCCUCUGGUGGUCGAAAUUACUGCACCGGAGCCUCCUCGCUACCCCGUGGACGAUAUAAAGGAGAUGAAAGAAUGUCAUCUGUAUUAUCCUAUCGGGAACAUGUCCAUGAAGGUAGCCAUCGGCAGUGCUUUACCAUGUUUACCUGGAGCACUCCACCACAACAACCCCAUUCAAGAUGGCUAUGCUCGUGUCACGGUGGAGGACAUAGUCCAAGGGUUUGAGGACCUGGAGAUUGACAUUGCUACACCUGAAGGGGAGAAAAGACUUGGAGAUGUCAAGCGCCAUUUCAUUCUAUGGCAAAAGAAGUUUAUCAAGUUUCCAGGCGAGGCGCCAAGGACAACAAGUCCACCCCCCUACGGUGGUGGUGGUGGCGGUGGCGGUGGUGGUGGUGGUGGUGGUGGUGGCGGUUCACCUACACCUCCGUCACGUCAACCGACGCCCCCCAGUCCACAACGUCCGGCGGGUGAUCAGACGCCGCCCCCCAGUCCUCGUCCGGCGGGUGAUCAGACGCCGCCCCCCAAUCCACCUCCGGCAAAGAAGCAGAAGCAGUCCUGGAUUAUGAACCCGGACCCUUAUGUACCUAAGACCACAAAGGUACCGGAGCCAUCACUGAAGCCUCUCCCCACAAGGCCUUGGGAACGUAGUGCCGAGGAAACUGCCGCGGCCGCGGCUGCUGAUCAUGAGAAAUGGAAGGCGGACUGCAAGAAGAAAAGAGAGCCCGAGCCCAAGCCAGUAUUUUCUGAUGAGCAAAAGAAGUGGGCUAAGUCAUUUUUGAGCACACCGUCCCAAGCCGCGAAGAAUCUGCCUGACGACUAUGCACGUGAACUUCGUAGGCAGGCAUUCAUGUUGAAGGAGAAGAAAGAGCGGGCGGAGAACCAGGAGAACAAAGCCUUGGAGGAGGCCGAGAAAACGGAAUUAGAAAGUAAAAAAAGCGGGAAACGAGUUGCCCAGCUCGGGGAACAAAGUAAACAAUCGAUUGCCCCGCUUAUAGUGAAAGCCGCCGGUCCGGAUGACCCUGAUAUCAUAGCAGCUGCGGCAGCACAUGGAUUGACUGUAACGAGUGCCAGAGAACAAGCGGCCAACUUAGGUAUUACUCUUCGUGAACUGUUAGGCCUUGAUGAGGCGCCAGUGAAGGAGGUAGUAAUUACAUAUGUGAAGAAUGGGCCUCUCGUCGAGCCUGCGCAGGAAGAGGAUCUACCUCCACAAAUGAAAGGUCUGCUGAAAUGGUACAAGGGUUACAUAAAAAAUAAAAACGCCAAAGAAUAUAUUUAUGCGGAAGUUAGAUAUGAGCAUCACUUCAAACAUUACUAUGUACAAAUUCAUCUGAGUGAAUUGUUCCAGCUUUUCAAUCUGCGCGAGCUCGACAAAUCUAUCAUCAGUUGCUACGUUCUGUAAGUGAUUUAUUUCUACCCCAUCUCGUUCAUAUUGCCUGCACUAUAUAUAUGUCGUAACUAUAUUGUUGUGUCCGCUAUUAUACAUGCAGAAUGAAGAUUAAGGAAUGCAGAGUAAGGAACAUCCAUGAUGUUGGGUUCAUUGACCCACACAUCGUUAAUGGAUAUGUGUUGGAGCAUCACCCCGCCGACAUGGAGGCAGACCUGUGGCAGUUUCUUACAAAGCAGGAACUCAAAAGUGAUAUUCUAUUUCCUUACCAUUUUGGCUGAGUGUUUCUGUCUUGAGCACAUUCUCUUUUGUUUACUCCAUGCAUGGUAUGUGGCCGGCUAAUCGAUGAGUUAUGCAUGACGUACUGUGCAUGUAUCGUGUCCGCAGGUUCCACUGGAUUCUGCUAGUAAUUAAAGUUGACACCUCAGAAUGUCUCGUCCACGACUCUCUGAAUAUGGAUCCAAAGCUUUGGGGCGGCAUGAGAAGAAUGCUGCAGAAGUAAUUAUUUUCAUUCAUUUGCGCUCUAUAUCGAUCGGCCUAUUUCGUUCAUUUCCUAAUAUCAAGUAACUAAUAACUCUCUUGUUCAUUUAAUUUUCUUUGCCUCGUAGGGUUUGGAGACGGUUCGUAGAUACAAAGGUCGGUGAAUUCAAAAAAGAGCUAGAAUUCAAAAGGUCAAAGGCUAAGAAUGGUGGGGAUAUUCAGCCAGCGGGGACCAAUCUAUGUGGAUACUAUGUCUGUGAGAUGAUCCGGAGAUACACCUCUGAGCGGGUUCCGAGUGAUACCAAUGCUCAGCGGAAUAACCUCCGGGUGAUGCUUAGUCCAGAAGCUCGCUUCCGACCACUUCAAGAGGAACUAGCUGGAUGGUUCAGGAGGGAAGUCCUCCAUCCUAAAGGAGAACACCAUUACGACGACGUAGAACUUUAUAUGCAUUAAAUUAUGUAUGGAAACUUGUUCAAAAUUGUAUAUGGUCAUCCGAUGAUAUUGAAUAUAUAUUGUAUAUUCCUCUUGAAUUCGCCCUANNNNNNNNNNNNNNNNNNNNNNNNNNNNNNNNNNNNNNNNNNNNNNNNNNNNNNNNNNNNNNNNNNNNNNNNNNNNNNNNNNNNNNNNNNNNNNNNNNNNCGCCGCCGCCCCCUGCCGCGCGCCCACGCCACCUGCAUUGCGCCCGUGCCGUCGCCGCCCCCUGCCGCCGCCGCCCCCUGCUGCGUGCCACCUGCAUUGCGCCCCCUGCCGUCGCCGCCCCCUGCCGCCGACGCCCCCUGCGGCGAGCCCCCAGCCGCGCGCCCCCUGCCGCCGCCGCCCCCUGCCGCCGCCCCCUGCCGGUGAGUUUUUCCUGUUUUUCUUUUUAAAAAAGUUAAUUACUUUAGUUAGUUUAUUAGGUUAGUUUUUUUAUUAUAUAUAGGGUAAUUUAGUUAGUUUAUUUGGUUAGAUUAUUAGGCUAAUUAGGUUAGUUAGUUAGGUUAGAAGAAAAAAAGCAGAAGGAAAAAAAGCAGGAGAAGAAGAAGAAGAAGAAAAAGAAGAAGAAGAAGAGGAGGAGGAGGAGAAAAAAGAAGAAGAAGAAGNNNNNNNNNNNNAAGAAGAAGAAGAAGAAGAGGGGAGGAGGAGGAGGAGAAAGAGGAGGAGAAAGAAGAAGAAGAAGAAGNNNNNNNNNNNNNNNNNNNAGAAGAAGAAGAAGAAGAAAAAGAAUAGAAGGAGAAAAAGAGGAGGGGGAGUAGGAGGAGAAAAAAGAAGAAGAAGAAGAAGAAGAAGAAGAAAAAGAGGAGAGAGGAGAAGAAGAAAGAAGAGGAAAAGGGAACCCCGGCACCCCGAAACUGACCCUCGACCCCCGACCCCUGACGCCCGACGCCACUUACCCCCGACCAUCGACCUCCGACGCCACUGNNNNNNNNNNNNNNNNNNNNNNNNNNNNNNNNNNNNNNNNNNNNNNNNNNNNNNNNNNNNNNNNNNNNNNNNNNNNNNNNNNNNNNNNNNNNNNNNNNNNAAUUUCAACAAUUUCUGACGUCAUUUGGUAUAUUUCGUGCAUUUACUCUUUUUUUUGAGCUAGUUGACCCUGAAAUUGAAAAGCACUACAAAUGAACUCUGAAAAUGUUGAAAGUUGGCAUGCUAUCAUCAUUUCACCCGCAUAGCAUGUGUUAAAAAGUUGAGAGGGCUACGACAAAAACUGAAUGCACUACGUGUACUAAACGGACAAUCUCUCUCGAAGUAUGAGGGUUUCGAAUGAGAACUCAUCUCUUGCAAAGGCAUUUUCUUUUUUUGAACUUAUUUGAACUCCAUACUUUUUGUAUGUUCAAAAUGAACCAUUCAAAGGCACAUCACAAAAUUUCAACAAUUUCUGACAUCAUUUGGUAUAUUUCGUGCAUUUACUUAUUUUUUUUGAGCUAGUUGACCCUGAAAUUGAAAAAGCACUACAAAUGAACNNNNNNNNNNNNNNNNNNNNNNNNNNNNNNNNNNNNNNNNNNNNNNNNNNNNNNNNNNNNNNNNNNNNNNNNNNNNNNNNNNNNNNNNNNNNNNNNNNNNNNNNNNNNNNNNNNNNNNNNNNNNNNNNNNNNNNNNNNNNNNNNNNNNNNNNNNNNNNNNNNNNNNNNNNNNNNNNNNNNNNNNNNNNNNNNNNNNNNNNNNNNNNNNNNNNNNNNNNNNNNNNNNNNNNNNNNNNNNNNNNNNNNNNNNNNNNNNNNNNNNNNNNNNNNNNNNNNNNNNNNNNNNNNNNNNNNNNNNNNNNNNNNNNNNNNNNNNNNNNNNNNNNNNNNNNNNNNNNNNNNNNNNNNNNNNNNNNNNNNNNNNNNNNNNNNNNNNNNNNNNNNNNNNNNNNNNNNNNNNNNNNNNNNNNNNNNNNNNNNNNNNNNNNUACAAAACGGACAAUCUCUUUCGAAGUAUCACGGUUUCGAACGAGAACUCAUCUCUUACAAAGGAUUUCAUUUUUUUGAACUUAUUUGAACUCCAUAAUUUUUGUGUGUUUAAAAUGAACCAUUCAAAGGCACAUCACAAAAAUUCAACAAUUUCUGACUUCNNNNNNNNNNNNNNNNNNNNNNNNNNNNNNNNNNNNNNNNNNNNNNNNNNNNNNNNNNNNNNNNNNNNNNNNNNNNNNNNNNNNNNNNNNNNNNNNNNNNAAGUCUCUUUACUCGUUCUGUAGCACGUGAUCGUAUGACCAACUCCUUAGUCAUAUUGAGCUCAUGAUGAUGUUCUACCGAGUGGGUCUAGAGAUACCUCUCCGUCACACGGAGUGACAAAUCCUGAUCUGGAUUCGUACCAACCCAACAGACACUUUCGGAGGUACCCAUAGUGCACCUUUAUAGUCACCCAGUUACGUUGUGAUGUUUGAUACACCCAAAGCACUCCUACGGUAUCCGGGAGUUGCACAAUCUCACGGUCGAAGGAAAAGAUACUUGACAUUAGAAAAGCAUUAGCAUACGAACAAUACGAUCUAGUGGUAGGCUUAGGAUUGGGUCUUGUCCAUGACAUCAUUCUCCCAGAUGAACCACGAUGUCAAGGAUUCAAUCAAUCCCGUAUACGAUUCCCUUUGUCUGUCGGUAUAGAACUUGCCCGAGAUUCGAUCGUCGGUAUACCUAUACCUUGUUCAAUCUCGUUACCGGUAAGUCUCUUUACUCGUUCNNNNNNNNNNNNNNNNNNNNNNNNNNNNNNNNNNNNNNNNNNNNNNNNNNNNNNNNNNNNNNNNNNNNNNNNNNNNNNNNNNNNNNNNNNNNNNNNNNNNUCAUAAGGUCCGAUAGGAAUAUUAGCAUGACGUACCUUUGGGAGGGGCGACCGUUUGCGCUUUGGGGUGCUCUGUGGCUUAGGAAUCGUUGGUGGAGCGUUCUUGGUGGCACGCUCCUGCUUUGUAUCCGUAGCAGGCUCAGGCUUUGUAUCCGGAGCGGGCGGCGGCGGAGCGUUCUUGGUGGCACGCUCCCGCUUUGUAUCCCUGGCAGGCUCAGGCUUUGUAUCCGGAGCGGGCGGCGGCGGAGACGGACGACCCAAGUCCGGCGGCGGUGAUCGAGAUNNNNNNNNNNNNNNNNNNNNNNNNNNNNNNNNNNNNNNNNNNNNNNNNNNNNNNNNNNNNNNNNNNNNNNNNNNNNNNNNNNNNNNNNNNNNNNNNNNNNNNNNNNNNNNNNNNNNNNNNNNNNNNNNNNNNNNNNNNNNNNNNNNNNNNNNNNNNNNNNNNNNNNNNNNNNNNNNNNNNNNNNNNNNNNNNNNNNNNNNNNNNNNNNNNNNNNNNNNNNNNNNNNNNNNNNNNNNNNNNNNNNNNNNNNNNNNNNNNNNNNNNNNNNNNNNNNNNNNNNNNNNNNNNNNNNNNNNNNNNNNNNNNNNNNNNNNNNNNNNNNNNNNNNNNNNNNNNNNNNNNNNNNNNNNNNNNNNNNNNNNNNNNNNNNNNNNNNNNNNNNNNNNNNNNNNNNNNNNNNNNNNNNNNNNAGGAUGACUCCACCCAGUAGUUCUCCGAGUGUCCUCUCAUCUUCAGGUCCAGCUAUGUCGGGCUCCAUAUCACUAAACCCCGUCAUGAUUUCAUCCACCCCGACUUUAGCAAACCCAGCUGGAAUCUCACGGCNNNNNNNNNNNNNNNNNNNNNNNNNNNNNNNNNNNNNNNNNNNNNNNNNNNNNNNNNNNNNNNNNNNNNNNNNNNNNNNNNNNNNNNNNNNNNNNNNNNNNNNNNNNNNNNNNNNNNNNNNNNNNNNNNNNNNNNNNNNNNNNNNNNNNNNNNNNNNNNNNNNNNNNNNNNNNNNNNNNNNNNNNNNNNNNNNNNNNNNNNNNGGCGGCGGUGAUCGAGAUGGACUCGUGUUGUGCUGGCCGACGUCAUGUGGAGGGCUUGGAGGUAAUGGAGGUGUAGGUGACCUGCGACGACUCGGAGGCGGUGUUGUCCUUGGGGCCGAGCCUGGAAGCUUGAUGUAGUUCUUGUCCCAUAGGAUGACUCCACCCAGUANNNNNNNNNNNNNNNNNNNNNNNNNNNNNNNNNNNNNNNNNNNNNNNNNNNNNNNNNNNNNNNNNNNNNNNNNNNNNNNNNNNNNNNNNNNNNNNNNNNNCUCGGCGGAAUCAGCUGCAACACCUUGUUACACGGGAGAAGUUCCGUUUAAUUUGGCAAUUUGAAACUUGGCGAGAAACUGUGCCAAACGUAAUAUGCGGUGUGGCUGUCGUCAACCGGAGUUCUGCCGGCGGUGGCGCUGAGAUGAUGACACGUUCAAGAGAAGGCACCGAAUAACCAGCCUGUUCAAGCGUGAGUAGCUCGUCGUGGGAAACAGGACAUCUGUAACCCUUGCAAACUUCAUAUUGCUCGAUGGAUGCGAAUGUGAGCUUCUUACGAACAGAUGAUCCAGAUUUAAGAGUGGAUUUUAGGGGUCUGGAAUGCAUCGCCAUCAGACCUAAUGAUACUCUCCUCUUGGAAGGACUCACAAUAAUCCAUUAAGCAUCACAUUGCUUCUUCNNNNNNNNNNNNNNNNNNNNNNNNNNNNNNNNNNNNNNNNNNNNNNNNNNNNNNNNNNNNNNNNNNNNNNNNNNNNNNNNNNNNNNNNNNNNNNNNNNNNNNNNNNNNNNNNNNNNNNNNNNNNNNNNNNNNNNNNNNNNNNNNNNNNNNNNNNNNNNNNNNNNNNNNNNNNNNNNNNNNNNNNNNNNNNNNNNNNNNNNNNNNNNNNNNNNNNNNNNNNNNNNNNNNNNNNNNNNNNNNNNNNNNNNNNNNNNNNNNNNNNNNNNNNNNNNNNNNNNNNNNNNNNNNNNNNNNNNNNNNNNNNNNNNNNNNNNNNNNNNNNNNNNNNNNNNNNNNNNNNNNNNNNNNNNNNNNNNNNNNNNNNNNNNNNNNNNNNNNNNNNNNNNNNNNNNNNNNNNNNNNNNNNNNNNNNNNNNNNUCCAGAAUAUGAAAACCGAGUCUGUCACUUGAGAGACACGAAACUCAAUAGCCGAUCCCCCAAUCACAGAUUCUAGAGUUACAGCGGCUGUGUCCGUCGAGAGACGGAACACAUGAUGACCAAAAGAAACCACCAUGAUGAAAGAGCGGUGGUGCUUCAUAGGGUGCACCGUAACACCAGAAUGACGAUAAACCUCGUCAGAGAAAGCCAAACCAUGCGAAAAAUCCAGAUCCAACGUAGAACCACCCAUGCAAGCCAUGCGCGACCACGUGAGGAGGGUCGGGAGGGUUCACGUGAGAAGAGGAGNNNNNNNNNNNNNNNNNNNNNNNNNNNNNNNNNNNNNNNNNNNNNNNNNNNNNNNNNNNNNNNNNNNNNNNNNNNNNNNNNNNNNNNNNNNNNNNNNNNNUCAUGAGCGUUUCGUCAUCGCUGACGUGCACCCAGCACCUCCGGCUGACAACGUGGUCCAGGUACGACAAGAAGUUGCUGCUCUUCUUCUUCACCGAGGGUUACAUGUUCGGUCUGCCUAGCCAUGGAUUAAGGGCGUUGGACUGUUUGAACUCCGAGAUGCGGCGAAAAGCUAUGCUGCGGUCCACAUGGUGCCACAGGAAGUUGCUCAUAACUCUGUUGUGCGCUUCCUGCGACAUGAUCAGGGUGUUGGUUUCCGUGGACAAGACGGUUUUCGUCAUGGCUGCCUCAUGAUUCUGGGGGUCCCCCUCGACUUCUGCAACACUGAAAAUCUCCGGGCUGCUGUCAACACCUUCGGAGAGUUCCACCAUUGGGUCUGUGAUGAUCCUUAUUUGGUUCGCUCGAUCGUGUUUACUUCGUUCCCAGAUGACCGAAUGGUCCCUCGCAGUAUCAACUUUUCUGAAUAUGCUGCUUGGGGGGGUGCCAAGGUCUCCUCGUCUACGCCGGUAUACAUCCUGGGAGCGGCGGCUGCCGAGAUUCUGCCUAAUGAUGAGGAUCCCAUGCCCCUCAAUGGCAACCCUCAUCCGCUCCCUGGACACCUCGUCCAUGACAAUCUGCAAUUUGCUCUGCCCCCGUAUCCUGCGUUGGGUUGGAAUGCGGUGGCGCUGGUGCCUGAAGAUCCAGUGGUUCCUGCUGCUGAUGCCAGAGGUUGGAGACAGCCGCCUCCAGCCGCUGAUGGAGGAGGAUGGGGACCUGAAGCGGCCCCGGAAGCACCUGCUGCUGAUCCUGUUCAGGAUCAAGAGUCUAUGGUGAUUGAUCAACCGAGUCCUUCUUCUUCGGACUCAGUUCAUGAGCUUGUGGACCUCGACGCUCAGUCGCAGGGUGAAAUGGAGGCGGAACCUGCUGAUCAAGCACCCCCGGCCCCUGACCUGGAGGGGAUAGUGGCUAACCCUUUUGCCCCUGAUGCUGACAUGACACCGGCUGCCCAGGGCCAUGAUGCUGAGCCGGAGGAAGAUGUGCCUGUGAUGGAGGAGGCGCAUGAUGACAAUCCUCUGGCAAUUGUCCUCUACAAACCCCCUCACAUUCAGACUGACAACAUCUUUGUUNNNNNNNNNNNNNNNNNNNNNNNNNNNNNNNNNNNNNNNNNNNNNNNNNNNNNNNNNNNNNNNNNNNNNNNNNNNNNNNNNNNNNNNNNNNNNNNNNNNNCACGCUGGCAUGGCCGUGAGAUUCCAGCUGGCUUUGCUAAAGUCGGGGUGGAUGAAAUCAUGACGGGGUUUAGUGAUAUGGAGCUCGACAUAGCUGGACCCGAAGAUGAGAGGACACUCGGAGAAGUACUGGGUGGAGUCAUCCUNNNNNNNNNNNNNNNNNNNNNNNNNNNNNNNNNNNNNNNNNNNNNNNNNNNNNNNNNNNNNNNNNNNNNNNNNNNNNNNNNNNNNNNNNNNNNNNNNNNNNNNNNNNNNNNNNNNNNNNNNNNNNNNNNNNNNNNNNNNNNNNNNNNNNNNNNNNNNNNNNNNNNNNNNNNNNNNNNNNNNNNNNNNNNNNNNNNNNNNNNNNNNNNNNNNNNNNNNNNNNNNNNNNNNNNNNNNNNNNNNNNNNNNNNNNNNNNNNNNNNNNNNNNNNNNNNNNNNNNNNNNNNNNNNNNNNNNNNNNNNNNNNNNNNNNNNNNNNNNNNNNNNNNNNNNNNNNNNNNNNNNNNNNNNNNNNNNNNNNNNNNNNNNNNNNNNNNNNNNNNNNNNNNNNNNNNNNNNNNNNNNNNNNNNAUCUCGAUCACCGCCGCCGCCCGCUCCGGAUACAAAGCCUGAGCCUGCCACGGAUACAAAGCGGGAGCAUGCCACCAAAACGCUCCGCCAUCGCCCGCUCCGGAUACAAAGCCUGAGCCUGCCACGGAUACAAAGCGAGAGUGUGCCACCAAGAACGCUCCGCCGCCGCCCGCUCCGGAUACAAAGCCUGAGCCUGCCACGGAUACAAAGCGGGAGCGUGCCACCAAGAACGCUCCGCCGCCGCCCGCUCCGGAUACAAAGCCUGAGCCUGCCAUGGAUACAAAGCGGGAGCGUGCCACCAAGAACGCUCUGCCGCCGCCCGCUCCUGAUACAAAGCCUGAGCCUGUCACGGAUACAAAGCGGGAGCGUGCCACCAAGAACGCUCCGCCGACGAUUCCUAAGCCACAGAGCACCCCAAAGCGCAAACGGUCGCCCCUCCCAAAGGUACGUCAUGCUAAUCUUCCUAUCGGACCUUAUGANNNNNNNNNNNNNNNNNNNNNNNNNNNNNNNNNNNNNNNNNNNNNNNNNNNNNNNNNNNNNNNNNNNNNNNNNNNNNNNNNNNNNNNNNNNNNNNNNNNNGAGAGAGAGUGUGUGUGUGUGAAAUCCCUCCUUAAUUUCAUUUUUCUAUUGUUCCUAGCUUUGAUUGGUUUUCUAUAUGUGUUGUAAUUUCUGAUGACACAACACUUGUAUUGGAUCCAUCUAUUGUCAUCAUUUCUUGGCUUCGUUGUGGAUCGGUUUAUUGAUUAGUUGGUAGACCAAUAUAGUAGUUGAAAGAUUCGGAAAGUCCUAUUGGAGCCCUAGCAUACUCGAGCUCUUUGCUUAAAAAANNNNNNNNNNNNNNNNNNNNNNNNNNNNNNNNNNNNNNNNNNNNNNNNNNNNNNNNNNNNNNNNNNNNNNNNNNNNNNNNNNNNNNNNNNNNNNNNNNNNNNNUGCGCGCGCGCGUGCGUGCGCGUAUGUGUAUGUGUGUGUGAGAGAGUGAGAGAGAGAAAGAGUGUGUGUGUGUGUGUGNGUGUGUGUGUGUGUGUGAAAUCCCUCCUUAAUUUCAUUUUUCUAUCGUUCCUAGCUUUGAUUGGUUUUCUANNNNNNNNNNNNNNNNNNNNNNNNNNNNNNNNNNNNNNNNNNNNNNNNNNNNNNNNNNNNNNNNNNNNNNNNNNNNNNNNNNNNNNNNNNNNNNNNNNNNNNNNNNNNNNNNNNNNNNNNNNNNNNNNNNNNNNNNNNNNNNNNNNNNNNNNNNNNNNNNNNNNNNNNNNNNNNNNNNNNNNUGUUGCAUAAAUAAACAACUAAAGCAUACUGCUAGGUCUCGGCUGGCGAAGAACUCAUUUCAUUCUGGGUAGAGUGAUGUCACCAACAUGUGUGUGUGUGUGUGUGUGUGUGUUUGUGUGUGCGCGCGUGCGUGCGCGUAUGUGUAUGUGCGUGAGAGAGAGGGAGAGAGAGUNNNNNNNNNNNNNNNNNNNNNNNNNNNNNNNNNNNNNNNNNNNNNNNNNNNNNNNNNNNNNNNNNNNNNNNNNNNNNNNNNNNNNNNNNNNNNNNNNNNNGAGCUCUUUGCUUAAAAAAAUCAAAAAGUAAUGUUUUGAAAUUUCAAAACAACUACUUUUGGAAUGCCUUGAUGGAAGGAUCCUCAUAGAACAAACCUUGUGUCGUCACCACCAUAUUCUUCACACGUACCUCCCAUUGUAUGAUACACCUAUCAAAAUUAAUAUCCAUGCCAUGUUGCUUCCGGAAUACCUUCAUCCUCAUGGUUCCAUUUUCUAGAUAAAGGACAUUUCAUUCAAUUGAUAUAUCAAAGUGAUACAACCGCGUCGAAAGAAUGACUGGCCUCGACACACCAAGUUGCACACAUCCAACAAGUCCAACAAACAUAGAAAUAAGCAUCGAUUUACUGAAAAGAUAAAUAAAUCCAACCUAUGGUGCGGCAAUUCCUAUCCAGAUAUUACACCGCCAUUCAUGGAAAGAGAAAACAUUCCUAGCUGUAUAUUCCAGGCAUGCCGACGCCAGCAUAAAAAGGUCUUUGUCCUAUGGACUGUCCAAGAUAGACCAAGUACGGAACAAUCGCGUAUAUGCAUGAAUAACCUGCACAGGAGAUGAAACAUAUUUAUUAUUAAAAACCACAUCAUUUCAGGUAAGCCAUAGUGCCCAGCAUCAGGCAGCCGCCCCACAAGAAUAUGUGCAUCAAAUUGUUGAUCAAUACCCNNNNNNNNNNNNNNNNNNNNNNNNNNNNNNNNNNNNNNNNNNNNNNNNNNNNNNNNNNNNNNNNNNNNNNNNNNNNNNNNNNNNNNNNNNNNNNNNNNNNAUGUAAAAAUCUUGAAAACAGUUCGUGCCUCUGUUUUAAGUCUCAUUUUUUAUUUUCAUUUUUCUGUUCCAUUUUUUAGUUUAAAUAAUUUAGAACUUUGAAAAACUUUUGCAAUUUAUAAAACUGGGAAUUUUGAAAUAAAAUUUUGAAGAAAAUAUUAAAUGUUUGUGAAUUCAAAAAAUGCUCAGGAUUUUUGUAAAAAUAUUCGCAUAUUCAAAAAAAUGUUCAUAAUUUUGAGAACAAUGUUGGUGAAAACAAUAAAAGUCCAUGAUUUUGAAAAAAAGUUUGUGUGUUAUUUUUUGAGUGCAAUUAAAAAAAAUGUUUGCUAAUUUAAAAAAAUGUUCAUGCGAAAUGCCCUAAAAUUUUAAAGACAUAAUAUGAUCGGCAUCAUUGGAGAUUAUAAUUGUUUUUCUCCCGUUGCAAUGCACGGGUCCUUUUGCUAGUCAUGCCAAAGAUUCUUAAAAAUGCAUACACCUGACUACACAACAUUAAGUUGACCAUAUAUGAUUUUAUUUCUGGCACCGUCACUGGUUAAAACUAUACAUUUUCAAAGCCACAAUUUGUACAUCAACAAUGUGCAAUUGAUGAGGUGACAUAGGUAAACAUCAACGGUGAGAAAAAUAAUAUAACUAUAGAAAUAUGUAUAUGUAUACACCCUCGAGUUUCUUAUGAUUUUCCUUCGAGAAAUUUAGUUUCUUAUGCCGCCGCGCCAUAGUUCACCUUCUUGGAUAUGUAGUCGCUGCCCGUACACUUCUUCUUGUCUUUUUUUUUUUUGCGAUGCCUCUUACCCGUUGUAGCUGUCUCACAGCUAGGAGAUGAUAGGAGGCAAGUGGAGUCCCUAACAAAUAUAAGAGAACUCAUUUGUUAACACCAAAACACUAAAUGUGCAAAAUAAAGGCGAGCAAAAACAAGGACCAUUAGUCAAUCCUAUUCAUCUGGAGAAUGGAUUUGCAAAUUGCAACAGAGUCGACCUUUCAUUCACAAAUAUAAAUUGUUUUUGUAUAUCGUAAUAUGGACUAUAUGCGGACUGUAACAAGGUAGCAAACAAACUAAAAGUUCGAAUCACAAAAGAGUUAGAACAUCUUAUAUUUGUGAAUGUAGGGAUUACUAUGCAAAGAAAACCAAAAAGAUGUAUUGUAUAUAUUGCUAGCUAUACCUGAUAAGCCGAGAAAGGAAGAUGGUGGGCCAAUCCAUGUCCAAGGGCAUGGCAUCCCAUGGCAAGAUUGAGCGCCUGUGAGGCCAAUCCAACAAUUGCGCCAUCAUCCCGGUUUCGAGGUCAAUAGUGUAAACACACCCGCUGCUAUCGCUGAUGAGCAGUGUGCCACACUUCUCUCUCAAGAUACACAACUCUCGUCCAUCAACCUUCUUUCUAGGUUGUUUUAGCUUGAUUGUCCGACUAUGUACCCACUUCGAAGUAGGAGUACUACCCAAGUUUUCAUGGUCCUCGUGUUGUUCCCAUAUCUCUAGUUGACAAUCAUCGUUCUUUCGCAUCCAGAGCAGUGAUAGCAUCCCAUUGAUGGCUAGAGUAAGGCAUGGUUGACUAAUGUAGUGGAAAUUUAUUCUAGAAGUGAACUUCGUCCACGAGACGUCGCCAGUCCUUCCGUUCAUAUUAACGAUGUGAAAUCAUUGGUAAUAAUAGAAUACCCAAUGCGCGAUGCCACGGCACACAACGACAUCGCUAAAUGACCCAUACCGAUGCGAUUGCGCAUCAGUCUUGAAGCAGUUGCUCCGCACGCUCCAGCUUGCCUUGUCAGAUGAGAAAACAUGGAGAGUGUACAUCAGGUCAUCGCGACCGGAGCCGAUGAUCACCACUUUGAAGGACGACGGGUUGAUCGGCAGGUCAUCUUGGGAGGGACAGUCGGUGCUUGUUAGAAUUGCAUAGCCAUUCCACAUGUAGUCGUUGAAGUCCGAACAAAACUUCAAAGGAGGGAGCAUGUCGCACGUGCCGUCCAGCAGGUUCCAUACCGCUAGUUGGAGGAUGGUCGGGUCCGUAUUGCGAGCUUUCAGGCGCACCAUGAUGAGGCUAUGGCGCGAAACGAGCGGCACCGCGCCGUCGAAGAGGCCGGCGUGGGCGGUGGACAGGAAGGAGCUGAGGUAGCGGACAUCAGGGCCGAGGGUCGAUCGCGGUCCUGGGAUAAAGACGGGCGACGGCUCUGCGUUCCCAUGUCAAGACGCGGGUGAAGAAGCCGACGAAAGAGGACGGCGAGUGGCACGCGUCUUCAGGCCAGCAGCGGCGGAGGAAGCCGGGAUCAGUGACGAGACGGCGCCGCUGUUUGCACGUCGUGGCACAGCGGAAGAGAGCAGCGUCGUCCUUCAUGCGGAAGAGGAUCUCGCGGAGCAGGUCCUCCGGGAGGGGAACUGCCAUGGCCGCCGCCGCCACUUCUUCCAUCGAUCUGCUUUUUCUUUUUGACGAGAGGGGUCUUCCGUCCAUGUAAUGUACGUUUAUUUAGCAACCCAUGUAAUGUACGUAGGCCCAGUGGCUAAAUAUUCUCGCGUCUGGUAUCCCUCUCGAACGGCCCAGUCUUUUGAGGAGAUUUUUGCCACGUCGAAGACCAGCAAAUAUCCUGUAGCCAGCAAUGAAAGUACUAGUACUUCUCUAUUUCUGCAAUGAUACUUAUUUAUUUUUAUAUUUUCGUUAGCGAAAAGGAUCAGAUCUGUUCUAAAAGUUCAUGUGAAGCACAAAGCACCCCAACAUAUUGAAAAUUAUAUCAAGAUUCUGAGACCACUACUACCAUCAAAACGAACCGUCAACGUGACACUAUAGCCGCUCCCUUACGUACCUGAGCCAGUUUGACCUUGUUGAUGACAGCCGAGAAGUCUUCGUGCACGUGCCCAAAGAACCAACACCCAAAACAUUUAGUGCACGUAAAAUUUUACAACAUAUAUUGGAGCUGUCCGGCGUCCAAAAACCGUAUAUUUUAACAUGUGGGGUAGUUUUUGAGCGGCUGUUGGAGCUGCUCUUAUACCGGGGCAUAUCAUCACUGACAAUGCACAUGUGGAGUUUAAGUGCAUUCACCACAUCAAGCAGGAGAAGGAUACCACCAGGAGUUUUUGUGCCUACAAACAUUUAAAAAUAAAAGGGCUUGGUGCAUUAACAAUUUUUAAAAUCGCAAGUGGCCAUAAGGAAAAUGGCAAGUGAGGGUGCUAAAGUUUAGUCUAAUACUGCUCAUAUUGUGGGUUCUCUACGUCACACAUAGUAGUAAGGUAUGAAGAAGAGAAAAAGAAGAUCACAUGCGCACGCUCGCUCUUCUGGCCUCGCCUAGCAGUUAACACAAGGACAUUAAAUUUGCAAAUAAUUUGAACAAGAAUCCUAAUGGAUUCAUCAAUUCUGUAGCACUAUAAAUUAUCAAACACACUUCUUGAGAAAACUAAAAAUAAUGUAAUAAAUAUAUUUCAGAAUGGCUAGCCAUACUUCCAAAGACGAUAAACAAAAUCGUGGGCCAAUCAAUCUCCAAGGGCAUGGCAUCGCUGGGGUAGAUGCAGCGCCUUUCAGGCCAAUCCACCACCUCCUUCAUCAUCCCAGUUUCAAUAUUGGUGGUGUGAACGCUGCCGCAACUAUCACUGAUGAUCAAUGUACCACACUUCUCUCUCAAAUCUUAUCGUUGUCGUUCUUCAGGCACUUUCCAAGGUUGUUUUAGCUUGAUCGUCCCAGCACAUAACCAAUUUUUAAUACUUGCUGCGUUUUUGUGGUCCUCGUAAUGCUUCCAGAUCCCGACCUGGGGAAAGUUUCUUUGCAUUUAAAAGAGAAAGAUUUGCAUACUAAGUGACCACUCCUUUGUCAGUUAGGGUUCAAACAUUUUCACAUGCAACAUACACCAUUACAUGCGACGUGACAAAAUUUAGCAUCGUUUCAGGUCUGUUAUACCCAAGUCUUUAAGUGGAUUUAUGUCCAUUAAAUAUCUAGAAAAAAAUUAAUGUCCUAAAUUAGUUAAUUAACAUUAAAAUGGGUCAAAAUAUUACAUGAAAGUUUGAAUGAUAUACCUUUAAUGUAGAAAACAGUUAGCCCAUAAGACUAAAUAUAAAGUACUAAAAUCCUAGCAUUACGAAAAAAUGACAGGAAAAAUAAUAGUGCCGGGCACAAAAUAGAGCCCACCACUGCAAUUUUCUUUACUAGUGGUGGGCAUUAACUAUGGUCCACCACUGGUAAUUUUUUGACAGAUUUGCCUUGAGAUCGAAAAAUACUAGUAGCGGGCACAUAUUACCGUCCUGCCACUGCUAUUUUCAUUACUAGUGACGGACAUUUACUACCACCCGCAACUCCUAGUUUACGAUAGGUUUGCCACCAUGACAAAAAAUACCGGUGACGGGCACAUAUUAUCGCCCGCAACUGGUAACUCAUCUACUAGUGGCGGGCUCCAGUUUGUGCCCGACACUGGUAACAUUUGUCCCAUGACAAAUCUAGACAAUUGUUGCCAGUGACGGAAGCAAACUGACGCCCACCACAGGUAAGACAAUAGCAGUGGCGGGUGCUAGAAUGCACCCGUCACUGAUUUGAGGUCAUCUAUAAGCCAUUUUCCAGUAGUGUCCAAGGUGCAUUAACAUGUUAUUUGGGACGUGGAUCAUGAAGUAGAUGCAAAUAUGGCGAACAUAUUUGGAUAGGCAUAUGUGCACUAUUUUGGGCUAUAUGGUAUACUAGAAAUGAUUAGAUAUUAACGGGAAAAAGCAUUACCAAUUUUUUGAAGGUUAUCUACGGAGCGACUGUUUAGAUCCAUACGUGGUCGUUACUCUUGCGGACUCCAGGAAGCUUUUGGUUACUGGAUGCAAUUGCUGGGAAACGGUAGCACGAGUUAUCUUCAACUGAUUUGGAUAACUAAUUGAUAAUAUGCUAGGUGUAUAGUCGUCAUAGCCUCUCCUUUAUCGCCGGAUGUGGCAUCUUUUUAUCUACUUUCAUUAGCGUUCCGUUUAUGUGCCAAACUUGGAUCUCAUACUUUGUUGUCAUACUUCAUUUAAUAAUAUGAAUGCAUGCAUCAUUUUGAUGCAGAGGACGGGGGCAUUUCUCCUUUUCAAAACAAAAAGUGACAGCUCUCGUUUGUUUAUAAUUGCUCUAGUUGAUCACUUUGUUGCUAUGCUGCCAUGUUCUUGGCACUUAUGCUGAUACUGAAUGAGUCUUGCUAAAGUCAAGGUAGUAGUCUGAGAUUAGUAUUCUGUUAGAUAACCAUUGCAACGUUUCUUUUAGUCUGAGAAAUAAAAAAGGGCUGGAAACCUCCUGUGUCUACACUUAGUUCAUGAGAACUGAGAGGUACACUAGAGGUGCUUCUACUGUAGCCUAUUUUUGCUGCAGCUUUCUUGUCAAAUUUAUCCUGUCGGCAUAAUUUUGUUUAUAUGUUAUAAGCUGCUAUAAUCAAGUACUAAGGUAGAAUUGUAAUGGAGAUUGUUGAAUUUUUUAAGGCAAGACAGUGUAGGUUGGCAUGCAUCUUAGUGUUUCCAUCAUAGGGGAAGUUUGUGAUAAAUUAUCCAUCAUGGGUGUCCAUCGUUUACCCCACUUAAAUUCAUGAUCAAUGAAAGACCAGCAUGCCAUAGAAUGUGUAUCGUUUCACAAGUUGAAUGGCAUCAUUGUAAUAACUAGACAUUCAUAUAUAAUAACACCAUACAUCGAUGUUGCAAAUAACAGUACAACAUAUUCACCACACUUUUAUUCAUAUUGCAGUAAGAGCACCAUCGUACCACUACAUAGGAAUAUUCAGGGUACCUGCAAGCAGCACUUCUUAUUUGAACUUUGAUACUGGACAAAGCAUGAGCAGAUAGUACCAUGACUAAGGAACACUAUUCUUAAGCUGGAUACAUGGUUGUGCUCUUCUGGAGUGCCCAAGACGUGUACUUACGGUUGAUGAAGUCCGAAGCCACUGUAUCCACAUCCUUACUCACAUCAUCUAUCUUGAUAUCGUUGGCAUGGUUGUCCUGAAAUUUGACUUGUUUUUUGUGGGCUUGGACAUGCUUUGCUCCUACUGAUGCUUCUUCUUUCCUUAUACUAGCAUGGUUGUCCUGAAAUUUGGCAUGGUUUUGGUGGGCUUGGAAGUAAAGCAUACAAGUAUGAGACAUUUGUCUGUGGCUCCUUGCUUAUGAGCUACAACAAAAUUGUGGAAGAGUAGGAAUUUGUUUGCAGCUGUGUGAUGAUUUCAUGUCCUUUUUAUAGGCUAAUGAGGAUGCUUAUUCUUAAGCGGCAAGUGGGUAUCAUAUUCUCUACUUUUGACAAUUUGGAGCGAAUAUUUCUUGUUAACUUUCUCCAUUCAAAAUUGUUAGGCGCUGAAUGACUCCAUCAUUAUUUAUAUAAUGGACCUAAGUAAUUUGUCUACCUAAGUUUCUAAAUUAUAAUGGACCUAAGAGUAAUUCCUUCUGCAGUUUCUUCUCUUAUUUUUAGUAGGAAGCGUUUGGUUUGUUUUCCCCUUCCGCUGAUAAAAUAAAAGCAAUAUCUUCAUUCAUAUUCUGGCAUGGAACAGGUACGGUACUUCUAUAUUCUACACUUUUUGUUCAUCUCGAUUAACGUACUUGUAUAUUCAAGCAUGUUACCUGGCAUAUAUAACUGUGCUGAUUUUGCAGUAUAGUUAAUUCCAUCCUUAUCCACGGGAACUCUGAUAGGUGUGCCGCAGCAAUUUUAAUAUAUUUAGUCAAUGAAUCCAUUAAAAAACUGGAAAUUUAAACUUGAUUUUCUUUAUUCUGAAUGGACGGACAUUAGAAUUACUAUUGAAUUACUCCUACUCUCUCCGUCAUAGUUUAGAAGACACGGUUAAAUUUACAUGCAUUUCUAUAUAAUAAACAAGGUUUAGGGUGCAUUGCAUUUAACCUAGCAGCUAAUUACUACUCCGUUCUACUACGUUUAUAUGCACGCGUAGUGUGAAUGCUUUUUUCAGCUCAUCUCACAACCAAUCAAUAACCACCUAGAUUCUAGAGAAUUUUCAAGCACGUCUUCUAAACCGUGACGGAGGGAGUACAUUGCACGCGUUACUAGGGAAAGUAGUUGCUGCUCCCACGUUCGGCGCACCUAUGAUGUGAACAGUAUAUUCCAAAAAAUAGAAAACAACAAAUAAAGAAAAAUCCCGGAACUUCAUGAUGUGAUUAUGAGAAAAUGUUUUAGAAGCUUGUAAAGUUUGUCAUAAAAAACAUAAAAUGAUUUCAAUACAAAAGGAAAAAGAAAUGAUGCUCUGCACCGACGAUACUGUUCACAUGUUUUCAGCACAAUUUCUUUUGCAGAGCUCAUCAGAUGUCAUUUUUUCCGAAAGGUCAUGAAUUCAAAACUGUGCUCUGGUGUGUAGAUUCUGCAACUAUUACAUUAUAUACGUGUACCAUGAUUCUUUGCAAUAAAAGCUAUCGCAAUUGCUCAAUUCAUUCGCAUAUGAUUCACAUUCUAUCAUAUUUCCAUUUCUCGAAAAGAACCGGAUGCUUUUCAUGUUCUAGGGUCAACUUUUGAUGUGCCUGAAUAAUAGUAUCUUGAAACCACAAUAGGGACUUAACCACUGCCUCCGUUUUUCUGCAGAGCUUGAUAAGCAAAACAGGUUUAGUGUAUGAUUGGAUGAAAAGCAUGUGAAAGACACUGCCUAUCCAAAGUAGUAAUGUUCUGGGAGUCAAGCCAGGCACUGAUCUCUCGAGUUUGGCGCGAUUGACAUCAAGAGCAGAAAGCAAAUGUUUAUAGAUAGAUAUGCUCCCAGAAAGCAAUCUCUACUCCUAAAGGGGCACUUGGUAGCUUCUUGUCUUGGGUUUUUUUCGUCAUCCCUCCCACCUUCAUCUGUUUUUUUUCGUAAUCCCUCGCCGCCAUCCCCAAUCGCCUCCAUCGUUGCCAUCACCAAUGGCCUCCAUCGCGAACCCCAUAUAGCCUCCAUCCUGGAGGCCUUCGCCGCCUUCGCCGCCAUCACCGCUGUCCAUUCGCCGGAUCCCGCCCAGAGGAGUGGCCGCCGCCUUCAGUUUUGAUCUCCAGGUCGCCGAGGACCACGAUGUCCGCCGUCCAAAUCCCUUCCUGACCUUCGAGGUCAGCGACUGGUAUUUUGCAUGCACAGGUAGAUCUGUUAAGAUCCGGUAGUUCAAUUCUGGAAGUAACACAAUUCUGUACACCUUCUAUGAGACGUGUUCUCCCUGUACACACAAUUCUGUUUACAUGGCUUUCCCUUUCUAAUUCUUUGUUAUAAAUUCAGCAAAUCACUGCCAGAUGUGAGGAUUACCUGGGGCCUGCGUCAACAAAUGGGAUGUAUUAGCUAAUAAUGCAUGUGAAAUCUACAGCAAAAAAUUCAGAACUAAAAACUACAGCGAAGAUUUGGCAUGUGAAAUUUAAACCUAUAGCAAAUAUUUGGCAAUUCUUUGUUGUAGAUUUGGCAUGCAUGUAUAUCUACAGCAAAGAAUGCAUGUGCAAUCUAAAACUUACAAACUAUCACAAAGAAUGCAUGUGAAAUCUACAACAAAGGUAAACAGCGAAUAGCUAAACAAAAAGUAAACCUACAACAAAGAAUGCAUGUGUAAUCCAGUCUUUGUAGGUAAUUUUUAAUUUUCAUAGAGUGUAAAUGUUCAGGUCUAGAGUAUUGCAAGGUUAAACUGGAUCCAUUUACAGUCACCUGGACUGAUUUAUAAAUCAUCAAAUAAAGAGUUAAUUACAAAGGUGAGCAAACAGAUAAGAAGAAAGAGCCAUGCAAGGUUAAACUGAAUCCAUUUACAGGCACCUGGACUGAUUUAUAAAUCAUCAAAUAAAAAGUUAAUUACAAGGUGAGCAAACAGAUAAGAAGAAAGCCUACAAGCAAACAACAGUAGCUAAAUGUAUGAACAUCAUGAACCAAUUCCUAAAAACAGAUUUAACCUGCAAAUGUACAAUGCGCGAAGCAAUCCCCAAGAUCUUGUUAAUGAAAAACAAGAUCUAGCACCUACAGUUUUGAAAAAAAUGCUUAAAGAUGUGAAAUAAAAUCUUACUGACCAGGUUAACCGAUUUUGAGAGAUUGAACAAUGUUGAGUGUUGUUACUGUCCAGAUUGACAAUUAUAGACUCAUCAACAACAAUGCAGCAAGUGCAGUCUUGCUGUACGUACCAGGUUGGCGAUGACAUGCACGCAGCACACACACAAAAGUUAAUAUAACACAUGACACUUUGGAGACACAUGAGCACUUGAAAAAUGUGUUGAACUUAUAUGUUGAGUCAAGUAAAGAAUGGAUGCAUUAGCCGCAAAUUAGACCAAGAAAUCAAAUGGCCCUUAAUGGUAAUUAAUUACCCUUUGUUAGACCUAAGAGAUGAAGCCGGGACAGUCGCCUCCAUGCUUUGCGAGAAGCUCAUACUCUUCGACGGAAUCCUUUUCGAUGACCGCUCCAUCCGAGAAUUCGGCGACGUAUCGACUAUAUCAAAUAUCCGGAAAUAAGAGUAGUUCAAAGCUAUUAGAAGUUGCGGAACAAUAAAUUACCGAUAGCUUACUCGAUGUACGGCCGCACUUCUGUUAGGUUGGUGAAGAUAUACAAUGAAAUGGUCCGCCAUUCUUCGACAUCCAACGAUUUCCCUUUCGAAGCACCGGAUGGUGCGAGCUUACCUUUGAAUAUGCUGAGGUUGGAUCGAACUUUUUUUCGAUCGCCAUCAUUUUACCGAGGCUUCGGGUUAUGCACAUGAUGAUUUUUGGCUUCGUAGUGUGUUGUCACGAAGUUUGCCGCCUCCUCAGUAAUGAAUGCCUCGGCCAUCGAUGCUUCAAUUCUACGUUUAUUUUUACACUUAGCUCGAAGCGUCUUCUGCAUCCUCUCAAUUGAGUAGCACCAUCGAUUUUGAACGCCCCCCCAUUCUUGCCUCGGUCGGGAGAUGCAAAAUCAAAUGUUGCAUUGGAUUAAAGAAGCCCGGUGGAAAGAUCUUUUCUAAUUUGCAGAUCAACUCCGGCGCCAACUCUUCCAUUUCAUCUAGCACGCCAGGCGAUAGUUCUUUCGCACAAAGAGAACGGAAGAAAUAGCUCAGCUCUGCCAGUACUAGCCAUUCAUCCUCAGGGAUAAAGCCACUCAACAUCACCGGCAUAACCCGCUCAAUCCAUAUGUGCCAAUCAUGACUCUUGAGCCCAAAUAUUUUCAAUUUCUCAAGACUCGCUCCCCUCUUUAGAUUCGCAGCAUACCCAUCGGGGAACAUCAACCGCAUUUUCACCCACAAUAGCAUUUCCCUCAUAGCUGGCCUUUCAAGAUUGAACCAUGCCUUUGGCUUCGCUAUGCUUUGCUUUCCUUUCCGUUGUCGCAAGUUUUGCAACGGUCUAUCACAUAGAGCGUCCAGGUCGAUUCUAGCCUUAGGAUUAUCUUUUGACUUCCCCUCUAUGCCGAACAAUGUACCAAAAAUGGCCUCCGCAAUAUUCUUUUCAGUGUGCAUCACAUCAAUGUUGGGUGGGCAAAGGAGGUCUUUGAAGUAAGGCAGAUCCCAUAAGCAUGACUUGUGAGUCCAGGCGUGUUCCGUAUUAUACCCUUUGAAGUAUCCUGGACGCAAAGGAUCAGGCUCGAGAGCGUUUAACUGAUCAAGGGUCUGUUGGCCUGUCAACGCAACUGGUGCAGUGUUUUUGACAACUCUACCUUUGAUGAAAUUCUUCUUGUCUUUUCUGAACUUAUGGUCAGGAUCCAGGAAUUGUCUAUGCAUGUCGAAGCAAGAAUACUUGCGACCAGCCUGCAACCAACGGAACUGAAGAGCUGCCUUGCAUGUGGUGCACGGGAACCUUCCAUGCACACACCAGCCAGCGAAUAGCGCAAACGCCGGAUAAUCAUGCGUCGAGUACAUGUACCACACAUGCAUUUUGAAAUUUGUUUUGGUAGCCGCGUCGUAGGUCUUGAUCCCAUUAUCCCAGGCUUCUUGCAACUCAUCCUUAAGCGGCUGCAUGUACACAUUCAUAUUCUUCCCCGGAUGGUUCGGCCCUGGAAUUAUCAACGUCAGGAAAAUGUUCUUUCUUUUCAUAAUCUCUCCGGGUGGCAAAUUUAGUGGAAUGACAAAUACAGGCCAACAACUGUAUUGUGCUGCCGUCAUACCAUACACAUUGAACCCAUCCGUGCUGAUGGCAACUCUAGGUUGCCUUGGAUCUUCCGAUUUAUCCUUAUGUAAUGCAUCGAAGUGCCUCCACGCAAAACCAUCUGAAGUGUGUACCAACAUCUUGUUCCCAUCCGCAUCUAGUUCGGUUCUUUUGUCCAAUUUGUGCCAUGUCAUCUGUCUGGCCGUCUCUUCGACCAUGAAAAGACGUUGAAGUCUUGGUACGAUUGGCAGAUACCGAAGAACACUAAUGGGGAUUUUGGUCUGAUUCUUCUCACCCAUGCCGUUGUCUACCACAAUAUACCUGAAAGAAUUGCAAAUGGGCAAUAGUUCAAGGACGCAUACUCAAGCCUAAAUAAGGCACAUCCAUUUUCAAAGGCAUGUAUCUUCUCAUAGGGCAUCUUAAGUACACGGAGGAUUUUCUAUGACUGGUACAGGUUUGUAGGCAGUACAUGGGCUUUUGGUAGAAAGCGUCCAAAUAUCGUCAUCAUCGUGUCGCAGCAUUCUCUGCCUAGGUUGAAUUGAGUCUUCAGAGCCAUUACUUGCGCGAUGGCAUCCAGCUGACAAAGCUCAGUCUGCUCGUGGAGAGGACGUUUUGAAGACUCCAACAUUUCAUAGAAGGCCUUUGCAGAUUCCUCCAUCUCAUCGUCCGAAUCCCAAGCAUCAUCAAAGUCUUGCACCAUGUCUUCAAUCCCAGUACCAUGCUCGUCGGUGCGAUGAAGAAUCACCUCAGCUCUGGCACGUUGGUCAGACUCACCAUGAAAAGUCCACACCGUAUAAUUAGGGGUAAAACCCCACUUCUGCAGGUGUUUACCCAUUUCAAACUCUGUCUGCUUUUUCCAGUUGUCGCAGUUGGGACAGGGACACCAUGUUUUUUGCUGGCCAUUUGCAAAUGCGGCUCUCACAAACCCCCUGGUUUUUGUUAACCAUGGGUCAUGUCUUUCUGACUAGGGUGAGCAGUGUACAUCCAAGCACGAUCACUCAUGUUGCCUAGCUACCUAUGGGGCACAAGAAAUAAAUAUAUAAUUCAUCAUCUAUAUUCAUACGCUAAUCAAGUUUGUCAGUUUUAUUACGUUCAUGCAACCUACACGUUAAUAGGUAAAGAUAGGUCCUAAUCCCACCCGAGUAUGUGUAGAUUGGGUUCGUUUUCCCAUGCUCUGCUCCAGAUGCGAUGCAGAAUUUCGGCAGCACCUCCCCGCUGUUCUCCUGAUACACGUCUCGGCAAUAAGCAGAGAGGAUAUGUACCCGGAGAACAACAGGGGAGGCACUGACGAAAUUCCGCAUCGGAUCCGGAGCACAGCAUACGGGAAAACAAACCCAAUCUACACAUACUCGGGCUGUCCAUGGAUAAUGUUGGACAAUUCAAAAGGAUGACGGUUAUAAAUAUGCAAAGAAAUGCAUAUUUAUAGAUGUCGCCCUUUCAAACAGGAGACACAUACUGGUCACGCAUACUCAUGAUUGAAGAAACCUAUAGCUAGCAAGUUUCAUCGGCACGAAGACCGGAACAUAGCAAAUUAAGAGGUAGGAGGAGAAGUCAUUUGUGCUCACCAACAAACGCAGGGGCGGAGCUCGUCCAACGCACGUGGAGGUUGUCGAACAAUAUUUGUGCACAUUGAAAUUCACACGAUCAACACAAAUAUGAUAUUUUUAUAAUUAACAUAAUCGGAAAAUAUGUGGCCUAACUCAUAAUUUACAAAACUAUGACCCCCGUCGGCUUAGUGGCGUCGAUGGUCGGUGGUGUCGGGUGUCGGUCGUGUCGAUGGUCGGUGGUAUCGGGUGUCGGUGGCGUCGGGGGUCGGGGGUUAGUUGUGUCGGUGGCCGGGGUUAGUGUCGUCGAGGGUCGAGGGUCACUGGCGUCAGGAGUUGGGGUCUUUUCGGUCAACAAGAGGACAAGAGGUGUCGAGGGUCGGGGUUGGGGGUCAGGGGUAGGGUGUCGGGGGUUGAAGGUCAGUGGCGUCGUGGGUCGGGGGUCGCGGGCAGAGGGUCAGUGGCGUCAGGAGUCGAGGGUCAGUGGCGUCGGGCGUUGGGGGUUGGGGGUCGAGGGUCAGUGGCGUCUGGAGUCGAGGGUCAAUGGCGUCGGGCGUCGGCGGUCGGCGGUUAGUGGAGUCGGGGUUGGGAGUCGGGGGUCGGGGGUCAACAGUCAGUGGUGUCGGGCAUUGAGGGUCGGGAGUCGGAUGUCAGUGGCAUCGGAGGUCGGGGGUCGAGGGUCAGGGGUUGGUGGCGUCGGUCGUCGUGGGCCGGGGGUCGGGGUCGGGGUCCUCUUCUUUCUUCUUCUCCUCUCUCCUCUUUUUCUUCUUCUUCUUCUUCUUGAUCAUCUUAUUCGUCUUCUUCUUCUUUUUUCUCCUCCUCCUCUCUCCUCUCUUCUUCUUCUUCUUCUUCUUCUUCUUCUUCUUUCUUUCUUCUUCUUCCUCCUCUCCUCUUCUUCUUCUUCUUCUUCUUCUUCUUCUUCUUCUUCUUCUUCUUCUUCUUCUUCUUCUUCUUCUUUCUUCUUCUUCUUCUUCUUCUUCUUCUUCUUCUUCUUCUUCUUCUUCUUCUUCUUCUUCUUUCUUUCUUCUCUUCUUCUUACUUUUUCUUCUUUGCUUCUCCUUUUUCUUCUUUGCUUGUGCUGGCCGGAGUGUUGGGGAGGAGGGGGCGUGGGGCUUACCGGCCGGAGGUGUCGAUGGCGCGCGACGAGGAGGACGGCGGCGCGCGGCGAGGAGGACGGCGAUGCGCGGCGCGCGGCGAGCAGGACGACGGCGACGGCGAGGAGGACGGCACGCGGUGGCGAGCAGGACGGCGGGCAGCCUGACGGCGUCGUCGAGUUCGUCGCUUGCCGCGCCGGGCAGGAGAACGUGAGGAAGAAGAAGAGAAAUGGACGAUUUGGGUUCGAAAUUUUCUAACUCCCGCUUAUACAGGUGGAUCUUUAGUCCCGGUUCGGGGCUCGAUCCGGGACUAAAGACCCCUUUAGUCCCGGCUGGAGCCACGACCCGGGACUGAAGGCCCUUUUUCGGGCAGACCAAAAGGCGGGAAGCAGGGGCCUUUAGUCCCGGGGCGUGGCAAGAACCGGGACUAAAGGGGGUCUUUAGUCCCGGGUGGAGCCACGACCCGGGACUAAAGGCCCUUUUUCGGGCAGACCAGAAGGCGGGAAGCAGGGGCCUUUAGUCCCGGGGCGUGGCAAGAACCGGGACUAAAGUGUUGCCGAUAUAAACCCUCGCCCCUGCCCGCCAUAUCCCAUGGUUUUUAAUUGUUGAAGUGUGACCAUGCCAUGCUCUUGCCACUCUAGUUCAUGCACAUGACGUGUUCGAUGAAAUGCCCGAGCCACUCUACUUAAGCUUUCUCCUCUCCAAGCUCGACCUCCAAGCUCCAUUUUCCUUAAUAUUUGUCUAGGUUUGGCCGUGCAUCAACUGCGAGUACCACCGUGGUGAGCCUCUUGUUCUUAUCUUCUUUUUAAAAUCAAAAAAAAUCUUACUUGUAUGAUUUAGAUACAUACUUGUAUAAAUUACUCACUUUCAUUAUUUUUUGUUAUUAUAUAGUGCGAUGGUUUUGGUAUCCGCCUCCGUCGGCCCUCGUCCUGUCUAUGAUUCGGAUGUGGUAUAUAUUAUCUUUUAUAACUAUAUGUUUUAUUUAGUGUUUAUGACAACUAUGACGACCAAUGUGACAUAUAUUUUUUAAAUCUAGGAGGUAUGUGAACCGGAAAUUCCAACCCACAUAAAAAUUCUUGUCGAGAAGUUAAAUUUGGUUGAAAAAGAAAACAAAUACUUGAAGAAAAAAUUGAAAAUAAUUGAGGAUAAGAAUAUGGAACUGGAGUUGCAUGUCGCCGAUGUCAUCGAUGAUCGCAAGAUGAAAAUUGAUGCGAUGCGGUUGAAGAUGGAUGCAAUGCGCUUGAAGAUGGAUGAAAUGCGCUUGAAGAUUAGGAAUAUUAGAAAAUAUGUCAUUGAUAAAGAGGCUUGGUAUCAUUAUGCUGUUGGGUCAAUUGUUACCUUAGUUGCGAUUUUGAUCGCGUUUGUUGUUUCAUUUAAAUGUUUUACAUAGUUGUAUGUUGUUUUAUGAGAGAACUUUAUGUAUUUAUUUUUUACAAUAAUAACAUUUGAUCACUACUGUUCUUUGGCUUUAAUGUGAUGAUGAACUUGUAUUAAUUUGGUCAUAUGUUCUGCAAUGGUUUUUUGAACUUAUUUGAACUCCAUACUUUUUGUGUGUUCAAAAUGCACCAUUCAAAGGCACAUCACAAAAUUUCAACAAUUUCUGACUUCAUUUGGUAUAUUUUGUGCAUUUACUUAUUUUUUUGAGCUAGUUGACCCUGAAAUUGAAAAGCACUACAAAUGAACUCUGAAAAUAUUGAAAGUUGGCAUGCUAUCAUCAUUUUACCCACAUAGCAUGUGUUAAAAAGUUGAGAGGGCUACGACAAAAACUGGAUGCACUUCGUGUACAAAACGGACAAUCUCUCUCGAAGUAUCAGGGUUUCGAACGAGAACUCAUCUCUUACAAAGGGAUUUCAUUUUUUUGAACUUAUUUGAACUCCAUACUUUUUGUGUGUUCAAAAUGCACCAUUCAAAGGCACAUCACAAAAUUUCAACAAUUUCUGACUUCAUUUGGUAUAUUUCGUGCAUUUACUUAUUUUUUUGAGCUAGUUGACCCUGAAAUUGAAAAGCACUACAAAUGAACUCUGAAAAUGUUGAAAGUUGGCAUGCUAUCAUCAUUUCACCCACAUAGCAUGUGUUAAAAAGUUGAGAGGGCUACGACAAAAACUGGAUGCACCCCGUGUACAAAACGGACAAUCUCUCUCGAAGUAUCAGGGUUUCGAACGAGAACUUAUCUCUUACAAAGGGAUUUCAUUUUUUUGAACUCCAUACUUUUGGUGUGUUCAAAAUGCACCAUUCAAAGGCACAUCACAAAAUUUCAACAAUUUCUGACUUCAUUUGGUUUAUUUCGUGCAUUUACUUAUUUUUUUAGGUAGUUGACCCUGAAAUUGAAAAGCACUACAAAUGAACUCUGAAAAUGUUGAAAGUUUGCAUGCUAUCAUCAUUUCACCCACAUAGCAUGUGUUAAAAAGUUGAGAGGGCUACGACAAAAACUGGAUGCACUUCGUGUACAAAACGGACAAUCUCUCUCGAAGUAUCAGGGUUUCGAACGAGAACUCAUCUCUUACAAAGGGAUUUUAUUUUUUUGAACUUAUUUGAACUCCAUACUUUUUGCGUGUUCAAAAUGCACCAUUCAAAGGCACAUCACAAAAUUUCAACAAUUUCUGACUUCAUUUGGUAUAUUUCGUGCAUUUACUUCUUUUUUUGAGUUAGUUGACCCUGAAAUUGAAAAGCACUACAAAUGAACUCUGAAAAUGUUAAAAGUUGGCAUGCUAUCAUCAUUUCACCCACAUAGCAUGUGUUAAAAAGUUGAGAGGGCUACGACAAAAACUGGAUGCACUUCGUGUACAAAACGGACAAUCUCUCUCGAAGUAUCAGGGUUUCGAACGAGAACUUAUCUCUUACAUGGAUACUAUGAAAAUGAAAACUGUUUGAAAUUUAGUACAUUCCAUACAUGCAUUACAUAAAAGGUUUAAUACAUUAUUACAUUAUUGCACCAAUAUUCUUAUCUAUUAUUUCUGUUUUCUUCUCGGGCGUAGCCAUGGAGAAUCUUCAUCAUUCAGUAGGAUGCUUGGGUUAGUUUUCACUUUGAAGGGAGGAAUUUCAUGAAACUUAUUAUAAUCUUCUGACAUGUCUGUCUUGUCAUCUACUCCCACGAUGUUUCUUUUCCCUGAAAGAACUAUGUGGCGUUUUGGCUCAUCGGACGAUAUCUUCUUUUGCUGAUUUCUUUUUCUCGUUAAUGUAGACAUGUCCUUCACAUAGAAAACCUGAGCGACAUCAUUGGCUAGGACAAAUGGUUCGUCCAUGUACGCAAGAUUGUUGAGAUCCACUGUUGUCAUGCCGUACUUUUGGUCUACAACUACCCCGCCUCCUGUCAGCUUCACCCAUUUGCAUCGAAAUAAAGGGAUCUUAAAAGUAGGUCCAUAGUCAAGUUCCCAUAUCUCCUCUAUGUACCCGUAAUAUGUUUCCAAACAGUGCCCAUUCUCGUCUGUUGCAUCAAAGCGGACACCACUAUUUUGGUUGGUGCUCUUUUUAUCUUGAGCAACCGUGUAAAAUGUAUUCCCUUUUAUCUCAUACCCUUGGAAAGUACAUAUAGUCGAAGAUGGUGGCCUGGCCAAACAGUACAGCUCAUCUUCAACGGUGUCGUCAUUCAUGAGAUGUGUCUGCAACCAACUGCCGAAAGCCUUCUCGUGUUCCCCUUUAAUCCAAGAGUCAGCCUUCCCCGAGUUUUCGGAGCGUAGAAUAUUCUUGUGUCUCACGAUAUACGGAGCCACCACGGUGGAAUUGUGUAGAACUGUGUAGUGUGCUUGAGAGAAAGAAUGUCCGUCCAUACAUACUUUUGCUUUCCUUCCUAGUGUGCCUUUUCCUGUCAGCCUACCCUCAUACCGAGAUUCAGGAACACCAAUCGGCUUAAGGUCACGAAGAAAGUCCACACAAAACUCAAUGACCUCCUCUGUUCCAUAGCCCUUGGAGAUGCUUCCUUCUGGCCUAGCACGAUUACGAACAUAUUUCUUUAAGACUCUCAUGAACCUCUCGAAGGGGAACAUAUUGUGUAGAAACACAGGACCGAGAAUUCUAAUCUCUUCGACUAGGUGAACUAGGAGGUGUGUCAUUAUAUUGAAGAAGGAUGGCGGGAACAACAACUCAAAGCUGACCAGACAUUGGACCACAUCAAUCUGUAACCCUGAUAGACUUUCUCGAUCGAUUACCUUCUGAGAAAUUGCAUUGAGGAAUGCACAUACCUUCACAAUUGCCAGGCGAACAUUUUCUGGUAGAAUUCCCCUCAAUGCAACCGGAAGCAAUUGCGUCAUAAGCACGUGGCAGUUAUGAGACUUUAGGUUUUGGAAUUUUUUGUCUUUCAUAUUUACGAUUCCCUUUAUAUUCGACAAGAAGCCAGUCGGGACCUUGAUACUGAACAGGACUUCAAAGAAGAUUUCCUUCUCUUCCUUAGUAAGAGCGUAGCUGGCACGCCCUUGAAACUGCCCUGGAUGCAUGCCAUCUCUUCCUUUAUGACGUUCCUGGUCCUCCCGUGCUUCCGGUGUAUCUUUUGACUUCCCAUACAAGCCCACGAAGCCUAGAAUAUUCACGGAGAGAUUCUUCGUCAGGUGCAUCACGUCGAUUGCCGAGCGGACCUCAUGGACUUCCCAGUAGGGUAGCUCCCAAAAUAUAGAUUUCUUCUUCCACAUGGGUACGCGCUUAUCAGGGCCGUUAGGAACAGGUUGGCUGCCAGGACCCUUUCCAAAGAUUACUUUUAAAUCUUUGACCAUAUCAAAUACUUCAACACCAGUACAGAUGACAGGCUUCCCCCGGGGUUCUGCCUUGCCAUUGAAAUGCUUGCCUUUUUUCUUUAAGGGAUGCUUGGGCGGAAGAAAAUGACGAUUGUACGGAUACACAUUCUUCCUACAGUUGUCGAGAUAUAUACUUUCUGUCUGAUCCAAACAGUGCGUGCAUGCAUUGUAUCCCGUGUUUGACUGUCCUGAAAUGUUACCAAGAGCAGGCCAAUCAUUGAUGGUUACGAAAAGCAACGCUCGAAGGUCAAAUUCCUCUUGUUUGUGCUCGUCCCACACACGUACACCUGGUUCGGCCCACAGCUGUAAAAGUUCAUCAACUAAUGGCCUUAGGUACACAUCAAUAUCGUUGCCGGGUUGCUUUGGACCUUGUAUAACAUUGGCAUCAUAAUGAACUUCCGCUUCAUGCACAACCAAGGAGGAAGGUUGUAGUUACAUAGAGUAACGGGCCAGGUGCUGUGACUGCAACUCUGCUCCCCAAAAGGAUUCAUGCCAUCUGUACUCAGACCUAACCAUAAGUUCCUUGCGUCAGCUGCAAAUCUCGGGAACUCUCUCUCAAUUUUUCUCCACUGCGGACCAUCAGCGGUGUGCCUCAACUUAUCGUCUUUCAUACGAUCUUCCAUGUGCCAUCGCAAUAACUUCGCAUGAUCUUUAUUUCUGAACAAACGUUUCAACCCUCUUCCUGGGUGGCUCGCCCUCAAUAUCACCAGGGUCAUCUUUUCUGAUCUGAUACCGCAAUAAAGUGCAUACCGGGCAUUUAUCCAUAUUCUCGUACUUCUCACCGCGGUAGAGGAUGCAGUCAUUAGGGCAUGCAUGUAUCUUCUGCACGUCUAAUCCUAGAGGGCAGACAAGCUUUUUUGCUUCGUACGUGCUGGCGGGCAAUUCGUUCUUUCUUGGAAGCAUCUUCUUCAUCAGUACCAGCAACUUUUCGAAUGAUGAGUCAGUCACACCGGUCUCUGCCUUCCACUUCAGCAAUUCCAGUGUGCUACCCAGCUUCUUCUGGCCAUCUUCACAAGUUGGGUACAACAAUUUGUUGUGGUCCUGUAACAUCUGCUCGAACUGCAACCUCUCCUUUUCCGUGUCGCAACCUCGCCGUGCAUCAGAAAUGACCCGGCCAAGAUCAUCAGCGGGCUCAUCUGGUUCCCGUUCUUCAUCCUGAUCUUCUUCUUCAUUGUCUUCCAUUGCGGUAUCAGCAUACUCAGGGAACAUAGAUCGGUAGUUGUCAUCAUCGUUAUCUUCUUCUUCAUCGUCGUCUUCCAUCAUAACCCCUCUUUCUCCGUGCUUGGUCCAAACAUUAUAGCCCGACAUAAAACUGGACCGAAGCAGGUUGCUCUGAAUGACUCUUGAGGAAGUGUAAUCCUUCUCAUUCCAACAUUCAACACAUGGACAAAACAUAUAGCCACCAUCAUGCUUGUUCGCAUCGGCUGCAUCUCGAAAAGAAUGCACGCCUUCUGUGUAAGCGGUUGUGCGUCGAUCACCGUACAUCCAUGGAUGGCUCAUCUGCGUUAUACGACAGUAUAUCAAAUACAAUCACGAUCCUAAAAAUUAGUACUCCACGGUCUAAACGAGGAAAUAUAGUUGCUAACCUUUUAGAAUAAGUAGAAAUAAAGAGGAAGAGGUUUAAGCGUGGCUCGGGCAUCUCAUAUCGUAGUUGUGUUCGGUGAACUGAAGCGGCAUCGCUCUAACACACAUUCCAACAAACACCUCUAGUGCAUCAAAAAAAGUGGAGAGCAAGCACCCACCCACAAUCCUCCAUCCAAGAAAAAUGCAACGAAGAGGGGAGAGGGGGGCUGUGCUAUAUAUAGGCAGAGGACUUUAGUCCCGGUUUGAGACACAAACCGGGACUAAAGGUGGCGCACAUGCGGGCUGCCCACCGCGUAGCCCUUUAGUCCCGGUUUGGGACACGAACCGGGACUAAAGGCUCCUUACGGGCCGGGACUAAAGCCUCGAGAGAGGAUAUGAGAAUUGGGGCGACGUGGCCGGGCCUUUAGUCCCGGCCCAGAGGCAGGCCGGGACUAAAUGGUCCAGGCCAAAGGCCCGUUUUCUACUAGUGAGUGUAACCGUCUCUUUUUGAAAUACUCGGUCUUUAACUUACAUUCUGAUUAACAAGAACUUUUCAUAAGAGCUUGCUGUAUUAACAAAGUAGUGUAUUAUUAUUUGUUAUGUUAUCCAAAUUAAUGCCAGAAAUCAACGCAUGUCAUGUGAAAAAAUUUAGGUAUCGUUGCUACACAACCUUCAAUAAGCAUCACGACAAUGCCACUAAAAACUAUUCUUAGUUUCCUUGAAACAGUUUCUUAUUUUAUUUUUAAAAUAAAUUGCAGAAAUAAGAUUAUUUAAAGUAUAAGUAAAAUGUAAAUUUUGUUCUCUAGCAACACAAACANNNNNNNNNNNNNNNNNNNNNNNNNNNNNNNNNNNNNNNNNNNNNNNNNNNNNNNNNNNNNNNNNNNNNNNNNNNNNNNNNNNNNNNNNNNNNNNNNNNNUUCUUCUUCUUCUUCUUCUUCUUCUUCUUCUUCUUCUUCCUCUUUCUUUUAUCUUUCUCCUCCUCUCCUCUUUCUUCUUCUUCUUCUUCUUCUUCUUCUUUCUUCUUCUAGUUUAUUAUUCUCUUAUUUUCUUCUAAGUUUGACUAGAUAAAGCAUGUAGAGUAGGAGCAUAACAUACAAUUCAACGCAAACAUACAUGUUUCUAUUACAAUAGAACCUCAAAAGGCUAAGAUCUAAGAGGUGCAAAUAAAACUACAUCAAUGCUUCAUGCAUGCGGUUUAUGUCAACACCUCCUAUCUUCAGACCAAAAGCUUAACAUGCAAGUUCUGUCAAAAAUGUACAUUUACUUCAAAUGCAAAUCUAUCAUUUCUUUUUUGGGGCCCAUACCCUUCUUCAUCUAUCAUUUCUUUUCUUUUCUAUCUACUUUUUCUACUUAAUAAACUAACUAUCUAAUUUAACAUAAAAAACAGAAGAAAAAAACAACUUUCCAAUUUAACAGAAAAAACACAAAAUAAACUAACUAUCUAAAUUAACUAUCUAAUUUAAAAGAAAAAACAAGAAAUAAAGCGAAAAAAGAAAAAAAACCUUAACCUGCGCAGGGGCAGUGGGCGGCCGGGGCGGAGGGAAGUGGGAGGAGGGGAGGGCGAGCUCCGGCCCUGGGUGGCGGGGAGGAGGUGCGGGGGGAGGAGGGGAGGGCGAGCUCCGGCCGCGCGGCCGUGGUGGGCCGGAGCGGCUCCGGUGGUGGCGGCGGCGGCACUCGGGUGGGCAGGGCGCGGGGAGGAGGGGCGCGGGAAGGAGGGGCGCGUGGAGGACGGGCGCGAGGAGGAGGGGAGGGCGAGCUCCGGCCGUGCGGCGGUGGUGGGCCAGAGCGGCUGCGGUGGUGGUGGCGGCGGCGCUGGGGUGGGCAGUGCGCGAGGAGGAGGGGCGCGGCGAGCUCUGGUGGUGGUGGCGGCGGCGCUGGAGUGGGAAAGGGGCGCGCGCGAGAGGUCGAGGGGAGCGGCUGGUCGAAGGUGCCGUUAGGGGAGCGGGGGGUGGGGGCUGGGCGCCGUUAGAGGGAGCUCCCCUUUGCCGUCUGCAGAGGCUGGGAGGCAGAUGGCAAAGGGGUGGAUGGGGGCUGGGCGCCGUUAGAGGGAGCUCCCCUUUGCCGUCUGCAGAGGCUGGGAGGCAGAUGGCAAAGGGGUGGAUGGGGUGGGGCGCGAGUUGGCCAUUAGGGUGGCGCCCCUUUGCCGUCCGUCUGUAGGGCCUUUGCCAUGCGUCAGCUGACGGCAAAUAAAACCUUUGUCAUCAGCAACCUCUUUGCCGUCCGCUUUGUACCAACUGACGGCAAAGAGCAUCUUUGCCAUGCGUCAGCAGACGACAAAGGCACGACAGACGACAAAUUUAUCAAUUCCAGUAGUGUAUAUAAAAUGCUCUAACAUAACCGACCUAACAACAUUUUGCUCUAACAUAACCUAACUAACUACAGUUUCACUAAGUACAUAACCUAAGUACUAUAUAGAUUGCUCUAACUAGGGUUCAUAACUAAAUUCAUAACAAGGGUUCACCUAAGUUAAUUCCUAGGGUUCAUAACUGGCGAGGGAGGCAUGUGUGGCGAGGAGCGGACGAGGAUGGAUCCAGGGGCGCACGACUCCGGUGGCGGCGAUGGCGGGCGGCUCCGAUGGCAGCCCCGGUGACGGCGACAGAGGGAGAGGUUGAGGCCGACGAGGGAGCAUGGGCGGCGAGAGAGAAGUUGGAGACGCGUGCGAGAAGAACGGGGAAUUGGGGGAAGGACGCCCGCGCGGCAGGGGCAAGUCAAACUUAGUAGUAGAACUCUUACCCAGCAACCGCUAUAGCUACUUAGCUAUAGCGCGUUAUCUAAAAACGCGUUGCUGCUGGAAAACUUAGUAGUAGCGCGGUUCUCGGAACCGUGCUACUAUUAUACCAAAUCUCGCAGCAACGGCUAGAACAGUCAUAGUAACAGUGCAUUUUAUUUGAGCGCACUACCGCUAAUUUUUGUAGCAGUGGCGAGCUUUUUAUCCACGAACUACAGUUAUUUAGCAGUAGCGCUUUGUUUUAACAGCCGCUGCUGCUAAGAUUCUGUGUAUAAACUUUUUCCGAGUAGUGUCUCUCUCUCACACACACACAUACAUACACACACAUGUUGGUGACAUCAGUCAACCCAGAACAAAAUGAGUUCUUGGCCAGCCGAGACCUAGUAGUAUGCUUUAGUUGUUUAUUUAUGCCACACGCUUCUAUGUGUUAUUAUAUCGAUGAGUCUUGCUGUAUGCCGGAGGUUUCACGGGAUGAGACAUUACAUAGGAACAUGGUUCUUGGCCGUCAUUUUGAGGGCAUGUGGAACCUAUCAGUAGAAGGGUCACUCUUUGGAGAUCCAUGUGAGCUCAUAAGGCUUGGUAAGAUUACCUUCCUGUUAAUAGUUUUACUUCACUUUUUAGGUGCUAAUAGGAGCACUGCUUGCGUACCUCUUUGCUAACUGUAUAAACUGAAAAAAUGGACGAAACAUCUUUUUUUUUAGAAAAGGAGGUUAAACCCCCGGUCUCUGCAUCAAUCGAUGCAUGCAGCCAUCUUAUUAAUUAUUCCACAAAGGUCUAACAAGAGGAUGCAUCAAUCCAUCCAAAGCCACCACUCACACCUACAAACUCGAUAAUGUGGAGUGCUCUCACUUCACAUAUCUAAGACCGAUGUUGUUUUCAAUCCGUCCACAUAACGCAUCGGGAACAACAGCCGGUGCAGCACACCUAAAACGCACACCUCACGCACACGUUUUACCAGCCGUCAUCAUCCUCGAACCACUGACCCAUCUUCAGGAAAGAGAAUCCGCAUCAUCCUUACCAGUCCAAUCAUCCGUCGACGCCACCACGGCGCCCAACGGCGCCACCGCCCUGCGCUCAUCCGUCCAGAUGCGAAGACUCCGGGAGAUCUGUCGUGCGUAGCACCUGCCAACCAGGCAUGACUCAGCGUAACACCUGUCAGCCAGGCAUGACUUGACAGCUCCACCGAAAUUCCGUGCAAGACGAAGGCGCUCCACCUCCUGCCUCAGUCUGCCAGCGCUGCUCCACAAACGAUGCUACCAAAAGAGAAACGACACCGCAGUACCGCCAUCGUCCGAUCUGAAAGAUCGGAUCCUAGGGUUUCCCCCAAAGCAGUGCCCACCACCAGCAACCGUUCAGGACCCACACAGUGCCCACCACCACUCAGCCCUCAAGGCGACACCUUCAGGAAGGUCACGACAUCAAGGACGCCGCCGCCGCCCACCGGAGUUAGGGUUUCACCCGAGAGGCAAGGAAGGGGAGCAGAGGAGUAGAUGUACACCGACGUCUCCAAAAAUAAUAACGGCGCCCUUGAGCAUCGUCGUCGGCGCGGCUGGCCUAGGCCAACCAAGGGGUUUCCCUCAAUCCAAAUCUCCUCCAUCGGCUUCACCCGUGGGUACGGCCCCGGCAACCACGCCGGCACCGCUAAGAAUCCGCAUGAGAGAGGCCCACAGAUGAGUACCUGGGGGCGUAGGUGGCGGUGCGGGCAGCGGCCGACGAAGGGGAACAUCACACCUCCACAGCGACGCUUCCAAGAAAGAUAGCGGCACCCGCGGGCGUCGCCGUCGCGGCUCCGAUGAAGACCGGAGCAAAGAUUUCUCCCGGAGCUGCGCUGGAUAUCCACCGCCACCAACCGCUGAGCAUGGCCGCCACGCACCAUCACGACCCCCAGCCAAGGCCACUGCACCGCGCGCCCUGGACACUGCUCGUGCCCAGCUGACCAGCGGAGCCUUGCCCGAUUGCCGCUCCCUACCACCAGGGCUGAGUGCCCCGCUAGAUCCAGGCCAUGGAGUCCCGGAUCCGCCAUCCGCCGCCGCCAAUUGGCGAGAUCACACGGGAUCCCGCAACCGCCGCCGCGGGGCGCCGCCGCCAGAGCCCGAGGGCCGACGCGAGGGGCCCCGCGGCCGCCAUCCCCGGGGCACGCACGGCUUCGCCAGCAUCCCCUCCGGCAGCAGCGAAGCAGGAAGGGCGCGGAGAUGGGGUCCGGUGCUCCUGCUGUGCCGGAGGAACCAGGUCGGGAGGUUGGGAAAGGCCACUAGCGAAUCUGCUGUAAACAACCGGGAGCCAGGCAGGAGUGCACGGAGGCCUUCCUCCGACGGCGGCAAGGGAAGGGAUGGGCUGGGGAACGGCCGGCGGCUAGGGUUUCAGGAGCCGCCCGAGUCGCCUGGCGAGAUCGCGAUUGUUGAGCGCGGUUUGGAAGCUUUUCGACGAAACAUCUUUUAGCCAUGAAGUUCUAGUUGUCAAUCGUAGCAUGGAUAUCUCUCCCUUGAGUUCCAUCUAGAUAUUUAAUUUACCGAGGAUGCCAAUUUUAAUUGUUCAAAUUGAACAUCGUAUUAUCUAAUCAGCUUGAAUUUCUCUGAUUCUAAUAUUCAAAUCAUGGGUAGACAUGAAGAUUCAAUACAUAAAUUCAUAUAUAUUUCUUGAGAGUCCAUUGCUAAUCAGCUUAUGAUACUAAAUGUAUUCAUAUUAAAUUCUUUUAAUGUCCUACUUGCUUGCCUUGGCGAUGCACUUUUUUUUACUUUGUAUAAUAACAUUUGGAAGGCAUGGUAAGGACUUACUAGCUUCUCGUUUUUUUUGGAAUAUAUGGUAUAGUUAUCUCAUGCCUGGCCAGGUAUCCUACGGUAGGGAUGAUUUGGCUUAUCAGUCCAUAUGCUAUCGUUUGUGUAUUCACAGUUGCUAACAUGCACAGAAUCAAAUGUUCCGGUUUACUAGGUUCCAAUAUGUUGUCGGUAGAUAAUUUUGAUACAUUACUAUUCCGUGGUAGAAUACAUGUCCAUUAUUGGCAAGAAUGCAGAUAUAAUCUAUGUGGUUUGUGAUUUGUUAUGUUGAAAAUAAAAUAUAUUCCUCCGAAAUCUGCAGGUUUCGGUAAUUCUUGUGCGGGAAGGAGAAGAUGAUAUGGGUCGGCGUUGACGACGACUAGGACAACUCGUGCGGCUGUGGUAAUUUUGGUGUUUGACGUUUUGGACUAUUCACGGUCGGAAUUAUUAUCUUCUCCCAAGCAGAACUUGUAAUAGUGUAACCGUCUCAUUUUGAAAUACUCGGUCUUUAACUUACAUUCCUAUUAACUAGAAUUUUUCAUAAGAGCUUGCUCUAUUCACAAAGUACUGUAUUAUUAUUUGCUAUGUUAUCCACAUUAAUGCCCAUAAAUCAGUGCAUGUCAUGUGAAAAAAUUUAGGGAUCGUUGCUACACAACCUUCAAUAAGCAUCACGACAACGCCACUAAAAACUAUUCUUAGUUUCCUUGAAAUAUUUUCUUAUUUCAUUUUUAAAAUAAGUUGCUGAAAUCAGAUUAUUUAAAAUAUAAUAAAAAUGUAAAUUUUGUUCUCUAGCAACACAAACAUGAUGCUCGAACUUAAGGUCUACUCCCUCUUUUCCGGUUUAUAGGGUUCAAAUCUGAAAUCCCAUCUACCAAGGUGAAUUAUGAGUGGAUGACACUAGUUUAAACUAGCCAAUGAAAUAUUUCUCACAUAUGCAAUUUUCAAGGCAAUAAAUGUAGCAUCCUUCCUUUCAUUGGACUUGCAUGAUCGAUGUAGAAAACGAUGCAUGCAUAGUCACUCAUCUCCUUUCUAUAAACUCUAUGAAUUAAAUAUGGCGUGAGACUCAAAGCACUUUAACUCACUUAGACUCAAAAUGAGCCUAAUAUAAUGGAAAUCUGAAAAUUUUGAGAUGAGCCCUAUAAACCGGAAAGGAGGGAGUAUGUUAUAUUGUGUUUGUUCUUUUCUCGUUCCUACUACACUAGAGACCCAUCCAUAGAUACAACCGGAAUAACAAUCUCAAAUACAAACAAAUGCAUGAGACAAAUACAAAAACAAUCAAAGCUCGGAACGAUACAAGAGUGAAAGGAGGAGGGAUUCUGGUCACAAACACACACACACAAUACGCCAUAGAACGACAUUUGAUUAGCUUCUCAAGAGGCAGCCUGUGUAGUAGAAAAUCAUGUCCUCUAUUUGAAACAGUAUUACAUACGAGAUUGAAUAUACCUAUCAUGUAUGCAUCCAAUUAAAUUAAUUAACGAUUUAUCUCAAGUGCAAGAGACAUUGGAAAAAAGGGAGUCCGGGUUGCCAAACAUGAUGGGGAGAUCCUAUUUUUAGUGAUACUAGAUGACUUGUUGCGUCAAUUGACGGAACUGACGAAGUUACUUUAGAAGAAGUGUAUGGUAAUCUAUUUUCAAGAUUAUGGCCUUUAAAAAUAACAAAGUGAGAUCAUACAAAUAUGCAUUUUAGGUGGUUAAUUAUCAACAUAUUUAAUAUAGGUAAAAUUGAAGCCAAUCAGUAAGCGGAGACCUCACCUGUUCGUACAAAAUUAGCGGAGACCUCACCGGGUCCUAAAAAAUAAGUGAAGACCUCAUCGGUUUGAAAAUGCAACCAAGAUGUUGUGUCACCAUGGAUGCCACGUGAGGGCCUGCUCAAGAAAAACUUCGUUUCAUGGAUGCAUAUAAUAGUAAAGAAAUGUCCACUACACACGAUACGCUAGCCACACAACGACCUUCCGAGCAUAUGUGGAUUAUCUUCUCAAGAGGCAACCUGUGUUGCUGCAGAUCAUGCCCUCUACACUAGUAGAAACAGGGCCUAUAGUCCCGGCCCGUAAAGGGCUUUAGUCCCGGUUCAUCAACCGGGACCAAAGAGGCGGGAUUAAAGGCCUAAUCUUUAGUCCCGGUCCUGUUUCAAGCCGGGACCAAAGGUGUUCCACGUGGGCGCCUCGGAGCGUCCUCAGGGGCAGGUCCUUUAGUCCCGGGUCUUAUCACCGACCGGGACUAAAGAGUUUCUGCAGAUUUUGUUUAUUUUAGGGUUUUAGGGUUUAGGUGUUCGGGAGAUUAACGUGAUGCCUCGUUUGGUGUUCGGAAUUAGUUUUCAUAUAAUUCUAAAUAUACGUGUUUAUGCAUAUAUAUAUAUAAGAUUAACUUAUCUUACAAGCGAGCAUAUAUAUACAAUUAUAUGGAGAUCUGAAUUAUCGGGACUAGAGCCCGUCUAUUCGAUUACAUGGACCAACAUCAGUAAUGGCCCCUAGCUACACUAAAUCGUCUUUUGUCAUCUAUAGCUUUCGUCCUCAGAAAGGUCGCAAGCUCCUCUGCAACAACAAUCGCGUGUUGCUCUGGUAGGUACUUCUCCCUCAUGGCCGUGUACUAUAUAAGAAGUGGAGAUGAAUAUGAAUAUCAAUCAUGAUAACAAAGAAUGACGGGUAAAAAUAGAGGUGUGAAUGUUCAUUGCUUACGUCGUAUCUAUAAUCCUUGUGCUCAGAGGUAAACGUGCGAAUGGUCUCGCAAACAUAGUAUCCGCAUAGAUGCGUCCCCCGUGGCUGCUGGUCGCACUUUACGAAAAUAGAAUAUAUAUAAUCAAAAUAAUAAUCUAGCAUCAUAAAUGUAUUGAAAAUAGAAGUAUAUCAUACUACUACUUACCUGAGCCGCUCUAAAGGUCAGCUUCUCAUGCUCGAUACCGGGAGUCACGCACUUGAACUGCUUCCAAACCCUGCCCGAGAAGGAAAAUGAUUUGCUAAGUUUUUCAUUAAUUGAUAUAUCAGAAAAUCAUCGAAAGAGACCGAUAGAGCGCAAGAAUGAUUGAAAUUACCCUUGAAGCAUGUCCUGCAGGCUUUGGAACUGUUCCAAGGGUCUCGAUAAUGGGUCGAAGGCAUCAACUCUUCCCUUAUCAAUUUGAAUGUCCAACAGAAUCCAAUGAUAGCUGCACAUGUAUAUAUAUGUGUGUCAGUAACUUAUCAAUUACACUUAUAAGUGAAUGGACACAACAGAGUAAAGACCCUCACUUGAAGUUGUAUGGAAACAGUAUGUGGUCACAGAAAUUUUGAUCUGUUAGAAACCUUAGAAGGUUUUCCUCCGUCUCCUUGGGUUUAUCAGUUAGCGUUGCUAUAAGUAUUUUAUCUGGGUCAAUAAACCCAAUAUUUAGGAUGUUCCUACUUUUACAUUUCAGAAUCUUCAUUCUGCAUAAUAGAGUACAAGUUAUAUGUAGACAAUGAAUUGAAAUAACUAAACAAGUUAUAUGUAGACAACGAAUUGAAAAACUUACAGACAAUAGCAACUCAUAAGCGAUUUGUCGAGGGCGUCGGCAUUGUACAUCUAGAAGAGUUCAUUAAAGUCGAUAUGAAUUUCCUCGGGGCGGCCGUAGUACUCCCGUGGGACACGUGCCACGAUCAUUGUUCUCCCAUUCUUUGAUUCACUUAAGUACCAUGUAUGCAAGUAACGCAUAUUUGUUGGGAGAUCAUAGAACUUAUCUUUGCUGACCAAAGGAGCUCCCAUGAAAAACUGUGGCUUAGGGGCUACCACAGCCUUGGGUAACCUGUCGUCUUGGGAAGCCAGAACGUCUUCGACGGGAUACCCCAUUCAUCCGCCCACUUCUUUGCUAAUUCCAAAGCUUGCCCCUGCACCAAAGAGGGAACAUUCUCGGGUAACACCCUGAGGGGUGGGAUCGACUGUUUGGCCUGUUGUCCAAGCUGAGGAAUGUCUGAUCAUUUUUUGCUUGUAGUUGAACUUGAUUUGCUCCCACUUGCACUUGCACGUGAUCUGCUCUUUUUCCCUUCCUUCUGCAAUGUGCGUGUAUAGUCAUCAGGCUUAUGGUGUAAGUCAUACUGUGAUGGAAGGGUCGUGAAGUAUUUUGCAUAUGCUAUUUGCUUCUCGGUGUAUUCCGGGCGGGGCUCGGGUUCCUUCUUUUUCAUCUGCGCAUCAUAAUGUUCCUUUGCUAUCCUGGCGUUUUCCUCGUCGGUACGAUCAUAAGGUCUGAUAGGAAGAUUAGCAUGAGGUACCGUUGGGAGGGGCGACAGUUUGCGCUUUGGGGACCUCUGUCGCUUAGAACUCAUCAACGGAGAGUUCUUGUUGGCACGCUUCCGUUUAGUAUCCUUAGCGGGCGGCGGCGGAGACGGACGACCCAAGUCCGGCGGCGGUGAUCGAGAUGGACUCGUGUUGUGCUGGCCAUCGUCACGUGGAGGGCUUGGAGGUGAUGGAGGUGUAGGUGACAUGCGACGACUCGGAGGCGGUGUUGUCCUUGGGGCCGAGCCUGGAAGCUUGAUGUAGUUCUUGUCCCAUAGGAUGACUCCACCCAGUACUUCUCCGAGUGUCCUCUCAUCUUUGGGUCCAACUAUGUCGAGCUCCAUAUCAUGAAACCCCGCCAUGAUUUCAUCCACCCCGACUUUAGCAAAGCCAGCUGGAAUCUCACGGCCAUGCCAGCGUGCAUCAGGGCCAGAAGGUAAAGCUUGUCCGACGGCCACCUUCAUGGAUAUGUUCUUGAAUUUCUGAUGGAGUUCACAUGAUGUUGACUCCUUGAUUCCAUCCAUGAGGUAGCUGGGACCGCCCUCUAUCAUUCUUCGUGCAUCGUCGGGCGAGGCCUCAAAUUAAGCCACGCUGCUUUUUCGCUUAGAUGGGGCGCCGGUAAUAUCGAGUGCAGGAUCUUCCUGGUGCGCUACUCCUCUAAGCUCAUCAAUCUGCUUCUGUUGCUCGUUAAGCCUGGCAAGCAACUGGUUGAACUUGUCAUUCUCCUCAUCCCGUUGUCGCUUCUUUGCUCUCGCUCGGCUUCUGUAAGUGUCUUGGUCUCUGGCAAACCCAAGCCACCACGGGUAAGAAGGACCGAAGCCUCGCGUUCGUCCUCCAUGUUCGUCAUUGCCGAGGACCAGUGUGACCAAAUCUUUCUCUCUAUCUGCAGUGAACUGUAUUUUUCCCUCCUUAAUUUCUUUCACUAUCUUUUUCCAAUUCUCCCUGGGUAUCCUAAGACCGUCACCGCAGAUGAGGUCCCCUGUUUCUUCGUCGUACGAACCACCAUGCGCAAGGAACCAAUUUCUUGCUCUCAAUUCCCACUCAUCACAGAUGGGUUCAGGUAUGAUGCCUUUAGCUAGCAGAUCUUGCUCUUUCUUAUGCCACUUUGGGAUGGCACUCUCAUAGCCCCCCGGCCCCAGCGUGUGGUGAUAUUUCUUCUUGUCGGCAUUUUUCUUGUUCUUUUCUGAUAAUGCCUUGGCAUCUUCUGACUCCUUGUACUCUUGAAAUGCCUUCGAGUGAUUCGCCUGCUUGGCUAGAUACCCCUCGAAUACUGGCACUUUCUUUGUCUUCCGAUAGUUUUUCCAUAGCUUCUUCUUCCAGCUACGGAACAAUUCGGCCAUCUUCUUUAGAGUCCACUGCUUGACUUUUUUUGCGGCGUCUUCAUUCUCACAUUCUGGCAGGUUGAAAUGUGACAUGAGAUCAUUCCAAAGAUUAUCUUUGUACCUUUCGGCGACAUAGUCACUAUCGGCUGCCCCUUUGCGCUUGUUCCCCUCCCUAACGCUGAUCGGGACGUGAUCCCUAACGAGAACUCCGCAUUGCUUCUUGAAUGUGUCAAUAGCAUUCUUACGAAGCUUGGGUUCGCUCGUAGGCAAUAUCACCUCAAAGGUGUAAUGCGUCCGUGCAUCCAACUUUUUAGUCGGGCCUCGUUUCGUAGAUUUGCUCGAUGUGGAGGCUUGAGAGGGAGAAACAUUCGUCAAAUGAAUGUAUAUGUAGACAAUAUAGAGCUAUCUCCAAUAUUAUUCACAUAUUACAAGUGAUUGUCGAACUUCAUAUGUAUACCUCGCCGGACUUUAUUAUUUCUCCACCGGCUUCUCCAUCAGUGGAGCUAAUACCAUCUCCGCCAUUGGAGCUAUCUCCUGCCCCAUCGGUUUCAUCUUCGUGUCGGUCGACCUCCAUUCCAUAUCCGGAGGGGUUUAGAUAUGACGACGAAGAUUCAGCUGGUUCAACGUCGGGGCCGUCUUUGAUUAUAUCUUCGAGAAGUUCUUCCUCUUCGAGGUUCUUGAUAUGUGGAUCCAUAGUUCUCAAAAAAAUAGACAUUUGAUUAACUAAUAAACUCACUGGUGGAAAAAGGGCCUUUCGUCGCGGUUCGCAACUGCCAUUAGUCGCGGUUGCGCAACCGCAACCAAAUAGGCGCGACUAAAGGCCCCCCCUGUAGUCGCGGUUGCUUAAGAACCGCAACUAAAGGCCCGUCCACGUGGGCGCCAGGCGGCCGUCGGGGCGGAGGACCUUUAGUCGCGGUUCUUCUGGCCAACCGCGACUAAAGGCCGCCACAGGGUUUAGCCCCCCCCCCUAAACCUGUUUUCUGUUUAAUUUGUAUUGUUUUAUUUCUUUUGUGCUUUAUUUUAAUUUUGAAGGAGUUUCACAUAUUCUACGGUACUACAUACAUGCAUAUGAAUGUACAAUUUCAAACAAAUUUGAAAUUAGAACCAAAAAGAAUUCAAGAGGAAUAUACAAUAUAUAUUCAAUAUCAUCGGAUGACCAUAUACAAUUUUGAACAAGUUUCCAUACAUAAUUUAAUGCAUAUAAAGUUCUACGUCGUCGUAAUGGUGUUCUCCUUUAGGAUGGAGGACUUCCCUCCUGAACCAUCCAGCUAGUUCCUCUUGAAGUGGUCGGAAGCGAGCUUCUGGACUAAGCAUCACCCGGAGGUUAUUCCGCUGAGCAUUGGUAUCACUCGGAACCCGCUCAGAGGUGUAUCUCCGGAUCAUCUCACAGACAUAGUAUCCACAUAGAUUGGUCCCCGCUGGCUGAAUAUCCCCACCAUUCUUAGCCUUUGACCUUUUGAAUUCUAGCUCUUUUUUGAAUUCACCGACCUUUGUAUCUACGAACCGUCUCCAAACCCUACGAGGCAAAGAAAAUUAAAUGAACAAGAGAGUUAUUAGUUACUUGAUAUUAGGAAAUGAACGAAAUAGGCCGAUCGAUAUAGAGCGCAAAUGAAUGAAAAUAAUUACUUCUGCAGCAUUCUUCUCAUGCCGCCCCAAAGCUUUGGAUCCAUAUUCAGAGAGUCGUGGACGAGACAUUCUGAGGUGUCAACUUUAAUUACUAGCAGAAUCCAGUGGAACCUGCGGACACGAUACAUGCACAGUACGUCAUGCAUAACUCAUCGAUUAGCCGGCCACAUACCAUGCAUGGAGUAAACAAAAGAGAAUGUGCUCAAGACAGAAACACUCAGCCAAAAUGGUAAGGAAAUAGAAUAUCACUUUUGAGUUCCUGCUUUGUAAGAAACUGCCACAGGUCUGCCUCCAUGUCGGCGGGGUGAUGCUCCAACACAUAUCCAUUAACGAUGUGUGGGUCAAUGAACCCAACAUCAUGGAUGUUCCUUACUCUGCAUUCCUUAAUCUUCAUUCUGCAUGUAUAAUAGCGGACACAACAAUAUAGUUACGACAUAUAUAUAGUGCAGGCAAUAUGAACGAGAUGGGGUAGAAAUAAAUCACUUACAGAACGUAGCAACUGAUGAUAGAUUUGUCGAGCUCGCGCAGAUUGAAAAGCUGGAACAAUUCACUCAGAUGAAUUUGUACAUAGUAAUGUUUGAAGUGAUGCUCAUAUCUAACUUCCGCAUAAAUAUAUUCUUUGGCGUUUUUAUUUUUUAUGUAACCCUUGUACCAUUUCAGCAGACCUUUCAUUUGUGGAGGUAGAUCCUCUUCCUGCGCAGGCUCGACGAGAGGCCCAUUCUUCACAUAUGUAAUUACUACCUCCUUCACUGGCGCCUCAUCAAGGCCUAACAGUUCACGAAGAGUAAUACCUAAGUUGGCCGCUUGUUCUCUGGCACUCGUUACAGUCAAUCCAUGUGCUGCCGCAGCUGCUAUGAUAUCAGGGUCAUCCGGACCGGCGGCUUUCACUAUAAGCGGGGCAAUCGAUUGUUUACUUUGUUCCCCGAGCUGGGCAACUCGUUUCCCGCUUUUUUUACUUUCUAAUUCCGUUUUCUCGGCCUCCUCCAAGGCUUUGUUCUCCUGGUUCUCCGCCCGCUCUUUCUUCUCCUUCAACAUGAAUGCCUGCCUACGAAGUUCACGUGCAUAGUCGUCAGGCAGAUUCUUCGCGGCUUGGGACGGUGUGCUCAAAAAUGACUUAGCCCACUUCUUUUGCUCAUCAGAAAAUACUGGCUUGGGCUCGGGCUCUCUUUUCUUCUUGCAGUCCGCCUUCCAUUUCUCAUGAUCAGCAGCCGCGGCCGCGGCAGUUUCCUCGGCACUACGUUCCCAAGGCCUUGUGGGGAGAGGCUUCAGUGAUGGCUCCGGUACCUUUGUGGUCUUAGGUACAUAAGGGUCCGGGUUCAUAAUCCAGGACUGCUUCUGCUUCUUUGCCGGAGGUGGAUUGGGGGGCGGCGUCUGAUCACCCGCCGGACGAGGACUGGGGGGCGGCGUCUGAUCACCCGCCGGACGUUGUGGACUGGGGGGCGUCGGUUGACGUGACGGAGGUGUAGGUGAACCGCCACCACCACCACCACCACCACCACCGCCACCGCCACCACCACCACCGUAGGGGGGUGGACUUGUUGUCCUUGGCGCCUCGCCUGGAAACUUGAUAAACUUCUUUUGCCAUAGAAUGAAAUGGCGCUUGACAUCUCCAAGUCUUUUCUCCCCUUCAGGUGUAGCAAUGUCAAUCUCCAGGUCCUCAAACCCUUGGACUAUGUCCUCCACCGUGACACGAGCAUAGCCAUCUUGAAUGGGGUUGUUGUGGUGGAGUGCUCCAGGUAAACAUGGUAAAGCACUGCCGAUGGCUACCUUCAUGGACAUGUUCCCGAUAGGAUAAUACAGAUGACAUUCUUUCAUCUCCUUUAUAUCGUCCACGGGGUAGCGAGGAGGCUCCGGUGCAGUAAUUUCGACCACCAGAGGCUCCGGUGCAGUAAUUUCGACCACCAGAGGCUCCGGUGCAGUAAUUUCGAUCGUCGGUGCAUCUGCACCAGCUGGUGGGGCCUCCGUGGAAGCCACGCUGCUUCUCCGCUGCUGGCCGCGCGCAUCGCCGCCCCCCUCGCCGCCCCCUCUCCGUAUACUUUUUUUGUUGUUAAUUAUCAAGUUCUCCGUGUGCCUAGUUUAAUUUUUUGUCAAAAUGUUCAUAGUUUAAAUAUAGUUUUGAAAACCAUUUUUGUUGAUACAAAAAAACAAGAAUCGUAUUUUCGAUCCUAUUUCUAAACCGUUUUUCCGUAUGAGGCAAAUGAGAUAGAGUUGGAUAGUUCCUGCAAAUCAGCUCAUUUCAUACGUUGAAGGUUUUAUUUUCCAAAUUCCCUACGCUUAUAGAGGAAUUUCAAGAAAGGAAAAAUUUCUAACCUAUGGAACAACAUUUUCUAACCUAUGGAACAACAUUUGAACAUUGUAUAAACAAAUUUAAAAAUGUCAUGAAUCUUUUUUGAAUUGUUGGAUUUGUUUUUCUCAAAUGUCACAUACAUCUUUUUAAUGUUUCAAAACAUUUCUUAUAUUACGCAAAAAAUAUUUUUUACAUUGUAUAAAAUAUCUUUGAAAAUGUCCGAAAAACUUUUUUCAAGGUCGUGCAGGGGAGCUAUGGCGGCGACCCCUCCGAUGAGGAUUUUUACUCCGGUGAGGGUGGGCGGUGGCUCGUCGGCGCUCUAGUUAGCAGUAGCAGAGCGGGCAGCACCGGCGGCGUUGAGGGCGGGCGGGCGAGGCGGCGCGCGCGCGGUGGGCGAGGGAGGCCGGUGAUAGCGGCCGGCGGCGCCGUACGUGGGCGAGAGGGGGCGGCGUCGAGGGCGAGGGCGACGGCGGGCGACGGCGGGCGGCGUCGAGGGCGAGGGCGACGGCGGGCGGCGUCGAGGGCGAGGGCGAUGGCGGCAGGCCUUCGGCGCGGCAGAGAUCGGAGAAGACGAGAAGAGGCGACGGUUCGGGCUUGUAUUUAUAGUCCCCCCCCCUUUAGUCGCGGUUGGGGAGGCGACCCGCGACUAAAGGGUAACCUUUAGUCGCGGUUGGCCAGACCAACCGCGACUAAAGGGUUUUUUGGGCGGGUUUUUCGUUCCCGCGCCCAACGACCUUUAGUCGCGGUUGGGGAGGCGACCCGCGACUAAAGGGUAAACUUUAGUCGCGGUUGGCCAGGCCAACCGCGACUAAAGGUAUUUUUCAAAAUACUUUUCUUUUUCAAAAUCUUAAAAAUACAAAUAAUAUAUCAAAAAACCACAUUUAGUCCCGGUUGCACCAACCAGCCGGGACUAAAGGUUAGAUGACCAGCUCUGGAUUCCUCUUCUUCCCGCCAUUUCUUCCCUGUCUUCCCGCCUCUUUCUUCCCGCCACUUUCUUCCCGCCUCCUGUCUUCCCGCUCCCAUUUUUCCCGCCAUUUCUCACUACAUAUAUGUAGCCCGGCUUGGCCAGCAUUAUCACAUCUCUACAAUCUCUCAUCACUCUCUCAUGGCUUCCACCGCACCCACUCUAACCUACCAGCAGGUGGAGGAGCUUUGCGCCUCGAACUACCCUUGUCCACCGGGCUACCGCGUCCCCACCGGCUGGAGCCUAAGCGCCGGCGGCGUGCCGGUCCCUCCCGUCCCUCAGGGUACUGCGCGCCGGGCGGCCAUCACGAACCACUACUACCUCGACCUCACGCCGGAGCAGCGGAUGAAUCCCCGCUGGCAUCCCGAUAACCAGCAUACUUGGGACGCCUUCUUCAUCAAUCGGCGUGAGAGGGCGCUCGCCAGGUAUGAGGAGGACGGUCUGCCUCCUGGGAACUUCCACGAGGCCGGCCGUCGGCUAUGUUGGUACGGCCGGACUCUGCAGAGCGUCAUGGACUACAUCACGGCCGGCGAUAUCCCCCGCCUGCGCUACCCUCAGUUCGAGCCACGAGCGCCGCCCGACGACAGCGACGACAGCAGCGACGACGACGGCGGCAACUUAGAAGGCGACGACUACCAGUACAACGACGACGGCGGCUAUGAAGACUACGAGUAUGCAUAUUAUACGCCUAGGCAGGAGUAUGACUAAAUCACUCCAAAUUUCAUGUAUCUUCAGUGGUAUCUCGAAUCAUUCGAAAAUGGACACCAAACACAUCACGGGUAAUAUAAUUCACAUGAUCCAUUCAACAAAGUUUGGUACAAUAAAUUAUUACACAUCAUUUCUUCCCUUGUGUCCCUGCUUGCUUACGAUUGUGCCGUAUCCAUGGAGCAUCCUCAUCAUUUAACUUAAUGCUUGGGUCGGUGUUCACUUUGAAGGGCGGAAUUUCAGCAAACAUAUUAUAAUCUUCUGACAUGUCUGUCUUGUCCUCCACUCCCACGAUGUUUCUUUUCCCUGAAAGAACAAUGUGGCGCUUUGGAUCAUCGCAUGAUGUACUGAUCGUUUUCUUAUCUUUCCGUUUCCUCGGUUUGCUACUCAUGUCCUUCACAUAGAAAACCUGAGCGACAUCUUUCGCUAGGACGAAUGGUUCGUCAAGGUAACCAAGAUUGUUGAAAUCCACCAUUGUCAUUCCGUAUUGCUGGUCCACCUUUACCCCACCUCCUGUUAGCUUGAACCAUUUGCACCGGAACAAAGGGACCUUAAAGGAGGGUCCAUAGUCAAGUUCCCAUAUCUCCUCUAUGUAACCAUAAUAUGUGACCUUUUGCCCAUUCUCGGUUGCUGCAUCAAAGCGGACACCACUGUUUUGGUUGGUGCUCUUUUUAUCUUGGGCGAUCGUGUAAAAUGUAUUCCCAUUUAUCUCGUACCCUUGGAAAGUCGUUAUAGUCGAAGAUGGUGUCUUGGCCAACAUGUACAGCUGAUCUACAACAUCAUUGUCAUUCAUUAAAUGUUUUCUCAACCAACUGCCGAAAGUCUCCAUGUGGGCCUUCCUAAUCCAGGAUUCAGGCUUCCCCGGGUUGUCCGAGCGUAAAACAUUCUUGUGUUUCUCAAAGUACGGAGCCACCAAGCUGGAAUUGGUCAGUACAUUGUGGUGUGCUUCAGUCAGAGAAUGGCCGUCCAUACAUAUCGAUGAUUUCCUUCCGAUCGUGCCUUUUCCACUUAGUCUCCCCUCGUGCCGCGAUCGAGGAAGACCAAUCGGCUUAAGGUCAGGAACAAAGUCAACACAAAACUCAAUUACCUCCUCAUUUCCAUAGCCCUUGGCGAUGCUUCCUUCUGGCCUAGCACGGUUACGAACAUAUUUCUUUAAUACUCCCAUGAACCUCUCGAAGGGGAACAUAUUGUGUAGAAAUAUAGGACCGAGAAUGAAAAUCUCUUCGACUAGGUGAACCAAGAGGUGCGUCAUAAUAUUGAAGAAGGAUGGCGGGAACACCAACUCGAAACUGACAAGACAUUGGAUCACAUCGUUCUGUAACUGUGGUAGAACUUCUGGAUUGAUUACCUUCUGAGAGAUUGCAUUGAGGAAUGCACAUAGCUUCACAAUGGCUACUCGAACAUUUUCCGGCAGGAGCCCCCUCAAAGCAAUCGGAAGCAAUUGCGUCAUAAUCACGUGGCAGUCGUGAGACUUUAGGUUUUGGAACUUUUUCUCCGCCAUGUUUAUUAUUCCCUUUAUAUUGGACAAGAAUCCAGACGGGACCUUCAUACUGCUCAGGCAUUCAAAAAAGAUGACCUUCUCUUCUUUGGUCACAGCGUAGCUGGCACGACCUUGAAACCAUUCCGGAUGCCGGUCAUCAGGGUCUUUCAAACGUUGCUGGUCCUGCCGUGCUUCCUUUGUAUCAUUUGUCUUCCCAUACACGCCCAAGAAGCUUAGGAGGUUCACGUAAAUAUUCUUCGUAACGUGCAUCACGUCGAUUGCAGAGCGGACUUCUAGGACUUUCCAAUAUUCUAGCUCCCAGAAUAUAGAUUUCUUCUUCCACAUGGCUGCGUGCCCGUCAGCUCCCUUCGGAACUGAUUGUCCGCCAGGACCCUUUCCAAAGAUGACUUUCAAAUCCUUGACCAUAUCAAAUACCUCAGCACCAGUGCAUUCCGCAGGCUUCGGCCGGUGAUCUGCCUUGCCGUUGUAAUGCUUGCCUUUCUUUCUUAUUGGAUGAAUUUUCGGAAGAAAUCGACGAUGCCCAAGGUACACGUUCUUCUUACAAUUUGGCAAAUGUACACUUUCAGUCUCAUGUAAGCAGUGCGUGCAUGCAUUGUAUCCCUUAUUUGACAGUCCCGAAAGGUUACUAAGAGCAGGCCAAUCGUUGAUGGUUACGAAAAGCAACGCUCGUAGGUCAAAUUCCUCUUCUUUGUGCUCAUCCCACACACGGACACCAGGUCUGCCCCACAGCUGUAAAAGUUCAUCAACUAAUGGCCUUAGGUACACAUCGAUGUCGUUGCCGGGUUGCUUCGGACCUUGGAUGAGCACUGGCAUCAUAAUGAACUUCCCUUCAUGCACAACCAAGGAGGAAGGUUGUAGAUGCAUAGAGUCACGGGCCAGGUGCUAUGGCUGGAGCUCUGCUCGCCAAAAGGAUUCAUGCCAUCUGUACUUAGACCAAAUCUUAUGUUCCUUGCGUCAGCUGCAAAAUCUUUGAACUCUCUGUUGAUCUUUCUCCAUUGCGUUCCAUCUGCGGUGUGUCUCAACUCCCCGUCCGACUUACGGUCCUCUUUGUGCCAUCGCAACAACUUGGCAUGCUCUUUGUUCCUGAACAGACGUUUCAACCGUGGUAUUAUAGGAGCAUACCACAUCACCUUGGCGGGAACCCUCUUCCUGGGUUUCUCGCCCUCAACAUCGUCACCAGGGUCAUCGCCUCUGAUCUUAUAACGCAAUGCAGUGCAUACCGGGCAUUCAUUCAAAUUCUCGUAUUCACCGCGGUAGAGGAUGCAGUCGUUGAUGCAUGCAUGUAUCUUCAGAACCUCUAAACCUAGAGGGCAGACAACCUUCUUUGCUUCGUACGUACUGGCGGGCAACUCGUUAUUCUUUGGAAACAUAUUCUUCAACAUUUUCAGCAAGUUUUCAAAUGCCGAGUCAGCUACACCUGCCUGUGCCUUCCAUUUCAGCAAAUCCAGUGUGCAGCCCAGCUUUUUCAGACCAUCAUCGCAUCCGGGGUACAACGACUUUCUGUGAUCCUUUAACAUGCGAUCCAAAUUCUCCCUCUCCUUUUCAGUUUCGCAGCGUCUCCGUGCAUCAGCAAUGGUCCGACCAAGAUCAUCAACGGUCUCAUCACGUGCCUCUUCUUCACCUUCACCUUCCCCUUCACCUUCAGCAUCCUCCAUGAAAGUAUCACCGAAAUGAGCAAGAUAGCUUUCAUCGAUGAAAUCAUCCCCUUCUUCAUCUUCUUCCAUUAUAACCCCUCUUUCUCCAUGCUUGGUCCAACAAUUAUAGCUUGGCAUGAAACCGUGCCGAAGCAGGUGCAGGUGAACUUCUCUUGAGGAAGAGUAACCCUUCUGAUUCUUACAGUCAACACAUGGACAGAUAACAAAACCCUUCUGCUUGUUCGCAUUAGCCACUACGAGGAAAUCUUUCAAACCCGUAGUGAACUCGCGGGAGAGUCGGUUACCGUACAUCCAUUGCCGAUUCAUCUGCAUUAUUAAAAUAUAAAAUAUAUAAUUAACCAUCAUGCAUUUGUUAAACUAACUAGCUAUAAACAAUAGAAAUUAAACAAUGAACAACACACAUGCAUAUUUUAUCAAUGACACACAUGCAUGAAAGGUUCAAGUUGCUAACCGCGAUCGAGGAGGAAAAAAUAAAUGAGGAACCUCAAGUGUGGCUCCAACACUUCAUAUCAUGUUUGUUUCACGCUCUUGGGGCAUUUCAUCAAACACCUUGUGUGCAUAAGAGGAACCAAAAGCAAACCUACACCCCCUUGUGAAGCUUGUGAAGAGAAGUGGCACCAAAUGGCUAAGUGAGUGUGCUGAACUGGUAUAUAUAGGGGAGGAGAUUUAGUCGCGGUUGGCAUGGCCAACCGCGACUAAAGGCCUUUGGGCACCUUUAGUCGCGGUUGGCCCGGCCAACCGCGACUGAAGCCCCUCACGUGCACCAGCUGGCCACCGAGCGCCCUGGCCCAGGCCUUUGGUCGCGGUUCGUCUGCCGAACCGCGACUAAAGAAAUCAUUAGUCGCGGUUCCUACAGUUUCGCGACUUAUGGGGCUGGACGGAAGCCUCUUUUUCUACCAGUGACUAUUUUGUUAUUUUCAAUUAAAAACUAUGUUUAUUAAAAAUUCUUUUUGCAUAUUUGAGAAUUUGACAAAACUAUGAAAAUGAAAAGUGUUUGAAAUUGAAUAAAUAAUUCAAAACUAUUUUCUAUUUUCAAAUUAAUUAUUUUGACUAUCCAAACUAUUAACCAUUUUGUUAUUUUCAAUUAAAAACUAUGUUUACUAAAAUUCUUUUUGCAUAUUUGAGAAUUUGACAAAACUAUGAAAAUGAAAAGUGUUUGAAAUUGAAAAUGCGGCGGAGACGGACGACCCAAGUCCGGCGGCGGUGAUCGAGAUGGACUCGUGUUGUGCUGGCCGACGUCAUGUGGAGGGUUUGGAGGUAAUGGAGGUGUAGGUGACCUGCAAUGACUCGGAGGCGGUGUUGUCGUGUCCUCUCAUCUUCGGGUCCAGCUAUGUCGAGCUCCAUAUCAUUAAACCCCAUCAUGAUUUCAUCCACCCCGACUUUAGCAAAGCCAGAUGGAAUAUCACGGCCAUGCCAGCGUGCAUCAGGGCCAGAAGGUAAAGCUUGUCCGACGGCCACCUUCAUGGAUAUGUUCUUGAAUUUCUGAUGGAGUUCACAUGAUGUUGACUCCUUGAUUCCAUCCACGGGGUAGCCGGGACCGCCCUCUAUCAUUCUUCAUGCAUCGUCGGGCGGGGCCUCAGAUUCAGCCAUGCUGCUUUUCCUCUUAGAUGGGGCGCCGGUAAUAUCAAGUGCAGGAUCUUCCUGGCGCGGUACUCCUCUAAGCUCAUCAAUCUGCUUCUGUUGCUCGUUAAUCCUGGCAAGCAACUGGUUGAACUUGUCAUUCUCCUCAUCCUGCUGCCGCUUCUUUUUUCUCUCUCGGCUUCUGUAAGUGUCUUGGUCUCUGGCAAACCCAAGCCACCACGGGUAAGAAGGACCGAAGCCUCGCGUUCGUCCUCCAUUUUCGUAAUUGCCGAGGACCAGUGUGAGCAAAUCUUUAUCUCUAUAUGCAGUGAACUUUCUUUUUCCCUCCUUAAUUUCUUUCACUAUCCUUUUCCAAUUCUCUCUGGGUAUCCUAAGAUCGUCAUUGCAGAUGAGGUCCCCUGUUUUUUCGUCGUACGACCCACCAUGCGCAAGGAACCAAUUUCUUGCUCUCAAUUCCCACUCAUCACGGAGUGGUUCAGGUACGAUGCCUUUAUCUAUCAGAUCUUGCUCUUUCUUAUCCCACUUUGGGAUGGCAGUCUCAUAGCCCCCUGGCCCCAGCUUGUGCUGAUAUUUCUUCUUGUCGGCAUUUAUCUUGUUCUUUUCUGAUAAUGCGUGGGCAUCUUCUGACUCCCUGUACUCUUGAAAUGCCUUCCAGUGAUUCGUCUGCUUGGCUAGAUACCCCUCGAAUACUGGCACUUUCUUUGUCUUCAGAUAGUUUUUCCAUAGCUGCUUCUUCCAGCUACGGAACAGUUCGGCCAUCUUCUUCAGAGUCCACUGCUUGACUUUGGCCCUCAGUUUGUCUGCGGCGUCUUCAUUCUCACAUUCUGGCAGGUUGAAAUGUGACAUGAGAUCAUUCCAAAGAUUAUCUUUGUACCUUUCGGCGACAUAGUCACUAUCGGCUGCCCCUUUGCGCUUGUUCCACUCCCGAACGCUGAUCGGGACGUGAUCCCUAACGAGAACUGCGCAUUGCUUCUUGAAUGUGUCAGCAGCAUUCUUAGGAAGCUUGGGUUUGCCCGUAGGAAAUAUCACCUCAAAUGUGUAAUGCGUCCGUGCAUCCAACUUUCUAGUCCGGCCUCGUUUCGUAGUUUUGUUCGAUGUGGAGGCCUAAGAGGGAGAAACAUUCGUCAAAUGAAUGUAUAUGUAUAUAAUAUAGAGCUAUCUCCAAUAUUUUUCACAUAUUACAAGUGAUUGUCGAACUUCAUAUGUAUACCUCGCCAGACUUUAUUAUUUCUUCACCGGCUUCUCCAUCAGUGGAGCUAUCACCUUCUCCGUCAUUGGACCUAUCUCCUGCCCCAUCGGCUUCAUCUUCGUGUCGCUCGACCUCCAUUCCAACGUCCUGGUUUAGAUAUGACGACGGAGAUUCAGCUGGUUCAACGUCGGGGCCGUCUUUGAUUAUAUCUUCGAGAAGUUCUUCCUCUUCGAGGUUCCUGAUAUGUGGAUCCAUAGUUCUGCAAAAAACAGAUUCUCUUAACCUUUGUACCAAAAAAGAAUUAUUCUAUCAGGAACUCCGUUCCAAAACAACUUAAGUCCCGGGUCGUGGCUCCACCCGGGACUCCUAGAUUUCUGCAUAGUAUUCAAAGUAGGAGUACUUUUCCAAUUUGAGAAUUCAAUAAGCAAAACCAAAUCGUAAAAUAAAGUAGUAUUCAAAUUAGCAUGCAUUCAAUUAUAAGCAAAUACAUCAUCUCUUUUGUCCGUACAUCGUCGAAUAUUAUCACUAAUACUCCUCGAAUACUAUCAUACAUAUAGCAUCACUGAUACAUCUAGAACCGUAGCGCCCGACGGGUAUCGGCGCGGGUGGUGGACACCCAAAGAAAAGGAACCAUCACACGAUCAUAGCUCCAGUGAGAUCCCCGAAGAACCUGCCAGGUAUGCUCGAACCUGCCCUCCAAUGCAACCAUGUAGCGACGGACGUGCUCAUCCUCCUCGCUGACAUGGUGAUGUACCACCUCCGCGGUGUUCGGAAGCCUCGGCACCCUCACUGGCCCACGCGACCGCCACCAAACAAGGAUCGGGUCAACGACGGGCUGGCUCCUCACCAACCUACGCCCCCCGGAAGGUAGCACCUCCCAAUACCAGCCGGGCGGAGCCCAGUCUCGGACAGGGCCCCUCUGAUCAAGCAGGUGUCCUUCGCCGAGUCGACGACGAGGAUGCGGGAUAGGCAUCGUAAAAUGAACUAAAAAAAUAAACUGGUUCUAUUAAUUUUCUUGCUAAAAAUGAACUAUUAACACUUCAGCAUAUACAAUAGCAAAAUUAAACUAUUAACACUUAAGCAUAUACAAUAGCAAAAUUAAGCAAUAAUCUAAGAAACACUAUUAACACUUAAGCAUAUACACUAUACAAUAGAAAAAUUAAAUGACAAAAAAAUAUUUCUUCUUCUUGUAACCCUAAACUAAUUUUUCCUCUUCUUCUAUUUCUCCUCUUCUUCUACUUCUUCUUCUACUUCUACUUCUCCUCUUCUUGUAGUACUUCUCCUCUUCUAUUCUUCUACUUCUCCUCUCCUCCUCUUCGAAUUUUUUCUCUUCUUCUACUUCUCCUCUUCUUCUAUUUUUCCUCUUCUUCUCCUCUCCUCCUCUUCUUAUUCUCCUUUUUCUUCUUUUCUUCUCCUCCUCUUCUUAUUUUCAUUUUUCCUAAUCUUAUUUUCUUAUUUUUGUUCAUAUUUCUUCUUCUUGUAACCCUAACCUAAUUCUAAAUAUUACUAACCCUAAUAAUCUAGCACAAACCUAAUAACAAUAGGAAUUAAAUGACAAAAAAAAUCUUUUUCUUUUUCUUCUUUUCUUCUCCUUUUUCUUCCUUUCUUCUCCUUUUUCUUCUUCUCUUCUCCUUUUUCUUCUUUUCUUCUACCGGCCGGAUUGUUGGGGAGGAGGGGGCGGGGGCUUACCGGUCGGAGGUGUCGACGACGCGCGGCGAGGAGGACGCCGCGACGCGCGGCGAGGAGGGCGGCUCGCAGCGAGGAGGACGGCAGGCGGCGGCGAGCAGGACGUCGGGCAGCCUGACAGCAUGGUCGAGUUCGUCGCUGUGCCGCACCGGGCAGGAGAACGAGAGGAAGAAGAAGAGAAAUGGACGAUUUGGGUUGGAAUUUUUCGAAGUCCCGCUUAUAUAGGUGGAUCUUUAGUCCCGGUGCGUGGCUCGAACCGGGACUCAAGACCCCCUUUAGUCCCGGGUGGCGUCACGGCCCGGGACUAAAGCCCCUUGUUUCCCGCCUCCUCGCCUGCCGAAAAGGGGUCUUUUGUCCCGGGGCGUGGCUCCAACCGGGACUAAAGGGGGUCUGUAGUCCCGGGGCGUGGCUCCACCCGGGACUAAAGCCCCUCCUCGGCUGCACACGAUAAGUUUAGUCCCACCUCGCCCAGCGAGGGGGACUAACACUUGUUUAUAAGCCCCGUCGCAGCUUCUCCAUCGAGCUCCUCUCUAAAGCAGGCUUACGGGCCUAAACACACUGAAAAUUGAAACUAUAUUAGAAAUUAUAGAGAAAAUUCAAUCUAAAUUCAAAUGAGAAUUUAGNNNNNNNNNNNNNNNNNNNNNNNNNNNNNNNNNNNNNNNNNNNNNNNNNNNNNNNNNNNNNNNNNNNNNNNNNNNNNNNNNNNNNNNNNNNNNNNNNNNNUGGCACGCAGCAGGGGGCGGCGGCGGCAGGGGGCGGCGACGGCACGGGCGCAAUGCAGGUGGCGUGGGCGCGCGGCAGGGGGCGGCGGCGGCAGGGGGCGCGCCGCAGGGGAGGUGCUCACCGUGGGGGUGGGUCGCCGCGGGGAGGUGCCCCUCGCGGGGAGGGGAUCCCCACGGGGAGGGGGUCGCCGGGGGGGGGGGUGGGCUCGCCGUGGGGAGGGGAUCUCGCGGGGAGGGGGUCGCCGCCGUGGAGAGAGAGAGUGGUCGGGGUGAGAGAGAGAGAGAGACAGUGAGCGAGGGGGGUAACGGCCGUUAUAGGGCUGCCCCUUUGCCGUCCGCCCCCCGACGGCAAAGGGCCGUAUGGCAGACGGCAAAGGGUCGUAUGGCGGACGGCAAAGGCCCGCGGACGGCAAAGGCCCCCGGAUUUCGGACACGGCAGGCAUGGGACCCAUGCGUCCCCUUUGCCGUCUGCCCUGGGGCUCUUUGCCGUCUGCUGGCAGACGGCAAAGGACCCACACAUGGCAAAUAGUAUUUUUGCCAUGUGUCAGUUCUUUGCCGUCUGUAUUGUGUCAACUGAUGGCAAAGAGGUUCUUUGCCGUCAGCCAGCAGACGGUAAAGAACUGGGUGACGGCAAAUUUCUGGAUUCCAGUAGUGUGCCACUCCUAUUCUAGUGAUUCAGGAGGUUGGGCAGUCAUUAGGCAUUGCCCCUGAGAAGCUAACGGUGGAUCGACUUAUGGAAGAUCCUGCUGAUUCCGCGCCACCGUCUGCUGAUGUUUAAUCCACCUAUGUUAAUUUGUUACUAUAGUGGCUCCAUGUACUGUGAAACUUCUGCUUGCUCUGUAUUUUGGUUAUCUGAACCUUGGUGGCACUGGCUAUUACAUAGCCCUGCUUUUGCUACAUAUAUAUUGUGCAAUGGAUAGUCGUUCUAUGAGAAGUUGGCGUGUGCUGUGUUGGAAUGUGCGUGGCCUAAAUUCGGACCAUAGGCAACGUGCGGUCCGUAACAAGAUUGAUGAGAGCCUAGCUGCUGUGGUGUGCUUGCAGGAAACCAAAAUGCAGUCAAUCGAGUUUCGUAAAGUAAAAUGUUUCUGUCCCAAACGCUUUGAUCAAUUUGCCUACUCUCCCUCCAGGUGUGCAUGAGGGGGCUUAUCACCCUUUGGAACUCUUCCAUUCUUACUGGUCAAUUAGUGGAAUGCACAGCCUAUGGCUUGAUCAUCUCUUUUACCUCAAAUCACACUGGUGAAUCAUGGGCUUUAGUGAAUGUCUAUGGUCCUUGUCAAGGUGAAGCCAGAGAUCUUUUUGUUAGCUGGCUAUAUAAUCUUCAUAUACCCACUGGGGCUAAUUGGUUGCUUCUUGGAGAUUUUAAUUUCAUUAGAUCCCCUGACAACAGAAACCUUCCUGGGGCUGAUGUAAAUGACAUGUUCAUCUUGAAUGAAAUUAUUGGGCAUCUGGUAUUGCUGGAACUACCCAUUAAAGGCAGAUCUUUCACUUGGUCCAAUAUGCAAGAUUCCCCUCUUCUGGAGCAGCUUGACUGGUUUUUCACAUCAGCCAACUGGAUCUCCUCAUAUCCUCUUACACAAGUGCUACCCCUUGCAAAGAUAGCUUCUGAUCAUGUUCCUUGUGUGGUCACUGUCAACACUUCCAUCCAUAAAUGCAACCUAUUUCGCUUUGAAAACUACUGGGCUAAAAUGGAGGGCUUCAUGGAAUGUGUUUAGCAAUCCUGGCUCAUUCCUUCAAGAAAACCCCACAUUACUGCUGUCAUUAUGGAUAAGAUGAAGCAUCUUAGGCAGGCUCUGAAAAAAUGGCAGACAAAUCUGUCACAGUUAAAAACUUUUAUUUCCAGAUGUAAUCAAGUUGUGUUGUGUUUGGAUGAGCUUGAGGAGUUGAGGUCACUUUUCAGACCAGAAGCUAAUUUCAGGAAAGUUGUCAAAUUACAUUUGAAGCAUCUUUUGCAUCUCCAGUGCUUAUACUAGAAAAAGAGAGCCACUAUCAGAUUUGUUAAGGUUGGUGAGGAAAACACUAAAUUCUUUCAUGCUAUGGCUACUGAGAUAUAGGAGGAAUUCCAUUGCAUCUCUCAAGUUAAAUGAUGGUUCUAUCAUUUCUGAUCAUGAUCAAAUUGAUGCAUGCUUUUGGGCAUCUUUUAAGGAUAGAAUGGGAACUUCUCUUGACAUUAACAUGGCAUUUGAUUUCCAAUCCAUGCUACAUAAGGUGGAGGGUCUAGAUAUUCUCACAGAACCUUUUUCUAAGUCUGAAAUGGACAAGACUAUUCAGGAUAUGCCCAUUGACAAAGCUCCAGGUCCUGAUGGGUUCAAUGGUCUUUUCUUCAAGAAAUGCUGGCCCAUUAUCUCCCCUGAGUUUUAUCAACUUGCUUCUGCUUUCCAUGCUGGUCAGGCUCAACUUCAGAACAUGAACUCAUCUUAUAUUACUCUGAUUCCAAAGAAGAGAUCACCUGAACAUGUGGGAGAUUACAGACCAAUAUCACUUAUUGGGAUGGGUCUCAAAUUUCUGUCUAAAAUGAUUGCUAACGGGCUACAGUUGCACAUUGUGAAGUGUCUUCACAAGAAUCAGUAUGGUUUUAUCCAGUCUAGGACCAUUCAAUAUUGUGUUGGAUGGACUCUGGAGUACCUGCACCAAUGUCAUCAAUCCAAGAAACCUAUAGUCAUUCUCAAGCUGGAUUUUGAAAAGGCAUUUGAUUCUGUGGAACAUGAGUUCAUUUUUCAGAUUCUCAAGCACAAAGGCUUCAAUGACAGAUGGAUACUUUGGGUCAAGCAAAUCCUAACUUCUGGCUCAUCUUCAGUCCUUAUCAAUGGUGUGCCUGGAAAGAAGUUUAUGUGCAAGAAAGGUGUCAGGCACGGAGAUCCCAUGUCUCCACUGCUUUUUUCUAUUGUUGCUGACUUUUUACAGACUCUGGUUAAUCAUCUGCUGGUGGAGGGUCUGAUUCAGCUGCCCAUACCUUGUCAUGAUAAGGAUUUCUCCAUAGUGCAAUAUGCUGAUGAUACCCUUAUCAUCCUACCUGCUGAUAAACCUCAGUUGUUGCAGUUCAAGAAAAUGCUCUUACUUUUCUCCCAGUCCAGUGGAUUACAGGUGAACUAUCACAAAUCUGCCCUUUUACCUGUUAACACUCCUCCUCAGCAUCUACAGGAUCUGGCAGACUCCAUUGGUUGCAAAGUGGGAUCUUUGCCCUUCACAUAGCUUGGCCUUCCAGUUGGGACAACUAAACCAAGAAUCAUUGAUCUCAUGACACUGGUUGAUAACAUGGAAAGAAGACUCAGUGCUAGUUCAUCCUUUCUUGCUCAGGGGGGAAGGUUACAGUAUUUAAACUCAGCACUGUCUUCUGUGCCUAUCUUCUUUCUAUGCAGUCUGGAUAUCCCACCAGGCAUACUGAAGCUACUUGAGAGAAUUCAAAGGCAAUGUCUAUGGAGAAGAAAUGAGAAUGAUCAUGCCCCCUCUCUUGCUGCUUGGCCUCUGGUGUGCAGGCCUAAAAAUAGAGGGGGCUAGGAUUAUGAACCUAGCAGUCCAGAAUGAAGCAUUCCUGCUCAAGCAUGUUGAUAAAUUCGUCAAUCAUGCUGAUAUCCCUUGGGUUCACUUGAUUUGAACACCUACUAUCAUGACAUAGUACCUCAGGGAACUGCCCUUUGUGGUUCUUUUCGGUGGAACGAUAUCUUUAAACAGCUUGAUAAAUUCAGAUCAGUUACAUAUGUUCUGCCGAACAAGGGUGACUCCUUCCUGUUUUGGUCUAACUCCUGGUUGAUUGGAAACUUCAUUAUGCCACUGGCUGCCAGAUUCCAAAGACUGUUUUAUUUUGUGACUGAUCCUUUCUGCACAGCUCAAGAGGUCUUUACAGCCUUUUAUGAUGACAGCAUGCUCUCCAUGUUCCACUUACCACUGUCUGCUCAAGCUUACCAGGACCUGCUUUCGGUCCAAUCUUUGCUUCAAGACCUGGAUCUUGAUCAUCAGGCCUCUGACAGAUGGGUAUGGGGAAAGGAUGCUGAGGCCUACACAGCCAAGAGUUACUAUGCUCACAUUCACAGCAGUAUUACACCAAACCCUUUACUCAACUGGAUCUGGAGAAGUUGUUGUACCAUGAAGAUUAAGAUGUUUGCCUGGAUGCUCAUCAUGGACAGGCUUAAUACUCAAGACAUGCUUGAACGGCGUCACUGCAAUGUUUCCGACUCCAAUCUCUGUGUUCUAUGUCACGCUCGAGUCAAGGAAGACAGGGAUCACUUAUUCUUCACCUGUCUCUUCAGAACCAGGGUCUGGAAUUAUCUGCAGAUCACAUGGCAGGGUCCAUCCACGUGGAGUGCUACUAUUGCUGCUAAAAGGGACUUCCAUAACCCCUUCUUUGCUGAGGUGGUCUUCACUACAUGUUGUAACAUCUGGACUAUCAGAAAUGUAAAGGUCUUCAACCAGGAGCAGCCAAAGUUCAGAAAAUAGAGAUCUGGCUUCAUUCAUGACAUUUCCCUGUUAGCUCAUAGAAUUAAGGCUAGUUUCAGGGAUGAUCUCCUUAAAUGGGUUUCCUUUUUGCCUCCUUGAGGUUUCUAGUCUUUGCUCCCCUUCCCCUUUGUACAUUCUAAUAUCCUCUUGUACAUAUUGCUCUCAUAUAUGGGAAUAAAGGAAAAAGGCUGUGGGGGGUUUUCCCUACAGUAGCCGGUCAAAAAAAAUAAAAAAUAAAAAUAACAUGUAUAAAUAAGGCUAGCGACAUAAUGUUGACUAUUCCUAGAUUGUGUUCUUAUAUGUUUACAUUGAGUAUGUUUGAAUAUAUUUUUGGUAAAUAACACAUAUAGCAAAUAUCAUGUACAACGGUACUAGUAAGGCGUUGGGUUGAAUUUUGAUGAGGGGUAGCUGGAAAGAAUCAAAGCAGAACCAUGCCAACCAAGAUUAUGAGGUGUCCGUUCACUUAUUGGGUUCAAUUUGUACACACCAUAUAAAACGUGUACUAUGAUGAUCUCGCUUGUUUAUUUUGAAAGUCAAUGAUCUUGGAAAUAUAUUAACAUUCAUAUCUCUGGACGUAACUCUGCCAUUUGCGCCAAUUGACGCAACAGGUCAUUACGUAUUAUUAACAUUCAUAUCUCUGGACGUCCCUCGUGUUUGACGACCCCAACUCUAUAUCCCCAUGUCGCUUCCACUUGAUCGAAAUCGUGAAUUAAUUGACCUGGAUGCAUGUAUGCUGGGUAUAUUCAUUCUAGUACGUACCGCUACUCCAAAUAGAGGGCAUGAUCUGCAACAACACAGGUUGCCUCUUGAGAAGAUAAUCCACAUAUGCUCGGAAGGUCGUUGUGUGGCUAGCGUAUCGUGUGUAGUGGACAUUUCUUUACUAUUAUAUGCAUCCAUGAAACGAAGUUUUUCCUGAGCAGGCCCUCACGUGGCAUCCAUGGUGACACAAAAUCUUGGUUGCAUUUUCAAACCGAUGAGGUCAUCACUUGUUUUUUAGGACCCGGUGAGGUCUCCGCUAAUUUUGUACGAACAGGUGAGGUCUCCGCUUACUGAUUGGCUUCAAUUUUACCUAGAUUAAAUAUGUCGAUAAUUAACCACCUAAAAUGCAUAUUUGUAUGAUCUCACUUUGUUAUUUUUGAAGGCCAUAAUCUUGAAAAUAGAUUACCAUACACUUCUUCUAGAGUAACUCCGUCAGUUUCGUCAAUUGGCGCAACAAGUCAUCUAGUAUCACUAAAAAUAGGAUCUCCCCAUCAUGUUUGGCAACCCUGACUCCCUUUUUUCCAAUGUCUCUUGCACUUGAGAUAAAUCGUUAAUUAAUUUAAUUGGAUGCAUACAUGAUAGGUAUAUUCAAUCUAGUAUGUAAUACUGUUUCAAAUAGAGGGCGUGAUUUUCUGCUACACAGGCUGCCUCUUGAGAAGCUAAUCAAAUGUCGUUCUAUGGCGUAUUGUGUGUGUGUGUGUUUGUGACCAGAAUCCCUCCUCCUUUCACUCUUUAUCGUUCCGAGCUUUGAUUGUUUUUGUAUUUGUCUCAUGCAUUUGUUUGUAUUUGAGAUUGUUAUUCGGGUUGUAUCCAGGCUUUGCUAUGGAUGGGUCUCUAGUGUAGUAGGAACGAGAAAAGAACAAACACAAUAUAACAUACUCCCUCCUUUCCGGUUUAUAGGGCUCAUCUCAAAAUUUUCAGAUUUUCAUUAUAUUAGGCUCAUUUUGAGUCUAAGUGAGUUAAAGUGCUUUGAGUCUCACGCCAUAUUUAAUUCAUAGAGUUUAGAGAAAGGAGAUGAGUGGGUAUGCAUGCAUCGUUUUCUACAUCGAUCAUGCAAGUCCAAUGAAAGGAAGGAUGGUACAUUUAUUGCCUUGGAAAUUGCAUAUGUGAGAAAUAUUUCAUUGGCUAGUUUAAACUAGUGUCAGCCACUCACAAUUCACCUUGAUAGAUGAGAUUUCAGAUUUGAGCCAUAUAAACCGGAAAGGAGGGAGUAGACCUUAAGUUCGAGCAUCAUGUUUGUGUUGCUAGAGAACAAAAUUUACAUUUUUAUUAUAUUUUAAAUAAUCUGAUUUCAGCAACUUAUUUUAAAAAUGAAAUAAGAAAAUAUUUCAAGGAAACUAAGAAUAGUUUCUAGUGGCGUUGUCGUCAUGCUUAUUGAAGGUUGUGUAGCAACGAUCCCUAAAUUUUUUCACAUGACAUGCACUGAUUUAUGGGCAUUAAUGUGGAUAACAUAGCAAAUAAUAAUGGGAAACACUUUCUAUCUAUAGUCUGAUGCGAGGCCAUCGUCGGACCAGUCAACUGUCAUUGAUUUUUGUGGAAUCUCACGGUCAGAGAUUUCGCCAUAUGGAAGAAAAAUCCUGACAGUUUAAAGCUAACCGCCCGCACCCUCCGCCCGUAAAUUUCUCGCAUUAUCCCUUUCGUCUCGCCUAGCACGCAGGCCUCCCCGACCUCGCCGCCAACUGCACCACCCUAUCCUCUUCGACGUUGUCGCUGAUCUAUAGCCUCUCUCUCACCUCGUCGUCCAUCAUCGCAGCCACCUCGUUUUCAAGAUCCCCUUCUCCGGUGACCUUGCACGCACCUCCGACGAUCUCGUUCCUGCCAACCGCACCAGCAGCAAACUUCUCUCCGGAUUCGUUGCUCAAUCCUCUCCAUGGAUCAAGCACAAUGGCUUCACCCCCCCCUCCCUACCAUCCUCAAUUCCUCAUCUACCUCGUGCCGAACAUGCAAUCCACGAUCAACGUUGCAAAGCCACCACUACGCCGAGAUCCGAUCCCAUUAGGUGGAUGAGCCCGCGAUCUACAACACAUUUGUUGCCUCACCAACUUGCCCGAAGGUUUGAACCGUCAUCUGAUGAACCAAUUGUGGCAUCCGAUCCGAGCCUUUUCUCCUCUUUGAAAUUCCAUCUCUGAAUCAAAGGUAUUGCAUUGUGUGAAUCACCGACUGUUCCAUCAUCUAUCUCCACAUACUAAUAAUUAUCAAUUUGAUGUUUCCAUUAUCCAUGCUUCAUAUAGGCAUCAUAUAUGUGCUUGGAUAGUGCAGUUCGUUUGCAUCGAUGUACGAAAUUUGUUUGUAGAUCACAAAAUGAUUCAGGUACGCACAUGUUAAAGAUAUUCGGUGCUCGUUUCGAGUUACAAUAUUUUAUGCUUCCGCUAGGUAUGAGUUAUGUUGAGAUAAUAUGUAAUUGAUGCUUCCUAAUGUCCAUUCUUCCUAUCUCUUUUGUUUUGUAUGCUUCCUUCUGUCGAAAUAGUUGGCAGCCAUAGAAACAUACUUCUAAUCUUUUGUUAUACUUGCUCAUAUAUUGUCAAGAGCAUUGUCCGCAUUUAAACACUAUCAUCAUGCUUCAUAUAUUUCAUAUAUUUGGUGAUGUAUGCUUCAAGCAAUUGUGUGUUGGCUUUGCAGCCAAUGGGCACCACGAGAGAAAUAUGUGGAGGAUAUGUGAUGACACUUGCAUCCGCCUUACAAUGAAGGUGUCCGCACGUGCAGGGAAGCAAGUCUACAAUCUAUAGGAAACAUAUGAUGUAGGAAGGAGUGUAGGCACUAUCAUCGACUUUGAAGCGAAUAAUUUUGUAUCAUGCCUUACAUUUAGUCUAUGAAUGAGUGAAGAAGGAAACGAACUUAUGUUAUAUUGUACAUAAAUUGUUUUUACCAUGGAAACACUUGUAUUGGAUGGAGGAAACUUUUUUUUGCUCUGGGAAGCAAAGGUUUUCUUGUGUUUGGAACCAAAUUCUUUAUUACAUGGUAGAGAAGUGUAUGGACACAAAAUAUUGUUACACCCAAAUAAACUUAUUGCGAUAGAAGCAAAUUAUCUCAUCAGCUGAAGCAAAAUUUCUUGCAUGUUUUUUAAAUGGCAUGAAUUGUAAAUUAGAUCGAUAAAAUCAUCUCAUUGGUGGAAGCAAAUCUUUGUUGCAUGUGAAACAAAUAAAAUAUAUACGGAAUACAUUUUUAUUUACGUCGAUCAAAUCAACACAUCAGUGCGAGCAAAAAAUGGGUUGCAUUGGAAACAAUAUAAAAUGUUACAUGAAAUACGUUUUUCAAUUAUGUUUAAGCAAAUUCGUUAUGGACUAGCAUCAAAUUUUCCUAGCAUCUACAAAAAAGUUGAAUAAAGUUCGACGAGAAGAAGUAUAUGAAGCAUUAUAAUUCUUUUUAUGAAGCAAUUAAAUAAGCCAAAUAAAUUGUGUCUACAAAUCAUAGUGCGAGGCUGCAUAGUAAAUAAUUGUUUGAAAAAAAAUUGGACUGAAUCAAUUUUGUAUCACAAAGGAAGAAAAUUAUUCUUUCCAUGGAAACAUAGUUUUUUUAUGGAAACAUAGUUUUUUGAGGGAUCCACGGAAACAUAGUUUGUUAAGGUGGAAGCAAAAUCACAAAGUAGGAAGCAUGGCCAUGGAUGAAUGACGAAAAAUAUGAUAGAUUACACGUGAUUGACGGAAGCCAGAUCCAUGCAUCAUGCAUGUCAGCUAACUGACAUUCCCUCAAAAAGAAAUACUCACGUAAAAGGCUUCCGAUGAAUGCGGCAGCAUUUAUGACGAUGCAUUCAAUUAGGAAAACAAAUCUAUAGCAAAACUGACGGGCCUAACAACUAGUACAUCCGACGUUCACCAUGCAUCUGAUCAAACGGCCAAGGACUAGUCUGGUAGAAAGCCAAACAUCAGUAGUCUGAUGCCUAGCGCCUCCCAAUAAUAAUACACUACUUUGUGAAUAGAGCAAGCUCUUAUGAAAAAGUUCUAGUUAAUCGGAAUGUAAGUUAAAGACCGAGUAUUUCAAAAUGAGACCCUUACACUAUUACAAGUUCUGCUUGGGAGAAGAUAAUAAUUCCGACCGUGAAUAGUCCAAAACGUCAAACACCAAAAUUACCACAGCCGAACGAGUUGUCCUAGUCGUCCUCAACGCCGACCCAUAUCAUCUUCUCCUUCCCACACAAGAAUUACCGAAACCUGCAGAUUUCGGAGGAAUAUAUUUUAUUUUCAACAUAACAAAUCACAAACCACAUAGAUUAUAUCUGCAUUCUUGCCAAUAAUGGACAUGUAUUCUACCACGGAAUAGUGAUGUAUCAAAAUUAUCUACCGACAACAUAUUGGAACCUAGUAAACCGGAACAUUUGAUUCUGUGCAUGUUAGCAACUGUGAAUACACAAACGAUAGCAAAUGGACUGAUAAGCCAAAUCAUCCCUACCGUAGGAUACCUGGCCAGGCAUGAGAUAACUAUACCAUAUAUUCCAAAAAAACGAGAAGCUAGUAAGUCCUUACCAUGCCUUUCAAAUGUCAUUAUACAAAGUAAAAAAAAGUGCAUCGCCAAGGCAAGCAAGUAGGACAUUAAAAGAAUUUAAUAUGAAUGCAUUUAGUAUCAUAAGCUGAUUAGCAAUGGACUCUCAAGAAAUAUAUAUGAAUUUAUGUAUUGAAUCUUCAUGUCUACCCAUGAUUUGAAUAUUAGAAUCAGAGAAAUUCAAGCUGAUUAGAUAAUACGAUGUUCAAUUUAAACAAUUAAAAUUGGCAUCCUCGGUAAAUCAUAUAUCUAGAUGGAACUCAAGGGAGAGAUAUCCAUGCUACGAUUGACAACUAGAACUUCAUGGCUAAAAGAUGUUUCGUUGAAAAGCUUCCAAACCGCGCUCAACAAUCGCGAUCUCGCCAGGCGACUCGGGCGGCUCCUGAAACCCUAGCCGCCGGCCGUUCCCCAGCCCGUCCCUUCCCUUGCCGCCGUCGGAGGAAGGCCUCCGUGCACUCCUGCCUGGCUCCCGGCUGUUUACAGCAAAUUCGCUAGUGGCCUUUCCCAACCUCCCGACCUGCUUCCUCCGGCACAGCAGGAGCACCGGACCCCAUCUCAGCCCCCUUCCUGCUUCGCUGCUGCCGGAGGGGAUGCUGGCGAAGCCGUGCGCGCCGCGGGGAUGGCAACGGCGGGGCCCCUCGCGUCGGCCCUCAGGCUCUGGUGGCGGCGCCCUGCGUCGGCGGUUGCGGGAUCCUGUGUGAUCUCGCCAAUUGGCGGCGGCGGAUGGCGGAUCCGGGACUCCAUGGCCUGGAUCUGGCGGGGCACUCAGCCCUGGUGGUAGGGAGCGGCAACCGGGCAAGGCUGCGCUGGUCAGCUGGGUACGAGCAGUGUCCAGGGCGCGCGGUGCAGUGGCCUUGGCUGGGCGGUCAGGGCGGCGCGGCUUGCCACGCCGCGGGGCGACUUUGAGCGGCUCCGGAUGGGCGGCGGCGAGACACUGGAUGCGUUUGUAGGGAAGAUCAGCGGGAUGCCGGCGCGUUUCGCAGGGCUCGGAUCGACCCUGGAGGAUGCUGCGAUGGUGUAGAAAUUGCUUGACGCCAUGCCGGAUCAUCUGUACACGGCGGUGGCCGGAAUUGAGAAAUUCUGUGACGUCUCGACCAUGGCGUUCGAGCACGCACUCGGUCGCUUGAAGGCGUUCGACGAACGGCUACGGCGACGCGGGCUGACGGAUGGCGAGCGGGCGGACGGCCAGCUCAUGCUCACGGCGGAGCAGUGGCGAGUGCGGGAGAGCCAGCGAGGCGAAUCUCAGGACGACGACGACGGGCGAAGCAUGGCGGCGGGCAAAGGCGGGAACCGACGCGGGUGCUGCUACAAGUGCGGCAAGCGCGACCACUUCAAGAGGGAUUGCCCUCAGCUGCGGAAGGGGCCGGCAGCGGAACAGGCGUUGCUGGCGGACGCCAAAGCCGAAAACGACGGGCUCCUCUGAGCCGUUUCUUAGGGGGGAGUGUUGGGCAAAUAAGCCGCGGCGGCGAUCCGGUCGCGUCGGGCGCGUGUAUGGACGCGCGCCGAAUGUGACGGGUGUGUCGGGUCCGCGUGGGUGCGUGUGUGUGGUGCACGGGUGCUAGUGCAGGGAAACAUUGUGCGUGUGUCUGUGACUGUUAGAGACCAGGUCCAGGGAAAGCGUGGCGAUCAGGAGGACACGGGUUGCCUCUUGAGAAGAUAAUCCACAUAUGCUCGGAAGGUCGUUGUGUGGCUAGCGUAUCGUGUGUAGUGGACAUUUCUUUACUAUUAUAUGCAUCCAUGAAACGAAGUUUUUCCUGAGAAGGCCCUCACGUGGGAUCCAUGGUGACACAACAUCUUGGUUGCAUUUUCAAACCGAUGAGGUCUUCGCUUAAUUUUUCGGAUCCGGCGAGGUCUCCGCUAAUUUUGUAUGAUCAGGUGAGGUCUCCGCUUACUGAUUGGCUUCAAUUUUACCUAGAAUAAAUAUGUCGAUAAUUAACCACCUAAAAUGCAUAUUUGUAUGAUCUCACUUUGUUAUUUCUGAAGGCAAUAAUCUUGGAAAUAGAUUACUAUACACUUCUUCUAGAAUAACUCCGUCAGUUUAGUCAACUGGCAUAAGGAUCGUGUCCAGCGUGUGCCUCGAUAUAAAACCCAUGUGUUGGUCGUUGUAACAGAUGCAGAUGAAGUUCGAGCUCGCCGGAAAUACGAAGGAGCCGUUCGUGCGGUAAGGUGUUCAUGCACCUGGAAACCACGUGUGUUGCCCCUCUUUCGUUUCUUUGUUGUCUUUGGUGAUCGCGUGCUCCUGUAGUUAGGCUAGACACCAACAUAAUGCAAUGCUGCUUCAAAUAAAGGGCACGAAUUGCUGCUACACAGGCUGCCUCUUGAGAAGCUAAUCAAAUGUCGUUCUAUGGCGUAUUGUGUGUAAUAGGCACCGCUUUGCUUUUCUAUGCAUCCAUGGAUCAAUGCUUUUCCUACAGCAGGGCCUAACGCAGCGUUCACGGUGACAUAGCAUGUUGGUGACUUUUUUCAAAUUAUUGGGGUAUGUACUUGUUUUUUAUGACCUAGUGCGGUCUUGGCUUAUUUUUUAUGAACUGGUGAUCAGGUCUACGUUUACUAGUUGGCUUCAAGGUUUAAAUCGGGCAAGUGGAUAUUCUUUCUUCCACACCUACCGUGCGCCAGACCAAAUCAGCUGCCGGGGAAGUUAAUAAUCCACGGUGCCACAAUAGGUUGGUUACUUUUUUCAAACAGGUGAAAUCAUCGCUUAUUUAUUUUUUCGNNNNNNNNNNNNNNNNNNNNNNNNNNNNNNNNNNNNNNNNNNNNNNNNNNNNNNNNNNNNNNNNNNNNNNNNNNNNNNNNNNNNNNNNNNNNNNNNNNNNAGGAUCUAGAGGAGCCUCUUUUAUGCGUAAUAAUUGUCUUACUUGGAACUGUAAGAGACACACCACCUCCCGUGUCGCUGAUAUCUCGGGAACUGCUGAUACUCUUGGUGAAACCGCAACGCCUGCAACACAGUUCCAUCCUGUCUCGUCGCCUUCACAUCCUCGAACUCCCUUCGAGACGCCGCCUGCCACUCCGCCACCGCCUCCCGCAAUGGCGAACUUCGAGCUUGAUCCUGAGUUCUUCCUCCCGCCUGGCCACAACAUCAUCGACGGAGGUCCGGACCGGCUGCCUCGGACCUACACCAUGCCCGCGGUCCCCAUCACCAGACGUCAUGAGCGUUUCGUCAUCGCUGACGUGCACCCAGCACCUCCGGCUGACAACGUGGUCCAGGUACGGCAAGAAGUUGCUGCUCUUCUUCUUCACCGAGGGUUACAUGUUCGGUCUGCCCAACCAUGGAUUGAGGGCGUUGGACUUUUUGAACUCCGAGAUGCGGCGGAAAGCUAUGCUGCGGUCCACAUGGUUCCGCAGGAAGUUGCUCAUAACUCUGUUGUGCGCUUCCUGCGACAUGAUCAGGGUUUUGGUUUCCGUGGACAAGAGGGUUUUCGUCAUGGCUGCCUCAUGAUUCUGGGGGUCUGUUGGGGAACGUCGCAUGGGAAACAAAAAAUUUCCUACGCGCACGAAGACCUAUCAUGGUGAUGUCCAUCUACGAGAGGGGAUGUGUGAUCUAUGUACCCUUGUAGACCGUACAUCAGAAGCGUUAGUGAACGCGGUUGAUGUAGUGGAACGUCCUCACUUCCCUCGAUCCGCCUCGCGAACUAUCCCGCGAUCAGUCCCACGAUCUAGUGCCGAACGGAUGGCACCUCCGCGUUCAGCACAGGUACAGCUCGACGAUGAUCUCGGCCUUCUUGAUCCAGCAAGAGAGACGGAGAGGUAGAAGAGUUCUCCGGCAGCGUGACGGCGCUCCGGAGGUUGGUGAUGAUCUUGUCUCAGCAGGGCUCCGCCCGAGCUCCGCACAAAUGCGAUCUAGAGGUAAAACCGUGGAGAUAUGUGGUCGGGCUGCCGUGGCAAAGUUGUGUCAAAUCAGCCCUAAAACCUCCGUAUAUAUAGGGGGAAGAGGGGGAGCCUUGCCUCGGGGUCCAAGGACCCCUAAGGGCUUCGGCCGAUCCAAGGGGGGGAGAUCUCCCCUUCCAAAACGAGUCCAACUAGGUUUGGAAGGAGGAGUCCUUCCCCCUUUUCCCACCUCCUCUUUUUUUCUUUCCUCUUUGAUUUUUCUUCCUAUGGCGCAUAGGGCUCUUUUGGGCUGUCCCACCAGCCCACUAAGGUCUGGUGCGCCACCCCCAAUGCCUAUGGGCUUCCCCGGGGUGGGUUGGCCCCCCGGUGAACUCCCGGAACCCAUUCGUCAUUUUAGGUACAUUCCCGGUAACUCCGAAAACCUUCCGGUAAUCAAAUGAGGUCAUCCUAUAUAUCAAUCUUCGUUUCCGGACCAUUUCGGAAACCCUCGUGAUGUCCGUGAUCUCAUCCGGGACUCCGAACAACAUUGGGUAACCAACCAUAUAACUCAAAUACGCAUAAAACAACGUCGAACCUUAAGUGUGCAGACCCUGCGGGUUCGAGAACUAUGUAGACAUGACCCGAGAGACUCCUCGGUGAAUAUCCAAUAGCGGGACCUGGAUUCCCAUAUUGGAUCCUACAUAUUCUACGAAGACCUUAUCGUUUGAACCUCAGUGCCAAGGAUUCAUAUAAUCCCGUAUAUCAUUCCCUUUGUCCUUCGGUAUGUUACUUGCCCGAGAUUCGAUCGUCACUAUCCGCAUACCUAUUUCAAUCUCGUUUACCGGCAAGUCUCUUUACUCGUUCCGUAAUACAAGAUCGCGCAACUUACACUAAGUCACAUUGCUUGCAAGGCUUGUGUGUGAUGUUGUAUUACCGAGUGGGCCCCGAGAUACCUCUCCGUCACAGGGAGUGACAAAUCCCAGUCUCGAUCCAUACUAACUCAACGAACACCUUCGGAGAUACCUGUAGAGCAUCUUUAUAGUCACCCAGUUAUGUUGCGACGUUUGAUAUACACAAAGUAUUCCUCCGGUGUUAGUGAGUUAUAUGAUCUCAUGGUCAUAGGAACAAAUACUUGACACGCAGAAAACAGUAGCAAUAAAAUGACACCAUCAACAUGCUACGUCUAUUAGUUUGGGUCUAGUCCAUCACGUGAUUCUCCNNNNNNNNNNNNNNNNNNNNNNNNNNNNNNNNNNNNNNNNNNNNNNNNNNNNNNNNNNNNNNNNNNNNNNNNNNNNNNNNNNNNNNNNNNNNNNNNNNNNCGUCUCGCAUUAAGCAAGACCCUGAUACAAUGUUCAUGCUUAAAGCUGGUACCAAAUAACAAUUAUUAAGGUUUAAAACUAAUCCCGACGGUAGAUGUAGAGGUAGCGUGCCGACGGCGAUCACAACGACCUUUGAACCAUUCCCGACGCGAAUCGUCACCUCGUCCUUGGCCAGUCUAUGCUUAUUCUGCAGUUCCUGCUUUGAGUUGCAAAAGUGAGCAACAACAUUGGUAUCAAAUACCCAGGAGCUACUACGAGCGCUGGUAAGGUACACAUCAAUAACAUGUAUAUCACAUAUACCUUUAACGUUGCCGGCCUUCUUGUCCGCUAAGUAUUUGAGGCAGUUCCGCUUCCAGUGACCCUUUCCCUUGCAAUAGAAGCACUCAGUCUCAGGCUUGGGUCCGUUCUUUUUCUUCUUCCCGGCAUCUGGCUUACCGGGCGCGGCAACAACUUUGCCGUCUUUCUUGAAGUUCUUCUUACCCCUGCCUUUCGUGAAACUAGUGGUCUUGUUGACCAUCAACAAUUGAUGCUCCUUCUUGAUUUCUACUUCUGCAGACUUGAGCAUCGAGUACAACUCGGGAAUGGUCUUCUCCAUCCCUUGCAUGUUGUAAUUAAGCACAAAGCCUUUGUAGCUUGGUGGGAGAGACUGGAGGAUUCUGUCAAUUAUAGCAUCAUCCGGAAGUUCGACUCCAAGUGAAGUCAGACGACCGUGUAACCCAGACAUUUUGAGUAUGUGCUCACUGACAGAACUGUUCUCCUCCAUCUUACUGCUAAAGAACUUGUCGGAGACUUCAUAUCUGUCGACACGGGCAUGAGCUUGAAAACCUAGCUUCAGCUCCUGGAACAUCUCAUAUGCCCCGUGUUGCUCUAAACGCCUUUGGAGCCCCGUUUCUAAACUGUAUAACAUGCCACACCUGACCAGAGAGUAGUCAUCACUCCGCGUUUGCCAGACGUUCAGAAUGUCCUGGGCUGCUGCGGGAGCGGGAGGGUCACCUAGCGGCGCAUUAAGGACAUAAGCCUUUUUAGCUGCUUCAAGGAUGAGCUUCAAGUUGCGAACCCAGUCCGCAUAGUUGCUACCAUCAUCUUUCACCUUGUUUUUCUCUAGGAAUGCGUUGAAAUUGAGGUUGACGUUGGACAUCUACAAUAUUUAUAAAGACAACUUUUAGACUAAGUUCAUGACAAUUAAGUUCAUUUAAUCAAAUUAAGUAUGAACUCCCACUUAAAUCGACAUCCCUCUAGUCAUCUAAGUGAUACAUGAUCCAUGUUGACUAACCCGUGUCCGAUCAUCACGUGAGACGGACUAGUCACCAUGGUGAGCAACUUCAUGCUGAUCGUAUUCAACCAUAGGACUCAUGUUCGACCUUUCGGUCUCUUGUAUUCAAGGUCAUGUCUGUACAUGCUAAGCUCGUCGAGUCAACCUAGGUGUUCCGCGUGUGUAAAUCUGGCUUACACCCGUUGUAUGCGAACGUUAGAAUCUAUCACACCCGAUCAUCACGUGGUGCUUCGAGACAACGAACCUUCGCAACGGUGCACACUUAGGGGAAUACGUUCUCGAAAUUUUAAGAGGGAUCAUCUUAUUAUGCUACCGUCGUUUUAAGCAAUAAGAUGUAAAACAUGAUAAACAUCACAAUGCAAUCAUAUAGUGAGAUGAUAUGGCCAUUAUCAUCUUUGCUCUUUCGAUCUCGAUCUUCAGGCAUCGCAUGAUCAUCAUCGUCACCGGCGUGACACCAAGAUCUUCAUCAUCAUGAUCUCCAUCAUCGUGUCUCCGUGAAGUCGUCACGCCAACUACUACUAUCACUACUACUAUAGCUAAUCGUUAGCAAUGAAGUAAAAGUAGUAAGCAUAUGGUGUUGCAUCUCAUACAAUAAAUUAAGACAACUCCUAUGGCUCCUGCCGGUUCUCAUACUCAUCGACAUGCAAGUCGUGAAACCUAUUACAAUAACAUGAUCAUCUCUUACAUUAUACAUGCAAUAUCACAACUUUGGCCAUAUCACAUCACAUGUCAAACCCUGCAAAAACAAGUUAGACGUCCUCUAAUUGUUGUUGCAAGUUUUACGUGGCUGAUUUGGGUUUCUAGCAAGAACGCCUUCUUACCUACGUGACAGCCACAACGAUGAUAUGCCAAAGCUAUUUACCCUUCAUAAGGACCCUUUUCAUCAAAUCCAAUCCGACUAGAGUAGGAGAGACAGACACCCGCUAGCCACCUUUAUGCACGAUGUGCAUGUCUGCCGGUGGAACCAGUCUCACGUAAGUGUACGUGUAAAGUCGGUCCGGGCCGCUUCAUCCCACAAUACCGCCGGAAAAUAAUAAGACUAGUAGCGGCAAGCAAAUUGACAAACCAUCGCCCAGAACUUUUGUGUUCUACUCGUGCAUAGAAUCUACGCAUAGAAAACCUGGCUCGGAUGCCACUGUUGGGUAACGUAGCAUAAAUUCAAAAUUUUCCUACGCAUAUUCAGAUCUUCCUAUGGAGAGACCAGAAACGAGAGAGGGGUAAGAGCAUCUUCAUACCUUUGAAGAUCGCUAAGCGGAAGCGUUGCUAGAACGCGGUUGAUNNNNNNNNNNNNNNNNNNNNNNNNNNNNNNNNNNNNNNNNNNNNNNNNNNNNNNNNNNNNNNNNNNNNNNNNNNNNNNNNNNNNNNNNNNNNNNNNNNNNACCCCCGACCCACGACCCCAGAAGCCACUGACCCCGACGCCACUAACCCUCGACCCCCGACGCCACUGCCCCCGACCCAGACCCUCGGCCCACGACUCCCGACCCCCGACGCUCGACGCCACCAACCCCCGACCCCCGACGCCACUGACACCCGACGUCACUGACCCUGGACCCCCGACGCCACUGACCCCCCACAACCGACGCCACUAACCCCCCGACCCCCGAUGCCACCGACCCUCGACGGCACUGACUCCCGACGCCACUAAGCCCCGACCCCCGACACCUCUUCUGCCUUCUUUUGAACGAGAAGGUGCUUUUCGGCCUUCCAAAGGCCCACGGGGUCAUAGUUUUGUAAAUUAUGAGUUAGGUCACAUAUUUUCCGAUCAUGUUAGUUAUAAAAACAUCGUAUUUGUGUUGAUCGGGUGAAUUUCAAUGUGCAGUUGUUCGACGACCUCCACGUGCGUUGGACGAGCUCCGCCCUUGCGUUUGUUGGUGAGCACAAAUGACUUCUCCUCCUACCCCCUUAAUUUGCUCUGUCCCGGUCUUCGUGCCGAUGAAACUUGCUAGCUAUAGGUUUCUUCAAUCAUGAGUAUGCGUGACCAGUAUGCGUCUCCCGUUCGAAAGGGAGACAUCUAUAAAUAUGCAUUUCUUUGCAUAUUUAUAACCGCCAUCCUUUCGAAUUGUCCAACAUUAUCCAUGGACAGCCCGAGUAUGUGUAGAUUGGGUUUGUUUUCCCGUAUGUUGUGCUCCGGAUCCGAUGCGGAAUUUCGUCAGUGCCUCCCCUGUUGUUCUCCGGGUACACAUCCUCUCUGCUUAUUGCCGAGACGUGUAUCAGGAGAACAGCGGGGAGGUGCUGCCGAAAUUCUGCGUCGCAUCUGGAGCAGAGCAUGGGAAAACGAACCCAGUCUACACAUACUCGGGUGGGAUUAGGACCUAUCUUUACCUAUUAGCGUGUAGGUUGCAUGGACGUGACAAACUUGAUUAGCGUAUGAAUAUAGAUGAUGAAUUAUGUAUUUAUUUCUUGUGCCCCCAUAGGUAGCUAGGCAACAUGAGUGAUCGUGCUUGGAUGUACACUGGUCACCCUAGUCAGAAAGACAUGACCCAUGAAUGGUUAACAAAAACCAGGGGGUUUGUGAGAGCCGCAUUUGCAAAUGGCCAGCAAAAAACAUGGUGCCCCUGUCCCAACUGCGACAACUGGAAAAAGCAGACAGAGUUUGAAAUGGGUAAACACUUGCAGAAGUGGGGUUUUAUGCCUAAUUAUACGGUGUGGACUUUUCAUGGUGAGUCUAACCAACGUGCCAGAGCUGAGGUGAUUCGUCGUCGCACCGACGAGCAUGGUACCGGGAUUGAAGACAUGGUGCAAGACUUUGAUGAUGCUCGGGAUUCGGACGAUGAGAUGGAGGAAUCUGCAAAGGCCUUCUAUGAAAUGCUGGAGUCUUCAAAACGUCCUCUCCACGAGCAGACUGAGCUUUGUCAGCUAGAUGCCAUUGCGCAAGUAAUGGCUCUGAAGGCUCAAUUCAACCUAGGCAGAGAAUUCUACGACGCGAUGAUGACGAUAUUUGGACGCUUUCUACCCAAAGGCCAUGUACUGCCUGCAAACCUGUACUAGUCAGAGAAAAUCCUCCGUGUACUUAAGAUGCCCUAUGAGAAGAUACAUGCCUGUGAGAAUGGAUGUGCCUUAUUUAGGCUUGAGUAUGCGGCCUUGAACUAUUGCCCCAUUUGCAAUUCUUCCAGGUAUAUUGUGGUAGACAACGGCAUGGGUGAGAAGAAUCAGACCAAAAUCCCCAUUAGUGUUCUUCGAUAUCUGCCAAUCGUACCAAGACUUCAACGUCUUUUCAUGGUCGAAGAGACGGCCAGACAGAUGACAUGGCACAAAUUGGGCAAAAGAACCGAACUAGAUGCGGAUGGGAACAAGAUGCUGGUACACACUUCAGAUGGUUUUGCGUGGAGGCACUUCGAUGCAUUACAUAAGGAUAAAUCGGAAGAUCCAAGGCAACCUAGAGUUGCCAUCAGCACGGAUGGGUUCAAUGUGUAUGGUAUGACGGCAGCACAAUACAGUUGUUGGCCUGUAUUUGUCAUUCCACUAAAUUUGCCACCCGGAGAGAUUAUGAAAAGAAAGAACAUUUUCCUGACGUUGAUAAUUUCAGGGCCCAACUAUCCGGGGAGGAAUAUGAAUGUGUACAUGCAGCCGCUUAAGGAUGAGUUGCAAGAAGCCUGGGAUAAUGGGAUCAAGACCUACGACGCGGCUACCAAAACAAAUUUCAAAAUGCAUGUGUGGUACAUGUACUCGACGCAUGAUUAUCCGGCGUUUGCGCUAUUCGCUGGCUGGUGUGUGCAUGGAAGGUUCCCGUGCACCACAUGCAAGGCAGCUCUUCAGUUCCGUUGGCUGCAGGCUGGUCGCAAGUAUUCUUGCUUCGACAUGCAUAGACAAUUCCUGGAUCUUGACCAUAAGUUCAGAAAAGACAAGAAGAAUUUCAUCAAAGGUAGAGUUGUCAAAAACACUGCACCAGCUGCGUUGACAGGCCAACAGACCCUUGAUCAGUUAAACGCUCUUGAGCCCGAUCCUUUGCGUCCAGGAUACUUCAAAGGGUAUAAUACGGAACACGCCUCGACUCACAAGUCAUGCUUAUGGGAUCUCCCUUACUUCAAAGACCUCCUUUGCCCACACAACAUUGACGUGAUGCACACUGAAAAGAAUAUUGCGGAGGCCAUUUUUGGUACAUUGUUCGGCAUAGAGGGGAAGUCAAAAGAUAAUCCUAAGGCUAGAAUCGACCUGGAGGCUCUAUGUGAUAGACCGUUGCAAAACUUGCGACAACGGAAAGGAAAGCAAAGCAUAGCGAAUCCAAAGGCAUGGUUCAAUCUUGAAAGGCCAGCUAUGAGGGAAAUGCUAUUGUGGGUGAAACUGCGGUUGAUGUUCCCCGAUGGGUAUGCUGCGAAUCUAAAGAGGGGAGCGAGUCUUGAGAAAUUGAAAAUAUUUGGGCUCAAGAGUCAUGAUUGGCACAUAUGGACUGAGCGGGUAAUGCCGGUGAUGUUGCGUGGCUUUAUCCCUGAGGAUGAAUGGCUAGUACUGGCAGAGCUGAGCUAUUUCUUCCGUUCUCUUUGUGCAAAAGAACUAUCGCCUGGCGUGCUAGAUGAAAUGGAAGAGUUGGCACCGGAGUUGGUCUGCAAAUUAGAAAAGAUCUUUCCACCGGGCUUCUUUAAUCCAAUGCAACAUUUGAUAUAGCAUCUCCCGACCGAGGCAAGAAUGGGGGGGCCCGUUCAAAAUCGAUGGUGCUACUCAACUGAGAGGAUGCAGAAGACGCUUCGAGCUAAGUGUAAAAAUAAACGUAGAAUUGAAGCAUCGAUGGCCGAGGCACUCAUUACUGAGGAGGCGGCAAACUUCGUGACAGCACACUACGAAGCCAAAAAUUAUCAUUUGCAUAACCCGAAUCCUCGGUACAAUGAUGGCGAUCGAGAAAAAGUUCGAUCCAACCUCAGCCUAUUCAAAGGUAAGCUCGGACCAUCCGGUGCUUCGAAAGGGAAAUCGUUGGAUGUCGAAGAAUGGCGGACCAUUUCAUUGUAUAUCUUCACCAACCUAACAGAAGUGCGGCCGUACAUCGAGUAAGUUCUCGGUAAUUUAUUGUUCCGCAACUUCUAAUUGCUUUGAACCACUCUUAUUCCCGGAUAUUUGAUAUAGUCGAUACGUCGCCGAAUUCUCGGAUGGAGCGGUCAUCGAAAAGGAUUCCGUCGAAGAGUAUGAGCUUCUAGCAAAGCAUGGAGGCGACUAUCCUGGUUUCAUCUCUUGGUUCAAACAAAGGGUAAUUAAUUACCAUUAAGGGCCCAUUUGACUUAUUGGUCUAAUUUGCGGCUAAUGCAUCCAUUCUUUCGUAUUAAACUUGUAGGCUGAUGCAGAGUCUAUGGACGCCGAGUUGAGACAAGUCGCUAAUGGUUUUGACUAUAAGGUCCGUUCAUUUGACAAAUACAACAUCAACGGGUAUCACUUUCGUACCUUUGGCAAAGAGCUAUCUAUGCCCGACCUAAAGACUACAAAUUGUUCUGUCUCUGCUAUCGGCGAAGGAGACACCGAGUAUUAUGGAAGGGUUGAAGCAAUUUAUGAACUUCUAUUCUAUGGUGAAAACCCACCAACCAUCGUAGUCUUCAAAUGUUAUUGGUUUGAGCCGAGGGAGACUAGAAGGACUCAUGAACAUAUAGGACUAGUCGAAAUCAACCAAAACACCCACUUAGAUGUUCCCGAUGUCUAUAUUACGGCUCAACAGGCGACACAAGUUUUCUAUCUACCGUGGGCCUGCCAAACUGAUCCAAAUCUCAAAGGUUGGGAUGUCGUUUAUGAAGUGCCACCACAUUUUAGACCACCUACCCUCAAUGAAGAGGAUUACGAACCUCACAUUAACCCAGACACAUAUGAAGGAGAAUUCUUCCAAGAAACACGUAUGUCCAAGAAACGUUUCAAGAACCGCUCUACUUCACCCCAGAACAUUGAAGUAGACAGCGACAGUGAAUCCGUCUUAACCCCUGAGCCCGAAGAGGAAGAGCUGGAACAAGAAGAGGUUACUGCUGCGGAUGACCUGUCACUUCUUGACCGAUUACAUAAUGGUGGCCUUCCACAUGUUCUUCUAGAUAGUGAUGAUGAUGAUGCAUUUAUUGAUGAUAGUGAUGAUCAUGAUGCAUUUAUUGACCCCGAAGCAUAUAUAGACGAGGACGAUUGUUAUUAGUUCAUGUCAGGUAUUCAACUAUUAUACUAUAUAUAAAUUUUGAGUUCAUGUUAGGUAUUCAAUUUUUAUUAGUCAUGUUGGUAUUUAUGUUGUACUAAUUUCAUUUACUCUUUGUCAUGACAGGUGUUGAAAGAUGGUGGGAAAGGGUCGAAAGCAUGCCGCGGCUGCUUCUUCGUCGGCGGGUGAUGGGAUGGGUACUUCCAUUCCUGCCUCGCCUCUUCGGAGAGUGUUGCUCUCUACUAUGCAAGGAGCGGCCCCUGUGAGAGGAGGUCGACCACCCGCGAAGCCGAGAGGCACUAAAGGUACACGUUGUAUUCAUGUUGGUAUUUAUGUUGUACUCAUGUUGUAUGCAUAUUGGUAUUUAUAUACAUUUUAUUACUCAUGUUGGUAUUUAUGUUGUACUAAAGGUACACGUGGCCGCGGGAGAGGUAGGGCUACACGGUCUCCGCCACCACCCCAAGCUGAUUUACCUGAGCACAGGAGGACUUCUAGGGUGGAUUCGUCUGAGGUGGAGGCUACACGGUCUCCGGUUCACGAGCCUCGGGUCGACGAGCCUCAGGUCGACGAGCCUUUGACCCACGAGACUCGUGUCCCAAAGGCUUCCUUCCACACGACUGCGGAGCACAGCAGGGAUGAGGGUACGUCCCAAGAGACCCAGUGGGAUCCCUGGCCAGAGCCAACUGGCCAUGCUGGUAGCGACGAGGAGCUGGGUGAGGGGGAUACCGUCUACCAGCGUGGUAGUUCGGGGCUCCCGCUCGUGCCAGCGACCCCCGAGCACAGGUGCUCGAUUAGGCCAAAUGGGGACAAGUAAGUUAAUUUACUCUUAUUUAACCUUUUGCCUUCGCGUUUUCUCAAAUAUCUAAUGUUUUGGCUUUAAUUUGUCAUACUGUAGGGGUUGGAUUGUUGCCAAGGGUGUCCGCAAGCCCAACAGCGUCCUCGGUGUUCUUUGCCGUCAAAACUUCCCAGGGUUUGUUACGUUGCCCGGUCGGGAGCGAGAGGUGGGGAUGACCUGGGAGCACUACUUGGGUGCCCCGGCCCCGCCGGAGGUGGAGAUCGACGGUGUUUUGUGUGACACGAGGGCGGACAUGGUGAUCCGAAAGUUCUGGGUAAUUUCUCUUUCACACAAUUAUAAAUUAACCAUAGCUAUUUAUUGUACUAAUCGGUGUUGUCUCAUUUGCAGACCUUCUACAGGUGUGAGGAGGGAUACGAGGACGACGCGGCAAAGGUUAUCGAAACCGAAUGUCGCCGCCUACUUCAAAACUUUCGGCACGAGGCUCGGGUGCAGGCUGUUCGAGACUACUAUGCCACGCGGCGUAUUAGGAUUGAUAAGGCGAAGUGCCGUGAUGCUAAGAUGGAGAAGGAGCAUUACAUGAAGGUAAUUACAUAUUAUUAAGGCUUUGUAGUUAGUUUCCUUGAUUUGGUUCUUACGCACUCAAAUUUCUCUUUAUUAACUUAGGUGCCCCCUAGAUUGUGUGUGGAUAAGAUGGAUUGUUGGGAGGCCUUGGUGGACCAGUGGUGCUCCGAAACGUGGGAGACCAGCCACAACAACGCCAAGGAGAGGCGUGGCAAAAUGGUUGGCGUGCCACACCAUCAAGGGAGCGUCAACUUAAUCCAAUUUGGCGAGAACUGGGUAUGUGGUUUGCUUCAUGCCUCAUGCAAUUCAUUCUUAAUGCUAUCUUGAGCCCUUUACCAAUACAAUUUUCUGCUCUCUCUCUUUUAGGCGCGUCACAAUAAGACGGAGGCGCCACAGAUGUACGACCUGUAUGCGAUGGCCCAUACUGCCUCGUACAAGAAGGUCAAGGCAUUCUGUGAGUCUGACCUCGAGCAUCCAGAAAACUUCACCAACAUCUCCUCCCACGACAAGCUCGUGAAGUACAGAGAUCACGGGAAGGCGAGCAAAGGGGAGAACUUUAACCCGAGCGAGGGGCCUAUUGAUCCAGAGCUGGUGAUGAUAGCUGGCAACGGGAGGCCCCAUGGCUCGAUCGCCAUUGGAGACGGCCUUAUACGUUGUCCUAGCACUCUCCGGCAGAUAAAGGCACGCCAAACGAGCUCUUGUCCGGAGAUAACACGUCGUCCACGGCCAGUCGAGCUCGCCAUCGAGGUUAGUUUAAUGGACUCAACUAUCUUUCCGCAUUAUGUUGUGCGUUCGAACCAAUAUGAUUACAUUGCUAACAAUGAGUUGUGUUGCAGGCUGCUAUUCAGAAAGAGAGAGCGGCAAUGCAGGCGGCUAUGGCGGAGAAGGAUAAGGAAAUUAGGGAGCUGGAGGAGAGGACGACUGCAUUGGUGGAGGCGGAGAGGGCACGGAAUGAAGCGUCUACCAGGGCCAUAUACGAGCUCUUCGUGGUAAGUUUCUUCUUCAUGUUAUUUCAAAUCUUGCAUUUGAAUGUCCGUUUCAUUAAUAAAUAAAAAGUUUGACUUGUCGAAACCAAAUGUACAGUCUAUGUGCGAGAAGAACGGCCAAGUCCCUCCGCCGAUGCCAGUCAUUAACGUGGCGGGGACGGUGAGUUUCAUUUCAGUGGAGUGAUCUUAAGAGUGUCCUCAUGCUAACUACACAUUGCAAACGAUGUUUGGUGCAGAAUAUGUCCCGAAACACAUCGCACGACCCUUCUACAGUCGAGCCUUCUCCAGGGCAGCCUUCUCCAGGUGAAACAAGCCACAGCCACCGUGCUUCACCCUAACUUAGGUAUGUCAUUUCUAGUGUUUUAAUAAAAAAUAGCUAGACUUCCAUCUAAUGACAUAAUUAGCAUAGUUAGCUCCAAAAUAGCUAGACUUCCAUCUAAUGACAUAAUUAGCUUAGUUAGCUCCAAAAUGGCCUAUUUAAUAAAAAAUGACCUAUACUUAGCUAAUUAUCCUCGAAAUGACAUAAUUAGCUCCAAAAAGGCAUUCUUAGCCAAUUUAGCCCGAAGAAGGGGACAAGAAGAGAAAAAGAGGAAAAAUGAAACGAGGGAAGAGGAAAAAUGAGGAGAAGAAGGAGGAGAGGGAGGAGGAGAAGAAGAAGGAGAAGAAGGAGAAGAAGGAGGAGAAGGAGAAGGAGCUCCUCCUACUCCUUCUUCUUCCUCCUUCUCCUUCUCCUUCUUCUUCUCCUUCUCCUUCUUCUUUUCUUCUUCUUCUCCUCUUCCUUCUCCUCCUCCUCCUCCUCCUCCUCCUCCUUAUUUUACUUAUUCUUCUCUAUCUCUUCUUCUACGUAGCAUAGACUCAUCCAAGAAAGGCUAAAUUAGCCAAUUGUCCUACGAAAUGACAUAAUUAGAUUAGUUAGCUCCAAAAUGUCCUAUUUAAUAAAAAAUGACCUAUACUUAGCUAAUUAUCCUCGAAAUGACAUAAUUAGCUCCAAAAAGGCAUUCUUAACCAAUUUAGCCCGAAGAAGGGGACAAGAAGAGAAAAAGAGGAAAAAUGAAAGGAAGGAAGAGGAAAAAUGAGGAGAAGAAGGAGGAGAGGGAGGAGGGGAAGAAGAAGGAGAAGAAGGAGGAGAAGGAGAAGGAGCUCCUCCUUCCCCUUCUUCUUCCUCCUUCUUCCUCCUUCUCCUUCUCCUUCUCCUUCUCCUUCUUCUUUUCUUCUUCUUCUCCUCUUCCUUCUUCUUCUCCUCCUCCUCCUCCUCCUCCUCCUCCUUAUUUUACUUCUUCUUCUCUAUCUCUUCUUCUACGUAGCUUAGACUCAUCCAAGAAAGGCUAAAUUGGCUAAUUAUCCUACAAAAUGACAUAAUUAGCUUAGUUAGCUCCAAAAUGGCCUAUUUAAUAAAAAAUGACCUAUACUUAGCUAAUUAUCCUCGAAAUGACAUAAUUAGCUCCAAAAAGGCAUUCUUAGCCAAUUUAGCCCGAAGAAGGGGACAAGAAGAGAAAAAGAGGAAAAUGAAAGGAAGGAAGAGGAAAAAUGAGGAGAAGAAGAAGGAGGAGAGGGAGGAGGAGAAGAAGAAGGAGAAGAAGGAGAAGAAGGAGAAGGAGCUCCUCCUUCCCCUUCUUCUUCCUCCUUCUUCCUCCUUCUCCUUCUCCUUCUUCUUCUCCUUCUCCUUCUUCUUUUCUUCUUCUUCUCCUCUUCCUUCUUCUUCUCCUCCUCCUCCUCCUUCUCCUCCUUAUUUUACUUCUUCUUCUCUAUCUCUUCUUCUACGUAGCUUAGACUUAUCCAAGAAAGGCUAAAUUGGCUAAUUAUCCUACGAAAUGACAUAAUUAGCUUAGUUAGCUCCAAAAUGGCCUAUUUAAUAAAAAAUGACCUAUACUUAGCUAAUUAUCCUCGAAAUGACAUAAUUAGCUCCAAAAAGGCAUUCUUAGCCAAUUUAGCCCGAAGAAGGGGACAAGAAGAGAAAAAUAGGAAAAUGAAACGAAGGAAGAGGAAAAAGGAGAAGAAGAAGGAGGAGAGGGAGGAGGAGAAGAAGAAGGAGAAGAAGGAGGAGAAGGAGAAGGAGCUCCUCGUUCCCCUUCUUCUUCCUCCUUUUUCCUCCUUCUCCUUCUCCUUCUUCUUCUCCUUCUCCUUCUUCUUUUCUUCUUCUUCUCCUCUUCCUUCUUCUUCUCCUCCUCCUCCUCCUCCUUAUUUUACUUCUUCUUCUCUAUCUCUUCUUCUACGUAGCUUAGACUUAUCCAAGAAAGGCUAAAUUGGCUAAUUAUCCUACGAAAUGACAUAAUUAGCUUAGUUAGCUCCAAAAUGGCCUAUUUAAUAAAAAAUGACCUAUACUUAGCUAAUUAUCCUCCGAACGACAUAAUUAGCUCCAAAAAGGCAUUCUUAGCCAAUUUAGCCCGAAGAAGGGGACAAGAAGAGAAAAAGAGGAAAAUGAAAGGAAGGAAGAGGAAAAAUGAGGAGAAGAAGAAGGAGGAGAGGGAGGAGGAGAAGAAGAAGGAGAAGAAGGAGAAGAAGGAGAAGGAGCUCCUCCUUCCCCUUCUUCUUCCUCCUUCGUCCUCCUUCUCCUUCUCCUUCUUCUUCUCCUUCUCCUCCUUCUUUUCUUCUUCUUCUCCUCUUCCUUCUUCUUCUCCUCCUCCUCCUCCUCCUCCUUAUUUUAUUUCUUCUUCUCUAUCUCUUCUUCUACGUAGCUUAGACUUAUCCAAGAAAGGCUAAAUUGGCUAAUUAUCCUACGAAAUGACAUAAUUAGCUUAGUUAGCUCCAAAAUGGCCUAUUUAAUAAAAAAUGACCUAUACUUAGCUAAUUAUCCUCGAAAUGACAUAAUUAGCUCCAAAAAGGCAUUCUUAGCCAAUUUAGCCCGAAGAAGGGGACAAGAAGAGAAAAAGAGGAAAAAUGAAAGGAGGGAAGAGGAAAAAUAAGGAGAAGAAGGAGGAGAUGGAGGAGGAGAAGAAGAAGGAGAAUAAGGAGAAGAAGGAGGAGAAGGAGAAGGAGCUCCUCCUACUCCUUCUUCUUCCUCCUUCUCCUUCUCCUUCUUCUUCUCCUUCUCCUUCUUCUUUUCUUCUUCUUCUCCUCUUCCUUCUUCUUCUCCUCCUCCUCCUCCUCAUUAUUUUACUUCUUCUUCUCUAUCUCUUCUUCUACGUAGCUUAGACUCAUCCAAGAAAGGCUAAAUUGGCUAAUUAUCCUACGAAAUGACAUAAUUAGCUUAGUUAGCUCCAAAAUGGCCUAUUUAAUAAAAAUGACCUAUACUUAGCUAAUUAUCCUCGAAACGACAUACUUAGCUCCAAAAAGGCAUUCUUAGCCAAUUUAGCCCGAAGAAGGGGACAAGAAGAGAAAAAGAGGAAAAUGAAAGGAAGGAAGAGGAAAAAUGAGGAGAAGAAGAAGGAGGAGAGGGAGGAGGAGAAGAAGAAGGAGAAGAAGGAGAAGAAGGAGAAGGAGCUCCUCCUUCCCCUUCUUCUUCCUCCUUCUUCCUCCUUCUCCUUCUCCUUCUUCUUCUCCUUCUCCUUCUUCUUUUCUUCUUCUUCUCCUCUUCCUUCUUCUCCUCCUCCUCCUCCUCCUCCUCCUCCUUAUUUUACUUCUUCUCUAUCUCUUCUUCUAGGUAGCUUAGACUUAUCCAAGAAAGGCUAAAUUGGCUAAUUAUCCUACGAAAUGACAUAAUUAGCUUAGUUAGCUCCAAAAUGGCCUAUUUAAUAAAAAAUGACCUAUACUUAGCUAAUUAUCCUCGAAAUGACAUAAUUAGCUCCAAAAAGGCAUUCUUAGCCAAUUUAGCCCGAAGAAGGGGACAAGAAGAGAAAAAGAGGAAAAUGAAAGGAUGGAAGAGGAAAAAGGAGAAGAAGAAGGAGGAGAGGGAGGAGGAGAAGAAGAAGGAGAAGAAGGAGGAGAAGGAGAAGGAGCUCCUCCUUCCUCUUCUUCUUCCUCCUUCUUCCUCCUUCUCCUUCUCCUUCUUCUUCUCCUUCUCCUUCUUCUUUUCUUCUUCUUCUCCUCUUCCUUCUUCUUCUCCUCCGCCUCCUCCUCCUUAUUUUACUUCUUCUUCUCUAUCUCUUCUUCUACGUAGCUUAGACUUAUCCAAGAAAGGCUAAAUUGGCUAAUUAUCCUAUGAAAUGACAUAAUUAGCUUAGUUAGCUCCAAAAUGGCCUAUUUAAUAAAAAAUGACCUAUACUUAGCUAAUUAUCCUCGAAAUGACAUAAUUAGCUCCAAAAAGGCAUUCUUAGCCAAUUUAGCCAGAAGAAGGGGACAAGAAGAGAAAAAGAGGAAAAAUGAAAGGAGGGAAGAGGAAAAAUAAGGAGAAGAAGGAGGAGAGGGAGGAGGAGAAGAAGAUGGAGAAGAAGGAGAAGAAGGAGGAGAAGGAGAAGGAGCUCCUCCUACUCCUUCUUCUUCCUCCUUCUCCUUCUCCUUCUUCUUCUCCUUCUCCUUCUUCUUUUCUUCUUCUUCUCCUCUUCCUUCUUCUUCUCCUCCUCCUCCUCCUCCUUAUUUUACUUCUUCUUCUCUAUCUCUUCUUCUACGUAGCUUAGACUUAUCCAAGAAAGGCUAAAUUGGCUAAUUAUCCUACGAAAUGACAUAAUUAGCUUAGUUAGCUCCAAAAUGGCCUAUUUAAUAAAAAAUGACCUAUACUUAGCUAAUUAUCCUCGAAAUGACAUAAUUAGCUCCAAAAAGGCAUUCUUAGCCAAUUUAGCCCGAAGAAGGGGACAAGAAGAGAAAAAGAGGAAAAUGAAAGGAUGGAAGAGGAAAAAGGAGAAGAAGAAGGAGGAGAGGGAGGAGGAGAAGAAGAAGGAGAAGAAGGAGGAGAAGGAGAAGGAGCUCCUCCUUCCUCUUCUUCUUCCUCCUUCUUCCUCCUUCUCCUUCUCCUUCUUCUUCUCCUUCUCCUUCUUCUUUUCUUCUUCUUCUCCUCUUCCUUCUUCUUCUCCUCCUCCUCCUCCUCCUUAUUUUACUUCUUCUUCUCUAUCUCUUCUUCUACGUAGCUUAGACUUAUCCAAGAAAGGCUAAAUUGGCUAAUUAUCCUACGAAAUGACAUAAUUAGCUUAGUUAGCUCCAAAAUGGCCUAUUUAAUAAAAAAUGACCUAUACUUAGCUAAUUAUCCUCGAAAUGACAUAAUUAGCUCCAAAAAGGCAUUCUUAGCCAAUUUAGCCCGAAGAAGGGGACAAGAAGAGAAAAAGAGGAAAAUGAAAGGAUGGAAGAGGAAAAGGAGAAGAAGAAGGAGNNNNNNNNNNNNNNNNNNNNNNNNNNNNNNNNNNNNNNNNNNNNNNNNNNNNNNNNNNNNNNNNNNNNNNNNNNNNNNNNNNNNNNNNNNNNNNNNNNNNCCAAGCGAUCCUGGGUGGCGGCUUUCGACCCUGAUGCUCCAGAACCACCACAAUCAAAGCCUGCUAUUAGCUCUCUCUCAAUGCAGGAGGUAACCCCUCUCAGUCCUUCUUCAUCUGCAGAGGACUUAUCUUUUCAUUCUCCUGCUCCAUCGAAAAAGGGGACCCGCAAGAAGGCCACUCCUGUCGUUGACUCCUCUGUCCGUCGUUGUACUCGCGGCUCCAUCAAGCGCGCUGGCUUCAAACCAAUCCUGCAGGAGCUGCCUGCGCACGUCCCCAAGAAGAGGAAGCCCAAGGCCAAGCCAAUGCCCUCUACAUCGCAGGAGAGUGAGGAUGUGCAAGUACCUCCUGCCACUACUGAAAUUCAGAAAUUUGCCGUCUGCCAAGGCGGACGGCAAAGGGGAUAACCACGGACGGCAAAGGCUUUGCCGUCUGCCCCCUCAUGGCAAAGUAGACGGUAAAAAAAAUCCGGUGAAGAGGCUCUUUGCCGUCUGCUUUCACAAAGCGGACGGCAAAGAAUCAUUGCCAUGAGGGGGCAGACGGCAAAAUAAGUGGGACGGCAUAUAUUGUUGGAAUUAUGCCCUAGAGGCAAUAAUAAAUGCAUAGUUAUUAUUAUAAUUCAUGUAUCAAGAUAAUAGUUAUUAUCCAUGCUAUAAUUGUAUUGAAUGAAGACUCAUUUACAUGUGUGGAUACAUAGACAAAACACCGUCCCUAGCAUGCCUCUAGUUGGCUAGCCAGUUGAUCAAUGAUAGUCAGUGUCUUCUAAUUAUGAACAAGGUGUUGUUGCUUGAUAACUGGAUCACGUCAUUGGGAGAAUCACGUGAUGGACCAGACCCAAACUAAUAGACGUAGCAUGUUGAUCGUGUCAUUUUGUUGCUACUGUUUUCUGCGUGUCAAGUAUUUAUUCCUAUGACCAUGAGAUCAUAUAACUCACUGACACCGGAGGAAUGCUUUGUGUGUAUCAAACGUCACAACGUAACUGGGUGACUAUAAAGAUGCUCUACAGGUAUCUCCGAAGGUGUUAGUUGAGUUAGUAUGGAUCAAGACUGGGAUUUGUCACUCCGUGUGACGGAGAGGUAUCUCGGGGCCCACUCGGUAAUACAACAUCACACACAAGCCUUGCAAGCAAUGUAACUUAGUGUAAGUUGCGGGAUCUUGUAUUACGGAACGAGUAAAGAGACUUGCCGGUAAACGAGAUUGAAAUAGGUAUACGGAUACUGACGAUCGAAUCUCGGGCAAGUAACAUACCGAAGGACAAAGGGAAUGACAUACGGGAUUAUACGAAUCCUUGGCACUGAGGUUCAAACGAUAAGAUCUUCGUAGAAUAUGUAGGAUCCAAUAUGGGCAUCCAGGUCCCGCUAUUGGAUAUUGACCGAGGAGUCUCUCGGGUCAUGUCUACAUAGUUCUCGAACCCGCAGGGUCUGCACACUUAAGGUUCGACGUUNNNNNNNNNNNNNNNNNNNNNNNNNNNNNNNNNNNNNNNNNNNNNNNNNNNNNNNNNNNNNNNNNNNNNNNNNNNNNNNNNNNNNNNNNNNNNNNNNNNNAUUGAAUUUUCUCUAUGAUUUUGAAUAUAGUUCCAAUUUUUUUUCUAUUUUCAUAAUUAAUAAUUUUGACUAUACAAACUAUUAUCUAGUUUGUUAUUUUCAAUUAAAAACUAUGUUUAUUAAAAAUUCGUUUUGCAUAUUUGAGAAUUUGACAAAACUAUGAUAAUGAAAAGUGUUUGAAACUGAAUAAAUAAUGCAAAACUAUUUUUUAUUUUCAUAAUUAAUAAUUUUGACUAUCCAAACUAUUAUCUAUUUUGUUAUUUUCAAUUAAAAACUAUGUUUAUUAAAAAUUCUUUUUGCAUAUUUGAGAAUUUGACAAAACUAUGAUAAUGAAAAGUGUUUGAAAUUGAAUAAAUCAUGCAAAACUUAUUUUCUAUUUUAUAAUUAAUAAUUUGACUACCAAACUAUUAUCUAUUUUGUUAUUUUCAAUUAAAAACUAUGUUUAUUAAAUUUUUUUUGCAUAUUUGAGAAUUUGACAAAACUAUGAUAAUGAAAAGUGUUUGAAAUUGAAUAAAUAAUGCAAAACUAUUUUCUAUUUUCAUAAUUAAUAAUUUUGACUAUCCAAACUAUUAUUUUUUUGUUAUUUUCAAUUAAAAACUAUGUUUAUUAAAAAUUCUUUUUGCAUAUUUGAGAAUUUGACAUAACUAUGAUAAUGAAAAGUGUUUGAAAUUGAAUAAAUAAUGCAAAACUAUUUUCUAUUUUCAUAAUUAAUUAUUUUGACUAUCCAAACUAUUAUCUAUUAUGUUAUUUUGAAUUAAAAACUAUGUUUAUGAAAAAUUCUUUUCGCAUAUUUGAGAAUUUGACAAAACUAUGAUAAUGAAAAGUGUUUGAAAUUGAAUAAAUAAUACAAAAAUAUUUUCUAUUUUCAUAAUUAAUUAUUUUGACUAUCCAAACUAUUAUCUAUUAUGUUAUUUUCAAUUAAAAACUAUGUUUAUUAAAAAUUCUUUUUGCAUAUUUGAGAAUUUGACAAAACUAUGAUAAUGAAAAGUGUUUGAAAUUGAAUAAAUAAUGCAAAACUAUUUUCUAUUUUCAAAAGUAAUUAUUUUGUCUUCGUGUACAAAACGGACAAUCUCUCUCGAAGUAGCAGCGUUUCGAACGAGAACUCAUCUCUUAUAAAGUGAUUUCAAUUUUUUGAACUUAUUUGAACUCCAUACUUUUUGUGUGUUCAAAAUGCACCAUUCAAAGGCACAUCACAAAAUUUCAACAAUUUCUGACUUCAUUUGGUAUUCUUCGUGCAUUUACUUUUUUUUUGAGCUAGUUGACCCUGAAAUUGAAAAGCACUACAAAUGAACUCUGAAAAUGUUGAAAGUUGGCAUGCUAUCAUCAUUUCACCCACAUAGCAUGUGUUAAAAAGUUGAGAGUGCUAUGACAAAAACUGGAUGCACUUCGUGUACAAAACGGACAAUCUCUCUCGAAGUAUCAGGGUUUCGAACGAGAACUCAUCUCUUACAAAGGGAUUUCAUUUUUUUGAACUUAAUUGAACUCCAUAAUUUUUGUGUGUUCAAAAUGCACCAUUAAAAGGCACAUCACAAAAUGGCAACAAUUUCUGACUUCAUUUGGUAUUCUUCGUGCAUUUACUUAUUUUUUUUUGAGCUAGUUGACCCUCAAAUUGAAAAGCACUACAAAUAAACUCAGAAAAUGUUGAAAGUUGGAAUGCUAUCAUCAUUUCACCCACAUAGCAUGUGUUAAAAAGUUGAGAGGGCUACGACAAAAACUGGAUGCACUUCAUGUACAAAACGGACAAUCUCUCUCGAAGUAGCAGCGUUUCGAACGAGAACUCAUCUCUUAUAAAGUGAUUUCAAUUUUUUGAACUUAUUUGAACUCCAUACUUUUUGUGUGUUCAAAAUGCACCAUUCAAAGGCACAUCACAAAAUUUCAACAAUUUCUGACUUCAUUUGGUAUUCUUCGUGCAUUUACUUUUUUUUGUAGCUAGUUGACCCUGAAAUUGAAAAGCACUACAAAUGAACUCUGAAAAUGUUGAAAGUUGGCAUGCUACCAUCAUUUCACCUACAUAGCAUGUGUUAAAAAGUUGAGAGGGCUACGACAAAAACUGGAUGCACUUCGUGUACAAAACGGACAAUCUCUCUCGAAGUAGCAGCGUUUCGAACGAGAACUCAUCUCUUACAAAGGGAUUUCAUUUUUUUGAACUUAUUUGAACUCCAUACUUUUUGUGUGUUCAAAAUGCACCAUUCAAAGGCACAUCACAAAAUUUCAACAAUUUCUAACUUCAUUUGGUAUUCUUCGUGCAUUUACUUUUUUUUGGAGCUAGUUGACCCUGAAAUUGAAAAGCACUACAAAUGAACUCUGAAGAUUGUUUAAAGUUGGCAUGCUAUCAUCAUUUGACACACAUAGCAUGUGUUAAAAAGUUGAGAGGGCUACGACAAAAACUGGAUGUACUUCGUGUACAAAACGGACAAUCUCUCUCGAAGUAGUAGCGUUUCGAACGAGAACUCAUCUCUUACAAAGGGAUUUCAUUUUUUUGAACUUAUUUGAACUCCAUACUUUUUGUGUGUUCAAAAUGCACCUUUAAAAGGCACAUCACAAAAUGGCAACAAUUUCUGACUUCAUUUGGUAUUCUUCGUGCAUUUACUUAUUUUUUUGAGCUAGUUGACCCUGAAAUUGAAAAGCACUACAAAUGAACUCUGAAUAUGUUGAAAGUUGGCAUGCUAUCAUCAUUUCACCCACAUAGCAUGUGUUAAAAAGUUGAGAGGGCUACGACAAAAACUGGAUGCACUUUGUGUACAAAACGGACAAUCUCUCUCGAAGUAGCAGCGUUUCGAACGAGAACUCAUCUCUUACAAAGGGAUUUCAUUUUUUUGAACUUAUCUGAACUCCAUACUUUUUGUGUGUUCAAAAUGCACCAUUCAAAGGCACAUCACAAAAUGGACAAUCUCUCUCGAAGUAGAAGCGACCCCCACAAUAAGAGACGACAUUCUUCUUCUCUCAUAUAUGGUGGACACUAGCUCACCUGAAUUUUCAACCGUCGAUGAUGGUCGCUACUCCUACUUCCCCUAGUGCAUAACCAAUAUCUAGCACAAGGAGAAGAAGGAGAAGCGACCCCCACAACAAAAGUGGUUCCGCGGCACGCCACGUGGUUCCACUGCACGCCACGUGGUUCCGCUGCACGCCACGUGGGACUAAUGCUCUUUCAUUUUUAAAUGACUGUUUUAAUCAAAAACAGAUCUGUUACAAAAGGGAUUUCAUUUUUUGAACUUAUUUGAACUGAAGACUUUUUGUAUAUAUAUGUGGUCGAAAUGCAUGAUACCAUGAAGUUAGAAAGGGCUAAACCAUCCAAAAGUAGCAAAUGAAGUUAGAAAGGGCUAAACCAUUCAAAUUUGGAAACUAUAAUGGCACAAACAGAAACUCGACAUAUAUAAAUUGGUCCAAGCAGUACAUGAUACUAGUCCAAACAGUACAUAAUAAUAGCUACCAUAGAUAUAUAUACAAGUGUUCGACGUUGAGAACACUACUCGUCUGAAUCGUCUGAAUCAGAAUGUCCACCUUCCUCGAGGUGACGCUGGCCAUAGUUGACGACUCGAAUCUUGCAGUACAACUCGUAUGAAACAUAUGCAUCUUUUGCUGCAUACUCAAUGUUGAUAGGAUCAAGUGUGCCCUUCUCCCAAAGUUUGUGCUGAGACUUUGGGAAACUGGUCUUCAUAUCACCAUAUCCCUCGUCGAUCAAGGCAACUGCCAUAUGAGCCAUCGAAGUCCUGUCAUGUCGAAGCCUGAAUACCGUUUGGAGAUCAACGAGGCAACCAGCUGGUAUCUCAAUACCGAAGCUGUGCCUCAUCUUCAGCUUGUCGUUCCUUAUGUAAACGGUAGCAAAAGUGAUGCCGCUGCGAAGGAAGUCCAUGAGUUCUGGACAAUGCUUUUCACUCGUGCAACAGAAACAAAUUAAAAUGGAACAAAUGUUACAUACUGCUGCAAUAAGGAAACAUGUUUCACUACAACUAAAGAGAAAAUUAUCUUUAGGAUUCAAAUAGAACAUAUGCAAUGGAACCUAGAGAGAUCACUAUAGCUAUCCAAUGGAACCUAGAGAGAUCACUAGCUAUAUGCAAUUUUCAUGACUAUGACAUAUCAUAUUGCUAUCCAAUGGAACCUAGAGAGAUCACUAGCUAUAUUCAAUUUUCAUAACCUUGGAUCAAAGAACACCGCAUAAAAUUGUAUCACUACAACUAUGAUUUCAAUGGAACAUAUUCAACCAAUCAGAUUUUCAGAUUGUGGAACACUAUUCCAAUCAGAUUGUGUUCCCUUCAACUAAUCAAAAUUGUUUCACAACAACUAUUCGAAGCGAACCAACUAUGAUUCCAAUGGAACAUAUUAAACACUAGUUGAUUCUAAAACGAUUUUUCAGAUUAUGGAACACUAUUCCAAUCAGAUUGUGUUCCCCUUCAACUAAUCAAAAUUGUUUCACUAUAACUAUUUGAAGGGAACCAACUAUGAUUCCAAUGGAACAUAUUAAACACUAGUUGAUUCUAAUACGAUUUUUCAGAUUAUGGAACACUAUUCCAAUUAGAUUUUGUUCCCCUUCAACUAAUCAAAAUUGUUUCACUACAACUAUUUGAAGGGAACCAACUAUGAUUGAAACAAAUAAACUUACAAUGUCAUUAUCUUGGAUCAAAGAAAGCCUCAAAACUUACCUCGCUCAUUGGAAGAUCAAGACAUGGCGUGCGAAGCAUAGUUGGAUGACGGCAACACCGCGUUGAUCGGCCGUGUACUCCAGAUCAAGCCCCAAGAACUUCUCAUGAUCCACUGCGUUAUCAAACCAUUUUUCCUUCAACUGUUGAAGAAAAAAUGGCACCUCCCUGCUCAGGUUCGUGUACACGACAUCGAGCAUGGUCGUGCCAUGUGAGAGCACCUUAUGAAAGCUAGUUGGCAUGGUGGAAGAAGAGAAGGGAAGAAGAGAGGAGAAGAAUAGAGAGGGAGAGCGAGAGAGAAGAAGAAACAGAGAAAUGGCGACUGUGCUUCGGUUCGUGCUUUUCAUCGCCCGAAACGACGCGGGAUGCAAACCAUUUGGGUCUUUAGUCCCGGGUUGAGCCACCAACCGGGACUAAAGAGGUAUACCAAUGGUUGCCACCACUACGGCAGGCCACGUGUUAGUCCUUUAGUCCCGGGUUGAGCCACCAACCGGGACUAAAGGGGGAUACGAACGGUUGCCACCACCACUGCCCCGCCGCGUAGCCCUUUAGUCCCGGUUUGGGACACGAACCGGGACUAAAGGCUCCUUACGGGCCGGCACUAAAGCCUCGAGGGAGGCAUUGAGAAUUGGGGCGACGUGGCCGGGCCUUUAGUCCCGGCCCAGAGGCAGGCCGGGACUAAAUGGUCCCGGCCAAAGGAUCAUGUCGCACAACAGAGUUAUGAGCAACUUCCUGCGGAACCAUGUGGACUGCAGCAUAGCUUUCCGCCGCAUCUCGGUGUUCAAACAGUCCAACGCCCUCAAUCCAUGGCUGGGCAGACCGAACAUGUAACCCUCGGUGAAGAAGAAGAGCAGCAACUGUUGGAAUUAUGCCCUAGAGGCAAUAAUAAAUAUAGUUAUUAUUAUAAUUCCUGUAUCAAGAUAAUCGUUUAUUAUCCAUGCUAUAAUUGUAUUGAAUGAAGACUUAUAUACAUGUGUGGAUACAUAGACAAAACACUGUCCCUAGCAAGCCUCUAGUUGGCUAGCCAGUUGAUCAACGAUGGUCAGUGUCUUCUGAUUAUGAACAAGGUGUUGUUGCUUGAUAACUGGAUCACGUCAUUACGAGAAUCACGUGAUGGACUAGACCCAAACUAAUAGACGUAGCAUGUUGAUCGUGUCAUUUUAUUGCUACUGUUUUCUGCGUGUCAAGUAUUUGUUCCUAUGACCAUGAGAUCAUAUAACUCACUAACACCGGAGGAAUACUUUGUGUGUAUCAAACGUCGCAACGUAACUGGGUGACUAUAAAGAUGCUCUACAGGUAUCUCCGAAGGUGUUCGUUGAGUUAGUAUGGAUCGAGACUGGGAUUUGUUACUCCGUGUGAUGGAGAGGUAUCUCGGGGCCCACUCAGUAAUACAACACCACACACAAGCCUUGCAAGCAAUGUGACUUAGUGUAAGUUGCGGGAUCCUGUAUUACGUAACGAGUAAAGAGACUUGCCGGUAAACGAGAUUGAAAUAGGUAUGCGGAUACUGACGAUUGAAUCUCGGGCAAGUAACAUACCGAAGGACAAAGGGAAUGACAUACGGGAUUAUAUGAAUCCUUGGCACCGAGGUUCAAACGAUAAGAUCUUUGUAGAAUAUGUAGGAUCCAAUAUGGGCAUCCAGGUCCCGCUAUUGGAUAUUGACCGAGGAGUCUCUCGGGUCAUGUCUACAUAGUUCUCGAACCCGCAGGGUGUGCACACUUAAGGUUUGACGUUGUUUUAUGCGUAUUUGAGUUAUAUGGUUGGUUACCGAAUGUUGUUCGGAGUCCCGGAUGAGAUCACGGACGUCACGAGGGUUUCCGGAAUGGUCCGGAAACGAAUAUUGAUAUAUAGGAUGACCUCAUUUGAUUACCGGAAGGUUUUCGGAGUUACCGGGAAUGUACCGGGAAUGACGAAUGGGUUCCGGGAGUUCACCGGGGGGUCAACCCACCCCAGGGGAAGCCCAUAGGCAUUGAGGGUGGUGCACCAGCCCUUAAUGGGCUGGUGGGACAGCCCAAAAGAGCCCUAUGCGCAUUGGAAGAAAAAUGAAAGAGAAAAGAAAGAAAAAGAAGGAGGUGGGAAAGGGAAGGACUCCACCUUCCAAACUAAGUAGGACUCGGUUUGGGGGGGGGAGACCUUACCCCUUGGCUCGGCCGAAGCCCUUAGGGGUCCUUGGACCCCAAGGCAAGGCUCCCCCUCUCCCUCCUAUAUAUAGUGGGGUUUUAGGGCUGAUUUGAUACAACUUUGCCACGGCAGCCCGACCACAUAUCUCCACGGUUUUACCUCUAGAUCGCGUUUUGCGGAGCUCGGGCGGAGCCCUGCUGAGACGAGAUCAUCACCAACCUCCGGAGCGCCGUCACGCUGCCGGAGAACUCUUCUACCUCUCCGUCUCUCUUGCUGGAUCAAGAAGGCCGAGAUCAUGGCCGAGCUGUACGUGUGCUGAACGCGGAGGUGCCGUCCGUUCGGCACUAGAUCGUGGGACUGAUCGCGGGAUAGUUCGCGGGGCGGAUCGAGGGACGUGAGGACGUUCCACUACAUCAACCGCGUUCACUAACGCUUCUGCUGUACGGUCUACAAAGAUACGUAGAUCACACAUCCCCUCUCGUAGAUGGACAUCACCAUGAUAGGUCUUCGUCCGCGUAGGAAAAUUUUUGUAGAACACAAAAGUUUUUGUGGCAUCAUGAGCUAGGUUCAUGCAUAGAUGUCUUCUCGAGUAGAACACAAAAGUUUUUGUGGGCGGUGAUGUGCGUUUUGCUGCCCUCCUUAGUCUUUUCUUGAUUCCGUGGUAUUGUUGGAUUGAAGCGGCUCGGACCGACAUUACUCGUACGCUUACGAGAGACUGGUUUCAUCGCUACGAGUAACUCCGUUGCUCAAAGAUGACUGGCGGGUGUCAGUUUCUCCAACUUUAGUUGAAUCGGAUUUGACCGAGGAGGUCCUUUGAUGAGGUUAAAUAGCAACUCAUAUAUCUCCGUUGUGGUGUUUGCGUAAGUAAGAUGCGAUCCUACUAGAUACCCAUGGUCACCACGUAAAACAUGCAACAACAAAAUUAGAGGACGUCUAACUUGUUUUUGCAGGGUAUGCUUGUGAUGUGAUAUGGCCAACGAUGUGAUGUGAUAUAUUGGAUGUAUGAGAUGAUCAUGUUGUAAUAGAUAAUAUCGACUUGCACGUCGAUGGUACGGCAACCGGCAGGAGCCAUAGGGUUGUCUUUAUACUAACGUUUGUGCUUGCAGAUGCGUUUACUAUUUUGCUAGGAGGUAGCUUUAGUAGUAAUAGCAUGAGUAGCACGACAACCCCGAUGGCAACACGUUGAUGGAGAUCAUGGUGUGGCGCCGGUGACAAGAAGAUCAUGCCGGUGCUUUGGUGAUGGAGAUCAAGAAGCACGUGAUGAUGGCCAUAUCAUGUCACUUAUGAAUUGCAUGUGAUGUUAAUCCUUUUAUGCACCUUAUUUUGCUUAGAACGACGGUAGCAUUAUGAGGUGAUCUCUCACUAAAAUGUCAAGACGAAAUUGUGUUCUCCCCGACUGUGCACCGUUGCUACAGUUCGUCGUUUCGAGACACCACGUGAUGAUCGGGUGUGAUAGACUCAACGUUCACAUACAACGGGUGCAAAACAGUUGCGCACGCGGAACACUCGGGUUAAGCUUGACGAGCCUAGCAUGUGCAGACAUGGCCUCGGAACACAUGAGAUCGAAAGGUCGAUCAUGAAUCAUGUAGAUGAUAUGAUUAGCAUGGGGAUGCUUACCACUGGAACUAUGCUCAACUCACGUGAUGAUCGGACUUGAGCUAGUGUAAGUGGAUCAUGAACCACUCAAAUGACUAGAGAGAUGUACUUUUUGAGUGGGAGUUUAGCGAGUAAUUUGAUUAAGUUAAACUCUAAUUAUCUUGAACAUAGUCUAAGUCCACUUUGAAUAUAUUUGUACUGUAGAUCAUGGCUCACGCGACAGUCACCCUCAAUUUUGACACGUUCCUUGAGAAAGCUAAGUUGAAAGAUGAUGGAAGCAACUUUGUAGACUGGGCUCAUAAUCUUAAGCUAAUCUUACAAGCUGGGAAGAAGGAUUCUGUCCUUAAUGCCGCGCUAGGAGAUGAACCACCCGCUACGGCUGAUCAGGAUGUUAAGAACGCUUGGUUAGCACGUAAGGAGGACUACUCAGUAGUUCAAUGUGCAGUCUUGUAUGGCUUAGAACCAGGACUUCAACGUCGCUUUGAGCGUCAUGGAGCAUUUGAGAUGUUCCAAGAGUUGAAGUUUAUCUUUCAGAAGAACGCCCGGAUCGAGAGGUAUGAGACCUCCGAUAAAUUCUAUGCUUGCAAGAUGGAGGAGAACUCGUCUGUUAGUGAGCAUGUGCUCAAAAUGUCUGGGUACUCAAACCGUCUAGCUGAGCUGGGGAUUGAACUCCCGCAAGAAGCUAUCACUGACAGAAUCCUUCAAUCACUGCCGCCAAGUUAUAAAGGCUUCGUGUUGAACUACAACAUGCAAUGGAUGAACAAGUCUCCCGGCGAGUUGUUUGCGAUGCUGAAAGUCGCAGAGUCUGAACUCCGUAAAGAGCAUCAAGUGUUGAUGGUGAAUAAGACCACUAGUUUCAAGAGAAACGGCAAAGGCAAGAAGGGUAAUUCGAAGAAGAGCGGCAAGCCUGUUGCCAAUCCGACGAAGAAACCCAAAGCUGGACCUAAGCCUGAAACAGAGUGUUACUAUUGCAAGGGUAUGGGUCACUGCAAGCGCAAUUGCCCCAAGUAUCUGGCUGAUAAGAAGGCGGCCAAAGAAAAAUUAGGUAUAUUUGAUAUACAUGUUAUUGAUGUGUACUUAACCGGCUCUCGUAGUAGUGCCUGGGUAUUCGAUACCGGUUCUGUUGCUCAUAUUUUCAACUCAAAACAGGAACUGCGGAAUAGACGAAGGCUGGCGAAAGAUGAAGUGACGAUGCACGUAGGAAAUGGUUCCAAGGUUGAUGCAAUCGCCGUCGGCACAGUUUCACUUCAGUUACCAUCAGAAUUAGUUAUGAACUUGAAUCAUUGUUAUUUAGUGCCCGCGUUGAGCAUGAACAUUAUAUUUGGAUCUUGUUUAUUGCGAGACGGUUACUCUUUUAAGUCAGAGAAUAAUGGUUGUUCUAUUUCUAUGAGUAACAUCUUUUAUGGUCAUGCACCCAAUAUGAGAGGAUUGUUCAUAUUGAAUCUUGAUAGUGAUACACACAUACAUAACAUUGAGACCAAAACAGUUAGAGUUAACAAUGAUAGCGCCAUAUUUUUGUGCCACUGCCGCUUAGGUCAUAUUGGUGUAAAGCGCAUGAAGAAACUCCAUGCCGAUGGACUUUUGGAGUCACUUGACUUUGAUUCACUUGACACGUGCGAACCAUGCCUCAUGGGCAAGAUGACUAAAACUCCGUUCUCCGGAACAAUGGAGCGUGCAAGUGACUUGUUGGAAAUCAUACAUACCGAUGUGUGUGGUCCGAUGAGCGUAGAGGCACGCGGCGGAUAUCGUUAUUUUCUCACCUUCACUGACGAUUUGAGUAGAUAUGGUUAUGUCUACUUAAUGAAGCACAAGUCUGAAACAUUUGAAAAGUUCAAGCAAUUUCAGAGUGAAGUUGAAAAUCAUCAUAACAAGAAGAUCAAGUUCCUACGGUCUGAUCGUGGGGGUGAAUAUCUGAGUUUCGAGUUUGGUGCUCACUUAAGACAAUGUGGAAUUGUUUCACGAUUGACACCGCAUGGAACACCACAGCGUAAUGGUGUGUCCGAACGUCGUAAUCGUACUUUAUUAGAGAUGGUGCGAUCUAUGAUGUCUCUUACCGAUUUGCCAUUAUCAUUUUGGGGUUAUGCAUUAGAAACAGCUGCAUUCACUUUAAAUAGGGCACCGUCAAAAUCCGUUGAGACGACACCAUACGAACUGUGGUAUGGCAAAAGGCCAAAGUUGUCGUUCCUUAAAGUUUGGGGAUGUGAUGCUUAUGUCAAAAAGCUUCAGCCUGAAAAGCUGGAACCCAAAGCGGAAAAGUGCAUCUUCAUAGGUUACCCAAAAGAGACGGUUGGGUACACCUUCUAUCUCAAAUCCGAGGGCAAAGUGUUUGUUGCUAAAAACGGAGCUUUUCUCGAGAAGGAGUUUCUCUCAAGAGAAUUGAGUGGGAGGAAGAUAGAACUUGACGAGGUUGUCGAACCUCUCAUCCCUCUGGAUGGUGGCGCAGGGCAAGGGGAAACCUCUGUCGUUGCAACGCCAGUUGAGGAGGAAGUUAAUGAUGAUGAUCAUGAAACUCCGGUUCAAGUUUCUGUCGAACCACGCAGGUCGACGAGACCACGUGCUGCUCCAGAGUGGUAUGGUAAUCCCGUCUUAUCAAUCAUGUUGUUAGACAACAAUGAACCUGCAAAUUAUGAAGAAGCAAUGGUGGGCCUAGAUUCCAACAAAUGGCUAGAAACCAUGAAGUCCGAGAUAGGAUCCAUAUAUGAGAACAAAGUGUGGACUUUGGAAGUACUGCCUGAGGGCCGCAAGGCUAUUCAGAACAAAUGGAUCUUUAAGAGGAAGACGGACGCUGGCGGCAAUGUGACCGUUUAUAAAGCUCGACUUGUGGCAAAGUGUUUUUUACAAGUUCAAGGAGUUGACUACGAUGAGACAUUUUCACCCGUAGCGAUGCUUAAGUCCGUCAGAAUCAUGUUAGCAAUAGCUGCAUUUUUCGAUUAUGAAAUCUGGCAGAUGGAUGUCAAAACGGCGUUCCUUAACGGUUUCCUUAAGGAAGAGUUGUAUAUGAUGCAACCCGAAGGUUUUGUCGAUCCUAAGAAUGCUAACAAGGUGUGCAAGCUCCAGCGAUCCAUUUAUGGACUGGUGGAAGCAUCUCGGAGUUGGAACAAACGCUUUGAUGAGGUGAUCAAAGCAUUUGGGUUUAUACAAGUGGUUGGAGAAUCUUGUAUUUACAAGAAAGUGAGUGGGAGCUUUGUGGCGUUUCUAAUAUUAUAUGUGGAUGACAUAUUGCUGAUUGGAAACAACGUAGAGUUUUUGGAGAGCAUAAAGGAUUACUUGAAUAAAAGUUUCUCUAUGAAGGACCUAGGAGAAGCUGCUUACAUUCUAGGUAUUAAGAUCUACAGGGAUAGAUCAAAACGCCUGAUAGGACUUUCACAAAGCACAUACCUUGAUAAAGUUUUGAAGAGGUUCAAAAUGGAACAGUCCAAGAAAGGGUUCUUGCCAGUUUUACAAGGUACGAGAUUGAGUAAGACUCAGUGCCCAGCAACUGAUGAAGAUAGCGAGCAUAUGCGCUCCGUCCCCUAUGCUUCAGCCAUAGGUUCUAUCAUGUAUGCAAUGCUGUGCACUAGACCGGACGUUAUCCUGGCCAUAAGUAUGGCAGGUAGGUUCCAGAGUAAUCCAGGAGUGGAUCACUGGACGGCGGUCAAGAAUAUCCUAAAGUACCUGAAAAGGACUAAGGAGAUGUUUCUCAUGUAUGGAGGUGACGAAGAGCUCGCCGUAAAAGGUUACGUCGAUGCAAGCUUUGACACAGAUCCGGACAACUCUAAGUCGCAAACCGGAUACGUAUUUAUUCUUAAUGGGGGUGCGGUAAGCUGGUGCAGUUCCAAGCAGAGCGUUAUAGCAGAUUCUACAUGUGAAGCGGAGUACAUGGCUGCCUCGGAGGCGGCUAAGGAGGGUGUCUGGAUGAAGCAGUUCAUGACGGAUCUUGGAGUGGUGCCAAGCGCACUGAAUCCAAUAACCUUGUUCUAUGACAACACGGGUGCCAUUGCCCUAGCAAAGGAACCACGUUUUCACAAGAAGUCCAGAUACAUCAAACGACGCUUCAACCUCAUCCGCGACUACGUCGAAGGGGAGGACGUAAAUAUAUGCAAAGUGCACACGGAUCUGAAUGUAGCAGACCCGCUGACUAAACCUCUUCCACGGGCAAAGCAUGAUCAACACCAGAACUGUAUGGGUGUUAGAUUUAUUGCAAUGUAAUUCGCAUGAUGAUGUGAGGGCUAGAUUAUUGACUCUAGUGCAAGUGGGAGACCGUUGGAAUUAUGCCCUAGAGGCAAUAAUAAAUAUAGUUAUUACUAUAAUUCCUGUAUCAAGAUAAUCGUUUAUUAUCCAUGCUAUAAUUGUAUUGAAUGAAGACUUAUAUACAUGUGUGGAUACAUAGACAAAACACUGUCCCUAGCAAGCCUCUAGUUGGCUAGCUAGUUGAUCAACGAUGGUCAGUGUCUUCUGAUUAUGAACAAGGUGUUGUUGCUUGAUAACUGGAUCACGUCAUUAGGAGAAUCACGUGAUGGACUAGACCCAAACUAAUAGACGUAACAUGUUGAUCGCGUCAUUUUAUUGCUACUGUUUUCUGCGUGUCAAGUAUUUGUUCCUAUGACCAUGAGAUCAUAUAACUCACUAACACUGGAGGAAUACUUUGUGUGUAUCAAACGUCGCAACGUAACUGGGUGACUAUAAAGAUGCUCUACAGGUAUCUCCGAAGGUGUUCGUUGAGUUAGUAUGGAUCGAGACUGGGAUUUGUCACUCCCUGUGACGGAGAGGUAUCUCGGGGCCCACUCGGUAAUACAACAUCACACACAAGCCUUGCAAGCAAUGUGACUUAGUGUAAGUUGUGGGAUCUUGUAUUACGGAACGAGUAAAGAGACUUGCCGGUAAACGAGAUUGAAAUAGGUAUUCGGAUACUGACGAUCGAAUCUCGGGCAAGUAACAUACCGAAGGACAAAGGGAAUGACAUACGGGAUUAUAUGAAUCCUUGGCACUAAGGUUCAAACGAUAAGAUCUUCGUAGAAUAUGUAGGAUCCAAUAUGGGCAUCCAGGUCCCACUAUUGGAUAUUGACCGAGGAGUCUCUCGGGUCAUGUCGACAUAGUUCUCGAACCCGCAGGGUGUGCACACUUAAGGUUCGACGUUGUUUUAUGCGUAUUUGAGUUAUAUGGUUGGUUACCGAAUGUUGUUCGGAGUCCCGGAUGAGAUCACGGACGUCACGAGGGUUUUCAAAAUGGUCCGGAAACGAAGAUUGAUAUAUAGGAUGACCUCAUUUUAUUACCGGAAGGUUGUCGGAGUUACCGGGAAUGUACCGGGAAUGACGAAUGGGUUUCUGGAGUUCACCGGGGGCGGCAACCCACCCCAGGGGAAGCCCAUAGGCAUUGAGGGUGGCGCACCAGCCCUUAGUGGGCUGGUGGAACAGCCCAAAAGAGCCCUAUGCGCAUUGGAAUAAAAAUCAAAGAGAAAAGAAAAAAAAGAAGGAGGUGGGAAAGGGAAGAAGGACUCCACCUUCCAAACUAAGUAGGACUCGGUUUGGGGGGGGAGACCUUCCCCCUUGGCUCGGCCAAAGCCCUUAGGGGUCCUUGGACCCCAAGGCAAAGCUUCCCCUCUCCCUCCUAUAUAUAGUGGGGUUUUAGGGAUGAUUUGAUACAACUUUGCCACGGCAGCCCGACCACAUAUCUCCACGGUUUUACCUCUAGAUCGCGUUUUUGCGGAGCUCGGGCGGAGCCCUGCUGAGACGAGAUCAUCACCAACCUCCGGAGCAGCGUCACGCUGCCGGAGAACUCUUCUACCUCUCCGUCUCUCUUGCUGGAUCAAGAAGGCCGAGAUCAUCGUCGAGCUGUACGUGUGCUGAACGCGGAGGUGCCGUCCGUUCGACACUAGAUCGUGGGACUGAUCGCGGGAUAGUUCGCAGGGCGGAUCGAGGGACGUGAGGACGUUCCACUACAACAACCAUGUUCACUAACGCUUCUGCUGUACGGUCUACAAGGGUACGUAGAUCACACAUCCCCUCUCGUAGAUGGACAUCACCAUGAUAGGUCUUCGUGCGCGUAGAAAUUUUUUUGUUUCCCAUGCGACGUUCCCCAACAGCAACUUCUUGCCGUACCUAGACCAUGUUGUCAGCCGGAGGUGCUGGGUGCACAUCAGUGAUGACGAAACGCUCAUGACGUCUGGUGAUGGGGACCGCAGGCAUGGUGUAGGUCCGAGGCAGCCGGUCCGGACCUCCGUCGAUGAUGUUGUGGCCAGGCAGGAGGAAGAACUCAGGAUCAAGCUUGAAGUUCGCCAUUGCGGGAGGCGGUGGCGGAGUGGCAGGCAGCGUCUCGAAGGGAGUUCGAAGAUGCGACGGCGACGAGACAGGACGGAACUGUGCUGCAGGCGUUGCGGUUUCACCAAGAGUAUCAGCAGUUCCCGAGAUUUCAGCGACAGGGGAGGUGUUGGGUCUCUUACAGUUCCAAGUAAGACAAUUAUUACACAUGAAAGAGGCUCCUCUAGAUCGUGCGUGGCCCACAGUGCUGUCAGCGAAUCCAGGCGAAGCCGUACAGUUGGCAGCUAGAUGGCCCCGAGCGUUGCAAAUUGAGCAAGAAAAGAUAUCCUCGACCAUGCCAUUAAUGAGUUCAUCAAAGGCCAGAUGGGCUUCCUGUGAGGAGGGAAUAUGCAUCCUAGGAUUAGGCUCGGGCCGAGAGAAGGAGGUAACCUCAGCAGGCUCAUUAAUGAGCGUGGAAAUCAGCCCAUAAUCCAAACUUCCCACCGAAAAGUGAUUCUCAUAAUUCAAAAUACCAUGAAUCUCGGCGGAAUCAGCUGCAACACCUUGUUGUACGGGAGAGGUUCCGUUUAAUUUGGCAAUUUGAAACUCAUCGCCGGGAGAUCCGGGGGAUGAAUCUUGGCGAGAAACUGUGCCAAACGUAAUAUGCAGUGUGGCUGUCGUCCACCGGAGUUCUGCCGGCGGUGGGGCCGAGAUGAUGACACGUUCAGGAGAAGGCACCGAAUAACCAGUCUGUUCAAGCGUGAGUAGCUCGUCGUGGGAAACAGGACAUCUGUAACCCUUGCAAACUUCAUAUUGCUGGAGGGAUGCGAAUGUGAGCUUCUUACGAACAAAUGAUCCAGAUUUAAGAGAGGAUUUUAGGGGUCUGGAAUGCCUCGCCAUCAGACCUAAUGAGGCUCUCCUCUUGGAAGGACUCACAAUAAUCCAUUCAGCAUCACAUUGCUUCUUCCACAGAGCAAAUUCCCGACGCCAAUUAGGACCACCAUGUCCCCAUAGAUGGAAAAAGCACUUAAAACUUGAGCAUUUGAACGAGCGUAAAUCCAGAAUAUGAAAACCGACUUGCAUGCAGGACACUUUGAAGGAGAAAACCGAGUCUGUCACUUGAGAGACACGAAAAUCAAUAGCCGAUCACCCAAUCACAGAUUACAGAGUUGCGGCGGCUGUAUCCGUCGAGAGACGGAACACAUGAUGACCAAAAGAAACCACCAUAAUGAAAGAGCGGUGGUGCUUCAUAGGGUGCACCGUAACACCAGAAUGACGAUAAACCUCGUCAGAGAAAGCCGAACCAUGCGAAAAAUCCAGAUCCAACGUAGAACCACCCAUGCAAGCCAUGCACGACCACGUGAGGAGGGUCGGGAGGGUUCACGUGAGAAGAGGAGCGGCAAGGAGGGAGGAUACGCCGGCUAGAGUGCCAGAUCGCCAUUGGGUCGCCGCGGUGGGAGGUGGGAGGUGGGAGUCGCACAUCUCCAUUGUGGUUUUUAAGGCAUUUAUUAUACAUGUUAUUUACUAAAUAAAUAUUUAUGUGUUCAACUAUAGCAAUUGUAAAAUAUGAAAAAAGCAUGGAAAGAGAGAAGCAAAAGAGAUAAACCAGAUGACUCCAAAUAAAGUUUCCCGAAUUUAUUCUUCUUCUUAGGAUAAGAAAAAUGAAGUAAGAAUAAAUCAUGUUGCGAGCAGAAUAGAGCUGAAAAGGAAGCAUACUCUAAGUUUCUCUAGGGAUGAAAGCACUAGUAAAAUUGAAGAAGGUAUAUAAAAUAGAAUAUGGUUCAUUGUGAUGUUUCGUUCGACAACAAGAAAUUGUGAAAGCUCAAAAUUCCUCUAAGAUUGAAGAUUUUCCAUGCAUGUUUUCACAUAGGGGUCAUCUUGAAUAGAGAUAAUCUGGCAUGAUGUAAUGGGCAAGGUAGCAAGACAUGUGUCUUUUGCGUGAUGCAUCGAUUAAACACUUACUUUUCAGUAUAAAUUCGCUUGUGCAGUCUAGCCAUAGAAAGUAGUUUCAAAUCUAUACGCCCACGUUGAGUAUGUAACAUGUUUGACAAUUGUUUUUGGGGGUAUUGAUCAACAAUUUGAUGCACAUAUUCUUGUGGGGCGGCUGCCUUAUGCUGGGCACUGUGGCUUACCUGAAAUGAUGUGGUUUUUAACAAUGAAUAUAUUUCAUCUCCUGUGCAGGUUAUUCAUGCAUAUACGUGAUUGCUCCGUACUUGGCCUAUCUUGCAGAGUCCAUAGAGCAAAGACCUUUUUAUGAUGGCGUCGGCAUGCCUGGAAUAUACAGCUAGGAAUGUUUUCUCUUUCCAUGAAUGGCGGUGUAAUAUCCGGAUGGGAAUUGCCGCACCAUAGUUUGGAUUUAUUUAUCUUUUCCGUAAAUCGAUGCUUAUUUCUAUGUUUGUUGGACUUGUUGGAUGUGUGCAACUUGCUGUGUCGAGGCCGGUCAUUCUUUCGACGCGGUUGUAUCACUUCGAUAUAUCAAUUGAAUGAAAUGUCCUUUAUCAAGAAAAUGGAACCAUGAGGAUGAAGUUAUUCUGGAAGCAACAUGGCAUGGAUAUUAAUUUUGAUACGUGUAUCAUACAAUGGGAGGUACGUGUGAAGAAUAUGGUGGUGACGACACAAGGUUUGUUCUACGAGGAUCCAUCCAUCAAGGCAUUCCAAAAGUAGUUGUUUUGAAAUUUCAAAACAUUACUUUUUGAUUUUUUAAGCAAAGAGCUCGAGUAUGCUAGGGCUCCCAUAGGACUUUCCGAAUCUUUCAACUACUAUAUUGGUCUACCAACUAAUCAAUAAACCGAUCCACAACGAAGCCAAGAAAUGAUGACAAUAGAUGGAUCCAAUACAAGUGUUGUGUCAUCAGAAAUUACAACACAUAUAGAAAACCAAUCAAAGCUAGGAACGAUAGAAAAAUGAAAUUAAGGAGGGAUUUCACACACACACACUCUCUCUCUCUCACUCUCUCACACACACAUACACAUACGCGCACGCACGCGCGCGCGCACACACACACACACAUGUUGGUGACAUCAGUCUACCCAGAAUGAAAUGAGUUCUUGGCCAGCCGAGACCUAGCAGUAUGUUUUAGUUGUUUAUUUAUGCAACACGAUUCUAUGUGUUAUUAUAUCGAUGAGUCUUGUUGUAUGCCGGAGGUUUCACGGGAUGAGGCAUUGCAUAUGAAAAUGGUUCUUGGCAGUCAUUUUGAGGGCAUGUGGAACCUAUCAAUAGAAGGGUCACUCUUUGGAGAUCCAUGUGAACUCAUGAGGCUUGGUAAGAUUACCGUCUUAUUAAUUGUUUUUACUUUACUUUUUAGGUGCUAACAGGAGCACUGCUUGCGAGUACCUCUUUGCUAAUUGUAUAAACUGAAAAUGGACCAAACAUCUUUUAGCCAUGAAGUUCUAGUUGUCAAUCGUAGCAUGGAUAUCUCUCCCUUAAGAUCCAUCUAGAUAUUUAAUUUACCGAGGAUGCCAAUUUUAAUUGUUCAAAUUGAACAUUGUAUUAUCUAAUCAGCUUGAAUUUCUAUGUAGUUCGAUGAAACUGAUUCUAAUAUUCAAAUCAUUGGUAGACAUGGAGAUUCAAUGCAUAAAUUCAUAUAUACUUCUUGAGAGUCCAUUGCUAAUCAGCUUAUGAUAUUACAUGUAUUCAUAUUAAAUUGUUUUAAUUGCUGGACACACGGAAUCGGAAACACGGAAUCGGAAAGACGUAAAUAGAAAUACGGAACCGGAAACACGUAAACGAAAACCCUGAAAAUACGGAACACGGAAACACCGAAAUACGGAAUCGGAAACCCUGAAAAGAAAAGGAAAAAAAAAGAAAAAAAAGCAUUAGGACCGGUUGGUGUUACCAACCGGUCCUAAAGGUCUUCCGCCUGCGCGCACUUUUCGGCGCCCACGUGAAGGCCUUUAGCACCGGUUUGUAAGAGACCGGUGCUAAAGUGGGGGGCCUUUAGUCCCGGAUACGUAGCACCGGAUGUGUAUCCGGGUCCAAAGGCCCUUACCAACCGGUUCUAAUACCCCUUUCUCCACUAGUGGUUGCACUUUUUUUUUACUUUGUAUCCUGACAUUUCAAGGGCAUGGUAAGGCAAUACCAGCUUCUCGUUUUCUUUUGGAAUAUAUGGUAUGGUUACCUCAUGCCUGGCCGGGUAUCCUAUCGUAGGGAUGAUUUGGCUUAUCAGUCCAUUUGCUAUCAUUUGUGUAUUCACAGUUGCUAACAUGCACAUAAUCAAAUGUUUCGGUUUGCUAGCUUCCAAUAUGUUGUCGGUAGAUAAUUUUGAUGCAUUACUAUUUCAUGGUAGAAUACAUGUUCAUUAUUGGCAAGAAUGCAGAUAUAAUGUAUCUGGUUUGUGAUUUGUUAUGUUGAAACUAAAAUAUAUUCCUCCGAAAUCUGCAGGUUCUGGUAAUUCUUGUGAGGGGAGGAGAAGAUGAUAUGGGUCGGCGUUGAGGACGACUAGGAAAACUCGUGUGGCUGUGGUAAUUUUGGUAUUUGAGGUUUUGGACUAUUCAGGGUCGGAAUUAUUAUCUUCUCCCAAGCAGAACUUAUAAUAGUCACUAGUGGGCACAACUAGUGGGCACAGGGCCUAUAGCCCCGGCUCGUAAGGGGCUUUAGUCCCGGUUCACCAAUCGGGACUAAAGGGGCGGGACUAAAGGCCUAACCUUUUCGUCCCGGCCCUCUUACACGCCGGGACUAAAGGUGCUCCACGUGGGCGCCUCGUAGCGCCCCAGGGGCAGGACCUUUAGUCCCGGUUUGUUACACAUGCCGGUACUAAAGAGUUUCAGAUUUUGAUUAUUUUUGGAUUUUUUUUUGAAUGAAAUUAUUUUUGGGUUUUAGAGUUUUAGGGUUUAGGUGUUCGGGAGAUUAACGUGAUGCCUCGUUUGGUGUUCGGGAAUUAGUUUUCAUAUAAUUUAAAUAGAAAUAGUUAUGCAUAUAUAUAUAAGAUUAACUUAUCUUACAAGCGAGCAUAUAUAUACAAUUAUAUGGAGAUCUGAAUUAUCGGGACUAGAGCCCGUCUAUUCGAUUACAUGGACGAACAUCAGUAAUGGCCCCUAGCUACACUAAAUCGUCCUUUGUCAUCUAUAGCUUCCGUCCUCAGAAAGGUCGCAAGCUCCUCUGCAACAGCAAUCGCGCGUUGCUCUGGUAGGACCUUCGUCGUCAUGGCCGUGUGCUAUAUAAGAAGAGGAGAUGAAUAUGAAUAUCAAUCAUGAUAACAAAGAAUGACGGGUAAAAAUAGAGGUGUGAAUGUUCAUUGCUUACGUCGAAUCUGUGAUCCUUGUGCUCAGAGGUAAAUGUGCGAAUGGUCUCGCAAACAUAGUAUCCGCAUAGAUGCGUUUCCCGUGGCUGCUGGUCGCACUUUACGAGAAUAGAAUAUAUAUAAUCAAUAUAAUAAUCUAGCAUCAUAAAUGUAUUAAAAAUUAAUAGAAGUAUAUCAUACUACUACUUACCUGAGCCGUUCUAAAGGUCAGCUUCUCAUGAAAGUUACCGGGAGUCACGCACUUGAACCGCUUCCAAACCCUGCCCGACAAGGAUAAUGAUUUGCUAAGUUUUUCAUUAAUUGAUAUAUCAGAAAAUCAUCGAAAGAGACCGAUAGAGCGCAAGAAUGAUUAAAAUUACCCUUGGAGCAUGUCCUGCAGGCUUUGGAACUGUUUCAAGGGUCUCGAUAAUGAGUCGAAGGCAUCAACUCUUCCCUUAUCAAUUUGAAUGUCCAACAGAAUCCAAUGGAAGCUGCACAUGUAUAUAUAUAAAUAUAUAUAUAUGUGUCAGUAACUUAUCAAUUACACUUAUAAGUGAAUGGACACAACAGAGUAAAGACCCUCACCUGAAAUUGUAUGGAAACAGUAUGCGGUCACAGAAAUUUUGAUCUAUUAGAAACCUUAGAAGGUUUUCCUCCGUCUCCUUCGGAUAAUUAGUUAGCAUAGCUAUAUGUAUUUUAUCUGGGUCAAUAAACCCAAUAUUUAGGAUGCUAUUACUUUUACAAUACAGAAUCUUCAUUCUGCAUAAUAGAGUACAAGUUAUAUAUAGACAAUGAAUUGAAAUAACUAAACAAGUUAUAUGUAGACAACGAAUUGAAAAACUUACAGACAAUAGCAACUCAUAAGCGAUUUGUCGAGGGCGUCGCCAUUGUACAUCUGGAAGAGUUCAUCAAAGUCGAUAUGGAUUUGUUCAGGGCGGCCGUAGUACUCCUGUGGGACACUCAGCACGAUCGUCGUUCUCCCAUUCUUUGAUUCACUUAAGUACCAUUGAUGCAAGUAACACAUAUUUGUUGGGAGAUCAUCUGUGCUGACCAAAGGCUCACCCAUGACAAACUAUGGCUUAGGGGCUACCACAGCCUUGGGUAUCUUGUCGUCUUGGGAAGACAGCAAUUCUUCAACCGAGACACCACAUGCAGCCGCCAACUCCUUUGCACUUUCUAAAGCUAGCCCCUGCACCGAAAGGGGAACAUUCUCGGUUAACACCUUGAGGGGUGGGAUCGCCUGUUUGGCCUGUUGUCCAAGCCGAGGAACGUCUGAUUUUUUCUUGCUUGUAGUUGAACUUGAUUUGCUCCCACUUGCACUUGCACGUGAUAUGCUCUUUUUCACUUCCUUCUGUAAUGUGCGUGUAUAGUCAUCAGGCUUAUGGUGUAAGUCAUAAGGUCUGAUAGGAAGAUUAGCAUGACGUACCUUUGGGAGGGGCGAUAGUUUGCGCUUUGGGGUGCUCUGUGGCUUAGGAAUCGUCGGCGGAGCGUUCUUGGUGGCACGCUCCCGCUUAGUAUCCGGAGCGGGCGGCGGCAGAGACGGACGACCCAAGUCUGGCGGCGGUGAUCGAGAUGGACUCGUGUUGUGCUGGCCGACGUCAUGUGGAGGGCUUGCACGUGAUCUGCUCUUUUUCACUUCCUUCUGCAAUGUGCGUGUAUAGUCAUCAGGCUUAUGGUGUAAGUCAUACUGUGAUGGAAGGGGGUACGAUCAUAAGGUCCGAUAGGAAUAUUAGCAUGACGUACCUUUGGGAGGGGCGACCGUUUGCGCUUUGGGGUGCUCUGUGGCUUAGGAAUCGUUGGUGGAGCGUUCUUGGUGGCACGCUCCUGCUUUGUAUCCGUAGCAGGCUCAGGCUUUGUAUCCGGAGCGGGCGGCGGCGGAGCGUUCUUGGUGGCACGCUCCCGCUUUGUAUCCCUGGCAGGCUCAGGCUUUGUAUCCGGAGCGGGCGGCGGCGGAGACGGACGACCCAAGUCCGGCGGCGGUGAUCGAGAUGGACUCGUGUUGUGCUGGCCGACGUCAUGUGGAGGGCUUGGAGGUAAUGGAGGUGUAGGUGACCUGCGACGACUCGGAGGCGGUGUUGUCCUUGGGGCCGAGCCUGGAAGCUUGAUGUAGUUCUUGUCCCAUAGGAUGACUCCACCCAGUAGUUCUCCGAGUGUCCUCUCAUCUUCAGGUCCAGCUAUGUCGGGCUCCAUAUCACUAAACCCCGUCAUGAUUUCAUCCACCCCGACUUUAGCAAACCCAGCUGGAAUCUCACGGCCAUGCCAGCGUGCAUCAGGGCCAGAAGGUAAAGCUUGUCCGACGGCCACCUUCAUGGAUAUGUUCUUGAAUUUCUGAUGGAGUUCACAUGAUGUUGACUCCUUGAUUCCAUCCACGGGGUAGCCGGGACCGCCCUCUAUCAUUCUCCGUUCAUCGUCGGGCGGGGCCUCAGAUUCAGCCAUGCUGCUUUUCCGCUUAGAUGGGGCGCCGGUAAUAUCAAGUGCAGGAUCUUCCUGGCACGGUACUCCUCUAAGCUCAUCAAUCUGCUUCUGUUGCUCGUUAAUCCUGGCAAGCAACUGGUUGGACUUGUCAUUCUCCUCAUCCUGCUGCCGCUUCUUUGCUCUCUCUCGGCUUCUGUAAGUGUCUUGGUCUCUGGCAAACCCAAGCCACCACGGGUAAGAUGGACCGAAGCCUCGCGUUCGUCCUCCAUGUUCGUCAUUGCCGAGGACAAGUGUGAGCAAAUCUUUAUCUCUAUCUGCAGUGAACUUUCUUUGUUCCUCCUUAAUUUCUUUCACUAUCCUUUUCCAAUUCUCCCUGGGUAUCCUAAGAUUGUCAUUGCAGAUGAGGUCCCCUGUUGUUUCGUCGUACGACCCACCAUGUGCAAGGAACCAAUUUCUUGCUCUCAAUUCCCAAUCAUCACGGAGUGGUUCAGGUACGACGCCUUUAAUUAUCAGAUCUUGCUCUUUCUUUUCCCACUUUGGGAUGGCAGUCUCAUAGCCCCCUGGCCCCAGCUUGUGGUGAUAUUUCUUCUUGUCGGCACUUAUCUUGUUCUUUUCUGAUAAUGCCUGGGCAUCUUCUGACUCCUUGUACUCUUGAAAUUCCUUCCAGUGAUUCGCCUGCUUGGCUAGAUACCCCUCGAAUACCGGCACUCUCUGUGUCUCCAGAUAGUUUUUCCAUAGCUUCUUCUUCCAGCUACGGAACAGUUCGGCCAUCUUCUUUAGAGUCCACUGCUUGACUUUGGCCCUCAGUUUGUCUGCGGCGUCUUCAUUCUCACAUUCUGGCAGGUUGAAAUGUGACAUGAGAUCAUUCCUAAGAUUAUCUUUGUACCUUUCGGCGACAUAGUCACUAUCGGCUGCCCCUUUGCGCUUGUUCCACUCCCGAACGCUGAUCGGGACGUGAUCCCUAACGAGAACUCCACAUUGCUUCUUGAAUGUGUCAGCAACAUUCUUAGGAAGCUUGGGUUCACCCGUAGGCAUUAUCACCUCAAAGGUGUAAUGCGUCCGUGCAUCCAACUUUCUAGUCGGGCCUCAUUUCGUAGAUAUGCUCGAUGUGGAGGCCUAAGAGGGAGAAACAGUCGUCAAAUGAAUGUAUAUGUAUACAAUAUAUAGAGCUAUCCCCAAUAUUUUUCACAUAUUACAAGUGAUUGUCGAACUUCAUAUGUAUACCUCGCCGGAAUUUAUUAUUUCUUCACCGGCUUCUCCACCGGCUUCUCCAUCAGUGGAGCUAUCACCUUCUCCGUCAUUGGACCUAUCUCCUGCCCCAUCGGCUUCAUCUUCGUGUCGCUUCACCUCCAUUCCAUAUCCGGAGUCGUUUAGAUAUGACGUCGGAGAUUCGGCUGGUUCAACGUCGGGGCCGUCUUUGAUUAUAUCUUCGAGAAGUUCAUCCUCUUCGAGGUUCAUGAUAUGUGGAUCCAUAGUUCUGCAAAAAACGGACAUUUGAUUAACUAAUAAACUAACAAACUAUAUAAGAGGGGUUGGAAACUUUGAAGGCUCGUUUUAUAUAGGAGGACCUUUAGUCCCAGGUCUUGGCUAGAACCUAAACUCUAAAAUACCAGCCGGGCGGAGCCCAGUCCUGGACACUUAAGCAUAUACAAUAGCAAAAUUAAACUAAUUCUAUUAUUUUUUUUGCUAAAAAUAAACUAUUAACACUUAAGCAUAUAAAAUAGAAAAAUUAAACUAUUAAUACUUAAGAUAUACAAUAGCAAAAUUAAGCAAUAAUCUAAGAAACACUACUAACACUUAAGCAUAUACACUAUACAAUAGCAUAUACACUUCUUCUUGUAACCCUAAACUAAUUUUUUCUCUUCUUCUAUUUCUCCUCUUCUUCUACUUCUUCUUCUACUUCUACUUCUCCUCUUCUUCAACUACUUCUCCUCUCCUCUUCUUCUAUUUUUCCUCUUCUUCUCCUCUCCUCCUCUUCUUAUUCUCCUUUUUCUUCUUUUCUUCUCCUCCUCUUCUUAUUCUCCUUUUUCUUCCUUUCUUCUCCUUUUUCUUUCUUUCUUCUCCUUUUUCUUCCUUUCUUCUCCUUUUUCUUCCUUUCUUCUCCUUUUCUUCAUUUCUUCUCCUUUUUCUUCUUUUCUUCUCCUUUUCUUCCUUUCUUCUCCUUUUUCUUCUUUUCUUCUCCUUUUUCUUCCUUUCUUCUCCUUUUUCUUAUUUUCUUCUCCUUUUUCUUCCUUUCUUCUCCUUUUCUUCUCCUUUUUCUUCUUUUCUUCUCCUUUUUCUUCCUUUCUUCUCCUUUUUCUUAUUUUCUUCUCCUUUUUCUUCCUUUCUUCUCCUUUUUCUUCUCCUUCUUCUACUUUUUCUUCUUUGCUUCUCCUUUUUCUUCUUUGCUUGUGCUGGCCGGAGUGUUGGGGAGGAGGGGGCGUGGGGCUUACCGGCCGGAGGUGUCGAUGGCGCGCGACGAGGAGGACGGCGGCGCGCGGCGAGGAGGACGGCGAUGCGCGGCGCGCGGCGAGCAGGACGACGGCGACGGCGAGGAGGACGGCACGCGGUGGCGAGCAGGACGGCGGGCAGCCUGACGGCGUCGUCGAGUUCGUCGCUUGCCGCGCCGGGCAGGAGAACGUGAGGAAGAAGAAGAGAAAUGGACGAUUUGGGUUCGAAAUUUUCUAACUCCCGCUUAUACAGGUGGAUCUUUAGUCCCGGUUCGGGGCUCGAUCCGGGACUANNNNNNNNNNNNNNNNNNNNNNNNNNNNNNNNNNNNNNNNNNNNNNNNNNNNNNNNNNNNNNNNNNNNNNNNNNNNNNNNNNNNNNNNNNNNNNNNNNNNUCUUCUUGUCACCGGCGUCACACCAUGAUCUCCAUCAUCAUGAUCUCCAUCAACGUGUCGCCAUCGGGGUUGUCGUGCUAAUCAUGCUAUUACUACUAAAAAUACAUGCUAGCAAAAUAGUAAACGCAUCUGCAAGCACAAACGUUAGUUUAAAGACAAGCCUAUGGCUCCUGCCGGUUGUCGUACCAUCGACGUGCAAGUCGAUAUUAACUAUUACAACAUGAUCAUCUCAUACAUCCAAUAUAUCACAUCACAUCGUUGGCCAUAUCACAUCACAAGCAUACCCUGCAAAAACAAGUUAGACGUCCUCUAAUUUUGUUGUUGCAAGUUUUACGUGGUGACCAUGGGUAUCUAGUAGGAUCGCAUCUUACUUACGCAAACACCACAACGGAGAUAUAUGAGUUGCUAUUUAACCUCAUCCAAGGACCUCCUCGGUCAAUUCCGAUUCAACUAAAGUUGGAGAAACUGACACUUGCCAGUCAUCUUUGAGCAACGGGGUUACUCGUAGCCAUGAAACCAGUCUCUCGUAAGCGUACGAGUAAUGUCGGUCCAAGCCGCUUGAAUCCAACAAUACCGCGCAAUCAAGAAAAGACUAAGGAGGGCAGCAAAACGCACAUCACCGCCCACAAAAACUUUUGUGUUCUACUCAAGAUUACAUCUACGCAUGAACCUAGCUCAUGAUGCCACUGUUGGGGAACGUCGCAUGGGAAACAAAAAUUUUCCUACGCGCACGAAGACCUAUCAUGGUGAUGUCCAUCUACGAGAGGGGAUGAGUGAUCUACGUACCCUUGUGGAUCGUACAGCAGAAGCGUUAGUGAACGCGGUUGAUGUAGUGGAACGUCCUCACGUCCCUCGAUCCGCCCCGCGAACAAUCCCGCGAUCAGUCCCACGAUCUAGUACCGAACGGACGGCACCUCCGCGUUCAGCACACGUACAGCUCGACGAUGAUCUCGGCCUUCUUGAUCCAGCAAGAGAGACGAAGAGUUCUCCGGCAGCGUGACGGCGNNNNNNNNNNNNNNNNNNNNNNNNNNNNNNNNNNNNNNNNNNNNNNNNNNNNNNNNNNNNNNNNNNNNNNNNNNNNNNNNNNNNNNNNNNNNNNNNNNNNAAAUCAGGUGAGUACAAAGAUCCAUCAGCAUGGAGCCUCUUCAUGCAGUUUAUACUAUCAUGACUCAAGCGGCAGUGCCACAAGUAAGUGGUACUAUCAUCAUUAACUCGUAUCUUUUGGCACCAAUAUCAUGAACAUGUGUAACACUAUGAUCGAGAUUCAAUAAACCAUUGAAGGUGAUUAUUCAAGCAAAUAGAGUAAGCAUUAUUCUCUUUGAAUGAAUAAUCGUAUUGCAAUAAACACGAUCCAAUCAUGUUCAUGCUUAACGCAAGCACCAAAUAACGAUUAUUUAGGUUUAACACCAAUCCCGAUGGUAGAGGGAGCGUGUGACGUUUGAUCAUAUCAACCUUUGGAAACACUUCCAACACGUAUCGUCACCUCGCCUUUAGCUAGUCUCCGUUUAUGCCGUAGCUUACAUUUCGUGUUACUAAUCACUUAGCAACCGAACCGGUAUCCAAUACCCUCAUGCUACUAGGAGUACUAGUAAAGUACACAUCAACAUCAUGUAUAUCAAAUACACUUCUUUCGACUUUUGCCAGCCUUCUUAUCUACCAAGUAUCUAGAGUUGCUCCGCCUCAGUGACUGUUCCCCUCAUUACAGAAGCACUUAGUCUCGGGUUCGGGUUUAAUCUUGGGUCUCUUCAUUAGCGCAGCAACUGUUUUGCCGUUUCACGAAGUAUCCCUUCUAGCCCUCGCCUUUCUUGAAACUUAGUGGUUUUACCAACCAUCAACUAUUGAUGCUCCUUCUUGAUUUCUACUUUCGCAGUGUCAAACAUCGCGAAUCGCUCAAGGAUCAUUGUAUCUAUCCUUGAUAUGUUAUAGUUCAUCACGAAGCUCUCACAGCUUGGUGGCAGUGACUUUGGAGAACCAUCACUAUCUCAUCUGGAAGAUUAACUCCCACUUGAUUCAAGUGAUUGUCGUACUCAGAUAAUCUGAGCACACGCUCAACGAUUGAGCCUUUCUCCUUUACUUUGUGGACAAAGAAUCUUGUUGGAGGUCUUGUACCUCUUAACAAGGGCACAAGCAUGAAAUCACAAUUUCAUCUCUUUAGAACAUCACUUAUGUUCCCCGACGUUUCAAAACGUUUUCGGUGCCUUGGUUCUAAGCCAUUAAGUAUUUUGCACUGAACUAUCGUGUAGUCAUCAGAAACGUAUAUGUCGGAUGUUCACAGCAUCCACAGAUGACGCUCGAGGUGCAGCAUACCGAGUGGUGCAUUAAGGACAUAAGCCUUCUGCGCAGCAACGAGGACAAUCCUCGGUUUUACAGACUUAGUCUGCAAAGUUUGCUACUAUCAAUUUUCAACUAAAUUUUCUCUAGGAACAUAUAAAAACAGUAGAGCUAUAGUGCAAGCUACAUCGUAAUUCGCAAAGACCAUUAGACUAUGUUCAUGACAAUUAGUUCAAUUAAUCAUAUUACUUAAGAACUCCCACUCAAAAAGUACAUCUCUCUAGUCAUUUGAGUGGUACAUGAUCCAAAUCCACUAUCUCAAGUCCGAUCAUCACGUGAGUCGAGAAUAGUUUCAGUGGUAAGCAUCUCUAUGCUAAUCAUAUCAACUAUACGAUUCAUGCUCGACCUUUCGGCCUCAUGUGUUCCGAGGCCAUGUCUGCACAUGCUAGGCUCGUCAAGCUUAACCCGAGUGUUCCGCGUGCGCAACUGUUUUGCACCCGUUGUAUGUGAACGUUGAGUCUAUCACACCCGAUCAUCACGUGGUGUCUCGAAACGACGAACUAUAGCAACGGUGCACAGUCGGGGAGAACACAAUUUCGUCUUGAAAUUUUAGUGAGAGAUCACCUCAUAAUGCUACCGUCGUUCUAAGCAAAAUAAGGUGCAUAAAAGGAUUAACAUCACAUGCAAUUCAUAAGUGACAUGAUAUGGCCAUCAUCACGCGCUUCUUGAUCUCCAUCACCAAAGCACCGGCACGAUCUUCUUGUCACCGGCGUCACACCAUGAUCUCCAUCAUCAUGAUCUCCAUCAACGUGUCGCCAUCGGGGUUGUCGUGCUAAUCAUGCUAUUACUACUAAAAAUACAUGCUAGCAAAAUAGUAAACGCAUCUGCAAGCACAAACGUUAGUUUAAAGACAAGCCUAUGGCUCCUGCCGGUUGUCGUACCAUCGACGUGCAAGUCGAUAUUAACUAUUACAACAUGAUCAUCUCAUACAUCCAAUAUAUCACAUCACAUCGUUGGCCAUAUCACAUCACAAGCAUACCCUGCAAAAACAAGUUAGACGUCCUCUAAUUUUGUUGUUGCAAGUUUUACGUGGUGACCAUGGGUAUCUAGUAGGAUCGCAUCUUACNNNNNNNNNNNNNNNNNNNNNNNNNNNNNNNNNNNNNNNNNNNNNNNNNNNNNNNNNNNNNNNNNNNNNNNNNNNNNNNNNNNNNNNNNNNNNNNNNNNNAGGAGCUCCUCCUACUCCUUCUUCUUCCUCCUUCUCCUUCUCCUUCUUCUUCUCCUUCUCCUUCUUCUUUUCUUCUUCUUCUCCUCUUCCUUCUUCUUCUCCUCCUCCUCCUCCUCCUUAUUUUACUUCUUCUUCUCUAUCUCUUCUUCUACGUAGCUUAGACUUAUCCAAGAAAGGCUAAAUUGGCUAAUUAUCCUACGAAAUGACAUAAUUAGCUUAGUUAGCUCCAAAAUGGCCUAUUUAAUAAAAAAUGACCUAUACUUAGCUAAUUAUCCUCGAAAUGACAUAAUUAGCUCCAAAAAGGCAUUCUUAGCCAAUUUAGCCCGAAGAAGGGGACAAGAAGAGAAAAAGAGGAAAAUGAAAGGAAGGAAGAGGAAAAAGGAGAAGAAGAAGGAGGAGAGGGAGGAGGAGAAGAAGAAGGAGAAGAAGGAGGAGAAGGAGAAGGAGCUCCUCCUUCCCCUUCUUCUUCCUCCUUCUUCCUCCUUCUCCUUCUCCUUCUUCUUCUCCUUCUCCUUCUUCUUUUCUUCUUCUUCUCCUCUUCCUUAUUCUUCUCCUCCUCCUCCUCCUCCUCCUUAUUUUACUUCUUCUUCUCUAUCUCUUCUUCUACGUAGCUUAGACUUAUCCAAGAAAGGCUAAAUUGGCUAAUUGUCCUACGAAAUGACAUAAUUAGCUUAGUUAGCUCCAAAAUGGCCUAUUUAAUAAAAAAUGACCUAUACUUAGCUAAUUAUCCUCGAAAUGACAUAAUUAGCUCCAAAAAGGCAUUCUUAGCCAAUUUAGCCCGAAGAAGGGGACAAGAAGAGAAAAAGAGGAUAAAUGAAAGGAGGGAAGAGGAAAAAUAAGGAGAAGAAGGAGGAGAAGGAGGAGGAGAAGAAGAAGGAGAAGAAGGAGAAGAAGGAGGAGAAGGAGAAGGAGCUCCUCCUACUCCUUCUUCUUCCUCCUUCUCCUUCUUCUUUUCUUCUUCUUCUCCUCUUCCUUCUUCUUCUCCUCCUCCUCCUCCUCCUUAUUUUACUUCUUCUUCUCUAUCCCUUCUUCUACGUAGCUUAGACUUAUCCAAGAAAGGCUAAAUUGGCUAAUUAUCCUACGAAAUGACAUAAUUAGCUUAGUUAGCUCCAAAAUGGCCUAUUUAAUAAAAAAUGACCUAUACUUAGUAAUUAUCCUCGAAAUGACAUAAUUAGAUCCAAAAAGGGAUUCUUAGCCAAUUUAGCCCGAAGAAGGGGACAAGAAGAGAAAAAGAGGAAAAUGAAAGGAAGGAAGAGGAAAAAGGAGAUUAAGAAGGAGGAGAGGGAGGAGGAGAAGAAGAAGGAGAAGAAGGAGGAGAAGGAGAAGGAGCUCCUCCUUCCCCUUCUUCUUCCUCCUUCUUCCUCCUUCGCCUUCUCCUUCUUCUUCUCCUUCUCCUUUUUCUUUUCUUCUUCUUCUCCUCUUCCUUCUUCUCCUCCUCCUCCUCCUCCUCCUCCUCCUCCUCCUUAUUUUACUUCUUCUUCUCUAUCUCUUCUUCUACGUAGCUUAGACUUAUCCAAGAAAGGCUAAAUUGGCUAAUUAUCCUACGAAAUGACAUAAUUAGCUUAGUUAGCUCCAAAAUGGCCUAUUUAAUAAAAAAUGACCUAUACUUAGCUAAUUAUCCUCGAAAUGACAUAAUUAGCUCCAAAAAGGCAUUCUUAGCCAAUUUAGCCCGAAGGAGGGGACAAGAAGAGAAAAAGAGGAAAAUGAAAGGAAGGAAGAGGAAAAAGGAGAAGAAGAAGGAGGAGAGGGAGGAGGAGAAGAAGAAGGGGACAAAAGGAUAAGAAGAAGAAGGAGAAGAAGGAGAAGAAGGAGAAGAAGAAGGAGAAGGAGAGCUCCUUCUCCUUCUUCUUCUCCUUCUUCUCCUUCUUCUUCUCCUUCUUCUCCUUCUUCUUCUUCUCCUCUUCCUUCUCCUUCUCCUCCUCCUCCUCCUUUUCUUCUUCUUCUCCUCUUCCUUCUCCUUCACCUCCUCCUCCUCCUUCUUUUACUUCUUCUUCUCUUUCUCUUAUCCUAUAGUUAGCUAGGGUUCCACCUAAAUGACAUAAUUAGCUUAGUUAGCUCCUAAAUGGUCUAUACUUAGCUAAUUUCUCUCCGAAAUAACCUAUAUAUACACUACUUCAUCUAGUAUUUUUUUUAACUUUCUUAUUUGUCAUUUUGCAGAUUACCUUCACUUCACGGGAAGCUUGGUUGAUGGAAUGCUUGAAGAUGAUUUCUUGUACCAUGGGUUGUAUUGAAACUAUUGUAGUAUAUGAAUAUAUGAAAGUUUGUAUGCACGAGGAUGAAACUGGUGUAAUAUAUGGUUUGGUACGGAUGUAACUUCCAUAAUAUGUAUGCACUAUGGAUGAGAGUUAUUUUAAUAUGGUUAUGAGUACGGAAAGAAAUUUAUUUAUGUCAAAUAUAUAUAUAUAUCCUGAUUAUUGUUAAAAAUGCUGGAUAUAACAAAAAAUAAAUAAAUAAGGGGCUGGUUCCCCUCUUUGCCGUCUGCCAAAACAUGGCAAAGGGGUGGAGGCACACGGCAAAGGGGGAAUCUGCCCCCUCUCUCUCCCCUCUUUGUCGUCUGCCCCCACAUGGCAAAGGGGGGAGGCAGACGGCAAAGAGAGAAUCUGCCCCCUCUCUCUCCCCUCUUUGCCGUCUGCCAACACAUGGCAAAGGGGUGGAGGCAGACGGCAAAGGGGCAAUCUGCCCCCUCUCUCUCCCCUCUUUGCCGUCUGCCCCCACAUGGCAAAGGGGGGAGGCAGACGGCAAAGAGAGAAUCUGCCCCCUCUCUCUCCCCUCUUUGUCGUCUGCCCCCACAUGGCAAAGGGGGGAGGCAGACGGCAAAGAGAGGAGGCCUGCCGUUAACACUUAACGGGGACGUUGCAAUAUAUGUUGGGGAACGUCGCAUGGGAAACAAAAAUUUUCUUACGCGCACAAAGACCUAUCAUGGUGAUGUCCAUCUACGAGAGGGCAUGAGUGAUCUACGUACCCUUGUAGAUCGUACAGCAGAAGCGUUAGAGAACGCGGUUGAUGUAGUGGAACGUCCUCACGUCCCUCGAUCCGCCCCGCGAACAAUCCCGCGAUCAGUCCCACGAUCUAGUACCGAACGGACGGCACCUCCGCGUUCAGCACACGUACAGCUCGACGAUGAUCUCGGCCUUCUUGAUCCAGCAAGAGAGACGGAGAGGUAGAAGAGUUCUCCAGCAGCGUGACGGCGCUCCAGAGGUUGGUGAUGAUCUCGUCUCAGCAGGGCUCCGCCCGAGCUCCGCAGAAACGCGAUCUAGAGGAAAAACUAUGGAGGUAUGUGGUCGGGCAGCCGUGAGAAAGUCGUCUCAAAUCUGCCCUAAAAGCCCCAUAUAUAUGUUGGGGAACGUCGCAUGGGAAACAAAAAUUUUCCUACGCGCACGAAGACCUAUCAUGGUGAUGUCCAUCUACGAGAGGGGAUGAGUGAUCUACGUACCCUUGUGGAUCGUACAGCAGAAGCGUUAGUGAACGCGGUUGAUGUAGUGGAACGUCCUCACGUCCCUCGAUCCGCCCCGCGAACAAUCCCGCGAUCAGUCCCACGAUCUAGUACCGAACGGACGGCACCUCCGCGUUCAGCACACGUACAGCUCGACGAUGAUCUCGGCCUUCUUGAUCCAGCAAGAGAGACGAAGAGUUCUCCGGCAGCGUGACGGCGNNNNNNNNNNNNNNNNNNNNNNNNNNNNNNNNNNNNNNNNNNNNNNNNNNNNNNNNNNNNNNNNNNNNNNNNNNNNNNNNNNNNNNNNNNNNNNNNNNNNAUAUAUAGGAGGAGGGAGGGGGACCUUGCCUUGGGGUCCAAGGGACUCCCAAGGGGUCGGCCGAGCCAAGGGGGGGAGGACUCCCCCCCCAAACCGAGUUGGACUUGGUUUGGUGGGAGGAGUCCCCCUCCCUUCCCACUUCUUCCCUCUUUUUUUGUUCCUUUCCUUUGAUUUCCUUCUCUUGGCGCAUAGGCCCCCUUGGGGCUGUCCCACCAGCCCACUAAGGGCUGGUGUGUCUCCCCAAAGCCUAUGGGCUUCCCCGGGGUGGGUUGCCCCCCCCCCGGUGAACUCCCGGAACCCAUUCGUCAUUCCCGGUACAUUCCCGGUAACUCCGAAAACCUUCCGGUAAUCAAAUGAGGUCAUCCUAUAUAUCAAUCCUCGUUUCCGGACCAUUCCGGAAACCCUCGUGACGUCCGUGAUCUCAUCCGGGACUCCUAACAACAUUCGGUAACCAACCAUAUAACUCAAAUACGCAUAAAACAACGUCGAACCUUAAGUGUGCAGACCCUGCGGGUUCGAGAACUAUGUAGACAUGACCCGAGAGACUCCUCGGUCAAUAUCCAAUAGCGGGACCUGGAUGCCCAUAUUGGAUCCUACAUAUUGUACGAAGAUCUUAUCGUUUGAACCUCAGUGCCAAGGAUUCGUAUAAUCCCGUAUGUCAUUCCCUUUGUCCUUCGGUAUGUUACUUGCCCGAGAUUCGAUCGUCAGUAUCCGUAUACCUAUUUCAAUCUCGUUUACCGGCAAGUCUCUUUACUCGUUCCGUAAUACAAGAUCCCGCAACUUACACUAAGUUACAUUGCUUGCAAGGCUUGUGUGUGAUGUUGUAUUACCGAGUGGGCCCCGAGAUACCUCUCCGUCACACGGAGUGACAAAUCCCAGUCUUGAUCCAUACUAACUCAACUAACACCUUCGGAGAUACCUGUAGAGCAUCUUUAUAGUCACCCAGUUACGUUGUGACGUUUCAUACACACAAAGCAUUCCUCCGGUGUCAGUGAGUUAUAUGAUCUCAUGGUCAUAGGAAUAAAUACUUGACACGCAGAAAAUAGUAGCAACAAAAUGAUACGAUCAACAUGCUACGUGUAUUAGUUUGGGUCUGGUCCAUCACGUGAUUCUCCCAAUGACGUGAUCCAGUUAUCAAGCAACAACACCUUGUUCAUAAUCAGAAGACACUGACUAUCAUUGAUCAACUGGCUAGCCAACUAGAGGCAUGCUAGGGACGGUGUUUUGUAUAUGUAUCCACACAUGUAAAUGAGUCUUCAUUCAAUACAAUUAUAGCAUGGAUAAUAAACUAUUAUCUUGAUACAGGAAUUAUAAUAAUUACUAUGCAUUUAUUAUUGCCUCUAGGGCAUAAUUCCAACAGUCUCCCACUUGCACUAGAGUCAAUAAUCUAGCCCUCACAUCACCAUGUGAAUUACAUUGUAAUAAAUCUAACACCCAUACAGUUCUGGUGUCGAUCAUGUUUUGGCCGUGGAAGAGGUAUAGUCAGCGGGUCUGCUACAUUCAGAUCCGUGUGCACCUUGCAUAUAUUUAUGUCCUCCUCCUCGACGUAGUCGCGGAUGAGGUUGAAGCGUCGUUUGAUGUGUCUAGUCUUCUUGUGAAACCUUGGUUCCUUUGCCAGGGCAAUGGCACCAGUGUUGUCACAGAACAAGGUUAUUGGAUCCAGUGCACUUGGCACCACUCCAAGAUCCGUCAUGAACUGCUUCAUCCAGACACCCUCCUUAGCCGCCUCCGAGGCAGCCAUAUACUCUGCUUCACAUGUAGAAUCUCCUACGACGCUUUGCUUGGAACUGCACCAGCUUACUGCACCCCCAUUAAGAAUAAAUACAUAUCCGGUUUGCGACUUAGAGUCGUCCGGAUCUGUGUCAAAGCUUGCAUCGACGUAACCUUUUACGGCGAGUUCUUCAUCACCUCCAUACACGAGAAACAUCUCCUUAGUCCUUUUCAGGUACUUCAGGAUAUUCUUGACCGCUGUCCAGUGAUCCACUCCUGGAUUACUCUAGAACCUACCUGCCAUACUUAUGGCCAGGCUAACAUCCGGUCUAGUGCACAACAUCGCAUACAUGAUAGAACCUAUGGCUGAAGCAUAGGGGACGGAGCGCAUAUGCUCUCUAUCUUCAUCAGUUGCUGGGCACUGAGUCUUACUCAAUCUCGUACCUUGUAAAACUGGCAAGAACCCCUUCUUGGACUGUUCCAUUUUGAACCUCUUCAAAACUUUAUCAAGGUAUGUGCUUUGUGAAAGUCCUAUCAGGCGUUUUGAUCUAUCCCUAUAGAUCUUAAUGCCUAGAAUGUAAGCAGCUUCUCCUAGGUCCUUCAUAGAGAAACUUUUAUUCAAGUAACCUUUUAUGCUCUCCAAAAGCUCUACGUUGUUUCCAAUCAGUAAUAUGUCAUCCACAUAUAAUAUUAGAAACGCCACAGAUCUCCCACUCACUUUCUUGUAAAUACAAGAUUCUCCAACCACUUGUAUAAACCCAAAUGCUUUGAUCACCUCAUCAAAGCGUUUGUUCCAACUCCGAGAUGCUUGCACCAGUCCAUAAAUGGAUCGCUGGAGCUUGCACACCUUGUCAGCAUUUUUAGGAUCGACAAAACCUUCGGGUUGCAUCAUAUACAACUCUUCCUUAAGGAAACCGUUAAGGAACGCCGUUUUGACAUCCAUCUGCCAGAUUUCAUAAUCGAAAAAUGCAGCUAUUGCUAACAUGAUUCUGACGGACUUAAGCAUCGCUACGGGUGAGAAGGUCUCAUCGUAGUCAACUCCUGGAACUUGUGAAAAACCCUUUGCCACAAGUCGAGCUUUAUAAACGGUCACAUUACCGUCAGCGUCCGUCUUCUUCUUAAAGAUCCAUUUGUUCUGAAUAGCCUUGCGGCCCUCAGGUAGUAUCUCCAAAGUCCACACUUUGUUCUCAUACAUGGAUCCUAUCUCGGAUUUCAUGGCUUCUACCCAUUUGUUGGAAUCUGGGCCCGCCAUUGCUUCUUCAUAAUUUGCAGGUUCAUUGUUGUCCAACAACAUGAUUGAUAAGACGGGAUUAUCGUACCACUCUGGAGCAGCGCGUGAUCUCGUCGACCUGCGUGGUUCAACAGAAACUUGAACUGGAGUUUCAUGAUCAUCAUCAUUAACUUCCUCCUCAACCGGCGUCGCAAUGACAGAGGUUUCCCCUUGCCCUGCGCCACCAUCCAGAGGGAUGAGAGGUUCGACAACCUCGUCAAGUUCUAUCUUCCUCCCACUCAAUUCUCUCGAGAGAAACUCCUUCUCGAGAAAAGUUCCGUUCUUAGCAACAAACACUUUGCCCUUGGAUUUGAGAUAGAAGGUGUACCCAACUGUCUCUUUUGGGUAACCUAUGAAGUCGCACUUUUCCGCUUUGGGUUCCAGCUUUUCAGGCUGAAGCUUUUUGACAUAAGCAUCACAUCCCCAAACUUUAAGAAACGACAACUUUGGCCUCUUGCCAUACCACAGUUCGUAUGGUGUCGUCUCAACGGAUUUUGAUGGUGCCCUAUUUAAAGUGAAUGCAGCUGUUUCUAAUUCAUAACCCCAAAACGAUAACGGCAAAUCAGUAAGAGACAUCAUAGAUCGCACCAUCUCUAACAAAGUACGAUUACGACGUUCGGACACACCAUUACACUGUGGUGUUCCAGGCGGUGUUAACUGUGAAACAAUUCCACAUUGUCUUAAGUGAGCACCAAACUCGAAACUCAGAUAUUCACCCCCACGAUCAGACCGUAGGAACUUGAUCUUCUUGUUACGAUGAUUUUCCACUUCACUCUGAAAUUGCUUGAACUUUUCAAAUGUUUCAGACUUGUGCUUCAUCAAGUAGACAUAACCAUAUCUACUUAAAUCGUCAGUGAAGGUGAGGAAAUAACGAUAUCCGCCGCGUGCCUCCACGCUCAUUGGACCACACACAUCGGUAUGUAUGAUUUCCAACAAGUCACUUGCACGCUCCAUUGUUCCGGAGAACGGAGUCUUAGUCAUCUUGCCCAUGAGGCAUGGUUCGCACGUGUCAAGUGAAUCAAAGUCAAGUGACUCCAAAAGUCCAUCAGCAUGGAGUUUCUUCAUGCGCUUUACACCAAUAUGACCCAAGCGGCAGUGCCACAAAAAUAUGGCGCUAUCAUUGUUUACUCUAACUCUUUUGGUCUCAAUGUUAUGUAUAUGCGUAUCGCUAUCAAGAUUCAAUAUGAACAAUCCUCUCACAUUCGGUGCACGACCAUAAAAGAUGUUACUCGUAGAAAUAGAACAACCAUUAUUCUCUGACUUAAAAGAGUAACUGUCUCGCAAUAAACAAGAUCCAGAUAUAAUGUUCAUGCUCAACGCAGGCACUAAAUAACAAUGAUUUAAGUUCAUCACUAAUCCCGAUGGUAGUUGAAGUGACACUGUGCCGACGGCGAUUGCAUCAACCUUGGAACCGUUUCCUACGCGCAUCGUCACUUCGUCUUUCGCCAGCCUUCGUCUAUUCCGCAGUUCCUGCUUCGAGUUGCAAAUGUGAGCAACAGAACCGGUAUCAAAUACCCAGGCACUACUACGAGAGCCGGUUAAGUACACAUCAAUAACAUGUAUAUCAAAUAUACCUGAUUUUUCUUUGCCCGCCUUCUUAUCUGCCAGAUACUUGGGGCAAUUGCGCUUCCAGUGACCCAUACCCUUGCAAUAGAAGCACUCUGUUUCAGGCUUAGGUCCAGCUUUGGGUUUCUUCGGCGGAUUGGCAACAGGCUUGCCGCUCUUCUUCGAAUUGCCCUUCUUGCCUUUGCCGUUUCUCUUGAAACUAGUGGUCUUGCUCACCAUCAACACUUGAUGCUCUUUACGGAGUUCAGACUCUGCGACUUUCAGCAUCGCAAACAACUCGUCGGGAGACUUGUUCAUCCCUUGCAUGUUGUAGUUCAACACAAAGACUUUAUAGCUUGGCGGCAGUGAUUGAAGGAUUCUGUCAGUGAUAGCUUCUUGCGGGAGUUCAAUCCCCAGUUCAGCUAGACGGUUUGAGUACCCAGACAUUUUGAGCACAUGUUCACUGACAGAUGAGUUUUCCUCCAUCUUGCAAGCAUAGAAUUUAUCGGAGGUCUCAUACCUAUCGGUCUGGGCGUUCUUCUGAAAGAUAAACUCCAACUCCUGGAACAUCUCAAAUGCUCCAUGAGGCUCAAAGCAACGUUGAAGUCCCGGUUCUAAGCCAUACAAGACUGCACAUUGAACUAUUGAGUAGUCCUCCUUACGUGCUAACCAAGCGUUCUUAACAUCCUGAUCAGCCGUAGCGGGUGGUUCAUCUCCUAGCGCAGCAUUAAGGACAUAAUCCUUCCUCCCAGCUUGUAAGAUUAGCUUAAGAUUACGAGCCCAGUCUACAAAGUUGCUUCCAUCAUCUUUCAACUUAGCUUUCUCUAGGAACGUAUUAAAAUUCAGGAUGACUGUUGCGUGAGCCAUGAUCUACAACGCAAAUAUAUUCAAAGUGGAAUUAGACUAUGUUCAAGAUAAUUAGAGUUCAACUUAAUCAAAUUAUAUGCUAAACUCCCACUCAAAAAGUACAUCUCUCUAGUCAUUUGAGUGGUUCAUGAUCCACUUACACUAUCCCAAGUCCGAUCAUCACGUGAGUCGAGAGUUGUUUCAGUGGUAAGUAUCCCUAUGCUAAUCAUAUCAACUAUAUGAUUCAUGAUCGACCUUUCGGUCUCAUGUGUUCCGAGGCCAUGUCUGCACAGGCUAGGCUCAUCAAGCUUAACCCGAGUGUUCCGCGUGCGCAACUGUUUUGCACCCGUUGUAUGUGAACGUUGAGUCUAUCACACCCGAUCAUCACGUGGUGUCUCGAAACGACGAACUGUAGCAACGGUGCACAGUCGGGGAGAACACAAUUUUGUCUUGAAAUUUUAGUGAGAGAUCACCUCAUAAUGCUACCGUCGUUCUAAGCAAAAUAAGGUGCAUAAAAGGAUUAACAUCACAUGCAAUUCAUAAGUGACAUGAUAUGGCCAUCAUCACGUGCUUCUUGAUCUCCAUCACCAAAGCACCGGCACGAUCUUCUUGUCACCGGCGCCACACCAUGAUCAUCCAUCAACGUGUUGCCAUCGGGGUUGUCGUGCUACUUAUGCUAUUACUACUAAAGCUACAUCCUAGCAAAAUAGUAAACGCAUCUGCAUGCACAUAUGUUAGUAUAAAGACAACCCUAUGGCUCCUGCCGGUUGCCGUACCAUCGGCGUGCAAGUCGAUAUUUCUAUUACAACAUGAUCAUCUCAUACAUCCAAUAAAUCACAUCACAUCAUUGGCCAUAUCACAUCACAAUCAUACCCUGCAAAAACAAGUUAGACGUCCUCUAAUUUUGUUGUUGCAUGUUUUACGUGGUGACCAAGGGUAUCUAGUAGGAUCGCAUCUUACUUACGCAAACACCACAACGGAGAUAUAUGAGUUGCUAUUUAACCUCAUCCAAGGACCUCCUCGGUCAAAUCCGAUUCAACUAAAGUUGGAGAAACCGUCACUUGCCAGUCAUCUUUGAGCAAAGGGGGUUACUCGUAACGAUGAAACCAGUCUCUCGUAAGCGUACGAGUAAUGUCGGUCCAAGCCGCUUCAAUCUAACAAUACCGCGGAAUCAAGAAAAGACUAAGGAGGGCAGCAAAACGCACAUCACCGCCCACAAAACCUUUUGUGUUCUACUGGAGAAGACAUCUACGCAUGAACCUAGCUCAUGAUGCCACUGGUGGGGAACGUCGCAUGGGAAACAAAAAAUUUCCUACGCGCACGAAGACCUAUCAUGGUGAUGUCCAUCUACGAGAGGGGAUGAGUGAUCUACGUACCCUUGUAGAUCGUACAGCAGAAGCGUUAGAGAAUGCGGUUGAUGUAGUGGAACGUCCUCACGUCCCUCGAUCCGCCCCGCGAACAAUCCCGCGAUCAGUCCCACGAUCUAGUACCGAACGGACGGCACCUCCGCGUUCAGCACACGUACAACUCGACGAUGAUCUCGGCCUUCUUGAUCCAGCAAGAGAGACGGAGAGGUAGAAGAGUUCUCUAGCAGCGUGACGGCGCUCCGGAGGUUGGUGAUGAUCUCGUCUCAACAGGGCUCCGCUCGAGCUCCGCAGAAACGCGAUCUAGAGGAAAAACUAUGGAGGUAUGUGGUCGGGCAGCCGUGAGAAAGUCGUCUCAAAUCUGCCCUAAAAGCCCCAUAUAUAUAGGAGGAGGGAGGGGGACCUUGCCUUGGGGUCCAAGGGACUCCCAAGGGGUCAGCCGAGCCAAGGGGGGGAGGACUCCCCCCCCAAACCGAGUUGGACUUGGUUUGGUGGGAGGAGUCCCCCUCCCUUCCCACUUCUUCCCUCUUUUUUUUUCCUUUCCUUUGAUUUCCUUCUCUUGGCGCAUAGGCCCCCUUGGAGCUGUCCCACCAGCCCACUAAGGGCUGGUGUAUCUCCCCAUAGCCUAUGGGCUUCCCCGGGGUGGGUUGCCCCCCCGGUGAACUCCCGGAACCCAUUCAUCAUUCCCGGUACAUUCCCGGUAACUCCGAAAACCUUCCGGUAAUCAAAUGAGGUCAUCCUAUAUAUCAAUCCUCGUUUCCGGACCAUUCCGGAAACCCUCGUGACGUCCGUGAUCUCAUCCGAGACUCCGAACAACAUUCGGUAACCAACCAUAUAACUCAAAUACGCAUAAAACAACGUCGAACCUUAAGUGUGCAGACCCUGCGGGUUCGAGAACUAUGUAGACAUGACCCGAGAGACUCCUCGGUCAAUAUCCAAUAGCGGGACCUGGAUGCCCAUAUUGGAUCCUACAUAUUCUACGAAGAUCUUAUCGUUUGAACCUCAGUGCCAAGGAUUCGUAUAAUCCCGUAUGUCAUUCCCUUUGUCCUUCGGUAUGUUACUUGCCCGAGAUUCGAUCGUCAGUAUCCGUAUACCUAUUUCAAUCUCGUUUACCGGCAAGUCUCUUUACUCGUUCCGUAAUACAAGAUCCCGCAACUUACACUAAGUUACAUUGCUUGCAAGGCUUGUGUGUGAUGUUGUAUUACCGAGUGGGCCCCGAGAUACCUCUCCGUCACACGGAGUGACAAAUCCCAGUCUUGAUCCNNNNNNNNNNNNNNNNNNNNNNNNNNNNNNNNNNNNNNNNNNNNNNNNNNNNNNNNNNNNNNNNNNNNNNNNNNNNNNNNNNNNNNNNNNNNNNNNNNNNUAGCUAGGGGCCAUUACUGAUGUUCGUCCAUGUAAUCGAAUAGACGGGCUCUAGUCCCGAUAAUUCAGAUCUCCAUAUAAUUGUAUAUAUAUGCUCGCUUGUAAGAUAAGUUAAUCUUAUAUAUAUAUGCAUAACUAUUUCUAUUUAAAUUAUAUGAAAACUAAUUCCCGAACACCAAACGAGGCAUCACGUUAAUCUCCCGAACACCUAAACCCUAAAACUCUAAAACCCAAAAUAAUUUCAUUCAAAAAAAUCCAAAAAUAAUCAAAAUCUGAAACUCUUUAGUACCGGCAUGUGUAACAAACCGGGACUAAAGGUCCUGCCCCUGGGGCGCUACGAGGCGCCCACGUGGAGCACCUUUAGUCCCGGCGUGUAAGAGGGCCGGGACGAAAAGGUUAGGCCUUUAGUCCCGCCCCUUUAGUCCCGAUUGGUGAACCGGGACUAAAGCCCCUUACGAGCCGGGGCUAUAGGCCCUGUGCCCACUAGUUGUGCCCACUAGUGACUAUUAUAAGUUCUGCUUGGGAGAAGAUAAUAAUUCCGACCCUGAAUAGUCCAAAAACCUCAAAUACCAANNNNNNNNNNNNNNNNNNNNNNNNNNNNNNNNNNNNNNNNNNNNNNNNNNNNNNNNNNNNNNNNNNNNNNNNNNNNNNNNNNNNNNNNNNNNNNNNNNNNUGAUGUUUGAACUUAAGGGCUUUUCUCGUUCCUACUACACUAGAGACCCAUGCAUAGCACAGCCUGGAUACAACCGGAAUAACAAUCUCAAAUACAAACGAAUGCAUGAGACUAAUACAAAAACAAUCAAAGCCCGGAACGAUACAAGAGUGAAGGGAGGAGGGAUUCUGGUCACACACACACAUAUCGGUACCCGAUAAUUAAUGACCAGCCCUAGGAGUAUCCCUUAAUUAUUUAUUUGUGUAAUACGUUGCUACGUGCAUGCAUGCAUACUUGGUACGUAGCCUAGUAUGGAAUCUGCCCGACCAUGUGCGGCGGGCUGUAGCAGCAGAUGACAAACACGCCAACGUUGCCGUCACAGGGGACAGCGCCACAGCCUAUGGCCUUCGUGUCCCUCCACACCAACUCCAGGUAUCGAUCGCACGACUCACCCGUAGGUGCCGAGCAAGUGUUGGUGGCGUGGUCGUAGUACUGCUUCCCGGACGCCCAGUAAAACACUGCGUCCACUGCAUUCCAUUCGGUCCCACCCCGAAAAAGGUUCUCUCCGUAUGGGCGGACCUCCGGAGAUGGUAUUAACUGGCAGUCGGCGCGGCGCUUCUCCGCGUACGACUGUGCAUACGCCGCCACUAUGGGGUCCCACGUCAGCGGCCCCACGCCGACGGUGGCGCGCACUUCGUUGUGGGCGAUCAGCAUGUCUUC
rnacentral:lncRNA from 1 species